AUCGGGAGUACUAAUGGGCCUGGGCCUGUACAGUACUUCAGCCCAAUUAUGUUUUCAGCGUGGCCCGUUGUGAUCCCUAGGGACUUAGGCGCUUUUUGCUUUGGCAAUAUGUGCUCACAAUGAUGUGGCCCGAUGCUGUUAAAAUCCUUUUUAAUGCAAUUCAAUAAUUCUUUGGAAUUAUUAUGAUGCACAUGAAAAGGUGCUCGACAGAAAGGUGUUAUACCAUUCUUGUAAGCUUUUUUCGGCUACGGGAGCUGUUGGGUUAAUUUGAGAUGACUGGUUUAUUAGUAGUCAUUCUCCUAGCAUGUUAUAUGCUUAUUUUGGUUAUGGUAAGGGUCACAGCCUAGGCUGUUAGACUCAUUAAUUACCAUGAUUUUCUGUCAUGUUUGGUGGAUCAUUUUAAGAGUUUCUUGCUCGGAUUCCUACCAAAUAUAUCUAUUUUUGGGCCUUUUGAGUGUUUGUCACUCGGCCCUUCUUGUAUUUUUUUUGUCCUUGAUAUAUUCAAAUUGAGAAGCAGUCGGCUGGGUAUGUUACUAAGUACCAUGCGUGCUUCGCUAUAAAACCACUCGGUUCUUGACUAUAUAUUUAGUUUUUGAACUAAUCACAUAGUCAGGGGCUACACCUAAUUAGGUGCAUCUACUCGAUGCACCAUGUUUUAUUUUCGCCCUUCACAGUUUUUGAUUUUUAGUACUCGGCAAGCUUGAGCAAGUUGAAUUGAAGCACUCGGACUACUGGUUUUUGUUUCGAGAAGGUUGUUUCGUCAACUGCGAAGGUCUCGGGGGCUACUGUGGAGAUUAUGGAUACCCCAUAUCUACAUGACAGUUAUACUUUAGUCGGAUAUAUGGUACCAAAUAUAGAUAGAAUAUCUUUAUGAGGACUCGGGUAAGAUUCUAAACUUGUAUGUCAAGAAAAUACCCGGGAUCCUAGUCGGCUACGAUUGUAUUUUAUCUGUAAUCCGUUAGGAUAUGGACUGUACCUUGUAUUACGGAUCCCUCCCCCUAUAUAAGGAGGGUCCGUGUGCCUCUUGGGAUACGAUUCUUUUCUCCCAAUCAUACAAUCAAUAACACACUCGGCGGAAUCAUCCUCGGACAGGAGUAGGGUAUUAUUUCUUGAAUAAGAAGGCCUGAACCUGUAUAAAAUCCCUUGUCUCCAAACCCAUCCACCUUCCUAGCUUGAUAGCCACCCCUUUUAUUAUUGCCGAAAUCUUGUUUCGACAAUAAGACGCAGAAAUGUGUAUUAAACUUUGUCUUUUCUUUUUUAUGCCGCAUCCUGCACGGAAAAUUAGUGCAUAUUUUAUCUGAUAUUCUGGUUUCAUGAAUUUUCAGGUGUGUGAUUGCCUUUUUUAGAUUGACAGAAAUUCAAUUGGGUUGUCGUUGAAACUUAGGCACAAUAUGGAGUUGUUUAAUGAAAUAAGUCCACUUCAACUCCUUUAAAUAUAAGUCCAAUCUGAUCUGUAUCCUCUAACCACAAUAGCAGCGGAUAUCCUGAUCCACCAACUUUUAACCUAUGCAAAAUGACUCCCCUAGCAGUGUUGAAGGUGGUUUUCGCUGAUGUGACGUCUACGUUUUAAAUUGACUUAAUCUUCAUCAUAUGUGGCAUUACAAUAACAAAAGUAAUUGCUCUGAAGUAAUAAUAAAAUGCGUGGGACCUCGGGUUGGUGACUGCUUCUUUUCCUGGGACAUUUAACUUUAGGCCACUUUUAAGAUGUGGCAAUUAAUUAUUUGUCACUUGUUGUCUAUGACAUGUGGACCCUCAUAUAUCUAAUGUGGGUCCAGUGACAAAUCAUUUAUCACCAUCCAUAAGAGUGGCAAAUAAUUAAUUAAUCCUCUUUUCCUCAGUUUCUCUCCACCACUCCCAUCUCUUCGAACCGAUCCCCAAUCCUGCUCCCACCCCUAUCGAUGAUGGCGGCGUCGGCGGCUCACAUCCAGGGCGGGGACCGGAGGACGUGGAGCUCCAGGCUGGCACGACGGGGCAGCGGCGAGUGGUGCGAAGCUCAGGACAUGACGCGACUCGCUUCAACCUGCUCGGCGUUUGCUCCUUGUCGGCGUCUUGAUGGAGCUCCCACAGAUGUAGGGCGGCGCCGUUGUCCGAGGGCGGAAGGCCACACCCGUGGCCGUGGCUGGCGACGGCGCAUCCUCCAGCUGAGCGGCAACAGGACGGCCUUGAGGUGGAAUGGCGGCCCCGACGCGUAGCGACAGCGAGGUGGCCUCGACGCGUAGCGAGCCCAAGACGAAGCGACGUACGGUCACACGGAUUCGAGCUAGAGCGAACACAACGCGACCCCAAGGCAGAGACCGGCGACUACGGUGAGACCGUGUUUGAGUUGAUUUCAAAAGAGUGAUCUAGCUAAGCUAUGCUGUGUUGAUUUCAUCUGCGGUGUAUGAGUUAGCAAUGACAAUCAUAACCAUGGUGCUGAGCAUUUGAGCAGCUCCUUCGCUGCUACUGCCGGUGCGACAUGGCGUGUCGUUCAGCCGUUGGCACUGGCCACGCCGCGGUAGGCUUCCCCGCUGCCGAGGUCGCACAUCACCGGCAUGCUGCACAAAAUCGUUCCUGCUUAUUUAAUGGUUGCAAUUAGAGUUUUAAUUGGGCCUUGUUUGUCGGGAUUCCUGUCCACCUUGUUAAACUUUGUGCUUGGCCUACGAAGGACCAGACCAAAUACAGUUAGGGCCCUUUAAAUCGCAGGAUUGAGAAAACGUAGGAAUAGGAAAAACGUAGGAUUUUAAUAGGAAUGUAAGUCUAAAACAUAGGAUUGUAAAACACAGGAAAAACACAUGAAUGACCGUUUGAUUGAACCGCAGGAAAAACACAAGAAUUGGAUGAGAGAGAUAAACUCAAAGAAAAGUUACCAAGAUGUUAUACCUAUGUUAAAUUUCCUCCAAAACUUACAUGGGAAGAGGCAUUCCAUAGGAAUUUUAUAGGAUUUCAUAGGAUUUAUAGGAUUUUAUAGGAUCCAUUCCUUUGAUUCAAAUGGCUAUAUAGGAAAAAUUUUCAUAGGAAUAAAAUCCUCUAAAAUUCCUAUGAAUUUCCUUUGAACCAAAGGGGGCCUUAUUGGGUCUAUCAUCAAACCUUUCAUAUUUAGGAUUGCACUAUAUAAAAAGAGGAGGGGGCUAUUCAUUUAUACACUUGGAAAGAGGAUUGGAAUAAGAAAAGAAUCUCACCUCUAAAACUUUAUGUCUCCACUUUGUUUAUAGAUUAUACAAUUUCAUUGGACUGCUACUGUAGCAAGGGGAUGCAUAAUAUGUCAUCAGCACGAAACUCUAUCGGAGACCAAGGUAGAAGAAGGGUAAGAAACCCGAAAAUCCACUUUGCAUCUUGUAGAUUGAAUUGCAAAAACGAAUUCGUUGCAUCUUCCUCGUUUCAUUUUUUUUUCGAUCGAUUACAUCACCACUGACUGGGAGUCGCCGGCGAAUGCCGACGGACGGUGCCUCACCACCGGCCGUGCCAUGCACGGUGCCGGCUGCACACCGCACCGGCCGCCUGCACCCUGCAUGGCCGCAGCGUACAGCGCCGGGCCGCGCCGACCUCGCCGCGAAUGAUCACCACCGCCAGCACGGGCGUCGCAUCAUCUCUGCGCCCCGCAUGGCCGCCACACGCCACCGCCCGCGCCCCGCCUGGCCGCCGCCGCCGCCACGCCGUGCAAAUCGCGCCGUCCCGACGGCAGCACUUGCAGCUGCACUGCAACGCACGGCAUCACGCGUUGAACCACCACCGACCGCGUCCCUCACGGCGUUGCUCCGCGAGCCACCGCUGGCUGCACCCGCGCCACCUCGCCCGUGAGCCGCCGCGCCUCUCUGAGCCGCGCACAUGGCCGCCACCCUGCUCGCACGGCCGCCGCGUCCUCACCGCACCUACGGCGAACCGCCGUGCACCGCCGCGCCUCACAGCACCGCGCGCAUUGCCCCAGCGCUGCCCGCACGGCAGCUACGCCGGCGCCGGGCCUCCGCAUGCCGGUGUGUCUCGCCGAGCCGCCCGCCGUGCCGUGCCGCCACGCCACGCUGGGCCGCCCGCUCCGUCGCGCCGCACACAGGCCGCCACGCCGCCGCACCUCGGUGAACCGCCACGCCGCCGCGCGUAGCAAGCUCUCCGUCGGCAGCCACCCGCGCGCAAUCAACGGGGAAAGGAAAGAAAGAGGAAGAAGAAAGAAGGAAAGAAAAAAAAGGGGAAAGUAAUUGGCGAUUUUGCAGAAAGCCCAUAGAUUUUCUGAAAAUUGUGUGCGCAUAUCUCUCAGCGUGCAGAGAAUUUCAGAAAUUUCCAUUUUUAUCCGUCCACCAGUCCACCUCAUGGAACUCUAGUAAAGGGCCUCUGUAGUAGCAUAUUUCACCUAUAUUUUAUAUUUAAGCAUUUUUAUGUCUUAUAUUUGAAUUUGAAUUUCAUGAGGCAUUAAUACUGUUAAUUGAUAUUUUGUUUUUUUUUAUUUUCAGUAUUUAUAUAAAUAUAUGCAACCUUUUGCCCCCUUUAUAUGAAUAUAUGUAUACAUUUAUAUGAACUCUAGUAUUUCUUUUUUGAAAAAUUUGCAUUUCCUAUUGAACAAUUUGCAUUUCGUAAGAAUAUAAAUAUUGGAAAUUCAUGAAAUAUUUGCAUUCAUAUUUGCAACAUAAAUAUUUUGUCGCUUUGCAACAGAAUGUUAAGAAUCACGAACAAGGAGUUCGCUGAACUGGCCCAGCAUGGCCAGAACUACCUGUGGGCAUCCGACAUCCAGAGCGUCUUGGGGCCAAGAAGCUUCGCUAGACGAUCGGGAUAGGCACCUCGCAGGACCGUGCGCCUACCCCUGACGAGAACGAUCAGGUGCUGCACUUCCUGUGACACCACCUUUGCACUACUAUCAAGAAUGCGUACAUGGGAUUGCGAAGCCCACUCACUCUUUGGACUGCACUUAAGAAGUGGUUCAAAAAGUUGAAGUACACCAUCCUGUCCAAGCAGAGCAGGACUAGGCUUGCCUGAGGUUCGCCGACUUCAAAAGCAUCUCCGAGUACAAAUCAGUAUUGCACCGGAUUUGUACCAACCUCUCCCUCUGUGGUAAGGUCGUCACGAACGCGGAGAAGACCGAGAAGACGCUCGUAACUAUAGGGAGGCGUCAAACAAGGAGUAUGACAAGAUGAUCGACAUCAAGCAGGUGUCCAAGUUACGAGCAUCUCAUAAUACUCCUUGUAUGACGCCUGCCUGUAGUUACGAGCGUUCUCACGGCGCUAGGGUGGAAGGUGGAGAGCGUCUUCUCGAUCUUCUAUGCGUCCAUGACAACCUUACCACAGAGGAAGAGGUUGGUACAUAUCCGGUGCAGUGCGGAGUUGUACUCUGAGACACUCUUGAAGUCGGCGAACCUCAGGCGAGCCCAGUCCUGCUCUGCUUGGGCAGGAUGGUGUACUUCAACUUCUCGAACCGCUUCUUGAGGGCGGUCCAAAGAGUGAUUGGGCUCUGCAAUCCCAUGUACUCAUUCUUGAGCGUGGCGCAGAAGUGGUGUCGCGGGAAGUGCUACACAUGAUCGAUCUUGUCAGGGGUAGGCGCACGGUCCUGCGGGGUGCCCAUCCCUAUCGUUUAGCGAAGCUUCUUGGCCCCAAGGACGAUGUGGAUGUCGGAUGCCCAGGUCAGGUAGUUCUGGCCAUGCAGGGCCAGUUUUGCGAACUCCUUGUUCGUGAUUCCUGACAUUCUGUUGCAAAGUGACAAAAUAUUCAUAAGUUAAUGCUAGUAACAUGGUUGCAAAUAUGAAUGCAAAUAUUUCAUGAUUUUCCAAUAUUUAUAUUCUUACGAAAUGCAAAUUGUUCAAUAAAGAAAUACUAGAGCUCAUAUAAAUGCAUACAAAUAUUCAUAUAAAGGGGAAAAAGGUUGCAUAUAUUUAUAUAAAUACUGAAAAUAAAAAAAUUCAAAAUAUCAAUUAAUAAUAAUUAAUGGUUCAUUAAAUUCAAAUUCAAAUUUUAUAAUACAUAAAAAUGCUUAAAUAUGAAAUAUAGGCGAAAUAUGCAAGUACAGGGGCCCUUUACUAAGUUUCCAUGCGGUGAAGGGAUAAAAAUGGAAGUUUCCGAAAUUCUAGGGUCCUAGGCGCAAGGAAUCUCCAUGCUUAUAGAUAUGCGCACAUUUUCAGAAAAUCUAAGGGCUUUCUGCAAAAUCGCCAAUUACUUUCCCCUUUUUUUUUUCUUUCCUCUUUUAUUCUUCCACUUUCCUUCCUUUCCCCGUUGAUUACGCGUGGUUGGCUGCCGACGAUGAGCUCGCUGCGCGCGGCGGCCUACAUGCGGCACGGCGGCGUGGCGGCACAGCAGCGUUUGCACUGCGUGUCGAGGCAGCGCGAGGAAGUGCGGUGGAGGCGCGAUGGCCAUGCUGGCGGCUCAGCGGAUCGGUGCCACUGCCGUGCAAAGCGGCGCGGCCCGGUGAGACGCGGCGGCCGUGCGGCCGGCGCAGCAGCGGCGCGGUGGCCGUGCGAGCGACGUGGCAGCCAUGGGCGCGCCUCGCCGGCGGCGUGCGGAGGCCAUGAGGGGCGCGGCGCGUGUUAAAUAUGUUAUCAAUCAGUUUCGACCAUCAAUAUUACUAAAAUAGAGAAGAACUAGUGAUGCUAGCAAUGCAUAAAUAUGUUAAAAUAAUAAUAUUUCACUAGUAUUAGGUCUACUAACAUUUUGCAGAGAAUAACAAUAAAGUGGAGGAGAAUCGGCAUCAACUCAAACGAUAAGUGAAUCGAACGAUGUCGAGAAUCAGACUUAUGUAUGAAUGGGCCAAGAACUCAGAGUUGACACGUCAAACUAGGCCAAAAUUCGCAAGUCUACAUAAAGGAGCAACAGAGGAGGCCGCCAGCUGAAAGAUGGGCUGGUUGGGCAAGCCCCUUGAACCUCCCUCGCCUCCGUUGGAUUCAGGUUUUGGUUGGACGGUGGAGAUGAAGCCCAAACGAUAGUUGGAGGGUAUUACCAACCAUUCCAACCGUCACAACCGUCAUAGUUCAGCUAUAAAAUGAGCUCCUCUUCUCACUUCACACACACCUCUAGCAAGAGUUUUCUCAUUUCUCUCAAGUUUAGUUUAGUAGUAUCUAGCUGGUGGAAUAGGAAUAGAGUAGAAAUCAGGAGUCCAGAAGCCUUCGGAAGAGUUCGGGUAUGGCUCUAGUAGCUUUCCUUUUCUCUUUUGUAAGCUUUGUACUUUUAUUAGAAUACUCUUCUAUAUACAUUUAUGGUAUUGAAAUACUUUCUGAGUAUAUGAGUACCUACUUUACUUUACAUUAUGUUCAUGUUAUACUGAAUAUAUGGCUAGCUUAUCUGGGAGAUGCUUUGGUGCGGGUAUAAUGUUUGCUUAUGUAAUUACUCUAUGUUAUGACGAUGAUAUUAGAGUAGUAUCUUAUAGUUUAGACGUGGUGUCUAGAUUACGGGAUAUCAUUAUUUGGGGUUAUAUGUUGCGGAUGAGAGGUGGGCCGCUGAUGGUGACAGCUCAGUAUGGGUAUUCCUCCAUGUCUGUAUAUAAUCCUAAGUUAAUUCCCUAGGGAGGGUAUUCCUCCGUAUUUAGCCCCGGUUGUAUGGUCAUGACGGGUUGUCGUAAGGAACUCGGUAGUCAGGGGUGGCUUCUCGAAGUAUCAGGAGGGCAUCAGAUAGAGGGUAUUAGCUAGUAUAUCGGUUAACUAGAAUGAAUGUAUACUAUGUAUAUUAGAAGUAUAGGAAUAGAUUAUCUUUCUCUUUUCUGUACACUUAGCUUAAUAAUAUAUUAUGAGAAUGAGUAAGCUAAUGCUUGUGUGUCACUCUACCUUGGAUUAUCUUAACCCCUGCUUAGAAUAUGAUUAUCACAAGUAACAUAUAAUCUAUUAGUCAAAUUCUCUCUACAUGAUCUUUCCACAGGAUAAAAUAAAUACGAUACCCUUGGAAUACUCUCGGGUGAAAUGCUAUAAUGAUAUAUCCGUGCGCUUGCGGAUGUACUCUGUAACCAUAAUAUACCAGAAGUAUUUCUGCGCCAUUGCUGGGAAUUAUAUUUCUAGUAAUGACGUUAAGAAAUACCAACAACGCGCAUGGGCGGUGUGUGAACGCGGCUCGGCUAGGGGCGUGCGGUGGUUGUGCAGGUGGUGUGGCUUGGCGACAUUGCCGUCGCGGUGCAAGUGGCGCAACCGGCGUCGCGUGCGGGCGAGGCGGCUUGGCCGGUGGCCGGCGCUUUCUAGCGGCCGAUGCAGCCAUGUAGGUGAGGCCGUCGCCUAGCAGGUGCAGCUGAUACCAAGUGCAGUCGGCGCGUGAUGUGACCAUGGCUACUACGGAUACAACCGUUGCUCACAUCAUGGAUGAACAAGAAGAUAUGAAUAUAAGAUAUGAACAUCAAGUCCUCCAAGUGCUGAAAUUCGAAUCGGUCACCUACUACACUGCUGACUUCAAACGGCUGCCGAAUCUGUAUACGACCUCCGUUUUCGGUCCGUGAGUACUUCAUGAAAAGCUCUCGAAGUUCUCUUUCCAAAGGAUCUAGCCCUAUUGCCAAAUUCCACCUCAAUUGGCCACAAUCAAAGAAAAAAGUGUUGUGUCACCAAUAGUAGGUCUAUGGGCAUGUAACUUCAUCUGUGACCCCGGGCCAAGUGGAGCCCAUGUGGGGUGCACCCCAAUCUGGUGGAGCACGACCCUAGGGCCUCCUUGGUCGUCCUCCCAUCUCUAUAAAUAGCUAGGUACCCCUUCAGGGUUUCUCGGGUUUGUUAGAUUAAAGUUUAGCCAUUGUUACUUGCGCGCGUGUCGGCUAGACCGUCUGUCUACUUGUUCUUCGGAACCCCAACUUAUCAUUUGUAUUCAAUUCCUAUCUGUAAUUCAGAUUGUUUUUAUCUUGUUCUUGCUUGUUUCUUCGAUUUGCUUGCAGGAAUAAGGUUGAUCUGCAUCGGCAAGAUCAACAACCCACGGAGAGGUGUAUCGAUCGCUAAGACGCAACACAAGAACAUCUAGUAUGGUUGUAGUCGGGUUGUUAACGUUUCUCCCAAAUCGUAGUUAUCUACAACUCACCGAAAGAUCGGGCCAACAACAACCUUAAGUGUCUCGCGUGGAGCUUAGGGUUCAUCAGCGUAGGCGUGUGUCAUGUCGUAGCGAACGACGCGUUUGGUCGGUGCGCGGCACGACGGUCGUUCAAGCCGUGGUCAGCGCGGCACGAUGCCGUGCUGUGGUCAUGCAGGGCGUUGGUAGCCGACGCGAUGCACAACAUGGCGCAACCGGUGGCCGGUGGUGGAACUCCGACAAUUGGCAUUAGCCGGCAACUCCCAGUCGGCGGUGACGGAAUCUAUUGAGAACCACAAAAACGGAACGAGUAGGAUGCAAUGAAUUCGUUUUUGUAAUUCAAUCUACAAAAUGCAAAGUGGAUUUUUGAGUUUCUUACCCUUCCUCUACCUUGUUAGAAUUAUACAACCGCUGCUACAGAGUAGUUCAAUGGGGUUGUAUAAUUCUAAGAAAAAGUGGAGACACAAAGUUUAGGGGUGAGACUCAUUUUCUUAUUCCAAUCCUUUCAUCAGGUGUAGAAAUAAGUAGACCCCUCCUCUCUUUACAUAGUGCAAUCCCAAAUAUAAAAGGUUUGCUGAUGGUCAAAAUAAGUAGUAUAUUUGGGCUAGGCCUUCAUGGGUCAAUCCCAAAGUUUCUCAACAUAUUUUAAUUAAAAAGAGAAUCUCACCUUUAAAUUUUGUAGAUCCAGUUUAUUCUAUACAUUAUGCAACCCUGUUAGACUACUCUACAAUAGGGGUGGCAUAAUACACCUCUCCUGACGCCAUUGCUAUUGCGAAUGUGAGGAAAAAUUUAGUAUUCCAUUAAAAAGUUUUUUUCAUAUUAAAAAAGAAAAAGGAAAUCCUAAAAUCACAGAGCAUCGGCUGAGGACUUGUGUGUGUGAGAUUUGACGAGCCGCGCCCACGCAAGCAAAACAAGGAAGCCUCGUCUCAUCAGAUCUAAAAGCUGUGUCAGCUGCAGUUUGUUCGGUUCGGGCUGUGCAAGGAAGCCAAGAACCAACUAUGGCGGGCGACGGGCUUCCCCGGAUCGCGGUGGUCGGCGCCGGCAUCUUCGCGCGCACCCAGUACAUCCCAAGGCUCCGCGAGAUCGCCCACCUCGUCCUCCUCAAGACCAUCUGGAGCCGCACCAAGGUCAGCCACACACAGAUCAUCCACCGAACUCCGCUCUCCUGUCGGUCGCUGGACCUCACCAUUCCGUUGCAGGAAUCCGCGGAGGCCGCCGCGGAGCUCGCCCGGGACUUCGCGCCCGAGAUCCAGCCCAGAUGGGGCGACGCGGGCCUGGAGGAGAUUAUGGGAGACGCUUCCAUCUCCGCCGUCGCCGUCGUUCUUGCUGGCCAAGUGCAGGUCCGGGGUCCUCCAACAAUUCAUUCCCCAUGGAUUCACAUUCACUUUGCUUGCUGCCUUCAUUUCAUAGCUACAUUACGAGUUAGCUAUGCAUAGUUUGAUCCUACAUAUGGACUAGCUUUUCUUUCAUGGGUGAUUUCAGAUGAAACCGUAUUGCUUUUGGUUCUGAAUGCAAGCUGUUAAGCAAGGUCAAUUGAUCAUACAUUGAGAUUGAGUUAUCACUUAUUAGCAUGCCAAGGAAGAAAAGAGAAUGUGCACAAGCUUUGCUAUGUUUCCAGCUACUGUACUAUAUCCCUUUUCAGCAGUUUACCAAUUACUUCAGAAGAGCUCGGACUGAAAAGAAAGAAACAUGAUCUACUAGUAUAUAUCACUAAUUUGACUGAAGAAAGAAGUAUAAUAUAUUUAUAACACAAAUGUACCUAAAAAGAAGAGACUGUCUUUAUAAGAGUUCCAAGUCUUCAGGUUCAAUCGAAUAAUUGAACCUUGUAGCCUUUGAGUUACUAGCCGUUGUGUCAAACUGUUGUUGAGUUUAUGUCUUUGCCAUUUACUCCAGAUCACCAUUAUAAGACAAGAGUUGCCAUGCAUUAUGUUCAUGACCCUCACAUAGUCACUUGUACAUGCACUUCAAUUUUAUUUUCGCUGAUUGUUUUCCUUUUAACAACCCAUAGUUCAGUGUUUCACCAAAUGUUAGGUUGUCUUAACUAUUUUGACAUCUAUGAUUAUGCUUCUAGAAAAUUACAUUUACUCUAUGCACAGGAAUUUCUCACAAGUUGUUUGAAAUAUGCAGGUUGACCUCUCCUUAAAAAUGCUCAAGGCAGGAAAGCAUGUGAUACAAGGUAAAACAAAAUAUAUCUUGACAUUCUGAUUUGGGCUAGAGGACUUGUACACAAAAUAAAUAGGAGUUCCUUCUCUUAGACAAGUUUUUGUUUCUUUAAAUUUUCUAAUUCGCUGUCGCAUGUUUGCAUAAUAUGUUCGUCUUGUGGCUCGAAGAGAAACCUGCUUCUGGAUGUAAGUACUUCAAUUUGUUUGUUUCCGAAUCUUGUACAAGAAUAGUAAAAAUUCACUCAAUAUAUAUGUGACCAUCUUUCUCGUAAAACUUCAGCAACAAUGGAAGCAGAAACAGCAUUGUCAGUUUACAAUUCAUUUCCAAACCAAUUCCCAUACAAACCAAUUUGGGCUCUGGCAGAAAACUACAGAUUUGAACCUGCAUUUGUGGAGGUACACAUUUUCAAUCUUAUAAUUUGUUUUUUUUUUCUUGCUAGAUUACAUUGGUAAUCUCAAGACUCUUAUCUUCAGUCAAGGAAGUUGAUGAGUGAUAUUGGUGAUAUGAUGAACAUCCAAGUUAUUGUUGAAGGGUCAAUGAAUAGUUCAAAUCCAUACUUUAAUAGCUCCUGGAGAAGAAAUUUUGUGGUAAGAAUCAAGUAGUGAGCUACUGUUUUCCUGUCUCUUACGUGCUUUAUCUGCAUGUUUUCAUACUAUGCCCAUCACUUCGCUUCAAAACUUGAUGCUACAGCUCAGUUCUAUUACUAAAUACUAAUAGUUACAAAUGGUUUAAGUUUAAACUUACCAAAUAGCACAUAUGGGUAAUGUAUAGUUCUUUGGGUACUAAUUAGCUACUAGGUUUACUAAAUAUUAAUCUUUUGGAUUUCCAUACCAAAACUCUAGUUCUUAUGCGCAUCUUGUCAAUAAUGUUUUUUUUAUCCUAAGGAAAUUAAUUCAAUAUUUUAAUCAGUUGGUUGGUGCUUUAUCAUUGUCAAUUGACCAAUUUAUAUUUCUUGUCAACAAUUUUUUUAAAAUAUUCUGUACCUUCCCAAAAGUUUGCCUUGUUUUUUUUUUUAGAUAGAUAAUUCAAACACAUGAGGUAUUGCUCUAGCAUACAUUUGUUAUAUCAACUUUUGGAUAUUUAAUUUCACUUCAAACUGCAAUUUCAUGUCCAAUGAUUGCAAUAAGGUCAUUCAGCUUUUGCAGUUGUGAAGUAUUCAAAUUUCAAGCAUUUACAGUUGUCCUUGGCAACUACGUUUCGGUCAACUUCUUUUUAUUUAUUUAUGCAAAUGAGUAGUCACUGCAAAGUGCAAAUUAAUGACUUGGCCUUUUUUAUUAUUAUUUUACAAAGAUUAGAAUGUAACGGACUUGAGAUGUGUGCUGUUUCUCCUUAUUCUGAUAACUUGGCAUUGCAGGGUGGCUUUAUACUGGAUAUGGGUGUGCAUUUCAUAGCAGGACUAAGAAUGGUAUGUUAAUCAUGUUAUAUUGGGAUUAAUGGACCAGCUUAUGGCUUAUAUUAAUGUCUGCAACACUGUGGAGUUAAUAAGUAUUAUUAUAUUUUGAGGAUUUGACACUCUACAAUCUACACCAACAUAGGAUUAGAGGAAAUAUAAUGUUAGAAAUACACAACUGUUUCUACGAAUAUAGGUUAAAUUAGCUCAAAUUUUGCUAGUAAAGUGCACCAUCUAGACAUGUGAAGACUAGUAAUUCAUGCAUACAAGUGUCUUGCCAAGCCAUCUACUUAUGAAGUUGACAUUUUAGUUUACUUACAGCCAAAAGAUUUAAAAUCUAGGAUCCUGGCUGUGCUAGCUAUCAAUUGUAAUGUUUUUCGAACAGAUGGUUUUAGGCUUAAAACAGGGAUAUCUGGACUGCACUGAGUUUCUCAGUUUUCUGUGACUUUAUUUGAUUUUUUUUUAAAAAAAACAAUGCAUGAAUGAUUACUAGGUGAAACAGUUGAAAGAUAGCACAGAAACAAGAUAUGAAUAGUUAGAACUAAAGUGCUACAGCCAUUUAAUGCUGUUUUUUUUAGUAAAUCGCUGGUUAAGAUCAUGAAUGUGCCCAUCUGUUUUUCGUUCCAUACUUUUUUAAGAUGAUGAGCCCUUCUGUAACAGAUGGUUGGUUCAGAAAUAGCAACUGUAUCGUCUAUCUCCCGUCAUGUGGAUAAGGCUUUACCACCACCUGAUAACAUAUGUUCUCUUUUGUAAGUUUCUUAAUACUAAGUGGAUUUUGUAUUGGAAAGUUUUCAGAUCUUACAGAAUUUUGAUGUGUUGAUGCAGCCAGCUAGAAAAUGGAUGCGCUGGGGUCUUUGUGUUUGCAGUCAACUCGAGAACACCCAAGGUUAACUUAAAUAUUGUUUGAAAAGUUCUAUUGCAAACAUAUAAUGCUAUUAUCUUCAAUUUCUACGGCAUGAAGUUAACAAAAUAAUAUUUUUCUCCUCUCAGUUUUUGGUCUUGUUUUGAUGUUUAUAGAUAUUAUGGCGGGUGGAUGGAACUAGAGGAACAGUGCAAAUAGAACGUGGAAUUGCUAGUGGGAAGCAUGGGUACCAGGUAAAACCUCCUUUUCUAAAGUCAACAAUUUAUUAUUGCUUAUAAGCAAUAUUAAUGCAUUGGUUUUUUUUUAAAAUAAUUAUAUCUGUUCAAGCAAAGGUGUUCCUGAAGCACAAAUGAACAUCUUAAGUAUGAACCAUUUAUGCGUUUCAGGUUUUAUUCACCAAUGAAAAUGGGCAGUGCCAGACGACAUUUUAUCCAUUCUGUGGCGUGAAUGAAGAACUGAAGGCUUUUGUUCAUGACAUUGUGCAGGCAAACAAAGUAUUAUUAUUAAUUCUGAUAAAUUUCAAUUUUUAUUUCUUCUUCGAUGCAUCAUGGAACAAUGAUUUAGAUAUCUUGGGAUUUCCUUUGAGAACAUAUUAUGAUACCAUAUAGUCAACUUGCUCAUGGGAUGUUCUUCCAUUUAGAUCCGUAGUCCAGGCUUCAGAGAGUUGCCAUUGUGUGACUUGCUUCUUAAAACAUAUAAUAGUCCUGAAUAAUUUUACAGUACAUCCGUCGAACAUCUAUAACAUUUUCUCAGAUGCAAUUUAUAUUAAAACCACCAAAAUGUUAAAUAAUCAGCGCAUCUUCUUUGAAUCCCAUCCGAUUAUUAAAAUAUGAUAGGAUUUUGGUGCACUCCUGCUGACUCGCUGUUACUGCUUGGUCGUGCAGGAUGGGGAUCACAAGGCUGAACCCCGCAGUUCUUAUGUUGAAGGCGCACGGGAUGUCGCCGUUCUAGAAGCCAUGCUUGAAUCUAGUGCGAAGCAAGGAACCAUGGUCCAAGUGAAGAAAUUCUAACAUCCAUAAAAUUGUUCAAAAAAAGAGAGGGAAAUAUAUUCUUCAGCAAGUUGGUACGCCAAUUAUGUAGCUUUACUAAUAAGGAACAUUUUUUCCAAGUUCAUACAUACCAUUGAGAGUACAGCGUGCAAAUAGCAGUGUUUCCAGAGAACCAACUUUCUUUGACUCCAUACAUAUUUGUUGGCUUGUUGCCAUUGAUAAAUUGAUUAUUACACACCGAAACAAUGCACUUCGGCUUGUUCUGCACAGUCAAGUUGCCAUCCCAUGCGAAAAUCAGUCUUUCAGGUUAUAAGCCACAUUGAAAUUUUGAAAUAAAACUUAAUUUUGAAGUUGAAUUUGAUUUAUUUUUUCAACAUAGUUUAUUUUCCAACAUUCGCUUUUAAACUGCUAAUAUCACCUACAUGAAAGUGUUAUUGAUAAAUUAUUUUUUAGUUGCUAAUAAGCCAUCAUAUAAUUAGCGCAUAAGCGAAACGAUGACUUUGAGCUACCAGCUUGAUGGCCCCCGGUCGUAAUAAUAAUCUCCUGGUUUAGCAAAAGGCAAUAUCGGUAAGCUUUGUUUUGUACACAUGGGCCGGAGGGAGGUCAGUGAAGGUUAGUAAGCCCGGAAGUUGAUGAGCCCAAUCCACGAGAUGGAUAAACUUGCGUGGCUCUGUUCGUCGCAGUCGUACAUAGUGGUUUAUUAUUAAUUAUUGUUAUAUAUCUCCGUUCAAAAAUAUAAGAGACUUUACUUAUAGAAUUAAAACAUGUUUGAUAGAACUCUAGCUCUAGUGAAAAGGCAUGUAGCCUAGUGGUUGCAGUGACCUGAGUAGCACCUCAAGGUUUUGAGUUCAAAUUUCUAUAGGAGCGAAUUUCAGAUUAGGUUAUUUGAAGGCUAAGUUCCCUAUUUGAUAGACUAAGUUCCUAAAUUAAAAUGGCUGUAUAUAUCCGAUUGGAUAUAGAGACCGACCGGGUAAAAAAUACCCUUAUCUAAAAAAAGAUCCUAGCUUCUCUAAAAAAAGAUCCUUGCUCCAAACUUUAGUUUCAAUGGGAGCUAUCUCUUUUAGGAGCUGAGGUGCUUUUCAAAGUGUUUGAUGCUUUAAAAAUCCUGAAAGAGAGGAUAGGAGAGAGAGGUGGACAAUACUACCCUGGUCGUUUUUAUGUUUAUUUGAUGUAGAAUUAAUAGUCGUUAUUUUUCCUUAAUGAUUUGAACAUUAUACGUAUGGAAGGUUAAAAUUAAGUUAAAAUAAUUGGUAAUUAAAAGAUUGAUAAAGUUUAAGUUGUCUCAUGACAUAUAUGAAUAAUACAAAUGUUUAGGAAUAAUAACUAGUAGCAUUGCCAUAAAUGUAUUAUACUAUGGUAUAGGUGUAAUACGACCGGCUGGUCAUCAUGAAAUGCAUCUAUAGAUAUAUCACUUUGACUCUCGGUGGAUGUAUCUGAUGCAUCUUGAGAAAGGACAUGCCUCCUAAAUCUAGAUGGAAUGAUAGACACAUAAUCUGGAUUCCUUUCAAACACAUGAAAAUAUCUAUCUGGCACAUUAUAAAUGAAAUUAUGCAAUACCAAUGUUGCUGCCACAACCAUUUUUUGUUUCCACAUUUGAAAGCUAUGCAUUUUGUGGAGAACUUGUCACUUUAUCUUUCAUACACCAAAGCAUUUCUCAAUGAUAGUGCGCAAACUCAAGUGUAAGAAAUUGAAUUUUUCCUUCUCCCCACUUGGUGCUAAAUCUCUUCGAAAUUCCGAGACAUGGUAUCUUUGUCCCUUGUAUGAUACGAAAUACCCAGGACGAUUUGGAUAGUCAACAUCGAUAGGAUUAUUGGUAGCUGUUGAUAUGGUUCCAUGCCCUAAAGAUCAAUGAUUAGCAUCGGUAUUGUGAAUGUCUUCAAACAUCUUCUCAAGUAACUCCUCAUUUUGCAAGCCGACCUUCAUAAAUUUGGUACAACCUGCUAUGUCCUACAUGACAUAACAUUAUAAAAUAAGUUAGAACACUUCUUUUGGUUUGCAUUUGUUUAAUUUAACACCAUAUGAAUAAAAACUUACUGAUUUUAGUUGUUUCCAACGUGCAGCAAUAGUUGUGACUGCUUUCCUUGCAUCAUCCAAUCCCAAACCUGUUUGAGAUUUCAAUUUUUUUCAACAAUUGUACUCGAUCCUAAAUUUAUCCUAUUUGUCCUUAAUUUGAAGCCUAGUGUAUCUCAGCCCUAUCCUUGAGGCAAAUCGCUCAAUGACUUCAUCAUAACCCAGAAUUGGAUAAAUGAGUAUUUGGACGAUUACCUGUAGCUACUUGAUCAGCAAAAAUGUCACACACAACUCUAGUGUUGUAGUCAUUCCAAUAAGAAGAAUCAAUGGGUAUUUUAACACCCUUCGAUGGCACAUUUUGAGCCAUGCCUGCCAUCCACUCACACCAUAGUUUACAAAAUUCAGAUAAAGGUUCAGAGUGCACUAAUGUAAUUUCACAUGGUCUAUUAAAGGCAACUUAGAGUAGACUUGAUUAGUCAGGCUGACUUAUACGUAUACCCAAUAGACCCAUACAGAUGCAUACUACAUAUAAAUAUAUACCUAUAUAAUUUUUGGCCAAAUUAUAUACGAAAGAACACUGAAAUGACCGUCUUUUUCUCUGAAUACAAGUAUAUGCAUGAAUCAAUCAGAAAUAAUCCAUGGUGCAUACAAAUCCUAAAGAAACAUGCUUUUACAUUGUGUGCAGAUACAUUGGUAUUAGUACUUCGCAUGGUACAUCACAGAUCUAGUAAUUUCACUCUUGUUCAUUGCAUAAUACCAAAGUAAUCAACUCUAAAAAAAUAAUUCAUCCCACAGGGAUCAUGCACAUUUCAAGCCAAGAGUUGGGGGGGACUUAUAGAGUUUGAGGAGGGGAUAUCGUAUGGGACUGGGGGGUGGUGGGGCCUAAAUUCCUCGCGCCUCCACUGCCGUGCACCUCCCCCCGCGUCUGCAGCAAGGGUCACUUCCAUCAAGAAGGAUAGGAGAGAGAAGAGACAGGAGGGGGAACCUGCUCGCCACCUCCACCGAUGCGCUGUCACCGCCGGUGCACCGCCGUCUCCAGUGCGCCGCCUCCCCUCGUGCUUUUUAACUGGAACCACGCACUCCUCUUCACUUACGCAUGAGACAGUGACGAGGCGAAGGGAUACAGGGAGUGGGGAGGCGGAGGGAUGGAGGGGGUAGUUGGAUGGCAUUUGCGAGCAAUUUUGGUUCAAGUGUGGGGCUAUUUCUGAAAUCCUAUUGGAGUUAGAGUUGUGGAGCGAUCGGAAUGCCGCUCCACACCGCUAGUUCAUUUUUGUGCAGCAUCUGGCUUGCUCCGCUCCAUUUUUUUUUUUGGAGCUGGACCGUUUGGUUAGGCUCCAGCUUGAUUUGAGGUGAAUCUAGAAGUUAGAGCUACAUCAAAUAGGCCCUUAUAUGGACAAAAUCCUUUAGAGAUACCUGCGUGGCUGCAUGGCUCGGUUCCAUGGUAGCAGCUCUGGGUCUUAGGAUGUACCACCUAGAAUAUUUGCUUUACUCCACUGUAGGUCCUAAAAUUCGGGUUCUGUGUGUGCUAGUUGGUUUCAUCCUACAACCAACAAGAUAAUCAAGGCAAAUGUAGAUGACGAUGGCCAAACGACUAAAAAGCCGAUUAAAAAUCGUACCGUUCAGCCGAUGCCUAAAGAAUUGGCUAUACCCAAAAAGAGUAUAAUGUAUACUAUGCAUUGACAAGAUUUAUAUUGAAUAUAAUUGUAAAUAAACUUCCUUUAGUAAAAUCAAUCGUCGAACCAAAUCGAUGUAGCAUAAACUUCCUUUAAUAAAAUCAAUCUUGAUAGGUCGAACCAAAUCGAUGCAGCAUAGGAUUGAUAAUAAUAAAGUCAAUGAUUGUACAAUUAUACGAUCUAAAUGACUAGUUGAUGUACAAGAUAAUAUGAACAAAACCAAGAUAACAAUGAUCGGCUGAAAGGUAAAAUAUCAUGCAUUUGUUAACUCAAUCUAUCUCUAGUACAAGCGACCACAAUAGAUCGGACCUAACCGAGACAAUAUCAGCUGUUGGUAACAAAGAUCAGAUAAAUUAAUAAUUAUAUGAUUUAAACAAUAGCCGAUAAAGUUACUUAAGUUGAUUGGUUACAAAGCUUGUAAUUUUGUAUUGAGUUCUUGUUUUUUCCUUUGUAAAUAACUCUCUAUUCUUUAUAAAAAUUACACUACUGGGCUUAACCUGGUGAUAUUCCCUUUCAAAAAAGUUACUUAAGUUAUAGGUAAAUAAUGUAUCGGCUAUAGCUCCGUUACAACCCUAUUUAAAAAUAUCAAAUUUAAUCAAAUCUAUUAAACAAAUCAUGUUCUUAGCAGAUCAGACCCAACCGAGGCAGUGCAAAACCGAUAACAAGCUUAAUAGAUUUAAAUGUAUAAUACAAUUAAAUAAGUUAAUAGAUAUAAUGGAACAAGUAAAGACAAACAUGCAAUCUUACACUAAGAAUUGUUAUAUUAGGUAAGAUCUGCUGAAACUCCAAUGCAAUCUUAAACUAAGAACAGUUAUAUAAGGUACCCAACCCCUAUCGGCAAUUAUAGAGCAAGUUAGUUCUUACAAUUUUAACUUAGUAGAUCAAACCUAACUAAUGUAGACCAAGUUAAAAUUAAAUUUGAUAGAUCUAAUCGAGUCGAUAAUUGUUAUUUAGGGUAGUGGAUACACCAAUCAAUCUAAGAUAACAAACUUGUUUAACCAGUAUCGGCCUAAUCAAAGUGCAUCGGUUGAUAAGAAUAAACAAUGCUGUUAACUUAUAUUAAAUAAUAUAUAUGAUAAAUAACGCUUGCACUGGCUAGGAUAAAGUAUCGGGCCCAACCGAGGAAGCCUUAACCCCAUUGGUGCAAGUGAUAAAGACAGAACUCACCUCAUCGUCGGAGAACGAACACAAUCGACGCAGCCUAACUCGAAAAUAAGAACUCGCCGAGAUAAACUAGGGUGGCGAUAUGUUGAAAAUUGUAUUAUUGAACUCUUAUUUGUUUUACAAACACCAUGGGUGUACAUAUUUAUAUCCAUAGGUAAAACUAAGUCUGACUCUAUUAUGAUCAGAUCAAACUAAAACUCUAUCUAUAAUUUAAGGAAACUAUUAUAGACUCGGACUUUUAUACAACUUGUAUCAACAAAACAUUACCAAAAUAUAUCUGAGUCUGAUUCUAACACGACUCCAUCGGCCCAGGACUUUAUUAUUAUGACACACUUUCCUUAUCCCACAAACUUAGCCAAAUCUUGAACAAAAUCCAUCAAUCAAUCCCCUAAUAUCAUGGCGUGAAGAUCUUCUUUGACCCGGUUUUGACUAACGAAAUUGCCAAAUUUCAUCGUUAAUAAUAUCUUAAUAUACAGCCUUGGUUUGGUGGCAUCUAUCGUGUUAAAUCCCACCAAGUUUUAUAUAUUUUUUUGGCCUUGUUAGUUUUGCCAUCAAGUUUAGUGAUGAUUUGAUGAUCAUGUGUCCUAUUUUGCACUUUUACCCCACUAAAUGACAAUCAUACCCCCUUUCCUCCUCUCCUCAAGCUUCCGCUCUGUGCACACUUGGCCAUACACCCAUACCCCCAAGCUAUGGUUCCCACAACAAUUGCACCGUUGCCAUCAUACGUCCCUAUAUAUGCCUGUUGUAUUAAAAUCUAUCGGCCAUGACUGUGGUGAGCACAAGUACUAAAGUAUAGUGAGCAUUGUUCGUGAAAUUCAUAAAAUAGAGUUAGAAACAAUGUUUAUGAUGGUUAUCAUUAAUUGUUAGACAAUGAAUUACAUAGUUGCUUUUAAUUAAUCAGAGUUUCCUUAUGUUUUAAUUUGUAUGCACUCUACAUUUGGAAAAUUUCGCAUAAUUGUAAGAAAGGUGUUCAAACCAUUUGUUGUGUUUGGAAAAUAUUUGAAUAGAUCAUGCUUUCUUGAGGACCUUGCUUGUACUCGUUCCAUCUCUACUACCUUGUCAAAACUGAAAAGUACUGCUGAGCAAAUAUGUACGUUAAACCUUUAAUUUAAUAUACCAUGAUGGUAGGAGAUCUCCCACUAUAUAUUUCCCCAUAUAAAAAUUAUAUAUGCAAAACUAGUAUUCAUAUGCUGUGUUGUAUAAAGAGCCUAGUGAGGUAAAUUUCCUUAUCACUGUUGCUUUUCUUUUAGUUUGAAUAUAGCUAGUUGGCAAGUUGGCAAGGUGUUUGUAGUAACAGUAAAAUGUUAGUUACAGUCUGACCCUGAAUAGCAAGCUGCCCUUGCCAUGUCUUGGACUAAGUUUUGUGAAGAUAUUGACUUCCCUAAUUUCUUAUGGAGAGCAGUUGUAAUUAUGUCAGCAAAGGUUGGGCUUGGGCUUUUCAGUGUGCAAGGGAACAUAUAUAAAUAGGAGUUUUAGAGAAGCAAGUCUAUGCCUUUCCCUUAAGCAUAUAUAGUACAAUGCAGUAUGGUCUUAAUUCUCUCUUUAACUUUGAAUGCUUCCUUAUAUUUUAUUGCUGAUCUUGAGCGAGUUCAUGUAUGGUUGUUUAACUUUGAACAGCAAGCUGACUUUCUACUUAAUUUUUUGUUUCAUUACCGGUAAAUUUGUGUUCUCUUGUAUGUUCCACCAUGCUUAAACUUAAAACUUUGUGUGCUACUCCCUCUGUCCAAGAACAUACGCAUAUUUUGAUCGGUUGAGAUGGGAAAGUAUGUAGGGAAAUUAAAUGAGAGAUGGUGGUUAUUGGUUGUGAUGAUCAAAACAGUUGGAGAAGUACGCUUGUAUAUUUCGUCGUAGGAAGUAAUUGGUUGUGAAUUUACUGUCGUGUAGACACUAGCUAUGACGUCUUGUUGUGAGCUAGAAAGUUACAGAUACAAUAGUCAUGGCUCCAAGGGGUCUACUACUUGAAGGCUAGGAGAGACAAUGCCUCAAUGAUUAAUAUUGCAAUUUCGGUAAUUUUGGACCCAAACGGCAAAUCAAUAUAUCAACCAAAAUUUUUGGUUUUUCUAAAAUUUUUGUUGAAGUUGGUCAAAGUUUAUUCAAAUUCAAUCAAAAUAUGUCAAAAUUUCAGACAAUUUUGGUCCGAAAAGUGCUAAAAAUUCGUAAAUUUUGGUCCUACCGAAAUCACCAAAAUUUUUGCUGAAAUCGAAAGUGUAAACUCUGCAAUGCCUUUUGGUGGCAGCUAAUGAUAUACUCAAAAGUACAUUUUGAUCUUAUGGAGUACAUUCAAUAUUUCUAUAUGCGUGCAGGGACCUCCUUGCAAAAGAAAUUACUGGGAGGUGUGACCCAUAUGUUUUGGCAAUUAGAGCACCACUCCACACUUCGAAAAGAGUACUAACCCAAAGUGGAACGAUGUCUUUGCCUUCUCCAAGGAACAAAUCCAAUUCUCCUAUGUUGAGGCCAUUUUCAACGACAAAGACUUUGCUAAGGAUGUUUUCACUGGGCGAGUUGUGCUUAACCUUAAUGAAGUUGCAAAGAGGGUUGCAUAUCAUAGCCCCUUGGUGCCACGCUGGUGCCAUCUAGAUGGUGACGAGAAUGGGGAAACUAAAAGGAGACUUAUGUUAGUUUUUUUAGGUGGGUACGCAAGAUAAUUUCCCAGAAGCAUUGCAAUCUAAUGAGUAAUGCCGAAAUUGUACCUAGAGAUGGUCAAGCAAGCAUGGGGCCUAAGGUGUAUCAGACUCCUAAGCUUUGGUACAUCAUGUUGAUGCGAAAAACACACACUGGCCUGGGAGAUCUGCUUAGCUCUAGUGCAGGUCCAAGACGUUUAUGAGAUGCGGGCGUGCCAGUCAGUUUGAUCCUGCAACUAACAAGAUAUACAAACAACAUAUCAAUGAGCCAAUCGGCGACAAGCCGAUGGAGUAGUUUCAGUCGAUGCCGAUUCCAGUUGAUAGCGAUAGGGUUUUGAACUAUCGGCUAUAUGUCCAAUGUAGAUAAUGAUGCAAAGACAAUCGGCUGAUGAUAUUAAAAUAUAACAAUAAUAUAAUCCAAUAGAAACCAAUCGGCUAACAAUGACAUGAUAGAAUAAGCACUGAUCCGAUGGUUAAAGCAUACAUCGGCUGGAGGUCCGAUGUCAUAAAAUCCACAAGAUUAGAUUAAACGAUAAAAUCUUUGUUGCGAUCGGCUAAAUCCAAUAUGUAUACAAUUCUUAUAAGCCGAUGCAAACGUCCAGAUAACUCAUCGGCUGAAACCCCGAUGAAACCCUUAUUGGCAGUCAAGAAGCAGGCUAGAGAUUAUGGUUCUAAGCACGACUUAGUAGAUCAAACUUAACUGAUGCAGCACUAAGUAUGAAAAGGAACAUAAUAUCUACACAAUCAAGCCGUUGACUGAGUUUUCAGAGUGGUAGAUGCCUAAGCUAAUCUAAUCUAGCAACACGAUUUAGUCGAUACCGGCAGAAACCCUAAAACGAGAAGCAACCGAUAGAACUAAAUUGAUAUGCUAAGACUAGAUUAACAGAGACAUAUGAUAAAUAGGUAGGCAAAUAUAUCAUCCAAACCAGAGAAAUCCAAGAGGUCGAAUGUACUGAUGCGCCGACGUAAACGAUACAAUUGCCUGGGCCGGCAGAACAUUGGACUUACCCCUUCGCCGGAGAUCGAACACUGAUGCAGCCCCACGUUAGGCGCCAAGUCCCGCCGGACGAUAAAAUAAAGUAGAAAAGGUAAAAGGCGGCGAUGCGUCGAAUUGUAUUGAUCGUCGAGAUAGAUUACAAUGACACCGGGUGUACAUAUUUAUACCCAUGGGUAGAUACUAGUCCUUGUAGGACAAGAAAUAAACUUUCCUAAAGAUAAAAAGAAAACACAAAGUCCUUAUCGGACACUAAACAUAUUUUCUUAAAGAUAAAAGGAAACUAACAAACUAUUCCUAAUUAAUAGAUACACUUGACAUGCCGCAUUCUCUUUGAACUCAGUCUCCUCUGGAUAAGCUUCCUUUAGUAGAUCAAUUUCCUUAACCGAAUAUAGCAAGAAUCCGACAAUUGACGACUUGGUAACUCUGAUCGGCUAAUCUCAGGACUUCGAAGCCGAUGCUGACUUUAAGCCGAUGAUUACUCCGGGCUUACCAAAUUUCACUGUUAACACAUCAAAAUUGAUGUUAUCAAGUCACAAGAUCUGAUUAGGAUUUACUAUUUUAUAGUUUUUUUAAAAAAAUAGAGAUUUGAAAUGAAAAUUUUCACAAUGGAAAACCUAGAAAAUAAACUAGAAUUUGGAAUAGAAUCCAGAAAAUAAAAUAAAAACCACAAGCUGGAAACACACGUUUUCCAUAUUCUCAUUAGCUACCAUUCAAAAUCCUAGAAGAGGGUGUUUGUGAGUGUGUUUUUGUCUUUUUCCCAUUAUAUUUUCCUUGUAAUACCUUCUCCUUUAUUUCUUGAUUAAUGAAUGAUACACAUAUCUCCUCAGUGUUUAGAAAAAGAAAAUCUUGAGCUCCGCCAAUAAAAUAUACAUGGGCCGAGGCAUCCUAGCUAGAUUCUGCCAAAGGCUUAUGUUUGUUAUUCUCAACUUCUUUCAGAAGGCUUGAGAUAUUGUGCUAAAAGAUCUUAAUUAGAUUCUUGUUGCAUAGUCUAUUGUAUGCGAUUUGAUGCUAGAUUAUUUUGGAUUAGUGAAUAGUAUUGUGCAUUAUUGCAAACUUUGAAUGCAGGGUUAAUCUUCUUUCGUAUUUAUUGUCUGUGAUUUAAUGUUGAUGCUUCCUUUGUUUUGGAGUUAUAUAUUGAGAAGUGGAUCUAUUAUUUGUUGCAUGAUCUUAGUUCUAUCUGCCUGUGGUGGAAAUAGUGUCUAUUCCUGUGAAUGGAUUUUUUUCCUUUCAUCAUCAAUGUAACUAGGAAAGUAGUGUUUGCAUUGUCUAGUCAAAUAGAUCCAUAGUUUCAUCCAUUACCCAAAAAAUCCAUGUUUGCAGUGUUAUACUUAGUGCCAUGUACUAUUAUAUUUGCAUAUUUGGUAUUUAAGGAAUAGUUGCAGAGUACCUAUUACCCAACAUGCAUCCUAGCAAUGAAUGGUGAGAUCUUAUUGUACACAUCUUGGUAUUUGAGAUUCUUUUUCUCCUACGUAACAUUUUUCCAAAUUAUGUAGACCGCAAGAAAGUUAAGGAACUGCGUGGUAUAUGGAUUGGGUUAUGACCUUUGUGGAACUUCUUUUUAGAUUUUUUAGUGUACAUACUAAUAUCAUGUAAGUAACAUCAUGAUAAGAAUUACUAGUAGGAGUAACAAAUUUAUUAUUCUUUAAUUAAUAUAUGAUGUGCAAGAUGCACAACUAGUGCAAGUAGAAGCUCUGAGUGACAUUGACACCAAAGGCCAAUUUAAGAAAAAUGAGAACAACUAUUUGACUUUUAGCCUAAUUUACUUGAUAAUUUGUGCUGGAAAGGGACAUCAAGUUUUAUUCCUUUGCUAUUGUAUCUGAGGAGUCAAUGUCUAAGAUUAUUUUAUUCUUGGGCACCCCUUUUGCUGUCAUAAUGUCAAAGGGUGAAAAAAAAAUUGAGUGAACUGCUUUGGAAGGACAAAAGAUUGCUUUUAUUUAAAUGAUAAAUCAGCUGUAGAGAACUAGAGAUAUCUCUAGGACACAUUUGGACUUGUAAUUUAAAUCUAAUUCUUUAUAGUUCUAUAAUUUACUUGCAUCAGGUAAUUCUAUGAACUUCUUAAUUGUGCAAGUCUAGUGUUUGUGUCAGUUUUAGUGAACCGUUUUUACGGAGUAGUGACUUUUCUAACUUCAAUUCCCCAAUAUCAUUUUCGUUAGUUUUAGUUGAAAUAUAUUUUAUCUUUUACUUAUAUCCUAAAAUGUCUAUACACUUUUAAAGAUCAGUAUAUGAUUUAUUAGAAGACUUAUUUACAUGAAUUUACAGUAAAAGGUUGUACACGCUUGAUGCUCUCAAACGCCCUUGCAUGUAAAGCUAUUACGGAAUAAUUGCAAAAGUAAUUUAUACUCGAUGAAUUGUUCGGGCUAACUAGUUCCCAGCAGAACACUCUCUCAAGUGAUAAAAUUUAAUAGUUAGUUACCAUGAAACUUAAAGCUGAACUCAUUAAUUAGAUUCAUGGCAUAUUGCCCCUUUCCUUAUUUUUCGUUAGCACACUUUUCAAACUAUUAAAAUGUACGUUUCACAUUUUCAUGUGAAAGCUUUAUAUAGAAGUUACUUUUAAAAAAUAAAUCUAUUUUCUAAGUUUUUAAUAAUUAAUAUUCAAUUAAUCAUAUGUUAAUCAUGUUUAUCGUUUUGCGUACGGUUAGUCUAAUGUUUCCAAACGACACUUUAGUUGCCAGUUUUCAAUAGAAGUGCUCUUUCAGGGAAAACUAGUGCUAAACGGCAAAAUAACGGAUGGAAGGCCUUGUCAUUACAAGGAAAUCAUCCUCUGUUUUGUUUGCGAUUGAAUUAGGAAAGAAUAUGUGAUCUAAAAAUCUCCCCUUAUGUUUUACAGUUAUGCAAUGCACAUACAUUACCUUAACGCUCAUGAGCUUCCUUGAUCUUCAUCUCUAAUAUUGCCUAGCAUUAUGACAAAGAGGUAAAGUAAUUAACUAACCAAGGUACUCUACAGCUGUUCCUUAAACAAAAUUUACCUUGCAAAUGCUCUCAAUUUAAUGGAUCCAAUGCACAAAUACAUACAUACUAAAUCAGCUACAACAUUGAUUAUAGAAAUUUGACAUAUACUAAAUCGGCUACAACUUUGAUUAUAGAAAUUUGACAUAUACUAAAUCAGCUACAAAUUUGAUUAUAGAAAUUUGACAUAUACUAAAUCAGCUACAUCUUUGCAUAUACAAAUCUGAGAUACAAAAAAGGAAAAACUUUUGGUCUGUUGAAUUUUUCUAGAGACACUUUAAAAAUCAGCUGCAUUGACCGGAUUCUUGCUGAAAUUAAUGCUACCAUCUCUUCAACACCAGUUACAUAUACAUACAAACACAGCAUAAAUGGCAUGCAAGUUGACUGAUUUUUACAACAGGACAAUUCAGCUGAUUUAUAGCUCUCUCCGACCCUUGUAAGACUUCUGCAAGAGUCAAAGAGUCUCAUGCUUUUCCUGCAUCAACACAAAGGAUGCUUUCUCAUGCAUCCACACCAUAUAUUCAUCAAAAGUUGUACAAAACCUUGUACACAUAUCUAACAGAAAAAUAGCUGAUAAAUCGAUUGGAGUACUGUAAGAAGGCAAUAUCUAGUUUGGAAACCCUUAGAUCAAAGUGUGCUUGGUAUCAAUUUUACUAAUAAUCUUACAUUGCUAUAAGUCUCAUAUGUCUUGCAUAUUAGCAGCAUCCUCUGUUGUAUCGAUCUGUUUAAUUUCUACAGAGAACUUUUCAAGUUGAUUUUAUCUUUUGUACAUGUUGGUAAAUUGAGGAAUUAUAUAUGGGAUGCAUGAACCAUGCAUGUAUUUAGAUUAUAUUAUAUAAUUCUUUUAUAAUUUGACACUAGUGGGUAUUUGGAUAGGCACAUGAACAAGAAUACUUUAUGGCUCAAGUGUACCUCUAUCAACAUAUAUAACUAAUUGCACCAAAUUAAAGUUCGUCUACCUUUUACAAUCAAAUUACCAUUUUAGCAAACAUUAUCAUAGCUUGUCAUAUAUAUGUCAUUAAUAAUCAUAUGUAACCAUGCUCAUUUUCAAAUCUUUUGUUCAUGGCAAUGCACACGUAGGACAUACAGGUAACAAAGAAAUAUUGAUGCAUAUAAAUAAUUGUAUAUUUUAAGACACUAUUCAGAUUCACAUAAUUACAUACGUAAGUAUGUCGUAAAUGAUCCUACCUACAUGGAUAUCUCGAUAUAUAUGCAGUUAUUACAACUCGAUCAGGUGUUCGAGAUACAAGUCAUAAUUAGUGAAACGCGAGCUGCGAGCUAUAUUUGAUCACAUUUAACACGACCCCGUAACAACAAAAUAGCCUCCCAACUUCGUAGGAACGGAGCCACUGACAUUCGAGCCCACUUUUAGUGAGAGAUAUAUAUGGCCAGGUGAGUAAGCUUACCUCCCCACAAGCUUCCAAAUGACACAUAGACCUGGUAUUUUUCACACCUCUCUUUAUCUCUCUCUACCAUCUUCUCUUAAAAGUCUCCUUUCAAGUUCUUGGUCAAAAGGUGAGGGGAGAAGGGGAGGAGAUUUUAGGUGACAUCCAAACGAAAAGCUUCAGCCCCCUUCUUUAUAGCCUUUUGUUACAAGUAUAAAAACAAGGGUGCAAACAGAAGUCAGUUUUGCCAUUAAUGUCUGAUUUUGUAUCUUUUGCUAGCAAGAGGGGAUGUGCAUAGUGUGAGGAGAGAGAGGUACAACAAGAAGAGAGAAAUUAAGAGAGCAGUAGUAGAGGUGUGCUGCAGGAGGAUGGUCAGGGCCUUCAUAAGGGCUUCAUGGGGGGCUCCAGAGAGGAAGAUCGUCAGCACCACAAUCACCUCCCUUCUGAGCUCCCCCUCGGCUUCCGGAGCUCCUCACCGACGACGAUGAUCGCCUCUUCCUCCAUGUAAGACAAGAUGUUUGUUUGUUUGUUGCUGAAUUAUGCUACUAGCCAUGAAGCUAAUUCAGAGUGUUCCUCGUUUAAUUUGCACCUUCUUCAGAGCCCUGCUGGUGUUUUAUCCAUCUUCAGUUGGUUUCUUGUUUCUUUAGAAUAGGAAUUUGAAAAUUCCAAGCUGAUUUAUGGUUUUCUUCUUACCCUUUUGGUUUCUUGACAUGCAUCUUUGCUGAUUUUCUCUGCUACUUCAAAGAGAUUGAAUCAUUCUUCUGCUAUUGGGGUUUAAUUUUCCAUUGAUUCUUCUUCUGCCGUAGAGGUUUUCUCAUCAUGUAUCUUGCAUCUCGCGUCAAGUUUGAAUUUUUAAUUAAUUGUUUUCCAAAAUUCAACCAUGGACAUAUGGGGAUAAUUAGAGAAAGACACGCACAAGCCCCAUCAGGGAUCACCAUAUAAGAUAGUUUAUUGGUUAGUUAGGGAUCAUGGAAAUUGUUUAGCCAUGGGCUAAGAUAAGGAGAGAAGCUAGACAACAAAUCACCAAAUACUAGGAUAUAUUUCUUUUCUUUGUAUCUUUCAACAAGCAACAAGUAGCUAGAUCAGAGAUGGUUUUUAAUGGUCUUCACAUACCGACUCUUCUAUCUGCUCCAUUAAACAAAAAGUUGUACUCCUCCUACUUGCUUUCUAAUGUGUAUGCAAUAUACCUACUGAUUCUUGCUUGUUUCACCUUCUAAUUUCCUUUCUAGGAGCAAGGAAUCGAGCAACUACGACAUGGCCGAUUUCGAUCAAGCUUCGCUUUUUCUCUACCUAGACAGUCAUGAUCAACAAUCCAUCCAAGAACAACGACGUACGUUACCGCGAAAAACCUGAUACUUACCCAGCUUCUUUUUCCUCCCAAAAUACACUGAUGAUGAUGUGUAUAUAUGUGUUAGUAAUUCCCUUUUCCUUUUUCCAUUUCGUACACCAUAAUGUUUUGUCCCCUGCCUUUUCCUAGGAUAUACGUGCGUGUGUGUACAUAUAUAUGUAUGGAUGUAUCUCUGAUUCUUUUUCUUCUGAUUCAUGUGUUUUUCUUGUGUUAAUUUUUGUUCUCUUUUUCUUCGGAUUUGGUAUUUCUUUCCGGUGUGAGGAGUGUGACAUGUAACAGACUCUCUGACGAUGACCCUCUCUCUCUCUGCAAAGAACUUGAUCUUAAAGAAGCUAUAAAUAUUCCUUCUUUCCAUUUCUCCCCCAUUCCUUUCCAUUUCCAAGCUUCUCAUGUACUCUACUGAAUCAUAGCCCCAGAAGCAUCCCUUCCAACUGUUGUUAUACCACCAGUACUACCUGUUGUGUCCUUUCUCUCACCGUGCAUAUAUGCCAGACAUGGAGUGAGAAACAUAUCUAGAGAGAGAGAUUUUGUAAACAUGUACUCCCUCCAUUUCGAAAUAUUUGACACCAUUAACUUUUUAGCAUAUGUUUGACCGUUCGUCUUAUUUAAAAACUUUUGUGAAAUAUGUAAAAUUAUAUAUUUAACAAUGAAUCAAAUGAUAGGAAAAAAUUAAUAAUUACUUAAAUUUUUUGAAUAAGACGAACGAUCAAACAUGUGCUAAAAAGUCAACGGCGUCAAACAUUUUGAAACGGAGGGAGUAAUUAAUAAGCAGUUUUACUGAAGCAAGAGUAGCUUAGCCUGAACUACUUUCCAGAAGCUUCCUAAAAGUACUGAACCAAAUAGCCUUUCUGAAUGCUUACAUAUGCACAUUAGUUGCUUGCUAAUUGCAUGGUUUAAUUUGCAGAAACUCUGAACAUCUUCCCUUCCCAGCCGAUGCAUGUAGCCGACCCAGCUCAUGAAGCAAAGGUACGUGUGUGUGCAUGCAUGCAUGCAGAUCGAUUAAUUCUUGGACCACAUGUGGAGUACUAGUUUUUAGUACUAGUUACUGUCUUCUGAAUUUUGACAUGUAUAUAUAUGUUCAGAGUGCUGGGGUAGCCAUGGCCAUGCUUCCCAAUGGCAACCAGCUGCAGGUUCUUCCUUCUCAUCCCAGCAAGAAGCCUGAUCAGCAAGGUGGUCAAAAGAUUAAUUCCAGUGUCCCUACUAAUCCACCUGGCCCUAAUCUUCCCUUGCCUAACUCUGCCAAGGAUAACAAGAAUAGUAGCCUCAUUAAGGUAUUCAUCUCUCUCUCUCUCUCUCUCUCUCUCUCUCUCAUAUCAUAUUUUUUAGACAAUGGAUAGAAAUAUGGCUAUAUAUAUGCUGCAUAUAUAUAUGUAUAUCCUUUUUUUUUCUCUGUGUGUCUUCUGAAGGGGCCAAAAAAAUGUGGCUUGCAGAAGGAAGGAAGCAGCAGUGGGAAGGGUGCAACAACAUCCAAUGAUCCAGAAAGAGAAGGAAGGAGGACACUAGACCCUAAGGUUAGUGAGUCAAUCAUUCAUCCAUCCAUCCUUUGAUACAUUUCAUGAUCUCUCUCUCUCUGCAGGACUUCAACAGCACACAAAAGUGCAUAAGAAAGUAAUUAGGAGGUUGAACAGUCACUGUCUGCAGGAAAUAACCUGCAUAUUUUAUGACUUUUUUUGAGCCUGACAACUUAAUUGUGUGAAUAUGUGUGUAUGUAUAUGCACAUGCUGCAGACACUGAGGAGGCUUGCACAGAAUAGAGAGGCAGCAAGGAAAAGUAGGCUUAGGAAGAAGGUGAGUGGGUCAACCAAGAAACUCAACAGCUUAUUAAUUCAAGCUAGAAAGGAAUCUCUCCUACAUGUACUGUUUGUGUGUGUUUUUGUAUAUAUUUGUGUUUGCAGAAACGUACAAUACUCUAGGAAAAGUACAAACAUAUCUCUUAACAAUAAUGUUAAUAUAGAUGACAUGUAUAUGUUGUUCACGCAAGUGUUCCCAAUAUGUAUUUUUGUUAUCAACUUUAUUUUGUUUGCUACAUGCAUGCAUGGAGUGCUAGCUCGCGAUUAAAUGUACUGACCGACUUUGUGAUGUAGUUGUUUUUGGCUCUUUCUUUGGGACUUAUGUGCUGAAGGAUAUACUUAUUUUUACUAGCUUUAAUGUGAAUUUGACCGCCCAACCAAUGCAAGAAACAUUAUCACUUUUCAUAUGUACAUUUCCAAUUUCUUUAUGGUCUCAGGUGUGAAUUAUUAUGAUGGUACUGGCUAUUUGAAACAUGCAUGAGUCUUAUAUUAAGAAUAAUGCCCAUGAUUUUUUUAUGUACCAUCCUUUAAUAAUUAGUUAUCAUCUAAAAAAAUCCAUUAAUUGGCCAGAAAAAAAACCAUCAAUUAACGUGUCAGUAGAAUUUAAGUUAGUAGCAGUUUCUUUUAAAAAAAUCGUCUCCGAUAUUUCAUAUAUUCGUUUUAUGGGCACGUACAAUAACAAAUCCAUGGUUUCUGCUAAAAUUGGAUGUGGAUUUAUGCUAUUUAUAUUGAUGAGUAUAUAUAUAUACAUUGCUUUAUUCUUCAGGCUUACAUUCAGCAGUUGGAGUCAAGUAGGAUUAGGCUAAGCCAGCUUGAACAACAAGUUCACGUGGCAAGAGUACAGGUAAAAAGCUAGGCUUGAAAAUGUCUAAUUAUUAACGAAUUAAUUAUAUCUCCCAGUAUAUUUUUUGGAAACUUACUUCUUUAUUUUCUUCUGAAAAAUAUUUAAUUUCUGGCCUCUACAUAUAUUAUGCAAGUCCUGACAAAUAACUACUAUAUAUGAUAUUUCAGGGUGCUAUGCUGGGUGCUGGAGAUCAGCACCAGGGCCUUCCUUCUGGCCCUUCAGCUGGUAAUGAGACACUCCAACCUAUCUCUCUCUCUUUUUUUUUAUCAGUUACUUCCUCCAUUCCAAAAGAUUGCAACUUUUAGAUACCUGAACAAGUAUUUUUAUAAUUAAAAGUUACUAUAUUUUGGAACAGAUAGAGUACUCAAUUUUAUUACAAUUAAGGAUAUGCCUCUAUAAUUUAAUUAAACAGCAUUAAUUUUAGUAACAACACAAAUCCCGUAUUCGAUUGUUUUCCUUCGUAAAGUUUUUCUCCUGCUUUAUUAAUAUAAUUGGCAGUUUUUCGGCUGGUUCGUUUCGAAAAAGAACACAAAUAAUUAAUAACUAUCUCAUUGUGAUGAGCAUAUAUGCAGCAUCGUUGUUUGACCUGGAGUAUGGGAGAUGGGUGGAGGAGCACAGCAAGCUGAUAUUCCAGCUGAGGGCAGCCCUGAACGAGCAGAUGGCGGACAGCCAGCUGCAGGUGUUCGUCAACGGCGCGAUGGCGCAGCACGACGAGCUGCUGAGCCUCAAGGGCGCCAUUGCCAGGGCUGACAUCUUCCAUCUCCUCUGUGGCGUCUGGGCUACCCCCGCCGAACGCUGCUUCCUUUGGCUCGGUGGAUUUAGACCCUCUGAGGCCAUCAAGGUAUAUAUAUAUAUAUAUGGUUGUCAAACAUUAAAUUAUUAUAUUGCUGCUGAACCAAUUAAAACGUAUUCCCUUCGUUUUUUAAUACAGUACAUAUUUGAUAAUUCAUCGUAUCUAAAAUAUUUUUGUGCAAAUGCAUAAUAUAUAUAAAUCAGGCUUAACGUACUUUUACUGGUUAAACAACUAACAAAAAAAUAAAUGAUAAUUACGUAAUGUUUUGAAUAAGACAAAUGGUCAAAAGUUAAUGCCAUCAUCUAUUAAAAGAUUGAGGUAGUAUAAGUCGUACGUAAUUAUAUGCAUGUAGGAUCCUAAACAGAUAAGAGUAGAGAUUUGGGUCCAGUUUGCGUUGCUACUGAUAAAUCAGCUUUUUAUAUAAAAAGACAAUUCAAUUUGGCUGAAUCAACUUUCUGAUCAAUAUGUAUUCCCAAUAUAUACCAUGAUAUAUACGCAACAGUUCAUAAUGUGCACCGUACUCUCCAGUUUAUAAACAAGUUCACAAACAUUUGUAUUUAAUUUUUUUGAGAAAAAAAAACAUUUCUAUUUCUUCUGCACCUUUAAUUUGUGUAUAUGCACAGAUCUUCUGUUAGAUAAGAUUUUGCAUACGUAUAUAUAUGUUGGUGAUGUUUUAAAAUGUGGAAUUAUACGAGAGAUCGAACAAAAAAAAAGGAGUAUCGAGUAGUAAACCAUAUAUAGUUGCACCAUUGGCAUGCAUAGAAACUAUGAAAUAUAUAUGGUUGGUCCCUCAUAGUAUCUAUCCACGAAAAACAUCUUACUUUUGCAUGAAAAACUAAUAUAUCGACCUUUCGAGAUAUAAGAGGCCAAAAGAUUAAUUCUAGCUUUCACGCUAGUCAUUGUUUAAUGAAAACUUAAACAACCAAGUACACAGCCAUUCUUUUACUUAUUCAAGAGCUCAACUAAUCCUAUCAAUAUACAGUCUAUACAAGCUAACCAGGCCGCGGAUAUACAUUCAUAUUAUCCUUUAAUUUUUAAUCUGGGGUUAAGUUAUUACCAAUUUCCUUUCAUUACGUACUCGACGAACAUACUGGUCCAAAUUAUAAAGUCAGAAGUUAGUAGUAUACGUCCAGCUCUGGGUGGACUUUCCAUUAUUUCCCUUAUUUUAUACAAAGUAUUUGCUUUCACGAAGUUCUUUGUUUUAUAUAAAAUCUAUUUAUCUACUACUUCCGUCCAUAAAUAUAAGGGAUUAUGGAUAUUUAUAAAGGUGUAUAGUGAGAAUCUCUUAUAUUUGUGGGUGGGGGAGUAAAUUUAAUAAAUAAAAGGUUCUAAUAUAUUCAUGGACUCUCCCUUGAAUAAUAGAGGCCACCCUUGCUUUUCUAGGAUACAUAAUUAAUUGCAUAUGUAUAUAAAUGGUAGGUUAAGUGUCUUAGUAAACCUAAUGCCAAGUGUCAGAUUAAGUAACUGCAAACUCGUUUCCAUCUGAAUGAACUUUCAAUGCCUUCCCCUUGUCUUGGUUUGCUGUUGUAGUCUCCACCAACUAUACAAGCUUUGAAAACUUUGAAUGCUAGCUUGCCCAACUCAACAUUUCCCCAUUUUACUUGAUCAAACAAUUAGAUAGGUCCCUUAAUUGAUUCCAUAAUCGAUAGAGAUUUGAAAAAGGUUGGCUGAUGUGGUAGGAGGUCCAGUUAAGUACUAUAUAGAUGGGAAUAGUUAUAUUUGGAUCCAUAUGAAUUUGCUGGGACAGAAGGUAUAUUGAUUGGGGAGUAGGUAAUUGGACAGAAACAGGUAUGGGAGAGGUUAGAUGUGUGAUGGGGAUGGUUUCCAAAUAAUAAGAUGAUGAUCCCUGGGUGUUUGGCCCUUCUUCCAUUCGUUAUUUCUAGCCAAUAAUUCAUUAAAUUACCUUGGCCUUCUAGAAGAGAUAUGAUAUAUCUCAUGCAUAUAUGUAUGCUCACACUAUAUAGAUGAGGUGAAUGGAGUCCAUAUAUUGAACACCUUUAUAGUUGGAUAAUUAGAACACAAACCUCCUGUAAAUGUUCCAAAAAUAAUUAGUAAUAUAACAGAGAUCCUUGCUCUGCUUGGAAAUUUUCUUCAUUAAUUGUAAAGCAUUCACAUUUCUUUAAAAAAACAGUCUACUUUUGGUCCCCACGAUUCUUGUUUGGUUUAUUCCCAAAAAGAAAAUACCGUUCAGUUUUAAUUUACAUUAUUAAACUUCAAGAAUACUACUCCCUCCUUCCCUAAAAGUUUGACACCGUUGAAUUUUCUAGACAUGUUUGACCGUUCGUCUUAUUAAAAACUUUUGUGAAAUAUGUAAAACUAUAUGUAUAUAUAAAAGUAUAUUUAACAAUGAAUCAAAUGAUAGGAAAAGAAUUAAUAAUUACUUAAAUUUUUUGAAUAAGACGAACGGUCAAACAUGUUUAAAAAAGUCAAUGGCGUCAAACAUUUAGGGAUGUAGGGAGUACAAACCAUCCUGCACGGUACAUUUUUUAGGGUUGGUGAAGUGGCAUAUCCUACAUAGUGCAUGGUGUGAUGAUUAUGCAAAGAAAUUUGUGGGGUUUCCGAAACGAUGUUAAUUACGUGAAUACCACAUAACCAAAACUUGUUGUAGUAACUACAUAAUUUGCACUAGUGAUUUUAACAAUUGAUUGAUGAAAAGUAAAUGACAUUUAUUGAAGUAAAGGGUGUAGAUUUUGAAACUUGAUUGAGCAGAUUUUUCUUAGUAUAUGCAUCUGUCCUACAUUUUUUCUUCAAACAACCUGAAAUUUAAUUUUACAAAUCUUCAACUGAUCAUGCAUUCAUAUACGAUGUUGUCGCAUAUAUAAUUGGGUGAUUGGAAGGACUUUUAUUCCUCUUUUAUCUUUACCACUUAUAUUCUGCGACUAAUCAAUUGCUUUGACCUUCUAGAAGGCAUCCCUUGAUCUGCUCAUAAUUUGAUGCGAGAAGAUCACCUGCAACAAUAUUCUUCUCAUAAAUAAAACAUCCACAAAAUUUAUGUGUCUUUUCAUGUGGACUUUCCAUCACAUUUAUGUUUUGAACUUCUCUAGUACACAUUUCAGAUGGAAUGUACAAAUCACUGAUUAAAUACUGUUCCCCGCACACACUUUCUCUUAGACUUGUCUAUAUAUGGUGUAUUGACAAUUUUACGUAGUAAAUGUACCAAAUUUCCGGUAAACAACAAGCUAAGCUAGAACGAUAUAUAUGUAAUCCAAAAUACUCCUUUAAUUGGUCUCUAAGUCAGUCCUACCAUUAAUAACUAAUUAAUUAUAUAGGACCAUUUUUUCCCUCUAUUUUGCUUUGCUUUUCUUUUUUUUUCCAAAAGUUUGCAUCUUUCACCGUAGUCCUAGCUUGUACCCUCCCUCUAGGUUAAAAAUAAUUAUCGUAUUGGACAAGAUCGAUGUUAAACUUUAAAUUUUUUUACUAUAAAUAACUUCUAAAAUAUAUACUUGUCUUGAAAACAUGGGACUAUGUAUUGGUUAAUCUUAAUCAUAUCCAUUUAGAAAAUGGCAAAUCACAGUCAUACUCCAAUAAAAUCAUAGAUUUGUUGAUACGUCGUGUACGUAUAUUGUAAUAGAAAAUAGUAAUUAAAAUUUAUCUUUUGAAGACCAUGUUCUGCAGGGUGUAUAUAUAUAUAUAUAUAUAUAUAUUUCCGAUCAAUUAAUAAUCUCUCAAAAAUAAUGUGUGGAAAUAAUUUGAGAUGGAUUAAUUAAUUGAAGUGAAUUAUAUUCUUGGCAUGCAGGUGAUGCUUAAGCAGGUGGAGCCGUUGUCGGAGGGGCAGCUGAUGAGCAUCUACGAGCUCCAGCAAGCGGCGAAGGGGACGGAGGACGCCCUCAGCCACGCCAUGGACGGCCUCCAGCAGUCGCUCUCCGACACCGUCGCCGCCCCUGACGUCGCCGCCGCCGGCGGCUUCAUGGGGCACAUGUCCCUCGCCAUGAACAAGAUCUCCGCUAUGGAGGACAUCGUCAGGCAGGUAUGUUUUGUACAAUUAAUUCAACUAAUAUAGUAGUAGUGUCUUAUAAAAUGUAUUUUAUUUUAUUAGGAUAAGCUUUAACUAACGAUUAAUUUGUUAUGCAUAAAGUAUAAUUAUUCAUAAGUGCUUUUGGUAGAUAUAUCUAAUAACAUAAGUUUUGCUUCAAAAAUUUAUAGUAUUAUAACAAAAUAAUUGUUGGUCAAAAUCGUGUCCUAACAAAACGAAAUAUGUCAUAUAUUUUAAAAACAAAAUUUUUUAUUUGCCACUCAAAAUUUACGAGUUUCCUUAUAUGCCAUCGAAAAUGUGCUAUUCCUUUAUGUCACUAAUUGAACUUUUUCUUCCCAUAUACGCCAUCCGCAUCAUCAUCUUGUGUUAUAAGGAUGUAAAAGUACAAUAUUGCCCUUUUAAUCUCUUGAGGGGGAUGUGUCCACUUGUUUUUUCUCAUGUCAUCCAAAUAAUUAUAAAAAAAUAAUCUUUUAAUAAGAUAUAAUAAUAUGUGAUAUAUCGCUUCACAAAUAUGCAAGUUUAAAUUUCACUUUUAUAAUUUUUUUUGAAAAAGUCAAAUUUUGUUGUGAGCACACAUAUACUGGUUUCCAUUAAAAUUUAUUGUUUUUAUUACAACUUGUGAAUAUCAAAUUUGAAUUUGAAUUUUUUAGACUGAUAUAUCAAAUAUUAAUCUAUUUUAUCAUUAAUUUUUAAAAAGUUCAUAAAUAUUUUAAUGACUGCAAUAAUAAGGGGAUAUCCCCUGAAUGGACUAGCAAAAAUAAUUAAUCAACUGUAAGAUGAAACAAUCAUGAUCAAUAUGUAUAUUGAUGAUAGCUGAACAGAAGCAGUCGGAAGAACACACGAGUGUGUUUUGUCAUUUUGUUGAAAAACUAACAAGGUCAAAGCAGUUUGACCUCGAUAGUGGCAUAUAAAGGAUGAAAAAUUUCAUUGAUGCAAUAUAAGGAAAUAGUAAUUUUCAAUGGCAUAUAAGGAAAUUUGUAAACUUUGAGUGUCAGAAUUUUCUCUAUUUUAAAAUAGAGGGAGCACACAAUUACACAAGUGUCACACAUGUUUUAAUUGGCUAAAAAAUAUAUUCCUGUACAAGUCUAUAUAUAUGUUACUGUGAUUGGGCGUGGUUGAUUGCAAUUUGAGUCCGAUUAAUAAUAAGAGAACGUUUUCUGUAAGAUCCAACAAUUACAUGAACAUGAGUAAAACUCAUCAUAGAUCAUCACAAGGUCAUCAUCUCGUCAUCAUAUGGUUGUUGAGUGUGUAUGCAAUAGUCAAUUCACCUCCUAUAUAUUAGACGUACACAACCUCGCAGCUGUCAAGUCAAACGUUUACACAUAAAAUGCAUGCACACGGUAUAAAAUAUUUGUAUACUCAAACGUUUACCCUGCAGAACAUAUCUUCAGUCUGUCAAAUUAACAAAUAUGUGUCUUGUAUUCUGGGGCACCAAUUAUCAGAGGAGCUAGCUGGAAUAGUAUAUUUGUGCAUGAUUGUUGGUUACACAUGCACGGUUAAAUUAUUUAAUUAGGAGUGUCAACGGAUCGAAAUUGAAUAUUGGUAUUCUUUCAUGGAUAUAAAUACAAAAUAAUAGUGCAACAUAUAUAAGGGAAUAUGUUUAGAAUUUUGUAAGGACUAAGAACAAGCUUAAAAGCAUAUAACACUUGGAAAUGUAACACUUCUCCAUUAGAAAAACAUGCGUAUGCAUGGAUACAUCAUUCGGUAGAUAUGUUAACUUAAAUUUGCAAUGGAAAAUAAUAUCGAAAAUAUUUUAACCAUUUAAAUAAACAUAUACCCAUUUUAUGUAGGGAACACAAUUAACUGAUCAAUUUACUUGAAUUGAAGAAAAACACACACAAAAAAUAUACCCAACCUCAAUCUGCUAAUUAAGAAAAUGAUCAUAUGAGACUAGAUCUCUGUAUAAACUCUUCUCAAAUCAUUAACUUAUCCCAAAAUUAAUUAGAAUGAUAUAUGCCAGAAUGAUACUGAUUUUUAAUUCAAAUGAAAGCUCAUCUAAUCCCUCUUUUACUUUCUUUUUCAUUUGGUAAGGAAAUUAAAUGUGUUCUUUUUGGGAGAACCUAAAAAUUAAAAAUGUACUCCUCUGUUCCAACAUAUAGCAUUUCUAGGUUGUUUAGUAGAUUUAAUUAAGAUUAAAGACAAAAGUGGUACCCCUCGUUAAAUGAGGGGUGACUGGGGAUAAGAUCAGAAGAAAUUUAAAUCGAAGAUGAUUGAUGGAAUAAGUAGUACUCUGAAUAGUGAUAGAAGUGUUUAAUAUUUUUUUUACAUAUUUAAAAUGCUAAAAGUUCUGAUAUUUUAAACGGAGGGAGUAUAUAUGUAGUAGUUAUUAAUGAAUAGAAGUCAAUAAGUUCCCUCUAUAUUGAUUAUUGAGAGCAGGUGCAACUGCUCCUUUCUCCCUUUGGUUGAAACAUUACUUUCAUCUCAAUAGAAUCAGCUUGUGAACCUGAGUUAUUUCUCAAAAUAUUUUGUCAACAAGUACUCACCUUUUGUGCAAUUGUCUCUUAUUUGUACUGCAGGCAGAUGGCCUGAGGCAGCAGACCCUGCACAAGCUGCAGCAUAUGCUGACCAUCCGGCAAGCCGCCCGGUGCUUCGUGGCAAUCUCCGACUACUUCCACCGCCUACGCGCACUCAGCACACUAUGGGUUGCGAGGCCAAGGCCGGAGGAGGGGCCGGCAAUGUAGAAUAAGUGUCUCAGAGAAGAUCAGAACAUCAACAACAAUGCUUGCAAAAUUUAACCUGGUUAAGAAUUAGGUAGUUAGCUGCAUGCAGUGAAUUGAACUAGGGAGCACAUUUGAAGAGAGGUGUAUGUGAGAGUAAUGCUCUCUCAGAUGUGUAACUUGCAACUUUGUAAGGUGUAUAUAGCUUCUUAGGUGUUAGAGAAGAAAAGAAGUAGGGAAUAGUGGAAACUUAAUUUGAACUUUCUUUUGUUUCUUUUUAUCCCUGACUUUUUCUACUUCUUUGCCAGCUAUAUGUAAGUUCACCUGGAACUACAUCAUUGAUUUGGAUAGUGUUUCUAAUACUUGCUGGUAACAAAAUCAUGAGAUAAAUGCUCUAAGGGGAAAAAAAAACUUCCAGAGUCUCAUAUCCCCUCUGAAAUUUGUUCGCUGAUGUUGCGUGUUUGUUCAGUCCUUCCAUUCAACCUAAUGUAUUAUUCAAAAGUUUUUCAUCAGAGCUCAAUUCAAGUUUAACAAAAAUUGGAAAUAGACCAUCAGUGACCUUGUACUAGGAGAUGUUCAACAAAUGACAUCCAUCCCAGCUAAUUAUAUUAGGUUCAAUUCUGCCCUAGAGGGAGGUUGGGGGUCCGACGCCGCGGUAGCCGAAUCCGUUGCUCUCAUGGCAAGAUCCAGCCGGCAUGGGUGGUGAUGGCGACGGCAGCGCCAUGGCAUGGGCAUUGUCAGUAGUAGGCUGGUGUCGGUGAUGACAGCAGGUGGCCGCUAGAGGGCGUGGCGUGAGGUGGCAAAAGCAAGCGUGGAGGCCGGUGCAUAUAGUGGGGUCUAGCCGGUGAGGAUGAUGGCGAACACUGGUCACCCACACCGACAGUAGGGGCUGACGGCAGAUGGCAACACAAUGGUUAGCAUGGGAGCUACCAGACUCAAAUCGUCCAAACUAGCCAACCGUACCCCUUUUGAUUCUCUAGGGAGCUUCUCCCUUGCUUUUGUUGAUUCCUUACGGUCAUGGAAAGCACUUUUGGUGAGAUGGUGUUGGUGGCAGUUAGGGAAGAGGAUGUUCCAGCAAUGAGGCUUCGUGAGAGUUGUAUCAUGGUGGGCUGUAGGAGGUAGCGAUGAUGUUGUGUUGGAGACCGGCGGGUCUGGGCUGGCCAGUGGUGGGGCGCCGAUGCGGCAGAACCUCAGGCUAGCAGAGGUUGUUCAAUUGCUGGAGCACUAGGGUGGCGACAACUGGUGCAAGUGUGGGUGCUACAAGCGACAAUGACAAUGUCUCCAAGAGGCAUGGUCCCACCUUGGGGUGUUGUUGGGCUACCAUCCUCCCAUUCCCUGACAGGAUUCUCCAAGUAAAAACCCAGUUCGGAUGGAUGGGCGACGAUGGCACCUAAGGCGUCAUUGGAAGCAUUGCUUUGGAGGACUUUGUUCCUCGCCUUUGCCAUCUCCUCUUAGUUUGGUCUCUGGCAGAUUCUUGGUUGUCGUCAUCUAAUUGGCACGAGGAAUGAGCAGAUCUUCUUCUCUCGUACCCUCUCCCUCCUCAACCACUCUACGUCAAAGAUGGCCAGGAACUCACAUUGAUGAUUUUCUAUGCACAGUUGGUGUUUGGCGGGGAAUUUGUGACCUCCUUGCAGGUCUAACAGCAAUUGGCCACGCUUAGCAAUGGCCGGCUUGGUACUAGUGCCUUCUCCUGAGUUGUGUGAGGAACCGCUAGCACGCGGUGGUGGCAUGUUUUAGUUUUUUCCUGGUUACAAUCUUCAAGGCUUCGUAUUUUUUCUGUAGUACGGGUCUUUUUUUUUUUUAAAAAAAAAAGAAAGCCUGGCAUGUGUCCAUAGACAUGAGCCGUGUUAGGGAUAACAGGUUAAAAGUCAUGCCCGACAACGUUUACCUUAGACUAAGAUCACAAUGUACUUAUAUACUACUACUUCUGUUCUUAAGUAGGUGUCCUUAAAUGUGUGUAAUAUAACCUUCAAAAAUUAAUUAAUUAACUAAUACAAAAAACAUUAGAAUUUGACAUAAGAAAAUGAUAGAAUUGCCAUGAAAUGUAAUUUCAUAUGGUUAUAUUUUUAAUUAACAGUUAGAAAAAGUUAAUGAUGAAACAUGUGCAUUGGAGAUUGUGUCGAUGUCCAAAACGGUAGAUAAAAAAGAACGGAGGUAGUAUGUGAUACAUGUACACUUGCCACAAACAGUGCAUCUCACCAUUCAGGUCAAGAUACCAGGUCUAAAAUCCCUGCACCAAAUGAAAUUUAUAGUCAAAGCCAUUUUCUCUCUAGUUAAUUUCCUUACUACAACAUUCUCAAUAAUUAAUGUUGCAUAUUUCAACAAAUACUAACACUGAAAAUACUUAAUUAUCUGUAGAAGGUCCAUGAGUAACCAUAGGUAUAACUUAAUCACCCACAUAUACAUUAUGCAAAUACAAUUUCACACUGUGUUUUUAUCUUCUUUACUUUCCAUCUAUAUACUAUCGAUCUCUUGCAAGUUUUAUAAAAUUUAUUUAUUUUUCCAUUCUCUUAUUUAUGUAAACGUACACAAGCCCAUCUCUCAUUUCCAAUCACUCCCUGGUCCCUAUGCUUUUAUGUUCUCCCAGCCAUUGCAUUUCAAUUGCUCUCCUCCCUUUCACUAUCAGAAUAAACUUGCUAGAGAUCGAUUCAAGAUGAAAAGGUAUGUCAUAUAUUCUUCUGAGAUAGCGACGAGUAUAGUGAUUUCCAAUCUUUUUCACUGGUGUCUAUUUUGGAAAACUUUGGACCUUAUAUAUCUGUGACCGGGAGUUCAGGAAAUAAAAAUAACUACUAAACAAAGCUUGUCUUUACACGUUAUUCAGAUUAGUUAAAACACGUUUGCAAUUAAAAUGUCAUCUGCUACUGUUGCUUCUGCUACUAAUACUAGCAAUGAUAAUGAUAACAUUAAUAUUAAUAUAAGUGGAUGGUUUCAUGAAGUUCAGACAUCAAGUAUAUUAUGACGCAUUUCUCCAAGGUGAAAAUUUCAAUCUGGUUUCAUUAGCUAAAUAUAGCAACAUCGGUAAUUUUGACCGAUUCCUUGUUGGAGCUAUGGCUCUAGGGCGAGAAAUAAGGUAUGGCCUUAAAUGGUUGCAUUGGAGAACAUUGACAGAAAAAACUUUGGAAAUGGUAGUACGAUAUAGCGUUCAUUAGUUCGAGUAGCCUAUACUUUCGAGGCAAUUUCAAUGUGUUUUGAAUUUUCACAGUUUUUAGACAUCAUGUCUUGUCCCUUAGUUCUUGGAAAGAAGCUAUUGCACACUAGCAUAAGUUUUCCUAGUCGAUCGCUAGUCUAAACAUGAAAUGUUGAUUUGUCAUGCUGAUUUUUUACUGGUGGAGAAACCAUCUUUGAUCGGUCGACCCAAAUCUACAAUAGUCCCGGUUCCAUUUAAAACCGGGACUAAAAACGAUUUUUAGUCCCGGUUUAUAAGAACAACAGGACUAGAUGAUCUUUAUUCCCGGUUUGUAUGACCAACUGGGACUAAAAAUCAUCUUUAGUCCCGGUUGGUAAUACCAACCGGGACUAAAGAUGAUUUUUAGUCCCGGUUGGUUCCAUGUCAGACCGUGUCAGGCGUUUAGGAUCUUUAGUCCCGGUUUGUAACACCAACCGGAACUAAAGAUAGAAUUUUUAGUCCCGGUUGGUGUUACAAACCGGGAAUAAAAAUCAACACGUACUAUAUAAUCCCUAUUACUUAUCCUCUUUUCUCGUCCACACAACAAACUCUCUCUUUCUUUCUUCCUCUCUAACUCCUGCCUUAUCUCUUUCUUCCUUCCCUGCUCUUUCUUCCUUCCUCUCUUCUUUUUGGAUCGGGCGGGCCGGGCGGCGGGCGGCGCGGCCGACGUGGCGGCAGCCGGCGCGGCGGCGCGCGGGGCCGCGCGGCGGCGGUGGCGCGCGGGGCCGCACGGCGGGGCGGCGGCCGGCGCGACGCGCGGCGUGGAGGGCCGCGGGGAGGCGCGGCGGCGGGCGGCGGCGCGGAGGGCGGAGGGCGGCGCGGCGGCGUGCGGCGGCGCGGCGGUGGCCGGCUGGCGCGGAGAGGAGGCGGCAGCAGCCGGCCGAGCGGCGCCUCUGUGGUUUUUUUUUAAGAAUUUGUGAUUUAUUGCAUGAUCCUGUGAUGUAUUUGAUUUGUGUGUGAUGUGAACUUGUGAUGUAUUUGCGAUGAAUUUUGUAGAACUUGUGAUGUAAUUUGAUUUGUGUAAUUUUUUUUAGGAUUUAUGAUGUAUUUGAUUUAUGUGUAUAAGUAACUUAAAGAUUUGUGAUGUGGAUUUGGGAUGUUACUUUGAUUUGGGAUUUGGGGAUAUGCAUCCCACUUGAUUCGGGAGAAAAUAAAAAAGAAAAAAGAGGACCAUUUGUACUGCUGUUAUUCCCUCUUUAGUCCCGGUUGGUAGAUAUAUCUUUAGUCCCGGUUGGUGUUACCAACCGGGACUAGAGAUCGAUUUUUACUCCCGGUUAUUUCACCCGGGACUAAAGAUAGCGAUCUUUAGUCCCGGAUUCGUAGUCCCGGUUGAAAAACCGGGACUAAAGGGGGGUUACGAACCGGGAGUAAAAACCACUUCUCCACCAGUGUUUAUUUUUACCUUUCGUUCUAUUUUUCCUCCAAUUUUGGUAAUCUAAAGGCUACGCGCAUUCCUGGUUUGUGCAAAAGUUAUUGUCUCAUCGAUCUCUGAUGUGCACUUAUUUGUUCCUUUGUACUGAAUGCCUGAACAGAUGAAUGGAUUUGUGAUAAUUAUUUGAGGUUACAAACGAGUGAAUUAAUUAUUGUAAGGUUGAAAAUUAGAUUAAAGAAGUGUUCUAAUUCAUACUUUUGCAAAAUCAUACCGUUCAUAAGCAUGCCCCUUAGUCCAUUCAUCCAUUCCUUGUAAAGGAACAGGGCAACGUGGUGACCAUUUCCACUUAAACACCCGAUGUCAUAAAAGCAUAUAGUCAAUUCCUUGUUACUGAAAGUGUCAAGUUUUACAGGUUAACCACCUCUGCAAGAAAGUUAUCUUUCCACUCGACAAUUUAAUAGGACAAAUUAUAUGUUUCAAAAAUCCUGGUGGCCAUUUUUCGUAUGUCUGAACUCUUGAAAGUUCAAGCCUCUGAAUGUUCAGAUGUAGCAUUCUGACACGGUCUUGGAGACGUGCUUCAAAACUAUCGCGGAAUAAUUGCGUGAUACGCGCUGCCCAUUGAUCGUUAAUGUUAGCUGCUUCUGAUAACAGUUUUAUAAUUAAGCAGGUUAUAGCUUUGUGCUUAAUCAAUUAUCAAGUUGCAUCAUAUCUGAAAACAAGACGAAAGGGAGAUGAUGCCAUCGCAGAAGACAAAUUUGAGACACUUUUGAAUUGAUUGAUGUGAAAGCACAUCUUAGGAGAAAGCCUGUUUCUACUUCCCAACAUAAAUUCAAGAGGAGACACUGGGCCAGGGCAACAACUCUUGCUAUCCACAUCCUUAAUUAUUAGCUACGUGUCAUUCUUUAGGCAUUGCAAAUAAUGCAAUGAUUAAAUUAAGAUAACAUGUUGAUAAUCUUCCUGAUUAACGUCUUAUCGGAUGGAUGUAGUGCAUGCAUUGUCGAGCAUAAUUUUUGAAGAAAAAUACAAGCAGUAGUAAUCUAGUGAAAAAUGUGACAGGUCACAAUUUAUUCUCAUAAAGUAAAGUCAAAUUUAAGAAUGAAAUUGAUAGGUGGUACAUGAAAAGCGGGCAUCUGCUCCGAUGGUCAGGAAAUUUGAUUUCUGUUGCAAUUUUUUUUUCAGUCAUGCAUCUACCAGAUUAAAAUGGGUUAUCAAUAUCUGGCAUGCAUCUACCAAAUUCAUCCGAUAUCUCAUCUGUUAGUGUUCUGUCAUCAUAGAGAACUGUUUUUCUGACAGCAUUCCAUAGGUACCUUACUUACAAAGCAGAAAAUAUGGAGCAUAUUGGGAUCAUUUACUGUAAGAUUGCUAACAUGGGUAUGAAUAAACUUCUACAGAUUCCAGGUGAACUACUCUAGAUUUGCUGAGUUGGGUUACAUACGGUUUUGUAACAGGGCAACCAGGAUGUUAUGCAUUACUGCAGAUAUUCGAAAUCUUCAGUUAUCCCCACCUGAAAUUUCACAAGAGUAAAUCAGAACAUGAGAACAGAGGAAACUAUGAGAAGUGAAAACGCCUUGUUACACAAACAGAGGGUACUAGCGUGAAGGAAAAGCAUUGGGGAUGCUCAAAAAACCAGCAGCACAACAUAUGUGAAACUUUAGUUGUGGUGAUGUGGAGUGGACAAAGGCCGUGUUUAGUUGUUUUGGCAAAAAAAAUUUGACGUAUACGGAUACACAUUUGAAGUAUUAAACGUAAACUAAUAACAAAACAAAUUACAGAUUCCGGCUGUAAACUGCGAGACGAAUCUAUUAAGCCUAAUUAAUCCGUCAUUAGCAAAUGUUUACUGUAGCACCACAUUGUCAACUCAUGGCGUAAUAAGGCUCAAAAGAUUCGUCUCGCAAUUUACAUGCAAACUGUGCAAUUGGUUUUUUUUACGUCCACAUUUAAUGCUCCAUGCAUGUGUCCAAACAUUUGAUGUGAUCGGAAAAGUUGGAAGUUUGAAGGGAACUAAUCACAGCAAAAGCUAAACUAUUGGAUCAUCACUCACAAAGAUAUCAAUAUUUCUAGAACACUUCUAUCAACCCGAGAGAAUGACAAGCUUUUGAGUCCUGAUAUGGAAAGUGACUGGGUUGGGCCGUUGGGGUAUGAUCACUCAAGCCAGACACAUGAAGUGUAGAAGUGUUCUACUGGGCAAUGGCUUUGCUCCCUUGCAAUUUAGUGACCAUUCAAGCCAAGGAAGUUUGAGGGAUAUCCUUAUUGAGGGCGCUUAGCAUAACUUACAACAUGAAGAAAUAUUGUACUCAUGUGGAUAUUAUAAUCAAUCCCAGAAGUAACUAGAAUAACAAGUUUGGUAUGAUAGCUAAGAGAAGACAAAUAGCACCAAGAACUAAUCAAAACAGAUGGACAUGAUUUAGGCUUAUCAGUAUAGAGUCCAAACAGCAAACAAGUGCAAGCUUUUUAAAUAACAUCAUCAGCAUGGCCUCAAAAUGCUCAUACCCUUAAAACAACAUUAUUACAAAAAAUGCAUCCAAUACCAAUAUGUAAGAUCUUAGACAAGGAAAAGAUAUAUAGUGCUUGACUAACUGAAACAGGACCUAACAGAACUACAGAAAAGAAUAUAGUACAGCAUGCAUACAUGAUAAAAUGCUUGCUGCAUUUAAUGAGGCUGUUUGAAGGUUCAUAGACCCUUUGAAUAUUUUUUUUCUUACGCCAUUUGAGGACCAAUACAAACUAAUUAAUGAUCACAUCCAUGCAGCAAUUAUUACUAACAACUGAUUCACCAAAGCUUAGAUCUCUGGAUCUUUAGUUCUACAAUGGGAACCCAAAAGUUAAGUUGCGAAAUGCUAUCACUGUUUUCUCUCUAAUUUCAAUAUCCUCAGUUAAGUAUGACAGAAUUUAAGUUAUUUUUUAUAUAUGAUCUAGUCUAAAGAUACGCAACAAGUACUCAGAUGGCCAGGUUGUGGGUCAGUAAUGCUAAUAAACUAUAAUAAUCGUAAAAUAGUUGACCGAUCAGUACAUGAUUGGUGACCAGAUACUAACAAAUGUCCAGAAUUGAUUUGUCAUUCAUGGCUUGAUGCCUGAUAUGGAUGGCCUACUGUCAGGUUUGAACAGGACAGACUGUUGCAGACUUCAUCAAUCUGAAUUUUUAUGUACAGAACAUAAUUUUUUUGUUAUUACCACCUAGGUUCUUCUUUAAAUAUGCAGGUUAUAACUGAAUAUAUCACUCAGUAAUAUAGGAAAACAUCUCUUGCAAAUGACCAGUCUGUCAGAUAUUCAUUGGAAAAAACAUGCUAAGAUUUUAUCAUUUGGAUAUGUAUUAUUGAAGCGAUGGAUGAUAUUAUAAGAAAGAAAAUGGAUGGGUAAGAGGACAGAACCUACCUCCCUGUACAUGUGUUCGAGUUGUUCUUUUGCUUGUGGGAAAGUGGUCGAACACCACUGUUGCAGAGUGAAGAUAUUGUCUGUAGUUACAUUCAGAAUUCCGUUAGCCUGUUCUGAUGAUAAACAAGCUGCAGACAUAUAAAUAUAUAGGGAAUGUGACUAGCAAGACCACCGAUACCUGUCCAUCUGUUAGCUGCCGCAUGAGCAACCUCAAUAGCAUCAUCUGUAAUUACCAUUUUACAGUAGUUAAAUUGUGGAACAAUUUUGUGCAGGGAAUGUCCUAAGCAAUGUUAAGUUGCUGCUAAACUUGGAUGAAAAAGAGAUGCUACAUGGAAAGUAAUUGACAAUUUCACAUUGAUUGUAUCAUCAGAUAACAGACAUGCAAAGGCGUAAAUAGAAACAAAAAAGGGAUGCGGUAUGCCAUACUCAUUGCCUCUAGUGCUGCUGGAUCACUAUCAGCAUAAGCAGCCAGUUCCUCCUGAAAAACAAUGCGAAACAAUUGAGUUGUAGAUACCUAAAUGGAAAAGAUAAAUUAAAUAAAAGACAAGACUGUGAAUACACCUUUAACUUCUUGUGGUGUUGCUCUACAGCCUUCAGCUCCUCCAAAGCAGCUUCUCUCUCAUCCUAGAUCAGUGUAUAUGAAUUGGAUUUACAUUUUUGUCAUAAGGUUGUAGGAAAAUGCACAAUUACUUACAGAGUCCUCUCUGCCUCUUUUCAAAUUCUCUCUCUGCUCAACAAGCUCUAUGAAGCGCUUUUUAGAGCUUGAAAGAUCAGAUUCCAGUUUGCUGUAAGUAGUCCUCAGCUACAAACAGAUCCAUAGAUGGAUUAGCUUAAACUAUGACAAGUAAUGACAAAUGAAGGUAUUAAUGUGCACUAAAAGUUGCAAUAAGAAAUAUAUUACUAGUUGCUGCAUUUAUCCAAGUGAUCAACAAAAUGACGAAAAUCCCUCUUUGCUUGCCUCUAUCUUGAUGAGUAAACAAAAGCUCUUCUUACCUGUAUAUUAUCCUGAUUCUCAAACCACUAGGGUAUGCUGCACUAAUAGGAAUGAUUCAUGGCAGUUAAUACUCUCUUCUGCAAAGCUUCAAAAGCUAGUUGUGAUACUAAUACAUGGAGCCAGCACCACACUAUAUACUCAGAAAAUUAACAUAAAAAGUAUUUUGUUCUUCGCAAACCUGUAAGAAGAAUUUAAAGGACAGAGUGUGCCGUCUAGCUUGCUUACUUUUACUCGUGUUACCAAUUGUCAUUAGGAAAAAAAAAAUAUGGUCAGGGGAUCUAACUCUUGGUACCGAAUUUGUGCCAUGUUAUCACCGAAUAAAUAAAAUCAGACAUGAGAAUUGACACAUGCAAGGUUAAAGGGGGUAGUAAUGGUAUAAAAAAAUACCUGAUUUCCAGCACAGCUGGGAAGACUCCAAAAGUACACCUGUAAGGAAACUAUUUAGUUUGAGAAACCAAACGCAAAAGGCACAUCGGUGAGGAUAUGUAAACAAAAAAUUAACUAAGAACUGGCCCUUUGCAAAACAUGCAGAAUGUAGCUACAUGAAACUCAGUGCACUAGCUCUUGAAGAAUACACAAAAGAAACCUUUCUUGAGUUACAGAUGCAUCAACUUUGAUGAAAAACAUUAUAUGACAAGGCUCCAUUACUGAGAAAGCAGUUUGACAAAUCUAGGUCCAUGGCACAAUUUAGAUAAGCAGCUACACUUACUGAAGUCCCUAUUUUAUCUUUCAAGACAAGAUCAUCAUCCACCAGGCUUUGCACAACAUCCUUCACUGACUGACUGAUGACACCCUUUUUGGGACCCAACUUCUCAAGCUCUUUAAGCUGAAAGCAGAAGUAUGGAUUGGGACUUAGGACAUAUGAAAAUAUAGUCUACUCAGAAACCUAGCAGAACAGCGCUUAGAAUAGCAAUGUAUGGCAUGGGCAAACAACAGAAAUACAUAAUAAUGACCAGUAUGAGCAUCUGACCCUAAAUUUGUAGUAACAGAAAUACAAAUGCAUCAAAACCUCAACCUGCUGGCACUAAUAUAUGGGUGUAUGCUUGCACUAGCAUUAAUAGUUGCAUAAUUGUAUAUCCGAGGAUUAGUUCUGAAAAUUGAUGAUUAGUUAGUUUUACUACAAAUUGGAACAGAUAAUGACUUUUCCUGCAUACAUAUAACGAAGCAUUGCCAUGUCAACUUUACAAACCCAAACCAAAAAAGAAGAAACUGGAAACAAAUCACAGUAUUAGAUUGGCACUUGGGCGCUGAUUGGUUUCAUUUAUUCGCCUACAUUAUAAAGCAUAAUAAUGCAGCAGCAGAAAGGAAUGAAAAGAGCUACUGGGACAUCUGCAAACCAGUGCCUCCACAUUAGCAGAAGAAACAACAUAACCCUUGAAUUUGUUACAGAUAACUUGCAAACAGCUAAUACGGCAAUCCUAGGGCAGAUAUCAUGAAAUCUUGACAGAAGAACUUACCAGAUAGAAGUCUUGACUGUCAUAAAAUAUUUGUAGCAUCUGCUCCCUCUUCUCCUCCAAAGAAAGACCCCUCUUCUUCGACUAAGCACCAUAUGGAGAGCAACAGUUAGAAAUUAAACUAAACAAAGGUGGUUGCUAAAUACUAAAUAGAAGAAAAUUUCUGUGCUCAUGGACCAAAAUAACUUAAUGGAACUAUCAGUUAGCAAGAGUAGCAUUGUAGGCUUUAAACAUCUUAAGAUCAGUUAUAUUUCUUAUGGCUGUUUCUUCAUUCAGACAUUUUUAGUGGAUGGCAAUAUGGCAUGAUGUAAAACAUAUUCGAAUGACAAGACAAAUUAAGUCGCGUAGAAUACAAUUCCAUCACAUUUCAGCAGCACUGUAAAGAUCCACCUACCAGCAUUUCAAUAAACAUCUGACAUGCAUCAAGACCGUGGUAUAGAAACCCUGGUUCCCCCCGCAACAGAUACCUCACUAUCAUUUACAACAUGAACAUAUAUAUCUAUCUGUCAGGGGCGGAUCCAACUUGGGAAACUUUUCGGGGAACAAACAAACUGUUACUACGUGUAUUAAGAGAGGUUUAAGGCUCUCAAAUUAAGGAGGAGAAGAGCUUCUUCCAGAUCUAGAAGAGAAGCUAGGGUUAACGAAUGAACGCAAGCAAAUUCCAGACAAAAGUAGUCCCGAUGGGAAAGAGAGAGAGAGAGAUGAAUCAGAGAAAGAGGAUGUGGAUGCUCACCAUGAUCCUCUCCCCUGCUCUGCUCGCCAGAUAGAGAUCGCCGCCCCUCCCCUGUUCAGCCGCCACUCGUCUUGGCGUUGGCGGCGCAAGGAGCGGGAGAUUUUCUUUCUUUUGGGAAGGGGAAGACACUCGGAGACUCUUGCUACUCGGAAUUAAGAAGACAAGAUUGGUUAUAUAGCUUCGAAAGUUCACGUUCUCUGGUACUAUAUACUAUCAUGUACACGUAAGGCCCGCUGUUAUAUACUGUGAGUCGUGAGUAGUAACUUCUUAAUUACUAUAUUUUAAAAUUUAAAAGUGACAAAAAGUUAAAAGCCCCACACGAGUACCCUCACCUUUAUCUCAAUAUUUUACUACUUUAAGACUAGCUAUUUCUUUAAAAUGACUAGUGGCCCACAUUCUAAAAAUUAACAAACUCGGUUAGCGAUUUGUGUUGACAACAAACUUCUCGUACUACCAUCAACCACUAACUGUUACUCCAUACACCGCCACCAUCGCUCUUUCUUCAUGAGCCACCAUCAUUCUUCCUCUCCGUUUUUGCAUGUGCAACCGCACCCUCUAGUUACCCUCCAUAAGCCACUUUUUUCCCUCUCCCUCUCAUCAUGCACACUAUUGCAGGGACUCACGGAGGUAGGAGUCGACCCGAUGAAAAGCGGAGACGCUAGAUCCAAGCUCCUUCUUCCUGGAUCUAGCGGUUCCCCAACCGUCGGAGGGAAAAAGAAAAUGGAGAGAGAGAGUUAGUGUGUGGUUGCUAAGUCACUGGACUUGGAGAUGGAUGAAAUAUGAUGGUCCAAAUUGAAAUGUAAAGUUAGUUGUUUUGUAAAUGAAAAGAAUAAUAUGAAAACUUUUAAGAAUAAUUUACUUUUUUUUCUUUAACACAAUUAAAGAUGAGUUGUCUAUUACUCUGUAAGUCUGGUGGUGGCAUUGUGCGGCACGAGCUGGCGGCAGCGAUGGUUUGGGCCGGAUUUGAGUCUGUGGUGUAGGCCGAGAGCGGGCGUGGAGGAGAUGGCUAGUCUCGGGGCUUCGGCUCUCCCUGGCCGGGCUGGAGAGGGAGAGCUGAGGCUUCGGCCUCCCAUGGCCAAAGGUUGAAGACGAAGAGGAAACAAGGAAAAAGAAGAAAGAUGAAGGGGCAAAGUGGAAAAAAUAGAAAUGAGAGAAACGGAAGGAAAGAGAAUAAGUGAAAAGGCUGAGAACUUGUAACAUACCAAGAAUUUCACCUAGAAAAAUUUUUGAGCAAAAUUUAAAACUUUUUGAAAGCUAAUGCAUUUGAGAAAAUAUUAGCUGAUUUUAAAGUUAAAAUCCUAUAAAUAAAAUAAAACACAAAGUUUUGUUGGGACAAGAUUAGAGCUAAUCUAAAAUUUGAUUUUAUAAAAUCUUGAGUUAAUAAACUUCAAUUCAAAUAAGUUGGUUUAAUCUUAAAAUGGAAAUUUAACCCUUUUGUUUUGCAUUUUAACCUAACCAAAAUAUUUGAACUAAAAGCAAAUAGAUGGGACUAUAAGUUUUAAAAUAAGCAAAACCUAAACGGAAAUAAAUACACUUGGUUGUAUGUGCAUUUUAUUAUUUUAGUUUUGUUUUUGGAUAUUCUUGGUGCAUCUCAUAAUAGGUUUCAUAUGCAUGUCAUGUAGAAAGAAAAUUCCUAAAAAUAAAUUAAGCAACAAUAAAUUGCGCAAAAAUUCUCAUAAAUACUACACAACACCCUUAUCUCCCAGUAAUUUUACUUUGAAUUUAUCACAACAGUUGUACCACAAAUAAAUUCUUCAACACAGCUAUAAAUCUAAAAACAGCAUACCAAUUAGCCUACUUUGCACCAUCACCAAAAUUUAACCAUAACUCAUCUAUCAAUGCCCCUUGGUCAGAAUGUUAAACACACGUUACUCUACCACCUGGUGCAAUGGACUAAUUAAAUUUGGAAAGAAACCACAUGAAAUGAAAGACACAAGUUAGAUAAACAGUAUUUUGAUUCCAGUCAAUAGAUUAACUAGUCAACUUUACUAAAUUACCAUGGUAACUCAAAAAGUAAUUAAAUCUUGAAACUUGACACAUUGAACCAUCAAAUCUUUGUCCAACUUGCAGCAACCUUGUCUCCUCUUAAUUCUAAAAUUAAAUGGAUGAGAGGAUGAGAGUAAUCUAGUAAAAUAAAAUAGUGCCAACACUUAAAAAAUAGUCUACUCCUUCCACACCUCUCUCUUGCAUGUGGGACCCUGUUCAUGUGGGACCCAUGUGUCAUACACCCACAGCCGACGCAUCAUCUACUCAUCACACAUUUAAUUUUUCCCUUAUUUAUUAAAAGGUGAGAGAGAGAUUAAAAUACAAUUCCUACCUAAAGUACUACUCUACCUCUGAAGCCUACCUAGAAAGUAUCUACUUGGGCCCAUUUGUCAUCCAUAUGCCAGCCUUCUACCCAUGUGAUCACUCAUUUUAAUCUAUGUAUACUUCAUCAAAGAGAGAAAGAGAGAGUUAAAGUCCAAUUUUCACCCAAGACAUCACCAUACCUCUUCAAUCUUCUAGGAAACAUCCACAAGGGACCACUUGACAGGAACUAGAGCUAUUUUUGGUGAAGUAGAAGAGAUUACACCGCCCUAGAUUGAGCCAACCUUUUAAAAUCGUGUUAGAGCCAAAUGUUGACACCUAGCUCUCACCAUGCCACCUCAACUUUCACCAUUAAACAAGAAAACUCGCCACUGUAAUCUCCAUCUCUCCCUCACCGUGUUCCCCUAGGAAAAUCCACAAGAACUUCCUCGGAGGAGCCGAGAACUUCGCCCUUUUCUCUCGAACCGAAGAUGUUUGAUUCGUAGAAAUUUUUUUCUGGUGAGCUUCGCCGCAUUCCAUUCAUGUCAACGUGAUCUUCUUCCUCUGCCUGAUCGAUCCAUUAAUCUGGUCUCCAUUUUGGCACAGAUCGAGCACCUUGUGCCAAGCUCGACGUCGCUCUCGGUGUCCAGAGCGCCCGCUGACCGAGCCCUCGCGCCACGAGCGUCGCCAAGGUACUAGUAGGCUACCCACCAAGGGAAUCAAGCUGGGGAGCUCCCAAUCGCGAGAUCGAACCUUUCUUCCUCAAGUCCGGCCGCCGGCUAUCGUCGUCAAUUCAUCGUUCUCGGGUGAGCUUCGGUGCAAUUCCUCGCUCGAGUAGUAUCUCUAGGGCAUCUCUAAUCCAUUCCCCUUCUCUCCCUGGCAGCCGGAAGACCGGAGGAAGCCGACGUCGUCGCACUGCUGUUUUCCGCCGCCGCCGGAGCGUUCCUCGGUUCUCCAUCGCUGUCCAAGCUUCGCCGGAGCACACACGACCUCAAGUGAGUCUCCAGGAGUCCCGUAGAGGCACAUGCAUGCUCUAAAUGGCACCUCACCCCGAAGCACACCGCCGCUCGCGCUGCCGCCGUCGUUGACACCGACCACCGCAGCCCGCGAAAACACUACCACUAGCUUCGCCAUAAUCUGCUGCAUGUUUUUGAUUUUGGUCGCCCGAAGAGAUUGGCCGCCGUUCGCCGCCGGCGACGGCGAAAAGUUUGCCGACCGCCGCCGCUCCGCAUCUCCCUGCCACUUUCUCACUGACAAGCGGGACCCACUUCAUUAGGUGCUAAGGAUUUGAUUAGUACGAGUUUAAAUCUUGUAGGAUCUUAUUUGUAAAUGUUCUCUGCAUGACUUGUGGACCCUCGGAGCUAAAUGCAAUUCAUUUAAAGCUCAGGAACCUUUCUGUAUAUUGGUCUCAGUCAAUGACUCGUGGACCCAUCCUUUUAGAAUCUGAAAAUACUAAAGAAAAUGCCUUAGUGAAUAUCUAAUCAACAGAAAAAUAGGUUAAAUUAUAAACUGCAUAUAAAAUACAUCUUAGCUCCAAUCUGGAUGAACUAAAUUUCUGUAGAUUCACCAAGUUAUGAACUUUAAUAUGGAACUAUAAAACUUGGCACUUACAGUAGAAGAAAUAGCUCUAAUAAUUCACAUAAGAAAUAAUGAACAUAGGGCAAUCUCCAACUUAGAAAAUUCAUAUAAAAUUUAUCUUAACUCAAUUUGGAGUGAGACAAGUUCCAGUGUGCUCACAAAACCAUACUCUUAAUUUUCAUGAACUAAAACUUAAUACCUUCUGUAGUACAAAUAUUACCAAAUAUCUAUCUAUUAAAAUAACUAGUGUAGUGAAAACUAGAAACUAUAAAAUCCAUAAGUAAUUCAUUUUAACUCUAAAUGGGCAAAACUAAAUUUUUUUUAGUUUCGCAGAAGUAUGCACUUUAGAUAUAUAGACUAAUCUCUAGGUGGAACCAUAUCCAAAACAAAACUAAAAUUCGAAAUAACUAAUAAAAACUAUAGCAAAUGAUCUAGCUUGUAUAGUUUAUAAUAAAAUCAUGCUAACUCUAAAAAUGGUGAAACGAAUUUUGUUGAACUCCUAAGAACAUCCCCUUUACUGCAGUAACCCAGCACUUCACAAAACAUGACCCUAAAAUGUACCUAAGGUCUAAUAGAAUUUAAUAAUCUAGUGCUAGUAUUAAAACUUUGAAAAUUAAUAACUCACAAAUGCAAAGCAAUAAAAUAAAAAUUCUUUCACCACAAAUCCUAUCCACACAGUAUCUGUGCAUGGUAGAAAACUCAUGCAUUUUAGAGCAUUUUGUAUUUUUAGUAUAUUUUGGUACUUAUUUGCAUACCGUGUUAUUUGUAUAGAUUAUUGCAUUGACAGUGAAGGAGUGAAUUAAAAUGCUAUCUAAUUUCUCAAGAUUAAGGCAAGUUCUCCUCCCAUCCUUUGAUCACAUUGAAUCCCAUGAUUUGAGGAAUGAAAAUAUUUGUUUGCAAAGUUGCAUAUGAACUUAGACUAUAUCGGUAUUUUAAAACUUGGUUAUGGUAGUUAUGUCCUAUUUGCUGCAUAUUCCUCCUUGAAUAAUUGUGAUCCUUAUUGUUUGUACCCCUAGAAAUGGUUAGAGUACACUCAUUGUGCUCAAAUGGGUGUAUAUAUGCUCUAUAUGCAACUACUUACUUAGCCAUGCUUAGAAUUAUGCAAAGUACUUAUUUCAUCUAUUAUUAAAAUGUGAUUUUGAUAUAUGAACACUUGUUGGAAUAAAAUGAAUAUGUUGGAUAUUUGCGAACUAAAAUGUGUAAAAUGUGUAAAAUGUGGUUUUAGAUCCGGGCGGCAAGAGGUAUGCAUAUGGUAUUAAUUGCAUACCGAUAGGGGGAGUGUUUGCCCAAGUCCAUAAGGACCGAAGUUGUGUCACCAACUUAAAAUUAACCGUACAUCCACAUGUGCUAGUAUGGGAUGGCCUUAGCUCAUUAAGUUGUUUAUUAUUUAUCCUUGCAUUAGGGAGGCCGUUGUAGUAGCGAUCGUACCUACUAGUGAACUGUAGGGCUAUUUGUGUUUAUGUAAAUUGCAAAGGGGACGAUUGUACCGAUCCGCCUUUUAUGUGUAUGAUGUUUAUGAGGGGAUGACUGUAACGUUCCGCCUCACUUUUAUUUAUGGUUUGAUAGGGAACGACUGUGUUGUUCCGCGUGAGGGGACGACUGAAAUGUUCCGCCUCACGUACAACGUUGAGUGCCACAUAGGAAGCGAUUGUACCGGCUUGUCUAUGGUGUUAUAUUGGUAAAGAUCUCCCCACUAUAAUAACAUUAAGAUUCUAGACUUAGUGUGGAACAACACUCAUCGUGCUCAUGCAAGGAUUAGAUAAUAAAUAAUGUAAAGGCUUCGUUAUGAUCUCUAGACCACAUUCACCAUGAAGAGUGUGCUAGUGCGUCGCGAGCACGAAACAAACUAGAGUGUUCAUAUCAUGUGGGUAAAGCUGUACAAACUCUGUAGAGUCUAAAAACUAAUCGAUUAGCCGUGCUCAUGGUCAUGAGCGCUUGGUGAAGUGUCAUGAGUAUAGACUUAUGUUUUAAAAUGUGUUAUGAAACUUGGGUUUGGAAUGGGUGAAAAGUGUUGAGUUGUGUAAGUGUGAUGAUAAUUAUAUGACUUGUCGUCAAGGAAGACAACAAGAGUAUGCUUAUGAUGAUAUAAUGAUAUUUAUGAUGAACUUAAAAAAUGUUUUGUUAACUGAAUCAUCAACUUCUUUACAAAAGUAUUGUGAAACAAAACUUGCUUUAUGCUGAAAUUGAACUACAUAUUGCCCUCCUUUGAAUAUAUGCCUUACAUGUAGUAUGUUAUGAUUGUCUUGUGCUUGCUGCUUGCCAGUAUAUUAAUUUGAUUAAUGUACUGAUUCUUGCUGUUGAGUUAACCUUUUGCUUGCAGGUUUUAGAGUUAGUCUUUGAGUGAUGCGGGUUUCGAUUGCUUCUUCUAGGAUGAGAACUUAAUGGAUGAACCCUUAGUCGAUGUGCUUGUGUUUGGUAGUCAAGCUUCCGUUGUUCCCUAAUAUGUCUACUUGGCCGGUCGGCCUAUGUAUCUAUUAAGUAGUUGUAACCUGAAUUUUAUUUGCUUUAGAUGUGUUUGCUAUGUAUGUCGAUGCUUAAGAUGAAAGUGUGAAUCUAGUGCACAUCCUCGGAAUUAAAUUCACAUGAGUAUGAGUUAAGAAUAUUUGAGAUGUUGUAGAUCUUUAGCUAUUUUUGUCAAGUCUCAUGAAUGUAUAACACAUCUGAUCGCCACCUUCGAGUGGUUUGAUGGGCACAUCUCAGGCUGAAGUUGACUGGCAGGCUAAAGGUCUAGCAAUGUUUCCAAUAUUUUUCUCUCGAGGCGUCGGAUAUUUCAUUAUGCUUGUUUGAUGACUUGAAUUAUUCACUUCAUCUCUCAAAUAUAGUGUUAAUCUCUCAAAUAUAGUGGAAGGUCCGGAGAGCCUAUGAUUGGACUUUUUCGGAAAAUUUCAAAUUUAGAAUAUUUGGAAUUUUAAGAGGAUUUAGGCAAAUAAGAAUUGAAUAGGAACAUUUUGGAUUUGUGUGGAAUUUGAUUAGCAGUUUGAGCUCCACAUCCAAAAUACAAAUCAAAUCCAAAUAACUUUAAUUAAGAAGAGACAACACCAACGAUGUAAUUAAUUAAUUGAUUAAUCACAUUACAUCAUUUUGGUUAACGAUAUUUUCAUAAAGCUAAAUCUAGGCAAACAAACCAAAGGUGAAUUUUCGCAAUUGUGCGAAAAUAACAGAAGAUGAAAAAGUGAUGGUGUAACAUGGCAUGACCAAAUUGCCCCCUCUUUCUCUUUCUCUUCAUCUUCCUCCCUAUUCCUCGUGAGUAGAUCGACCGUUGCUCAAAGAUGCUCUCUCUUCACUAUUUGUCUGUUGAUAUGUAUUUUAGAUAAGUGAAUCUUUCGAUGCUCAAAAUCUCAAUACGCCCUACUUUAUCUAAUUAUUGUCACGGCCGGAGCUUUCCCUUGCCUUAGGUUCCAAAUCACUAAUAAAUGACUUCAACAAAUUGCUUUGGUUAACCAGGAGAAAACCCUGGUUAACAAUGCAUUUAAUAAUCGGAAUUGCUAGGGAGAAUAUUUUUUGAAUUCUCUUUGCUCUGAAAAUCACUAACAAGACUUAAAGAGUAAAUAUCAGAUCACCGGAGGCAAAGUUGCUAAGUUAAAAAUGUCAAGAUAAUAAGUUUCUUCCUUUGCCUUUGGUCGUGAAUCGUGCCCAAUUCACUCCCCUCUCAGUCCGCGGUUUCGUUUUGCCUGACGAACUGUAUCCGUGUGCGUUCGCAGGACUAUUUCCUUUCUUUUCCUAAAACGACACCGCUUUGUUUUUCCUUUUUGGGAAAGUCCUAGCCUCUUUGUUUCCUCUCCCCUUUCCCUCCCCCAGCCGUCCGUGCCCUCCCCCUCUCCCCCUUGAGUCGGACUCCCUCCCCUCCUCCCAGUCCUACUCCCUCUAGGACUCCUCCUUUCCUAAUCUAGUCCUCCCCUAUUUAAAUGUAUCCCCCGUUUUUCUUUCUUUUUCCUCCCGUUAGCUGCCGCCACCCUAUCUAGCCCCCGCCGUCGCCGUCUCCACCGUCGUCGCCCUCGCAUCCCUCUCAAUUGAAUUGGUUAAACCAAAUGUCAAUUGUUUCCCCGUCUAACCUAGCCUGUCGUGUCCUCUCUAGCGCCGCUGCCGCCGUCGAUCUUGUGCUUGCCGCCGGACCGCCACCGCCGUCGUCGUGCUCCCUCACCGGUUUGCUCCCCGGUGAGAACCUUCCUCCUGUUUUAGGGUUUUGUUUCCGUGAGUCGUAGUUGGCCGAGUCGUCGUCGCUGCCACCCUAGCCGCCCUAGCCACCGCUGCCACGUGCUGCCCUAGCCGCUGUCGCGCCACCCGCCGAUGCCGCGUGCCGCGCCGAGCCAUCGAGCUGCUGCCGCCUAGCCACUGCCGCUGCCGAGCCACUAUCGAACUGCCGCCGUUGCGCCGCGUGCCUCCGCCGUGCGUCUUUGCCUAGCAGCCGCUUUAGCCCAUAGCUCGGUAGUUGAGUUGUCUAGCCAUAGGUGAAACCCUAGGUUCCUACCGGCCUAUCGUUUGCCGUACCAGGACUUUACCGUGAAUCGUGUCUAGCCCGCCGGUUUAGCCACAGUCGUUGUUGAGUCAUCCACUCAUUCGCUCGAACGAGGUGUUCCCCUGUAGUUCGUUCGUUCGUCCGUCCUGAGUCAUCCUUUAGUUAGAGCCGUUCGGAGCCGUCGGUUCCGUUUGCCGGUUUUGGUUGAUCAUUUGGGUGAAAUUCAUAACUAAAUAAUCUGAGCUCCGUUUUAACCCAUUCAAAUUGUAGUGAACAUGUUACAAUGUCAAGAAUCCAUUAAAAUUGGUUUCUUUUGCUUUUCAGUAGCUUCUUAGCUUGUAUUUAUUGUGUGACUUGUUUGUCGUUUAGACUCUGGCAGUUCCGACACUCCAAUUUAUUUUGAAGUGGUCACCGAGGUCCCGUCAGCUCAAGAGUAAGGCAAGUCAUACCGAUAUCAUUGAUCAUAUUGAGCAUAUUUGCAAAACCCCUGCUUUUCUCUUAAAACAGCAUUAUUGUUAUAAUGUCAUGUGGGAUGGUUUUUACCCGUACUCAGCCUUUUGAAUACCUUGAUUCGUUGAUAGCCCAGGAUAAUAAUUUGACUAGAUGAUUGGUCUAGGAUUGCUUAGCCAUGCUUAGAUCAACUAGCUCACAAUGGGAUUCACUAUAAUUUAGUACUUAAUUUUAUGAUGAUGUUAUGCCAUCUUGGCAUAUGGUUAAUUAAUUAAAAUAUGCUUUACUUGGUGGGUCGUGGGUACAGGCAUGAUUUAUUUGGUGGUCGUGCUCAUGACAAUUAAGGACUGGUUAUCGGGAAUCCCUGGAAGAUAUAUCCGUACUAACCACAAGCCAGAUGGGCUCCAGGCUGAAUCAUGAGUAUAACUUAACCUAGGUGACGUACCAUGGCAAGGGUGGGCGUGAUGGAGUAUGGAUGGACAUGGAUUUUGGUCUAUGCAGCUUCCGGAUUUACCUAGGCACGAGAGGGGACUGCCCGACUUGGAAUAAGGAGGGGGUGAAACCUGAGGUGGGUAUGUUCGGUUAGGAGAGUAAUAUGAUGGGUUUUGUCACAAUCACUUGACAUGGUAACAUGUUCAUGAUGGGUGCAUGAUGACAUGGUGACAUAUCGGUGGGUUGUGUCUUGUGGGUAAAGUUGUACACCUCUAAUCAAAGUAAAACUAUUCGAAUAGCCGUGCUCGCGGUUAUUGUGCGGUCAACCAGCUCACUGUGAUUAGUCUCGCCUUAAUAAUUUGACUUAAUGAACUGGUGUAGUUCAUGUGGUUUUGGUUGGGGCCUGUCGCAACGUGGUUUAGCAUUAGACAGUGAUGAUAUUAAUAUUGCUUAAUUAUCUACUGUUUUACUUCUUUCAAUUAUGAUUUAUAAAUGUUGUUUUUACUGCAAAAUAACCCUAUGAGCCAAUCCUUUGUUUACCCUUGCAUCAUACCUUCCCCUUGGUAUGACUUGUUGAGUACGGUGGUUGUACUUAGUCUUGCUUUAUUUUUCCCAAUCCCCAGAAGCUGAGAAUCUGUCAGAUGGUGAGUUCUAUGAAGAUUAGGCUUGUGCCCGCCGUCAAGAGUUUGUCUGUGGAGUAUGGAGGAAGCUGCGCUUUACUGAGAAGAUUAAGUCAAGUUCUCUAGUUUUUUCACCACGUAUGGGUUUUAUUUUGUUAUUUUUGUAAGAUGUGAAAUUGUAUCAAAUUGUCAUAUGUGUACUCUGGUUGAUGCCUGGAGCCCUAGACAUGGGUUAAAUGCACAGAUAGCCGGUGAUUCGGGUUGUCGAAUCCCUAGACGCGACAAUUAUAUGUCCCACCUAGUAUCUCGGAGACAUUGCAACAAGUUGUCAUCCAUUUUUAGUAAUACCAAUAAAAUCUAGAUAAUGAUGAUAUCCACUAAAUUUGUUAUCAUUAAGUUAUUAUAAAAAUAGCAAGACAAUAUGCCACUAGCUCUAGAUGUCUCUUUAAGACCUAGGAUGACAUUGUGAUACAUUGUAAUCCAUUAUUAGCAUUGGCCGUAAAAUAGAAAUGAUAAGAUUAUCCACCAUUUUGUUGCCAUUGAUUUAUUACAAAGAUGACAUUAGGAUAAGUCUGAAUUUGGAUGAUAUUAAUGCUGCCAAUAUUAAAUUCAGCUAUCUAUUGCAAUUGUGCAAUAUAAAUAUAUAUAUAUAUAUAUAUAUAUAUAUAUAUAUAUAUCACCAAGCAGAAAUAACAAGAUACACAAGCUCAUACAGAUUAAGCAAAUGGGCAAGCAAAUGAAGCAUUGUAGCCAAGGAUUCUUGGUUUUGUCCUUGAUUCUUCUGGGAUGUUUUACCAUUCCUGUUAUUCGUUCUCAAGGUGAAAUUUAGUGUUUAUUUUGAGUUAUUUCAUCAUCUCAAGUAGUCAGUGUAUAGUAAGAAAACAAAUCUUCCCCCAUUCUAUUUUUUUUUCAAAUUCCAUGCAGGCCUUCUUCAAACAUCCAUGCAUUUUGUAUUUUUAUGUUUUCAUUAUAAAAUUGUUUGCUUUGAUCUUUAACAUAAAAAUAUGGAUUACACAGGGAAUGGAAUAAGGAACGGGGAAAGCUACGGGAUCGACAUCAAUAAUGUGACAGCUUGCAUCAGAAAACCUUUCUCAUCGCAAUUCUGUUGUCAGAACAAAAACAGCCCGAAUCUCGGCAGGUGCUACGGCAGUGUGUCAGAUUGCCAAUCCAAUUGCCCUAAUGAUCUUGAUCCUCAUGUGUGAUCAACUGCUCCUACUUAUAAUCUCAAAGUCAUUAUAACAAGAUAAUAAUAUUGUCCAAUAUUCAUCUAUCCAUAGAUUAAACUGUGUUUACCGAUAAACGGGGUCUACAUUUUUGCAACAAUCGGACAAAAAUGUAGACCCCGUACAUCUAUUUGAUGAGUUGCAUAAACGUAGUUACAACCUUUUGGCCUUGAUUUUUGAGUUAUGGUUUAGCAAAAUAAUCUAUCUUGCACUCUGAAAACAAAAGUUGUUCAUAGAUUUUAAAAGUGGAUUAUGUUUCGCUAUUUCUUUAACAUAAGUAUAAGACUUAUUUUGGUGCCGUUGAUCAACCUAAGGAAAAUUGAUCUAACAUGGUGCCCGUUGAUGACAUGGCAUCUUAACGUACGACCAUACAUGUUUUGAACAUCAUAUUUGGAAUCCUAAGAAAAUAUAAAUUAGCUAUGAAACUGUCAUUUUUCAUGUAUUUGAAAAUAUUAUCAUGUACAUAUCUCGUUCAAUGUUGUUCGAUGUUCAUUUUUAUGUUUGCGACCAAGACAAUUUAUGUUAGGCAAAUUGUUUUGCAGGACAUCGUGACUUCGUGGUUUUAGUUGUAGGAUACAACACGAAGUCACUUUUGGAGGAAUGCCCUAUGUAAAUGUGGUUAAAUUAAUGUCGUCAUGCUAACGAGGCUGGAGUGGCCCACUUCUUUACAUGGCAUGACCAAAUUGCCCCUCCUUUAUCUCCCUCUGUUCUUCCUUCUGAGUGCAUCAAGCGGUGCUCAAACACGCUCUCUCAUCUCUAUUUGUUUGUUGAUAUUGUCGAUUCUAGAAGUUGGCAAUAAGAAAAGGGGUAGUGCACGAGAUCUAAAGUGGAUAUGAUGAGAACAUCCCAGCUACACUUGACGUAAACAAGGGUAAUGGUUUACAUCAUACAUCACAUGAAGAAAAUGAAGAUGACGUAAACCAAGUUGAUGGAUUACAUCUCAGCAAGAACGAUCAAACAAAUCAUGGUCUAAUUGCAUGCAGUUGCGCUAAGAGAAUACAACUAGAGGUGAAAUCACUCUUUGCUCAACUUAACCGAAAUUUUAGUGAGAAAUUUAUACUACCAAAAUGUUCUACCUUUGUAUUGCUAAGGUUUACACCCAUAGACAUCAUCACUACUCCAAGAAGGAUGGGUUAAAUUGAGGAUGAGAAGGGUUACGCCGAGCAGGAAUCAACCCAUGCACUACCAGCAGCUAUCUACGCCAAAGAUGGUGUACACUACAAAGGCUCAACUUCUAAGGCUUGUACGACCCAGCCAAUCAAGAGACGGGUUGCAUGGCAUACAUGGUUGGAAAGAGGGACAAGUCUAGUUUCCAAUGCUCCAAACCCCACCUCAAUAUCAUUUUCCAAUAAAAAGUUAGAGCAUUUUUACUGAAGGCUGCACAGUAGCUGAAGGGCUGUACGUGAACCCGAGAAAACUCUUUGCAUUCUCAUUUAUGUUAGCCUUGACCAACAGAACGUGGCUUCUUUUGUUCACACCUAAGCUAGGAGGGACAUUCUUUUUUUUUACCGGGAUAGGAGGGAAAUUCUUAGUAAAAAUACCCCUCUACUUCAUCUAGUAGAUAACUUUUGUUCAAUUGAAAGCCUUAUGUAUGAGAGAUUAUUUAAGACUGCAUAAGUGUCUUACCCCCUUUGUUUUUCUGAGUUCUUUAAGACUUGUGAGAAGGCUCCUCUUGUGCCCCCUAGUUCAUGUUUUUGGCUCUCGGGCCUCUUGUGUGGAUUAGUCCCGGAUGGUGGUUCUGUGAUUGCUCGGUUUGACGGAUCGGAGUCCAAGAGGUUUCAGAUCGCUCUCACCCUUACCAUUUGGUCGCAUCCAACCUUGGCAGGUAUAAAGCUAGUUAUCCUCUUACUGCUCACAGCUAAUUACCCUCUUGUGCACGGUUUACGCCGGUACUCUUUGCUUCAAACCUACUGCCGUGAAGAUCGGGCCACCCCUCGCGAGUGUGUUCGCAUCAUAUGAUAUCAAAGUUUUGUUGGCACGGUAGUAGGUUCAUCAUCCACAUAUUAGCCUUAUCUUCAUUAGAAGUUCAUGUGUUCUUGUUGAUCUUGUUUUUUUCCCUAUAGUCCAUAAAAUCCCUACAAAAAAAAUACCAAGCCUUUGGAAGCACUGAUAUUUUGUGCCGUUCUUUUCCAUCACGUUGCUAGUUCCUCUUGUUAUGUUGCAUCAUCAUUUUUUUCCCACCCACCCACCCUUUUGUUUCUUGUUUGCUGGCUUGUGUUAAUAAAAUAGAAAAAAAAAGAGAAAAAUUCAUAAAAAAAGAGUCGAGAAGAAGUGAAAAAAAUAUAUCAAAAAAAAGAGAAAGAGAGGAAUAUUUUGACACAAGAAAGUUGUAUGUUUUGGAAGGUGCUGCGGUAAUCGCUUUUCUAUCUUUUGGUGCUUUGGACAGUAGCGCUCAUGUCAUUCUUUGUAUGGUUUAUGCCAUCUUGUAUCAGUAAUACAACAUUCCUUUGAUCAUUCCACCUAGCUCAACAUAAACUGAAGUUGGUCUUUCAAUUCGCAUCCUUUCAAUCACAAAAUCACACUAAGGUACUACCACAUUUUGCACACUCUUGCAGUCCUUGAGAUCGCAUAAGAACAUUUGUGAGUAAGUGGUGAGAUUGUGUUAUUUCAUAAAUUUACCUAUUCCACUAUAUUUGUUAGAGCUAACAUGGCAGGUUCUCAAUCGAGUGUCCAUGGUGAAAAUCGUGACGAACCCGAUGCCCCUGUCACAUGGGCUAAGGUGCAGCAAAUGGGGAAAAAUCUUCUUCAAGCGAUGGAAUGGUUGCUGAAUGCACGACUUCCGAUUACCGGAGGUGGAGUGGUUCAACCACUGCUUGUUGAUCCCGUGGAUGAGAUUUUGGAUGCACAUUCGGCGGAUGAUGCUGAUGACGAACUCCAUGGCCCGCUUAAUGGUGGAGGUUGUCAUUUUGUAGCUGCUAGAGCAUGAGGAGGAGGUGCUCGCAAACGAGGCUUUUGCCCCCGUGCACACUUUGGUGGUCAUUUUGAACCCCAUGGUCCUCACCAUGAGUAGGAAUAUAGUGAUAAUGAUGCUCUUUUUGCAAAAAAUAAUUUUGAGCAACGGCACGCCCAUCCUCGCCAAGGUGCUGUCCUUGACAAUGGAGGCCACCAUCGUGGUUGCCAAGAUCAUGAUGACCCGGAUAAUGUUGCUUGGGUAAAGUUGAGUGUUCCCAAGUUUAUUGGAAAGGAAGACUCGGAUGCUUAUCUUAAUUGGGACGAACAGUGUGAUCAAAUUUUUAGAGUGCAUAAUCUUUUAUCUCAGAGGAGAGUAAACCUUGCUUCCGUGGAUUUUUCUAGUUAUGCUCUCUCUUGGAGGAAUCAAAUGCAAGAAAAUCAGUAUGUGUUGGGUCAUGACCCUAUUGAAACAUGGGAUGUCAUGUUAUGAGAAUGUUUUGAGUCUUCAAGUUAUAGGCGUGACCUUCACAGUCAGCUGCAAGUGUUGAGACAAGGGACUCAUACAGUGGAUGCGUGUUAUAGGGAAAUGGAGUUGCUCCUGAUCCAUGCUCAAAUUAGAGAAGAUGAUGAGUCAAAAAUGGCAAGAUUUUCGCAUGGUCUCAAUGAUGAAAUUUCUGACUUUGUGGAGAUGUUUCCUUACAACACUUUGCAAGAUCUUUUUGAUCAAGCUUGGCACACGGAAAUGUCCAUUCGGCAAGAAUGACAUAAUCGGUCCUCUAAUGGCCGCUCCAAUGCAGCCCCAUGGCGUCGCACGCAGCAAACUACCACUUUUGUCGGCGCUCGUUCUCAGGGAGCCUCUACACGAGCAUCUCCACCUGCUGCUACAGCCAAGCCACAACCAUCUUCGGCAUCAUCUCCAGCUGCAUGCAUAGAUUCUCGUCAGCCUGCUACACCCACAACAACAUCUUUGUCCCGUAGUCACGAUAUUGUGUGUCAUAAAUGCCAUGGUCGUGGCCACAUUGCUGCUGAGUCUCCUAGUAGGAGGACCAUGAUUGUGAAUGAGACGGGUGAAUUGGACUCAGCAAGUGACACCGAGGAUGAUGGUUUACGUGACCAAGAGUUGGUUAACGAGCAGCGAAUAGUGUUGCUAUUCGCGCAGAUAAUGGAGACAAUACUUGUUUCAUCUCUCGUCGAGUGCUUAGUGUGCAAGUUGCACAGGAAGAACAUGGUCAGCGACACAAUAUUUCUCACACUCGAGGUACCAUAAAUAAUAUUGUUUGUCAUAUUAUUGUUGAUAAUGGCAGCUGCAACAACAUUGUUAGUUUGAAGUUGGUGAAAAUAUUAGGCUUGAGACAACGACAUCAUCCAGCCCCAUACAAAUUGCAGUGGUUGAAUGACUAUGGUGCACUCCGGGUGAAAACUAUUGUGACGGUUCAUUUCUCCAUUAGUAAGUAUGAAGACCAAGUUGAGUGCGAUGUUGUACCAAAGCAAGCAUGUCAGUUGCUGCUCGGAAGACCUUGGUUAUAUGAUCAUGAUGUUCAAAUUAGUGGCCGCAACAACAAGCAUGUUUUAAUUUACAAAGACGAGCAUAUCUCAUUACUACCGUUAACACCACAGGAAAUAAAACCUGAUGAUCUCAAAAGACAAUAGCGAGAAAGUGAGUAACACUUGAGUGAGAACACUAAACAUAGUGAGCAAGGGAUGCCAAAGCCAAAUAAAACCCCACAGCUGCAAAUGACCAAACUAAGGGGAAAAGAGGGUUUGGUGAUGAUGGCUAGGAAUGGGAAUAUAAAAGAAAUGAGUGAACCCAAUGCCAUAUUCUUUGUACUCCUGUAGAAAGAAAGUUUAUUAUCAACUAACGACUUACCCUCUACCUUGCCUAGUAUUGUUCUUUAUCUUUUGCAGACAUAUGAGAAUGUAUUUUCAGAUACAGUGCCACCUGGGCUGCCACCGAAAAGAGGGAUUGAACAUAAAAUUUAACUUAUUCCUGGAGCUCAACUUCCAAUCGCCCACCGUACCGCACCAACCCCAAAAGAAACAAAAGAAAUUCAGCACCAAGUACGAGAAUUGCUCAACAAAGGGUUUGUAAAAGAAAGUCGUUAUCCUUGUGUUGUCCUUGUUCUUUUAGUUCCCAAGAAAUAUGGUUCAUGGCGCAUGUGUGUCGAUUGUCGAGCUAUCAAUAACAUCACCAUGCACUAUAGGCAUCCCAUACCUAGACUUGAUGAUAUGCUUGAUGAACUUAGUGGUUCUACUAUUUUCUCCAAAAUUGAUUUGCGAAGUGGCUAUCAUCAAAUCCGCAUGAAAGAAGGUGAUGAGUGGAAAACAGCUUUCAAAAACAAAAUUUAGUUUGUAUGAGUGGUUGGUUAUGACAUUUGAUUUGACAAAUGCUCCAUGUAUACUUUCAUGAGACUAAUGAAUCAUGUUCUUAGACCCUUCAUUGUCAAGUUUGUUGUGAUUUACUUUGAUGACAUCUUGAUUUACAGCAAAUCUAUUCAUGAACAUGUCGAGCAUAUCAAAUGUGUGCUUGCUGUUUUGAGGGAAGAAAAGUUGUAUGCUAACCUUGGUCCUUGCCAAGUGCACCUUUUGCACCGUCAAGGUAGUCUUUCUUGGCUUUGUUGUUUCAGGACAGGGUGUGGAGGUGGAUGAAGAAAAGAUCAAAGCUGUUCGUGAAUGAUUACCCCCACAAAAUGUGAGCCAAGUAAGAAGCUUUCUAGGUCUUACCGGUUUCUACCAUCAGUUUGUCAAAGAUUUCAACACCAAUCAAUGAAUUGACAAAUAAAGAUGUUCCAUUUCAAUGGGGUGAAGCACAACACAAGACUUUUGAGUUGCUAAAAGAUAAGUUAACAUCAGCACCACUACUUGCACUACCAGACUUUGGUAAGACUUUUGAAAUUGAAUGUGAUUCCACUAGUGUUGGCAUUGGAGGUGUACUUAUGGAAGAAGGAAAGCACAUUGCAUAUUUUAGUGAGAAACUCAGUGGUCCAACUCUCAAUUAUUCUGUUUAUGAUAAAGAGUUGUAUGCUUUAGUGCAAUCUCUGGAAAUGUGGCAACAUUAUCUAUGGUCUAAAGAAUUUGUCAUACAUUCUGUCCAUGAAUCUUUAAAGCAUCUUAAGGGACAAUUAAAGCUGAACCGUAGGCAUGCUAAAUGGAGUGAAUUCAUAUAAUCUUUCCCUUAUGUUGUCAAGUACAAGAAGGCCAAGGAUAAUAUUGUUGCUGAUGCUUUGUCGAGGCGUCAUGUAUUACUUUCUCAACUUGAUGCUAAAAUUCUUGGCCUUGAAAGUAUCAAAGAAUUAUAUGCUCAUGACAUAUAUUUUUCUAACCCCUAUGCUAAAAGCAGUGAUGGCAAGGGUUGGGAUAAGCAUGAUUUGCAUGAUGGAUUUUUAUUUUGAGCUAACAAAUUGUACAUUCCAGAUUGCUCUGUUCGGUUACUCCUUUUGCAGGAAGCUUAUAUCGGUGGACUUAUGGGUCAUUUUUUUGCCAAGAAAAUUGAACAUGUGUUGACCGAUCAUUUCUUUCGGCCAAAGAUGCGGCAUGAUGUUGAACGAUAUGUGCUACACUGCGCGACAUGCCACAAAGCUAAGUCCUUUUUAACCCUCAUAGUUUAUACACUCCUCUACCUAUUCCUAGCAUUACUUGUGAAGAUAUUUCAAUGGACUUUGUUCUUGGUUUACCUCAAACAAAGAGGGGGAGGGACUCCAUUUUUAUUGUUGUUGAUUGAUUUAACAAGAUGACACAUUUUAUUCCCUGUCACAAAAGUAACAAUGCUUCACAUAUUGCUGCAUUGUUUUUUCAAGGAAAUUGUACAUCUACAUGGAGUGCCACGCACCAUUGUUUCAGAUCGAGACACCAAGUUUUUGAGCUACUUUUGGAAAACAUUGUGGGGAAAGCUUGGCACAAAGCUAUUGUUCUCUACCACAUGUCACCCCCAAACUAAUGGACAAAUAGAAGUUGUCAACCGCACACUCGGUAUGUUGUUACAGGCUGUCCACAAGAAGAAUUUGAAACUAUGGUAAGAAUGUCUACCUCACGUGGAGUUUGCGUACAACAACGCAAUACACUCCACUACUCAUCUUUGUCCAUUCGAGAUUGUUUAUGGUUUCAAACCCAACGCUCCCAUCGAUCUUUUGCCAUUGCCUUUACAAAGGCAUUUGAACUUUGAUGCAAGUAAACAAGCUGAUUAUGUCAAGAAAAUUCAUGAGAAGACUCGCACAAAUUUUGAAAAGAUGACCAGGCUAUAUGAGAAGCGUGCAAACAAAGGACGAAAAAAUAUGUUGCUUGAAUCAGGUGAUUUUGUAUGGGUACAUCUACUAAACGAUCGAUUUCCUAAUCAACACAAUUACAAGCUACAGCCCCGGGGUGAUGGACCUUUCAAAGUUCUAAAACGCAUCAAUGAUAAUGCCAUCAAUGAUAAUGCAUACAAGAUUGAUCUUCCAAGCAUCUAUAGCGUCAGUGACACCUUCAACGUCUCUUCUCUAUUUGUAUGUUGAUAUGUAUUUCAGAUAAGUGAAUCUUCUGAUGCUCAAAAUUCCAACAUGCCCUACUUUAUCUGAUUAUAUAUCCCAUCUAGCAUCUCGGAGACAUUGCGAUAAGUUGUCAUCCAUUUUUAGUAGUGCCAAUAAAAUCUAGAUAAUGAUAACAUCCCCCAAAUUUAUUAUCAUUAAGUUAUUAUAAAAAUAGCAAGACAAUAUGUCACUGGUUCUAGAUGACAUUGUCAUACAUUGUCAUCCAUUUUUAGCAUUGGCCAUAAAAUAUAAAUGAUAAGAUUAUCCACCAAUUUUUUUUGCCAUUGAUUUAUUAUAAAAAUGACAUUAGGAUAAGUCUGAAAUUUGGAUGAUAUUAAUGCUGCCAAUAUUAAAUUCAGCUAUCUACUGUAAUUGUGCACAAUAUAUAUAUAUAUAUAUAUAUAUAUACACUUCUGGGAUGUUUUACCAUUCCCGUUGUUCGUUCUCAAGGUGAAAUUUAGUGUUUUUUUUGAGUUAUUUCAUCAUCUCAAGUAGUCACUGUAUAGUAAGAAAACAAAAAAUUCCCCAUUCCAUUUUUUCAACUUCCAUGCAGGCCUUCUUCAAACAUCCGUGCAUUUUGUAUUUUUUAUGUUUUCAUUAUAAAAUUGUUUGCUUUGAUAUUUAACAUAAAAAUAUGGAUUACACAGGGAAUGGAAUAAGGAAUGGGGAAAGCUACGGGAUCGACAUCAAUAAUGUGACAGCUUGCAUCAGAAAACCUUUCUCAUCGCAAUUUUGUUGUCAGAACAAAAACAGCCCGAAUCUUGGCAGGUGCUAUGGUAGCGUGUCAGAUUGCCAAUCCAAUUGCCCUAAUGUUCUUGACCCUCAUAUGUGAUCGACUGCUCCUGCUUGUAAUCUCAAAGGCAUUAUAACAAGAUAAUAAUAUUGUCCAAUAUUCAUCUAUUCAGAGAUUAAACUGUGUUUACCUAUAAACUUUUAUUUCUUGCAACAAUCGGGCAAAAAUGUAGACCCCGUACAUCUAUUUGAUGAGUUGCAUAAACGUAGUUACAACCUUUUGGCCUAUAUUUUUGAGUUAUGGUUUAGCAAAAUAAUCUAUCUUGUACUCUGAAAACAAAAGUUGUUCAUGGAUUUUCAAAGUGGACUAUGUAUCGCUAUUUCUUUAACAUGAGUACAAGACUUAUUCUGGUGCCGUUAAUCAACAUAAGGAAAAUUGGUCCUUUUGCCGGCCCAGCAGAGGGGCGUGAGAGAGGGAAAGUGGCCGAAGGCGGCCCAUGGCCGAAAAGAGAAGAAGAAAGGAUUUGAGAAUUAAUUUAAUUUCGAUAAUUCGAUUUGAAUUAUUAAAAUUACUUCCAUUGCUCUGAAAAUUUCGCUAAAAAUCUUGUUAUGCAUUAGAGCACAUCGAACUCAAGAAAAAUCCCACCAUGCCAUUUCCAAUUAUUAAUUGUAUUUUAUUACUUAGGGUUUAGCUCUAGCUUGAACAACAAUUUCACAGGGUGAUUUAUUAAUUGCAUUAAGGCUUAGGAAGAAGGGGAAACUUCAGGGCAUGACGAUGCCAACACGAUGUUGUAAAUGGUGACACGUAGGUCGAGGCGGCGGCCGGCACAGGGAACCUUGUCGCUGUUGGCUACUAUGACCUUGAUGUCUAGCAGGGGUGUGUGCUGGACCCCUAGGCGUCGCGCCACAUCGUCGGAGAGGAAGGUGUGCCUGGAACCCGUGUCAACGAGGGCCACCAUUGUCUCUCCAUUGACGACCACAGGGAGCAGCAUCAUCUGAGUGACACAAAUGCCAACAAGUGCGACCAAGGAAAUCUGCACUUCUUCGUCAUCAGUUGGUGUCGACGGACACCCACCGUCAUCGACCUCAAUCCAGUAUGCUCCCUUGGUCCCUUGGCCGCACAACUAUGGUUGGGGUGAUCUUUCUCUAGGAAAUUGAAGCAAACCCCUUGGCACGAUGCUAGCUCAUUCAUCUCUUAUGACGAGAGGUGGCGAAACCGUGGCGUGAUGGCUUGGUUGUGUCAGUGCUCGUGGACGGCGGAGCCAGUAGGGCCUUGAGGCCUAGUUCGUUUCGGGCGGGAUUGGGCAGGUCUGUGACCAAAACCCUAUCAGCCUGGCAUGGAAAAAUCACAGCCUGCAUGAAAAUGUGUUCGGUUAAGCCCAAUCAGGAUCCUAACCCAGCCAAUCCCGGCCUUUUCCCCUCACCCCAGCCCAAAAAAAAGGAAUAAGUUCAUCUAAGGUCCUUUGACUUGUCAAGGAAUCCAAUUUUCGUCCUUCAACCGAAAAACUAGAUAUAACACAUUCUUCAACUCUCGAAACCGUGCAAACUUUGUCCCAAGGCAGUUUGGAUGGCGGUUUCUGCUGACGUGGUUGGUUUGACUGGGUCCUCGUCCCAUGUAGUGUUGACUGGGGUCCGUGCCCUGCUCGGUGGCUCACACGACGACCUCCGCCUUCGCGCAGACCAGCUCUCGUGGUCGCUCAGCGUUGUCUUCUUCACUGGCGGCAGUGCGGGGCUUGGGCCCGAUGGGAGCGUGCUCGUCUGUGCCGACGUCCCGCCAAUUGGGGCAGCGCUGCGGGGCAAGCAGUGGACAGCGGUACGGGUCGCGGUCAAUGAAGCGGACCAUGGCGCGUGUGGCUGUUCCAACGACAUCUUCCGCGACGUCAUGUGGUUGUUUGUCGGUGACGUCGUGUUUUUCAGGUCAUCUUUCUCGUCCCACUGGGUGUUCUUCUCCAACGUCGAGUUCUAUCCCGCUUCCGCGGCUACAAGCUGGUCCCUACUUUGGCUGCUGGGUCCAUCAUGGGGCUGCGAUGUCUGUCGCCCAUGCCUUGCUCUUCGCAUCCCACGAAGACCUCCGUGUUCACCACUUGUCGCACUCGCUGAGCAGCGCGUUCUUCGCCGAUGGUGCCGUGGCAGCGCCCUUUAGGCGAAGAAGCUGUGGCGGCGGACUCGCAGGAGGUGCCUCCUAGCCAGCGGCGGUGGCGGAGGCGAGUGGCGCCUCUCCCUCCCCCGGGAAUCUGACGGCGAGAGGUCACACUGUCGGCGAGGGAGCAAGGACCAGUGAUGGUGGCCCAGAGCACCAGCAGAUGGGGUCGGGGACGAGCGCGGCGGCAUCCGAGGAGAAGGAGGCGUCGUUCCCCUCGCGUGGCCAGGGCUUGACGAUGAGCCUACUGCGAGGGGCGCGAGCGGGCGGGGGGGGGGGGGCAGCGGUGGCUGCUGUAGCGCAGCGUCGGCGUCGGUCUAGGACUCCAGCUCCGGCUCCAGCACGCUUGGAUGGGACGAGUAGUCUACCUCCUCCUCCUCAUCAAUGUCAUCUCCUCUGCCACGAGGCCGCAUCUUCUCUGGUUGGGUGGCCGCUCCUUUGAGAAUGGAAUGCAAUGGGGAGAGAGGAGGAAGAAGAGGGUUGAGAAUGACAUGUGGGGUCCACGUGGGCCCCACCAAUUUUAUUAAUACUUUUUGUGUAAUAGACAUGUGGGGUCACAAUUUUUAUUAUUUUCCAAGUCAAAUUACGAGAAAAAGGACAGCAUGCCACUCCCUAUGUGUGGUUUCAACAAAAUGCCACUCAUUAGAUUGCAAAGGAUAAAAUGCCACUCAUUAUGUUAGAUUUCAGGAUAGUUUGCCACUUUAGGGGAUUUUACCUAUUUUCUUUUCUUUUCUCCUUAUUUUCUUUUAUGAAUUGACCAAACUGCCCUUGCCUCUAAUCAGAUCAGAUCGGGCCGAUCCAAAUCGAGCGUGCGCCUGUUCCCAGCACCCUCGCCGCCUUGCGCUCGUGGACGCUGUCCUCCAGCGCCGCACGCCGCUCGUCCAUCCCUCUCGCCGCAACUUUGUCCCAAGGCAGUUUGGAUGGCGGUUUCUGCUGACGUGGUUGGUUUGACUGGGUCCUCGUCCCAUGUAGUGUUGACUGGGGUCCGUGCCCUGCUCGGUGGCUCACACGACGACCUCCGCCUUCGCGCGGACCAGCUCUCGUGGUCGCUCAGCGUUGUCUUCUUCACUGGCGGCAGUGCGGGGCUUGGGCCCGAUGGGAGCGUGCUCGUCUGUGCCGACGUCCCGCCAAUUGGGGCAGCGCUGCGGGGCAAGCAGUGGACAGCGGUACGGGUCGCGGUCAAUGAAGCGGACCAUGGCGCGUGUGGCUGUUCCAACGACAUCUUCCGCGACGUCAUGUGGUUGUUUGUCGGUGACGUCGUGUUUUUCAGGUCAUCUUUCUCGUCCCACUGGGUGUUCUUCUCCAACGUCGAGUUCUAUCCCGCUUCCGCGGCUACAAGCUGGUCCCUACUUUGGCUGCUGGGUCCAUCAUGGGGCUGCGAUGUCUGUCGCCCAUGCCUUGCUCUUCGCAUCCCACGAAGACCUCCGUGUUCACCACUUGUCGCACUCGCUGAGCAGCGCGUUCUUCGCCGAUGGUGCCGUGGCAGCGCCCUUUAGGCGAAGAAGCUGUGGCGGCGGACUCGCAGGAGGUGCCUCCUAGCCAGCGGCGGUGGCGGAGGCGAGUGGCGCCUCUCCCUCCCCCGGGAAUCUGACGGCGAGAGGUCACACUGUCGGCGAGGGAGCAAGGACCAGUGAUGGUGGCCCAGAGCACCAGCAGAUGGGGUCGGGGACGAGCGCGGCGGCAUCCGAGGAGAAGGAGGCGUCGUUCCCCUCGCGUGGCCAGGGCUUGACGAUGAGCCUACUGCGAGGGGCGCGAGCGGGCGGGGGGGGGGGGGGGGCAGCGGUGGCUGCUGUAGCGCAGCGUCGGCGUCGGUCUAGGACUCCAGCUCCGGCUCCAGCACGCUUGGAUGGGACGAGUAGUCUACCUCCUCCUCCUCAUCAAUGUCAUCUCCUCUGCCACGAGGCCGCAUCUUCUCUGGUUGGGUGGCCGCUCCUUUGAGAAUGGAAUGCAAUGGGGAGAGAGGAGGAAGAAGAGGGUUGAGAAUGACAUGUGGGGUCCACGUGGGCCCCACCAAUUUUAUUAAUACUUUUUGUGUAAUAGACAUGUGGGGUCACAAUUUUUAUUAUUUUCCAAGUCAAAUUACGAGAAAAAGGACAGCAUGCCACUCCCUAUGUGUGGUUUCAACAAAAUGCCACUCAUUAGAUUGCAAAGGAUAAAAUGCCACUCAUUAUGUUAGAUUUCAGGAUAGUUUGCCACUUUAGGGGAUUUUACCUAUUUUCUUUUCUUUUCUCCUUAUUUUCUUUUAUGAAUUGACCAAACUGCCCUUGCCUCUAAUCAGAUCAGAUCGGGCCGAUCCAAAUCGAGCGUGCGCCUGUUCCCAGCACCCUCGCCGCCUUGCGCUCGUGGACGCUGUCCUCCAGCGCCGCACGCCGCUCGUCCAUCCCUCUCGCCGCAACUUUGUCCCAAGGCAGUUUGGAUGGCGGUUUCUGCUGACGUGGUUGGUUUGACUGGGUCCUCGUCCCAUGUAGUGUUGACUGGGGUCCGUGCCCUGCUCGGUGGCUCACACGACGACCUCCGCCUUCGCGCGGACCAGCUCUCGUGGUCGCUCAGCGUUGUCUUCUUCACUGGCGGCAGUGCGGGGCUUGGGCCCGAUGGGAGCGUGCUCGUCUGUGCCGACGUCCCGCCAAUUGGGGCAGCGCUGCGGGGCAAGCAGUGGACAGCGGUACGGGUCGCGGUCAAUGAAGCGGACCAUGGCGCGUGUGGCUGUUCCAACGACAUCUUCCGCGACGUCAUGUGGUUGUUUGUCGGUGACGUCGUGUUUUUCAGGUCAUCUUUCUCGUCCCACUGGGUGUUCUUCUCCAACGUCGAGUUCUAUCCCGCUUCCGCGGCUACAAGCUGGUCCCUACUUUGGCUGCUGGGUCCAUCAUGGGGCUGCGAUGUCUGUCGCCCAUGCCUUGCUCUUCGCAUCCCACGAAGACCUCCGUGUUCACCACUUGUCGCACUCGCUGAGCAGCGCGUUCUUCGCCGAUGGUGCCGUGGCAGCGCCCUUUAGGCGAAGAAGCUGUGGCGGCGGACUCGCAGGAGGUGCCUCCUAGCCAGCGGCGGUGGCGGAGGCGAGUGGCGCCUCUCCCUCCCCCGGGAAUCUGACGGCGAGAGGUCACACUGUCGGCGAGGGAGCAAGGACCAGUGAUGGUGGCCCAGAGCACCAGCAGAUGGGGUCGGGGACGAGCGCGGCGGCAUCCGAGGAGAAGGAGGCGUCGUUCCCCUCGCGUGGCCAGGGCUUGACGAUGAGCCUACUGCGAGGGGCGCGAGCGGGCGGGGGGGGGGGGGCAGCGGUGGCUGCUGUAGCGCAGCGUCGGCGUCGGUCUAGGACUCCAGCUCCGGCUCCAGCACGCUUGGAUGGGACGAGUAGUCUACCUCCUCCUCCUCAUCAAUGUCAUCUCCUCUGCCACGAGGCCGCAUCUUCUCUGGUUGGGUGGCCGCUCCUUUGAGAAUGGAAUGCAAUGGGGAGAGAGGAGGAAGAAGAGGGUUGAGAAUGACAUGUGGGGUCCACGUGGGCCCCACCAAUUUUAUUAAUACUUUUUGUGUAAUAGACAUGUGGGGUCACAAUUUUUAUUAUUUUCCAAGUCAAAUUACGAGAAAAAGGACAGCAUGCCACUCCCUAUGUGUGGUUUCAACAAAAUGCCACUCAUUAGAUUGCAAAGGAUAAAAUGCCACUCAUUAUGUUAGAUUUCAGGAUAGUUUGCCACUUUAGGGGAUUUUACCUAUUUUCUUUUCUUUUCUCCUUAUUUUCUUUUAUGAAUUGACCAAACUGCCCUUGCCUCUAAUCAGAUCAGAUCGGGCCGAUCCAAAUCGAGCGUGCGCCUGUUCCCAGCACCCUCGCCGCCUUGCGCUCGUGGACGCUGUCCUCCAGCGCCGCACGCCGCUCGUCCAUCCCUCUCGCCGCGACUUUGUCCCAAGGCAGUUUGGAUGGCGGUUUCUGCUGACGUGGUUGGUUUGACUGGGUCCUCGUCCCAUGUAGUGUUGACUGGGGUCUGUGCCCUGCUCGGUGGCUCACACGACGACCUCCGCCUUCGCGCGGACCAGCUCUCGUGGUCGCUCAGCGUUGUCUUCUUCACUGGCGGCAGUGCGGGGCUUGGGCCCGAUGGGAGCGUGCUCGUCUGUGCCGACGUCCCGCCAAUUGGGGCAGCGCUGCGGGGCAAGCAGUGGACAGCGGUACGGGUCGCGGUCAAUGAAGCGGACCAUGGCGCGUGUGGCUGUUCCAACGACAUCUUCCGCGACGUCAUGUGGUUGUUUGUCGGUGACGUCGUGUUUUUCAGGUCAUCUUUCUCGUCCCACUGGGUGUUCUUCUCCAACGUCGAGUUCUAUCCCGCUUCCGCGGCUACAAGCUGGUCCCUACUUUGGCUGCUGGGUCCAUCAUGGGGCUGCGAUGUCUGUCGCCCAUGCCUUGCUCUUCGCAUCCCACGAAGACCUCCGUGUUCACCACUUGUCGCACUCGCUGAGCAGCGCGUUCUUCGCCGAUGGUGCCGUGGCAGCGCCCUUUAGGCGAAGAAGCUGUGGCGGCGGACUCGCAGGAGGUGCCUCCUAGCCAGCGGCGGUGGCGGAGGCGAGUGGCGCCUCUCCCUCCCCCGGGAAUCUGACGGCGAGAGGUCACACUGUCGGCGAGGGAGCAAGGACCAGUGAUGGUGGCCCAGAGCACCAGCAGAUGGGGUCGGGGACGAGCGCGGCGGCAUCCGAGGAGAAGGAGGCGUCGUUCCCCUCGCGUGGCCAGGGCUUGACGAUGAGCCUACUGCGAGGGGCGCGAGCGGGCGGGGGGGGGGGGGGCAGCGGUGGCUGCUGUAGCGCAGCGUCGGCGUCGGUCUAGGACUCCAGCUCCGGCUCCAGCACGCUUGGAUGGGACGAGUAGUCUACCUCCUCCUCCUCAUCAAUGUCAUCUCCUCUGCCACGAGGCCGCAUCUUCUCUGGUUGGGUGGCCGCUCCUUUGAGAAUGGAAUGCAAUGGGGAGAGAGGAGGAAGAAGAGGGUUGAGAAUGACAUGUGGGGUCCACGUGGGCCCCACCAAUUUUAUUAAUACUUUUUGUGUAAUAGACAUGUGGGGUCACAAUUUUUAUUAUUUUCCAAGUCAAAUUACGAGAAAAAGGACAGCAUGCCACUCCCUAUGUGUGGUUUCAACAAAAUGCCACUCAUUAGAUUGCAAAGGAUAAAAUGCCACUCAUUAUGUUAGAUUUCAGGAUAGUUUGCCACUUUAGGGGAUUUUACCUAUUUUCUUUUCUUUUCUCCUUAUUUUCUUUUAUGAAUUGACCAAACUGCCCUUGCCUCUAAUCAGAUCAGAUCGGGCCGAUCCAAAUCGAGCGUGCGCCUGUUCCCAGCACCCUCGCCGCCUUGCGCUCGUGGACGCUGUCCUCCAGCGCCGCACGCCGCUCGUCCAUCCCUCUCGCCGCGCGCCGCCUUCCCCCUCCCCAGCGCGACUUCUCCCUCUCCCCCUUUUGGUUUGCUGCUAUGAAUCUGUGCAUUUUUGGUUUGCUACUAUUAAUCUGAAAAUUUGUGCACUUUUGGUUUGCUCAUAUUAACCUGAAAAUUUGAGUUUGAUGCUCUUAUGUAUGGCCGCCUGUACAAGAUGUCCCAGUACCUCCCCACAUCCCUCUCGUACUUGCCUGCUAUUUAAUUUUGAUGUUGUUGAAACACAGAGAGUACCGCUCUAAUCUUAUUAGAUUAGAGCCAGGGGCAGUUUGGUCAGUUUAUAAAAGAAAAUAAGGAGAAAAGAAAAGAAAAUAGGUAAAAUCCUCUAAAGUGGCAAACUAUCCUGAAAUCUAACAUAAUAAGUGGCAUUUUAUCCUUUGCAGUCUAAUGAGUGGCAUUUUGUUGAAACCACACAUAGGGAGUGGCAUAUUGUCCUUUUUCUCGUCAAAUUACCAAAGCCACAUCAGAUGAAGACUGAGUCAAAUUAGCUAUGUAGGCGCCAUUUCAGCUAAAACCGCAAUCCAAACCGUCUAAUGAGUGGCAUUUUGUUGAAACCACACAUAGGGACCGUUUUAAUAGUUGAGGGAUCCGUUGUGUUUGAUUUUACGGUUGAAGGAUGAAAAUCGGAUUUGUCGAUAAGUUAAGUGAACUCAGGUGAACUUAUUCAGAAAAAGAAAAAUAGACUCCAGAGACGCAGAUGAACUUAUUCACUAAGCUUGAAUGUGUUUAGUGACUGAAAAAGAAAAACAGGGCCAUCAAGUUCAUUAAAAUGAAAUUAAGUUCUUUGAACCACACUGAAUGUUGCCCCUAUCAUGAGGUAGCUGACUUACUCAAGCUGAUGUUGCUGUGGUAGUUUCUUUCUCAUGUUUAGUUCAGAUGAUGCUUGGUCUGCUCUUUUUAGUUCACAUAUAUGCAGGCAUCAUCAAGUGUCUUUUUUUAGGGGCUUUUAACUAUUCGCCACUUUUAGAUUUGGCAAAUAAGGGCUUUUAACUAUUCGCCACUUUUAGAUUUGGUAAAUAACUAUUUGCCACCCCUAUCUCAAUGACAUGUGGGUCCACAUGUGUCUAUAACAUAUGGGUCUAGUGGCAAAAAGUUAAUUGCAACAUCUAAAUGUGGCAAAUGGUUAAAUAUCUCCUUUUUUUUAAGGAAAAUGUUUACAACUGGAAACUUCUGUAGUCACCAAGUUUAGUUCAGAUGGUGUUUGCUCUGCUCUUUUUAGUUCAGAUACACUGCUCUAGUUAUGGAAGCAGAUUCUACAUCAUGUCAUGUCCAAGAUGUUUAAGAAUGCCAAAGUUGACGAUGAUCCUAGUUCAUGUCUUGUGCAUAACUUUGAGUUGUCAAGUUCUUUUCUCUAGAUACCCUAAAAUCACUUGUAUAUAUCCUACACUGAUUAAGGACAAGUAUAAUUCCUCAGCCAUAGCUACCAUUGUUUACUUUCCAUUUGAAUUUAAUUACUGAAAUGUGUUCUACAUAAAUGUUGACCUUAGCAAUUUAACUACGGAAGGUCCUAAUCCCUAUGGUUUAUUAAUUUCAUUGGAGCAUACAGUUCUGGUGUUAGCUCUCUUGACCAUACUUAUCUAUAGUAAAUUAGUAAUUAGUAUAGUAUACAUGUUGCUAUCCCUUUUUGUCCCUUUUCCUGUAGCUGCAAGAUAACAUAACAGUCUCCAUUUCUCUGUACUGCGAAACAAAGUAAAAAAAAAAACAUGUAUCAAUGAAUCAACAAUUAUUCUUUUAUUGUAUAUCCAUAUAAGUAGUAUAUAUGGUCUCUGCAUCUUCUGAAAAUGCAGACAAGUUAAGAUAAACAACUUCAAGAUUAACAUGAUUUCUGUAUCUUCUGAAAAUUCAAAAAUCUCAAGAUUAACAUCUAUUAUGCAUGUCAAUUAGUUUGAAUGAACUUCUGAAUGGACUUCAAGAUGUUAUAUAGUACUAUCCAUUGUAUUAUGUCUGCUAGAAGGGAAAAAAAGUGGAAUUGGUGGGUAGUAGUUUAAAAAUAUGGAGGUUGUGUGCAAAUGCAUUGACCAAAGUUUUGUUUCCUUUUAUCUGUUUGUGAGAUGCAAAUCUGAUGUUUACUCAUUGCGCUUUGCAGUUUCCUUGACAUUGAUUGGUAGGGACAUUCUAGGUAAUUUAUUUGAUGGUAGCGAUUCCUGAAGUUCCUGAAUAUUUAUUGCUUCAGACUGCAUGGUGAAAGUCAGGGCAUCAUUAUAGUGUCUCAUGCUGCUCAGCUCAUUCCACUCAUAUUGUUUAAUUUGUGAUGUGUCUGAGUUCCAAUGCUCGUUUGUUUGGAUUUGAUUAGUAUUCCCUCCGUCCCAUUUUAAGUGCAACCAUAAGUUUAUGCGCCCCGCCCAACUUUGAUCGUUCAACUUAUUUAAAAAAAAUUAUAAUUAAUAUUUUUGUUGUUAUGAGAUGAUAAAACAUGAAUAAUACUUUACUUGUGACUUAUGUUUUUAAAUUUUUUUAAAAACUUUUCAAAUAAGAUGGACGGUCAAAGUUGGGUGCGGAAAAUCAUGGCUGCACUUAUAAUAGGACGGAGGGAGUAGCACCUAGACACCCAGUUUGUGUUGAUGAUUGUCACGGACUCGUGUUGGGCUGGACAUCCAUGACGGACUACGGAAAAACUAAUUCACGCAGAUGCGCUAGUUGGUUAUCUCACGCACGUUGCCUGCGCAGGCCCACAUGCAACUUUUAUGGGUUUUUUUACGAUUUUUUCCAUAUGCACAUGAUUUCCUCUUUUUAUGAUAUUUUUUUGGUGUUUUCUUUCGUGAACUUUUUUAAUCUAGGCGCAUGAUUCAACUUAAAUUUGGAGUCAAAAGUUUUUAAAAUUGUAGUUAGAAGUUUUAAAUUUUUAGUUUGAAUGUUCUUUAAAUGUAAUAUAAAUGUUUUGAAUUUUGAGAUGAAAGUUUUCAAAUUCGAGUUGAAAAUUUCAAAUCCUAAGUUGAAAGUUUUCAAAUCCGAAAUAAAAGUUUUUAAAUCUAAGUUGAAUGAUUUUAAAUCUUGACUUAAAAAUUUUCAAAUCUCGAGUUGAAAAGUUUUAAAAUCUAAGUUGAAAGUUUUCAAAUCUCGAGUUAAAAGUUUUCAAAUCUGCAUUGAAAGUUUUCAAAUCUGUGUUGAAAUUUUUCAAAGUUGAGUUGAAAGUUUUUCAAAUUUGAGAUGAAAAGUUGAAACUUUUUGAAAAUUUGAGUUAAAUCUGGAUUUAAAUUUUUGAAAAUUUAACUUUAGAUAUAGAUUUAUUUUCAAUUUGUUAGUUAAAAAAUCUCAUGGAAAAAAAAUCCUAACUACUACUGUCAUUAUCUCAAACUAUAAUUAUCUAAAACUAAUUGAUUAGUUAACAUACCUUGCAGUCCUAGAAAACAUGCGCCGGGGGCUGCGCCACCGAUGAACUGUGGCAUGUUAGGCCUAAUAUGUUGUAUCAAGUAGCUACUACAAAAAGAAACCAGGCACCAUUGGAAGAGGGAUCGAUGAAUUGAUGGACUAGCCACGGCUCUUCUUCCUCCUCCAUCUUCUCCCCAACCUAAUGCUUCAAUUGUAAAAUCAAAGUGUUUUUGAUUGUUAUUCUGUGAUGAACAAUUGGUAUAUGAGAUUAUUGGUUUUGAUAUUUGGAAUUUAUUUUCGAAGUGGUUUUGGAGAUGAUUGGAAUUUGCAGGUGAAUAGGAACUGCUGCUUGUGUGACCGGCCGACUCUGUGUCGGUUUCGGUUUCGGGUUGUUUGUUUGGAUAUCCAUGAUUGUUUCAUGAUUAUGGCUUCUAAUUGGAUACUAUUCGUAUGUAAUACUGUUGUUUGCUACUAAUGAGUCAAGUUGGAGAUAGCUUAGUCUCGGAAUAUGGUUUCUUUGUUUGAUUCAUGUUUAGGUGACUUCAUGCCUCGGGAGAGUAUUGCCGGUGAUGGAUCAGGAGUCGGCUUGGGGAUAAGACAACGUCCGUGACGGUUAGAUAACAUGCGGGAUACUUAGGCUAGAGUUUAAUGCACGUGAUUGGUGAAGAUUCCAUAUGGCAUACGAUGGAGGUAUUGUGUACGUAUGGGAUGAGGAGUCGAAUUAGGAAGGAGUCCAAAUUUGGUAUGAUUGGAGUUUGUAAAGUUUGUUUCUUGUACGAGAAGGUUUCCUAGGUGGAUUAGGACUUCUAGUAUGAGUUUGGUUCAUGGCUUUAGGCUGCCUACCUCAUGUAUAAAUAGAGAGGGAGCGUGAGGCUUCCCUGUAUCGCUUUUGAGAGCAAUUGAGUUGAUAGUUUAGUUUGGGUUUCGAGUUUAGUCGAAAUUUUUGUAAGGAGUACUGUUGUUGCACUUUAUAAACACAGAGAGAAUCAAUAAAGUUGUCAUAUACUUUGAGAAUUCUUCGAUUUGUGUUUCAUCGGGUUCGGCGGUCUAACUGACGACAUACCGGCGGUCGGACCAGCGGCAUUGUGGCGGUCGGACCGGCGGCAUACCUACUCUUAGACAGGCAUCGUCUUGAGGAGGCUGAGGUGACUUCGGAGCGGUUGGACCGAGCAAUUCACAUCAGUCAAACUGGCGGUGCAGGCACGGCUAGACCGGCGGAUCACCUUCGGUCAGACCGGUUCACCCCCCCACCCCCCCUCUAGUUGGCUUAGUUCUUGUGUUUCGAUCCUACAAGUAAUAUCAAAGCCUUGUUUUCUUCUUUGGAUUUUAACCGAUCUAGAGUUUUUUAAACUGAGUUUGAACAAAAUUGCAAAGCUCGCAAUAUUCUAUUGAGCGAGAUUUCUCGUUCGGAUUAUGAUCGUGUUUCUCAUCUUCAAACCGCCAAUGAGAUUUGGAUUGCUUUGAGUAAUUUUCAUCAAGGAACUACCAGUAUUAAAGAACUUCGUCAGUAUCUUUUCAAAAAGGAGUACAUUAAAUUUGAGAUGAAAUCUGGAGAAGCUUUGGAUGACUAUCUUUCUAGGUUUAACAAAAUUUUGAGUGAUCUUAGAUAUGUUGGUUCUUCUUAUCGUGUUAAUUACACACAAUUUGAGGUUUCUCGCCACUUUUUGAAUGGUCUUGACAUGUCUAUUUGGGAGAUGAAAGUUACAUCUAUUCAGGAGUCUGUUGAUAUGUCUACUUUGACUUUAGAUUCGCUUUACACGAAACUUAAAACACAUGAGAUGAAUAUUCUUUCUCGAAAAGUUGAUUCUAAGUCUAGUGCUUUGGUUUCUUCCUUGACUUCUUUGGAUGUUGGUGCUUCUUCAUCAAAGUCCUCUAUUCUUGCUGUAACUAAUGCCAUAUCCGAUGAGCAACUCGAAUAGUUCGAAGAGGAGGAUUUGGUUCUGGUUACUAAAAAAUUUUCUCGAGCUAUAAAUAAUGUUAGGUACAGGAAAAGAAGUGGUCCAAAUCGUUGCUUUGAAUGUAGUUUUCUUGAUCACCUUCGUUCGCAUUGUCCAAAGCUUGGGAGAGGCAAGAAGGAAGACAAUGGUGGAGAGAAGACCAAUGACAACAAGUCGAAGAGCAUAUUCAAAGGGAAGAAGAUCAAGGAGACUCUCAAGAAGGCUUUUGAUCAAGUUUAUGCCGCUUUUGAGCCACUAAGCGAUGUAGAUGGUGAAAGUGGAGAUGAAGAUAAGGGAAAGAACAUCUCCGGUGUUUGCUUCAUGGCACGUGGUGAAUCGGAUUCAGAGUGUGAAGAAAAUGAGGUACAUUCUUUUGAGGAAGCUAUUCUUAUUUUAAGUGCAAAAAAUAAGAAGUGUGAAAAGAUGUAUAGAAAACAGGGAGUUUAUUAUUGAAUCUCUUAAUUCUGAAAUUGCUAGAUUAAAAUCUCUUAUUCCCAAUGAUGACGAUUGCAAAAGUUGUGAGGUUUUAAUGAAUGUGAUUUCUAAAAUUAGAGAUAUCAAUACAGCACAUGAUUUGAAAAAUAGAUCUUCUCUAGCUCUUGGAUUUGCUUUGCACACACGCACUUGGGAUGAGUUGUUUUUGACUAAAAAGUUAUUGUAAAAAUAUCAAAUUGCUUUUCAUGCUAGUUUAAUGUUUAACAUGAUUUGUGCCAAAAAAUUAAAACAACCAUAUGAUGUUUUGGAUUGCUCAACAUGCACUUUAAACAAGAUGAAACUAAAAGAUGCUUUAGAUCGUGUUGAUUACAUGGAAGAUGUUGUGAAAACCAAUGAAGUGCUUUCUUGCCCCAAAUAUCGUAAAAGCAAAGGUGUCAUGGUAGAUUGUAAAAAUUUUGCUAAUUUGGAAAAAGAGAUUUCUUAUUUGAAAAGUUCUUUGCAAAGAUUUUCUGAUGGUAAGAAACAACUUAGCAUGAUUUUAGAUCAAUCUAAAGUGACCAGUUACAAUAGGGGUGUUGGUUUUGAUGCUCAUGACUAUUUCACCAAAAAUCAACCUAAUGUUUUGAGUGUAACUGAACAUGGUGAAAUUUUGACAAAACCAAGUGCUAAGAAAACAGUUUUCAAAUCUGCUGGAAUUUUGCCUUCUCUUUCUGCAACACUAAAAGAAACAAAAACAAAUAUUUCAAAACCAUCUUCUUCUAAAGAAAAGUAUACUUGUUCUUUUUGUGGUAAAGAUGGACAUCUUGUUAGUUUUUGUUUCAGAUUAACUCGUAAACAGAAAAAUGAGAGAGAAAUUGCUUUUGCAAAAUCAAAGUGGCAAAAAUCUGGUUUUCCCUCGAGAAAACCGGUCAGACCGCAGAGGGUCCCACGGUCAGACCGGCGACCGGUUAGACCGAUAGCUGUCUCUCGGUCAGACCGGGCACCGGUCAGACUGAGGGUACAGUGGCGGUCAGACCAGCUACUGUACUUCGGUCAGACCGGCCUCGCAGAGAUUUUUCUAAAAUUCUCAGACUGUUUUUGCACGUGGAUAUAUGCCUAUUAGAUCUACUGGUCAUGUGUCUCAGUACUGGAUUCCUAAAUUUUUAUUAUCUAACCCCAGUAUUGAGGCUUCGACAUCUUCUUGUGUGUAGGCUUUGGUGGCGAGGAAGGAGAACGUGUGGAUCGUGGAAUCCGGUUGUUCGUGGCACAUGACCGGUGAUAAAAAUUGGUUCUCCUCCCUCAAACAGGCAUCCAAGACUGAAUCGAUUAUCUUUGGUGAUGCUUCUACUAGCGUCGUUCUCGCUACAGGUUUGGUCAAGGUAAAUGACAAGUUUUAAUUGAAAAACGUAGCUUUGGUUGAGGACUUAAAGUACAAUUUGCUUUCAGUUUCACAAAUUGUUGAUGAAAAUUUUGAGGUUCACUUUAAGAAAACUGGAAGUAAAGUAUUCGAUUCUUGUAGAGAUUCUAUGUUGAAUAUUUCUCACUAUGGAAGAGUGUUUAAAGCUGAUUUUGAAAAUCAUGUUUCACCUGUGAUAACAUUUUUGGUUGCUAAGUUUGAUAAAUAUGUGAUGUGUUGGCAUCGUAGACUUGGACAUGUUGGUUUUGAUCAUCUCACGAGGUUAAGUGGUUUGGAUCUUGUUCGUGGUUUGCCUAAACUUAAGAAAGAUCUUGAUUUGGUUUGUACACCAUGUUGUCAUGCUAAGAUGGUUGCUUCUUCACAUGCUCCUAUUGUUUCUAUGAUGACGGAUGCACCGGGACAGCUAUAACAAAUGUACACUAUUGGUCCAGUUAGAGUGCAAUCUAUUGGAGGAAAGUGGUAUGUGUUGGUUAUUGUUGACGAUUUUCCUCGAUAUUCUUGGGUUUUCUUCGUGGCAACUAAGGAUGAGGUUUUUCAACACUUUCGUGGUUUGUUUCUUCGAUUGGAUCUUGAAUUUCCUGGUUCUUUGAAAAGAAUUCGAAGUGAUAAUGGUGGUGAAUUUAAAAAUGCUUCAUUUGAACUAUUUUGCAACGAAAGAGGUCUUGAACAUGAAUUUUCUUCUCCUCGUGUUCCGCAACAAAACGGUGUUGUUGAAAGAAAGAAUCGUGUUAUGGUUGAGAUGGCUAGAACGAUGUUGGAUGAGUAUCACACUCCUAGAAAAUUUUGGGCCGAGGCGGUUAACACCGCAUGCUAUAUUUCAAAUCAGAUUUUCUUGAGGUCUAAACAUGGAAAAACUUCUUAUGAACUUCGAUUUGGAUGUCAACCUAAAGUUUCACAUUUGCGUGUUUUUGGUUGCAAAUGCUUUGUCUUGAAAUCUGGAAAUUUGGAUAAGUUUGAUGCACGCUCUGCUGAUGGAAUGUUUCUUGGUUACCCCGCACAUUCGUGUGCCUAUCGUGUACUUGUUUUGGAAACUAACAAAAUUGUUGAGACUUGCGAAGUUUCUUUUGAUGAGGCUAGUCCAGGUACUAGACCCGAAAUUGCAGGUACAUUGUCACAUGUUCAGGGGGGGUGGUCAUAUUUUUGAAGAUGAGAGCGGCGACGACGACGACGAGGAGGUCGGCUCGGCCGGUCAGACUGGGAGCCAGGCCGGUCAGACCGCCGGCACACCUCCGGUCAUACCGGCACAGGACGUGCGGUCAAACCGGCCAGGUUCGUCGGCUUCUGGUUCUGUUGACGCUGAUCGAGAUGGUCCUCCAGAGGCUACAACUUCGACCAGUACUAGUACAGAACGUGAAACAACUUCAGAAGUUGCUGCUCCUUUGCAUAUUCAACGACGACAUCCGCCGGAACAAAUCAUUGGUAAUCUAGGUGAGCGGACUACAAGGUCUAAGGUAACGACUCAUGAUGUCUGUGCAAAUUCCGCAUUUGUUGCUUCUUUUGAACCCAAAGAUGUUACUCAUGUAUUAACUGAUGAAUCGUGGAUUAAUGCCAUGCAUGAAGAACUUGAAAAUUUUGAGAGAAACAAGGUUUGGACUUUAGUUGAACCAUCUUCUGGACAUAAUAUUAUUGGAACCAAGUGGGUUUUCAAAAAUAAACAAAAUGAGGAUGUUUUAAUUGUGAGAAAUUAAGCUAGACUUGUUGCUCAAGGUUUUACCUAGGUGGAGGGUUUGGAUUUUGAUGAAACUUUUGCUCUUAUUGCUAGAAUCGAGGCAAUUAGAUUUUUGUUGGCUUUUGCUGCUUCAAAAGGUUUUAAAUUGUAUCAAAUGGAUGUGAAAAGUGCUUUUCUAAAUGGUUUUAUACAGGAGGAAGUUUAUGUCAAACAACCACCGGGUUUUGAAAAUUCUGAUUUUCCCAACCAUGUUUUUAAAUUGUCUAAAGCUUUGUGUGGCUUGAAACAAGCACCUAGAACAUCGUAUGAUGGGCUUAAGAACUUUUUGCUUGCGAAAGGUUUGCAAAACGCUUUUUGUUCUUAAGCAUGGUGAUAAUCAACUGUUUGUUCAGAUUUAUGUGGAUGAUAUCAUCUUUGGUUGUUCAACUCACACUUUGGUUGUGGAGUUUGCUAAGACUAUGCGCAGGAAAUUUGAGAUGAGCAUGAUGGGUGAGUUAUCGUACUUUUUGGGAUUGUAAAUUAAGCAGACACCUCAAGGUACAUUUGUGCAUCAAAUGAAGUACACGAAUGAUCUUUUGAGACGGUUCAAGAUGGAGAAUUGCAAGCCAAAUUCAACACCAAUUGGUUCUACAGCUGUGUUGGAUCCUGAUGAAGAUGGUAAAGCUAUUGAUUAAAAGGAGUAUAGAAGCAUGAUUGGAUCUUGUUGUAUCUAACUGCUUCUAGGCCAGACAUACAAUUUGCUGUGUGUUUGUGUGCACGCUUUCAAGCUUCUCCUCGGGCUUCACAUCGUCAAGCGGUCAAGCGAAUAAUGAGGUAUUUGAAUCAUACACUUGAGUUUGGAAUUUGGUAUUCUACUUCAUCUUCUAUAUGCUUGAGUGGAUAUUCUGAUGCUGAUUUUGCUGGUUGUAGAAUUGAUAGGAAAAGUACUAGUGGAACAUGUCAUUUUCUUGGUAGAUCAUUGAUUGCAUGGUCUUCUAGGAAACAAUCUAGUGUUGCUCAAUCAACUGCUGAAUCUGAACAUGUUGCUGCUGCUAGUUGUUGUUCACAGGUUCUUUGGCUUAUUUCAACUUUGAAAGAUUAUGGUCUUACUUUUGAGAAAAUACCUCUCUUCUGUGAUAAUACUAGUGCUAUUAACAUUGCUAAGAAUCUUGUUCAACACUCACGCAUAAAGCACAUUGAUAUUCGCUUUCACUUUUCGAGGGAUCAUGUUGAGAAAGGAGAUGUUGAAUUGACGUUUUUGGAUACAAAGUUGCAACUUGCUGAUAUUUUCACUGAACCUUUGGAUUCUAAUCGCUAUGCUUUUCUUCGUGGAGAAUUGGGAAUAAUUCAUCCUUUUGGCAUGAUUUGAGGGGGAGUUUUGUACCUCAUGGUUUUAUCAAGCAAAAUUUGACAAUAAGAACAAUUGAGAAAAGAGAGCUUUGUUCUAUACCUAUGGUAUUUUUUUUGUUCAUGCUAGCAAUAUUAUGAAGGUUUAUUUGUCUCUAGCAUAGCUUGUAUGUAUUCUAGUCUUUUUAUGAGGCUUCAAUAUUGCUUUUAAGGGAUAUGAUGAAUGACAGUUAAAUUCUAUACUUGAAUUAAGCAAAUAUGCAAUAUUGAUGCAAGCAUAUGGUUGGAUGUAUAAAUGCUUUAUAUAUAUGCUUUAUUGAAUUGUUAUUCCUCAAAUAGCUUUGUAAUUGCUCAUUGUGCAAAGAAAAUAAAAAUAUCUAUGAAAAAAUGAAUACCGAAUCCUUGGAAAUAGUCUUGACGACAAGGACGUAUUCGAUGUGAGCAAAAAUAAUGGGUGUCGAAUCCUUAGAAACAGUCUUGACGACAAGGACGUACCCAGAAUAAUUGAGAGAAAAAAUAUGAGCAAAAAGGCUCAAGAAAAAAAAAGGUUAAUAAAUUCUCUUGGUUAUUUUGUGCUAAAGCUAAUUUGAGAAAAAGUGAUAAAUGCAAUAGGUAUAUAUGUAUAGUGUUUAUUUUUCAACCUAUGAGCUUGUAAAGAUGUUGCAUUAUAAAUCGUAUGAAAUCAUGAAUUUUGAUUGUUUAUUUAAGCUUAAUUGUAAAAUCUUUGGUUUAUGAUUAUACUUUAAUGCAUGCUUGCUAUAUUAUAGAUGGGUUCAUCUUCUUUUUAUUGUAACACAUGACUUGAUAUGCUGUAUGUAUGCUAAGCUCUUGAACUUUAACAAACAUAAUUUCUAUGCUUGAUGAAAUCAUUGUCAAAAGGGUAAGAAGCAAUGAGUUCAAUUUCUCCGGUUCCUAGUCCCUUGCUUCACUUCCCAGUCUAGCUGCUUACUCCCAGUCUAAACCUCUACUUCUCCCUGAUUUGUAUCCUAAAUAUUUAGGGCCCCUUUCAUUCGUAGGAAAAAUGUAGGAAUUUUGGAGGAUUUCAAUCCUAUAGAAAAAAAUCCUAUGAAGACCUUUGAAACAAAGGAUUGAAUCCUAUCCAAUCCUUUAAAAUUCCUAUGGAGUGGGUAAUCCUAUGCACAUUUUGGAGGAAAGUUAGCAAGAGGUCUAGGGGUCCCUUUGAAUCACAGGAAUGAAAAAACGGAGGAAUAGGGAAAACAUAGGAUUCUGACAGGAAUGAAAGUGUAAAAUAGAGGAUUACAAAACACAGAAAAAACAUAGGAAUGACCGUUUGAUUGGACCAUAGGAAAAACACAGGAAUUUGAGGAGAGAUAAAGACUCAAAGAAUUUCUUCCAUGAGGUUCUACCUCUUGUUAAAAUUCCUCCAAAACUUGUAUGGGAAGAGGCAUUCCAUAGGAAUUUCAUAGGAUUCCAUAGGGUUCAUUCCUUUGAUUCAAAGGGCUUUGUAGAAAAAAUUCCUAUAGAAAUAAAAUCCUCUAAAAUUCCUAUGAAUUUCCUUUGAAUCAAAGGGGGCCCUAACAUCUUGGAACAUUUCCUCUGAGUCUAUCUCUCUCAUCUGAUUCCUGCGGUUUUCCUGUGGUCCAAUCAAACGGCUAUUCCUGUGUUUUUCUGUGUUUUGUAAUCCUCUGUUUUACAAUUAUAUUCCUGUCAUAAUCCUGUGUUUUUUCUAUUCCUCUGUUUUUUUAUUCCUACGAUUCAAAGGGGAUCAGUGUUGGGUUUGGUCGUUCUCACUUGAGAUUGGUCGAUCUGUUGAUUUGGAUGUUGGAACAUAACAAUGAUUUUAUUGACAAUGACUUGUAUAUAUUCCGUUGUUGUUGCUCAGCAGAAAACAUCUAUGGAUUAGAGGAAGCAAAGUAGUACUAUAUUCUGCUCAUUGAGUUAAUCAGAUUUUGAUAGCUAAAAUCUCCAGCCAAAACGAACAUACAUGGGGUUUAAGAAAGGGAAUUAUAGGGAUUUUGUGUGACUCAAUCCCUCCCUGGAUACAUAUAAUAUUCCACCUGGGGAUUUUGUGUGCUCGUCCCUCCACCCAGAACGUCACAACUCCUAUGGUCAGGCUUAGAUAUCCGGCCACUAGCGCAAACGCGGCGGCUGCCACGUAAUUUUGGCAGCUCACAGGGAGUUCGCUGCAGAGGUUGGUGUCUCUCUUGAGGAACACAACCAUGGCGACGGUGGACCAACCCGUUCCAAAGGUUACCAACAUCAGAAUCUGCAUGAGAAAAUUAGUUCCUACUUAAACUAUUUAUACAUAUGCGCUGCGCUAAUAUAUUACCCCCUCAUUCCCUAAAUAUUUGACGCCGUUGACUUUUUUUAACAUGUUUGACCGUUCGUCUUAUUCAAAAAUUUUUAUGAAAUAUGUAAAAUUAUAUGCCUACAUAAAAAUAUAUUUAACAAUGAAUCAAAUCAUAGGAAAAGAAUUAAUAAUUACUUAAAUUUUUUGAAUAAGACGAGCGGUCAAACAUAUGCUAAAAAGUUAACGGCGUCAAACAUUUCGAAACGGAGGGAGUAGUUAUCAACUGUUAUAUACUUGUCGACACUUACGCGAUAGGCGUCAACCAUAUCGGAGCUUUGUUGGUCGCUAGGAAGGCCAUCCUAAAUGCCGCCGCACAGAAAAACAGGCAUAGGAUCCUAAGGACCACCAUCAUUUUCUCCGUCCUCCUCGACACCAUCCUACACAAUAAUUGCUGCUAAUUAUUAUGUAGUUAAUGGGCCUUUGUUUAACCAGACUAUCCCGUGAAAUUUGAGCGGCCCAUAUAAAAUCUUGUUGGAGUACUAACUUAAACGAUAAAAGUAAACUAAUAAAUAAUUUGUACUUCAUGGUAUAUUUUAUAGAAAUAUAAACAAGAACAGAAAUUAAAUCCGUGUAAAAUCUUCACUUGAAAAGCAUCAUUUCUUUUAGUGUUUAUUGAAAUAAAAUUUCCAAUGAUUUGCAUAAUAUAUUACUUGAAAGUUGAAAUCUACAAGUAUUUCGGACCUUUUCUGCAUUCUCUCUUCUCACCAAAUUCUCGGCUUUUAUUUAUACUAGUAAUAUGCCCGUGCUAACGCUACGAUCUUUAAUUUUUUUUAAUAAAUGACUAAAAUUUUGUGUUAGUCAAAAUAAUCAAUUUAAUGGGAGCUUUAAUUCAAAUUAUGCUAUAUAUUUAAGGCAAAUUACAAGGUGGAUAUUUCACAUUGUUCCUCUGAAAAAACACAUUGUUCAUCCGAAAUACCACCAAAAUACACACAAUUUCUCUCCAAUAGCAAUUUACUUUGGUAGGUGUUGGGAGAAUUUACUAUUUGCCACUCUACCAAAAUGCCAGUGCUCAAAUACCACUCUCCCAAAUUUUCAUUACCAAAUACCAUCCGGGCCCACAUGUCAGCCUCACUUUCCAUUCAAACAAAAGUGAUGUGGGACCCUGUGCUGGAUGAGGCUGACAUGUGGGCCCGGGUGGUAUUUGGGAAUGGAAAUUUAGGAGAGUGGUAUUUGAGCAUUGGCAUUUUGGUAGAGUGGUAAAUAGUAAAUUCUCCGGUUCCGGUGCAACUGUGAGUCAUAUAAUAACUUGUCACCAUGAGCUGAAUCAGAGGAACGUAAAAUAUCUCUUAUCCUUAAGUUAGCAUCAAUAUAGAACAUAAUGCUAUACCUCACCUAUAUACAUGGCAAGGUCUCCAAGCAUGACCAGCUGCAAUAAAAUUAGAUACUAAACCCUAGCCAAUGUAUAUUAGCGAUUCUUCUUAAAAAAAUAUAUGGCAAGGUCUCCUACCAUGGCCUCUUGAUUUCUCUGCAACGCACAUUUUUCUAGGUAUGAAAUAAAGCACCUUCUAACAUUAUUGGUUCCAUUCUGAAAACAAUGGAACACAUGAAAAAUCAUGCUCCAAUUGAGAAAUUAAGGCAGAAACUUGAUCUUUAAUCAUCUCAUCACAGCACACGGAGGAAAGUACUUCAGAAAAAAAAAAAGAAGAAGAAACUUUGGCCUCCGCUUGUGCCUCAGACCCCCAGUCUUGCGGCGAUCAAUCUCGCAGACCCGAUGCCAUGCCCCAUAUCCUUCAAAUCCAACUCAUAAAAAAUCACGCCUUUGAUUGAAGAAGACCAGUUAAAGAUUGAAUUCUAACUGUUGCUCGUGCUUGCGUUAGCGAGUUGACGGUGCCCGCAUUAGUGCCAGGUAGCUUCCGAGUUGGGCAUCGGUCACUCGAUCGGUGCGUACUCGUUGGACGAGCAUGUGUUCGAGCUAUGAGAAUGGUGUCGUGAGCUUGAACUCGUGGCCCGCUUCAUCACGUUGAAGAAAUGUCUUGCUCUCUUCUUCACCAAGCACACACGAGCAAAGAACACACAGGAUGCCACGCCCUAAAGUCAUCCUAAAAUUUUAUCGUCUAAAUUAUUCCUAUAAAUUGUAAACAGCCAAAAAUAGCCUUCAACAAUUAAAUAUCAUCAAGUUUCAACUCAAAUUCAUGUGUGAGAAUUUUAUUUUAAGUUCCUCGUGCUACAAAACACUUAACCAUUUUUUACUGGAAUUUUAAGAGCAUUAUAAAUAAUUUUAAUGCAGCAAUAACCUUUCUCAGAUUUUUUUUAAAAAAAGAAAAACUAAAAUAAAAUCCUGCUCUUGCUCCGGCCCUUCUCUCCUUCCCGGCCCAACCUAGCCAUCGCGCCCACCAGGCCGCACGUGCACUGCACGCGUGCGCCCCCCGUGGGGUCCGCCUGUCGGAGGCGUCCCCUACCUCCACCCCGACCGUUCCUCUCUCUCCCCUCCCCCGUUGAAACCUAGCACCGCCGGCCACCUAGAUCAAGCGUUUCCCCUUUCAAUUGAUCGCAAAAAUGGGUUUCUUGUGUAGUGGGCAUCAAUUCCCCCAACAAAUCCCAUUCAAUACCGCACUAAAUCAUCCUCGAUUUUAAUCCGCAACCGGCAUGUUCAAUAGGGAGCUCCACCGCAGCUGCACCCUCGCGCGGCAGCGGCAAAGGUAGGAGAGGGUGCGAGAGACGAGAGGCCGAUGGGAGCGACCUGGGAUCGAGCGCUGAUCUCGGAAGCGGACAGGACGGGGACGCGGCGAUGAGCGGAUGAAGGCGUUCGAAGGGAAAGGGGCGGCGAUUGAUUUGCUGGCGUGUCACGUCAUGAAUAAGUAAAACAACUUGUUUAAUUAUUAUAGGGUAGAUUUAUAUUUACUUACUUUUUUUAAUAAAAAGUAUGUAGUGGUGGCGGUGAAGCUAACCCUAACAUACGCGUGUAAUAUGGACCGUAGGAUUGGCAGAUCGAACGGUUCAGAUCGAUAGACAGACCCACGGUUCUCUCCGCAUCUGCGCAUCUAACUUCCUUCGCAUCGAGCGGCACCUCUCAUCAUAACACAACCCACUGCCAGGUUCUCCGUUCCACUAAUCUCUUGGCUCCCCAGGACUCCACCGCGCCCCUCCGUUUCCAUAUCUCGCGCAAUCACACGUUGUCAGGUCACCGUCACGAGAAUGCUAUUACGUGAUCAGUCGUGCGCGCCCUCCCCGCGCGACUGGACACGUGUCGCGCGCGGAGAGGGGACGGCGGACGCGCCGCGCGGGACUGCGGGAGAGCGAGUUUUUCGUUUUUUUUUACUUUUUCCGUGUUUUUCGUUUCUAUUCGGUUUGCCUUUUUUUCCGUGUUUUUCGUUUCUAUUCGGUUCGGUUUUUCUUUUUGGGACUAGCUAGCGAGUUGUCGACAGUUUUUGAGACCCGGAACUUUCAAAAUUUUCAACCACGGGAUAUAUCAUCAACAAUUACUGGAAAACAUGUCUGCACCAAUAAAAACCACAAAUCUUAGUACGCAUGCUUUUGAAAAGAAUUACAAAUUCUAAUUUUACACGAUGUAAAUACCCUAUAACUAUCAUAUAACUGGGGUAUAAGUGAUAUGUAACUGCUCUCUAACUAAGGUGCAAGUGAUAUGUAAGUUUAUAACUACUCUGUAACUAGGAUGUAAGUGCUAUGUAAGUAGAUUAAAGUACGCGAAUACUGCUCAUAGAACGUUCGACAGAAACAAGUUACCAAAAUAUUCGAAUUAUUUUAGCCUUUGGUUCCAACACUGACGUCAUUGCUAGGAUUAUCCCAAAAAUUAGGGGGGCAAACAAGGUCUAAUUGUAGUUGCGAUGUAAGUAGCAUGUAACCGUGAUUUUAAUUCGAAAACUUAGCUGGCUUAGUGGUUUGUACGCUGCUCUACGUAGAAGGGUAGGCAGCAGGAUCGACUCCUCCUAAGGCACUAUUUUCUGCUCUUUUCUUCCGUCACGCCUGCACGAAUCUCGGAGCGAAUCCCAAGGCUGAAAAAUCGACAGUUUUUUCCAAGUCUUUUCUUCCGUCACGCACUCACGAAUCUCGGAGCGAAUCCGAGGGCUGAAAAAUCGACAGUUUUUUCCAAAGAAAACUGUCGCAAGUUUUGUUGCAAUUCCGUUCUUUUUUCUUCGUUUCUUCAGUUCGGUUUUUUUUUUCUCUUCUGUUUUUUUUUGUUUUUUUUUAAGAUGUAUGAAUACAAAGUUUGUAUUCGUAUGUAUACCAAACUAGUUUGUAUUCGUACGUGUACAAAGUUUAUAUACACGUAUGUAAAGUUUGUAUACGCGUAUAUGCGUAUACAAAGUUUAUAUUCCCAUAUGUAAACUUUGUAUACGUGAUGUAAUUUCUUGUUUUUUUAUUUUUUUUAAUAUGUAUGUAUAUAAAGUUUGUAUAAUCGUAUACAAAGUUUAUAUAUGUCUUAUAUAAAGUUUGUAUAUGUCGUAUAAAACUUUGUAUAUGUGUAUAUAUUUUUAUGCAUUAAAAAUAUAUCUGUAGAUAUAUAUACACACGUGUGUGUAUAUAUAUAUAUAUAUAUAUAUAUAUAUAUAUAUAUAACAGGUCUAAUAAUCCAGUUUAAGUAGCACGAAUCAUAAAGCACUUAAACAGUGGAUGUUGUUAGAGCCCAUACUCCAUGUAGCAUCAGUUAAUAUAUAUAUACAUAUAUGUGUGUAUGUGUGUGUGGGGUAUAUACAUAAGUAUAGUAGAUACAGAGAAGAGGCUAGGGGGCGACUGACCCCCCGCGCGCGGCUGAUCGCGUAUGCGCCCUGUCACCGUCAUCCCCCACGCCGCGCCGCGUCACCAGGGGCUGAGGGGCGUAGUCCUGGUGGGCCCGAGACUAAAAAGAAAUAUCAGCCCAGUUGCUCACUUGGGCCCAAUAAGUCAAGCCUGGAGUUCACUCCGGCCGGCCGCCGCUGCUUCUCCGCUGGCCUCUCCCUGGCCUCGAUCAGUCUCCCCAACUCCCCGUCGUCCACCAACGUCAUUUGCCCCCCGGUUGUUGAAUCCGCGGAGCGCGCGGCAGAGGGUCGAGGCGCCAAGGCACCACGGCGACCACGCUGCCACUGACCGGUCACCGCAUGGCAGGCGCCCGAGGCGCCACUGGCUGCUGGCACACACUGGGAGCCCAAGACCCCUGGCCACCCGGCUUAAUUAAUUUUGUGCUCUCUAAAACUCGGUAAUCUGCUCUCGCUAGUCGCUACUCCAAAAGUUUUGAUUCAUGAACUUGUAAGAGUGAUUGAAUUCUAGACAUAUAUGCACUCUUUGAGAGUCAUUGCUGCAUUAGGACUGCCACAUCAAUCAAAAAUGUAUUCUGCAAAUAUUGUUUAUUGCUGUGUUGGGAUCUGCUUUUGCGUUUCCAAUUUUAAUUUCAGUGAUACACGGACUAAUUGUCUGUAAAUACAUUUCUUGCGCAUCCAUACAUGACAUGACAGGACAGCUCUAAUUUUGUUGCCAUCUACAACGUUUGAAUUAGAAUAGUAAUCGGAGCAAUGCAUGCUUUCAUAAUUGAGUUCUAUCGAUGCAAAAUUUGAUAAUCACCGAAUUUUUUUAAUAUAAUAAUUAAUAACCCCAUAAUUAAAUAUCUGGUAAAUCAAAGUUGAGAUUUUUAAUAAUAGGAUGGACGCUAAAGAAUACAGCGUCUAGGUAUGGACGCUAUUUGUAAAAUCAUCCAGAGCUGGACGCUCUGGCUAACUACGUCCAGCAUACGACCGGUCGCCUAGGUCGGUCCGACGGUCCCUAUACGAACAGAAGCAAAAUGAAAAAGGAAAAAAAAAAGAAAAACGAGAAGAGGAUUCAGGAACCAUUCUUGGCGACGCCACUGCCGUCCUCCACGCGCGGAACAGCGUCGCCUAUCCAUCCGUCACCGCUACGCGUCCAAUCGCCGAGGGAUUGCCGAGGAGGCCAGGAUGCGGUCGCUAGAGAACGGUAGUUAUUUCGGCGCUGAUUGGUUUUAGGUGGAUACAUUAGGGUUUGGCACGGUUCGACUGCACCCGUAUGGUGGACGUUGUUCGCAAUAACGUUCGGACCUGCACGCUCUAGAGAAUAGCGUCCACAUCUGGACGCUAACAAAAACAACGUCCAUCCUACUUCGCUAAUUACUUGCACACAAUUACCAGAUAUCUAAUUACGGGGUUAUUAAUUAUUAUAUAUAAAAAAAUCAGUGAUAAUCAUGUUGAAUUUUAAUAUUUUGAGGGCUUUAGUAUAGGUUGUUUCUAUUUCUAUCUAAAAUCAUAUUGAUAAAAUUAGCAGGCACGGUUUCCAACAGAAAUUUAUCAACAUGUAUAUGGGAUAUAUAUGGUGUUCAAAAAUUUUGGUAUAUGAUAAAAACUUGUGAUUUGUAAAGUAGGACUACCUAACGAAAAAUUCCUGGCUAAACCACUGAGUGGCACCCUUAGGCACCGCUGCCUGACCUCCAUCGACGACCACCAGAUCUCACCUCCGUCUUACUAAGUUACUGUACUGAACGAUGUCUCACUGGCCAGAAGGUUUAGUCUAUUCUUGAAUGCUCUUUUGUAUUAGCUAAUAGCUUCUUAGGUACUACUUUACCUGUACUAUCAAUAGUUCCGAUAGAGCUGCCAAUUUUUUCAGGGUUUCUACCACUCUCUAGGACAGCAUAUAUCUUUGAGAAUAUUGAUUUCAUCCCCCCGCCCCCUCACUUAUUUGUAUUAGUUAUUCAUAUAUAGACUUAUUCCACAGCAUUUGUAUGGAUGGCUUCAUACAACCUCGAAGAGGGGGCACAGAUGUGGUACAUACAAGUCCAACGAGAUGAAGGAACACCAUCUUGGCGUUGCUUCUCCGAGCUUCUUCACCUGCGCUACGGGCCGCCGCUCCGCUCAAACCCCCUGGGGGAAUUAGCGGCCUGCAAACGUACGGGGUCAUUGGUGGAGUACCAAGAUCGCUUCGAGGCUCUUCUUCCACGCGCCGGCUGUCUCACGGAAGGACAGAAGGUGUAGCUCUUCACCGCCGGUCUCCAACCACCGCUCAGCCUCGACGUCGAGGUCCACAACCCCACCUCGUUGGCCAGCGCCAUGAGCUUGGCACGCAAGAUGGAGCCGCGGGAUCAGUGCGUCGCGCCACAUCACCCUCCAGCAAGGCAGCAGCGGGCACUCCUUCCACCACCAUCGCCACGCCUUGCUCUUCCUGCGCCUCCAGCCACGCCGACCAUGAUCUCCGUCGAAGGCCAUCCCAUCAAGCCUCUCUUGCAGAGCGAGAUGGAAGAAAGGCGUCGUCUCGGUCUCUGCUACAACUGCAACGAAAAAUUCGGCCGUGGACACAACAAGGUAUGCCAGCGCCUCUUCUUGCUGGACAUGGCAAACGAUUCCGACGAUGAGUCUCAGGGCGCCGGCGACGACGACACGGAGCCGCACAUCUCCCUCCACGCCAUCGCCGGCAUCCGCCUUAGCGCGACCACGCAGCUACGCAUCACGAUCGGCGACAUCACUCUCUUGGCAUUACUCGACUCGGGCUCCACCAACAAUUUCAUCUCCGAGGAGGCAGCUACAUGCACAUCCAUGAAACUGCACCAACGCGCAAGCAUGAAGGUCAUUGUCGCCAACGGAGAGCAGGUUCCCUACCUCGGCGUCCUGCGCCAAGCAUCGUUCAUCAUCAACGGAGACAACUUCACCGCCGAUCUCUUCGUCCUACCCUUGGCCGGAUAUGAUGUUGUCCUUGGCACUAAUUGGCUUGCGUCUCUGGGCCCUAUCCUUUGGGAUUUUAGCUCCAGGACCAUGUCUUUUUGGCCGCGGGAUCGUCAAGUCCGAUGGCAAGGAGUGGCAGGACCGGAGGCAACCACUUUGCACACCGCAUCCGCCGGCGACAACCUUCUCGAGGCGCUGCUCACCGUGUUCGCCGAUGUCUUCACCGAGCCUCAAGGUCUUCCGCUGCCGCGGAGUCGCGACCACAACAUCAUCCUCACGCCAGGGGCACAACCGGCGGCCGUCCGGCCAUACCGAUACCCGGCCACGCACAAGGACGAGCUGGAGCGGCAGUGCAAGGCCAUGAUGGAGCAAGGCCUCAUCUGCAGGAGCUCUUCAGCGUUCUCCUCGCCGGUUUUACUCGUCAAGAAAGCCGAUGCAACAUGGCGUUUCUGCGUCGACUACCGCGCACUGAAUGCCAUCACCAUCAAGGACGCUUUUCCCAUCCCGGUGGUAGAUGAACUUUUGGACAAGCUUCAUGGCGCCAAGUUCUUCACCAAGCUGGACCUCCGCUCAGGAUAUCACCAAGUCCGGAUGAACCCGGCCGACAUCGCCAAGACGGCGUUCUGCAUGCAUGAUGGCCUGUAUGAGUUCCUGGUGAUGCCAUUCGGCCUUUGCAAUGCACCGGCCACGUUCCAAGCACUCAUGAAUGACGUCCUGCGACCGUUCCUCAGGCGGUUCGUCCUUGUUUUCUUUGAUGACAUACUCGUUUAUAGCGUCACAUGGGCGGAUCAUCUCUGACAUCUUCGCGCCGUCCUUGACAUGCUGCAACAGCACCGACUCUACGUCAAGCGUUCCAAGUGCGCGUUCGGGGUCUCCUCCAUCUCCUACCUUGGUCACGUCAUCACCGUGGCUGGCGUCGCCAUGGAUCUGGCAAAGGUGCAGGCUGUCCGUGACUGGCCUCAACCACAGUCGGUCUUGGCCGUGAGGGGCUUCUCGGCUUGGCAGGCUACUACCGCAAAUUCGUCCGCGAACUACGGCACCAUAGCGGCACCAUUAACGGCGCUGCUCAAGAAAGAAGGCUUCCUGUGGAGUGACGAUGCAACGUCAGCAUUCCAAGCGCUCAAGACAGCGGUCACGUCGGCGGCGGUCCUCAUCUUGCCGGACUUCUCCAAGCCAUUCGUCGUCGAAUGUGAUGCCUCGUCUCAUGGGUUUGGCGCCGUGCUCAUACAAGACAAGCAUCCGGUCGCAUACUUCAGCAAGCCGGUCGCCCCUCGUCAUCGCUCGCUUACCGCAUACGAGCGCGAACUGAUCGGCCUCGUCCACGCCAUUCGUCAUUGGCGGCCAUAUCUAUGGAGACGCCGUUUCUUGGUACGUACAGACCACUACAGUUUAAAGUUCCUCCUUGACCAGUGACUGGCGACAAUACCACAGCACCAUUGGGUCGGCAAGCUCCUCGGCUUCGACUUCACCGUCGAGUACAAACCGGGCGCCAUGAACACGGUGGCCGAUGCACUUUCCCGCCGCAACACAGAAGACAGCGCCCUACUCGCCAUCUCCACGCCUCGGUUCGACUACAUCGAGCGUCUUCGGCAAGCUCAAGCUACUGACCCCGCUCUCGUCGCAAUUCGAGAUGAGAUCACUGCCGACACAAGGCUACCACCAUGGUCACCAAUCGACGGUAUGGUGGCUUUCGAUUCACACAUCUACAUCCCACCGUCAUCACCAAUGCUAGCCGAGCCGCUGACCGCCAUCCACGACGACGGCCAUGAAGGGGUGCAGCACACCAUCCACCGUAUCCGCCACGACUUCCACAUCCCCAACAUACGUCGAGUGGUACAAGACUACGUCAGGGCAUGCGCGACUUGCCAGCAGUACAAGUCAGAGCAUCUCCACCCAACCGGCCUCCUCAUGCCCUUGCCUGUGCCGAUAGCUAUUUGGGCUGAUGUCGCCCUCGACUUCGUUGAGGCACUGCCACGCGUCAGUGGCAAGUCGGUCAUCCUCACGGUCGUCGAUCGCUUCACCAAGUAAUGCCACUUCAUUCCCUUGGCACAUCCAUACACGGCUGAAUCUGUGGCUCAAGCUUUCUUCACCGAUAUUGUACGUCUACAUGGCGUGCCACAGUCCAUGGUCUCCGACCGUGACCCGGUGUUCACCUCUACGUUCUGGCGCGAACUGAUGCGGCUCAUGGGCACGAAGCUGCACAUGACGACGGCGUUCCAUCCACAAUCCGACGGCGAGUCGGAGGCAGCAAACCGGGUCAUCAUCAUGUACCUGCGUUGUUUCACCGGCGACCGACCACGACAAUGGCUCCGAUGGCUCCCAUGGGCCGAGUACGUCUACAACACGGCCUACCAAACUUCGCUACGCGAUACACCGUUUCGUGUGGUGUACGGCCGCGACCCACCAACCAUUCGGUCAUACGAGCCGGGCGAAACACGGGUGGCAGCCGUCGCUCGCAACAUGGAAGAACGGGACGACUUCCUAGCCGAUGUGCGCUAUCGCCUGGAGCAAGCUGUCCAGAAGGCAUUCUACAACUGGCAUCACCGUGCAGUCUCCUAUGAGGUGGGCGACUGGGUUUGGCUUCGCCUCUGCCACCGAGCGCCAGCUUCUCUCCCACAGAUCACGAAAGGCAAGCUCAAGCCACGGUUCUUCGGCCCAUACCACGUCAUCGAGCUCAUCAACAACCUCGCGGUGCGCCUCGCACUUCCUGCACGCGCUCGUCUUCAUGAUGUCUUCCACGUCGGCCUACUCAAGAAGUUCGUCGGCACUCUCCCGGACGCACCACCGCCACUGCCGGCCAUCCACAAUUAAUGGAGCUGCAGUCCCGAAACCAGAAAGGGCCACUCGCAUGCGUCUCACUCGAGGAGUUCGCCAAGCUCUCAUCCAGUGGAAAGGCGAGCCCGCGACAUCUGCUACUUGGGAAGAUGUGGACACAUUCAUGGAUCGCUAUCCAACUUUUCAGCUUGAGGACGAGCUGCUCGUCGAGGGGGGGGAGAGAUGUCAUGUGGGGCCGCACAUAUACAAGGAAAGGGCGUAUUAGCAGGGACGCUAAUGACGCGCCAGCAGCUCCAUAGCUGCGAUCACACGCGCCAGGCGCACGGUUCAGAAGGAAAGAAAAUCAAUGAGAUCCUUAGAAAUAGGAAUAAUUAGCUCAAAGAUUUACUUUAUCCCAAGAAUUAAGGCCCAAGAGCCUAUUUAGCUGUUGUAAUGAUAUUUGGGAAGGCAAGCAAUUUGAAUCUCAAAACUUCCUACCACGGCGCGCGGCUACGAACUCCGUAGCCGAGGGCCAGCUACCCUGUCCUACAACGCGCUUGACAGACUAACUCAAAAUAUAUCAUGAGAAAUUAGAGGAAUAUAUAAAGCAGCACAUGAUUUGCUUAAAAGUAUGCUAUAACAUUGUGAUACUUUAGUUUCUUUAAAACACAUUUAGAAGCAAACAUGAUUAUCCAAAAGGAUGAUAUUUAGGGCAUUUGAUCAACAUCGUUCAAGGAUGGUAUUUGGUUUCACUUAGAAAGCAUGCACCCUCUUUUAACUUCCCCUGAAAUUUAAUUUAGAUAAGUGAUUCUUCUCAUAAAACUCAUAUGAAACCUGAAGAGCACGUAGUAAAUAACCAAUGAGAGUGACCUAUCUUAUGUUGGACUCCAGGAUUUACAUGAAGUCGCGCACGGCCUAGCAAUUGUUCUGUGGUAACUUGAGAAAAGAAAAACAAUGGUUAAGCACACAGCAAAAAGAAGAAUUAAUCAUCAGCUAGAUUGGGGUAGAGACAUGGCCAAUCGUCUAAAAAUGAAUGCUGAAUAUGUUCUCGAUGAAGUGUGUGAAGGACCAAAAGUAGAUGCAUGCUGUGUGAAUGAGUGACAUCUGGUGCAAUUAUAUAUAGUGCAAUGGAGUUAACUUAGGGAGUAAGGAAUUGUGAACUGUUCACGUCCUUAGACAGUUUAAUUUGCUGAUGCAUCAAUUAACACCAUUACUAAGAUAAAGAAAAUAACAUCAUUAAUAGAAGAUGGAACAGUCGGGCUGCAAGCACUUCUCUUCAGCCAUUUAGAUGAAAUCCAACAGUCAGCCUAGUAUUGAUGAUGUGGCUACACACGAUCCGAGCUAAUGGUCACACUAAUAUAGGAUUUUUAUAGAUUGGCUCAGAUCCCCCAAAGCAAAUAAAUUGAUGUCCUUGGCCAGGAAAUUACUGAAACCAGCAGAUUCAUCUCUUCUCUAGCGCACACAAAUAAAAUACAGGCAAUCGACUUACAACAGACUACAACACACACCAAAUUGCUAGCCUGCCAAGCUGCUCUAGGCGGCAGCUUCACCAGUUACAAACAGAACAUGAUGUGCUUAACCCUAACCAGCACAAAACAAAAACGAAUCACUCCCAUCCUAGCAAUAUAGGGCUUGGCCCAGGCACCCAGCCAUAAACUGACUAGAAUUAGCUCUGACAGGCCAAAACCUGCACAACCCUGCACCACAUGCUUCUUCGGAAGCAUCUGAUAGUACAAUGACACCGUAGCCAAGUUAUCCAAAAACUAAUCUUCUGCCCAGGAUGCACCGAAAUCCAAUUGUCAUGCGUAGCCAGUCAUACCGACAUUGGGGGUAGUCUUGUUGAUCUUUUUGGCAGCCUGGCUUGUCGAUUUCGUGUAGUACAUGUAGAAGUACACGUUCAGAAUCAUAGUGAACACCACGAAGACCGCUCCCGCGAUAAAAACUCCUUUGCGCAGGGACUCGCAAGUCCAGCUCCCCACGUAUACCAUAUGCCUAUACCUGGUGUGGUACGCGUUCUUUGUUGCUCCAGCUAUCAGGCACGACUCCGCGAUCAUGAAUGUGACCCUGACAAUGCGGCAGGAAAAAUUUAUUAUGUAAGGAAACAAGAAAUGGGCAUGACCCGAAAAUUUUUCUAUUGGUGCUCUUCGCAAUUUACCAUGAAGAUGCAAAGUAUAUGAUUGACCAAGCUCUACUUCCUCCAGGUGCAAGUGGCUUGCCAAAACACAUGCAUUUGGUAACUACCAUAAGAAGUGACUGACCAGAGAGGAGAAACAGGAAUGCACCAACACCAUAGCCAGUAGCAAUAUCAGAGUCAUAAACACAAAAUGUGGAAUUGAAGCUGUCUGUAACAAUUGAGCCCUGUUAUGUACAAAGUAAUUGACAAGAUAUUAUGGUCAGCAGAAAUGUAAGAUAAACAGAAUCAACUCAAGAGAACAUACGACUAGUAUAAACUAGAAAAAAAAAUCAAUGUUUAGCAUAUUAGAGAUUAUUACAUGCUAGCCCUUUGGAUAAGUGCUUGCAGUAGAAAGAUAUUCCUCUUCUGAUAGAACAUAGAAGCUAAAUUUGUUAAAAAAAAACAUAACUAACUUUAGUGUAGCAAUACUGCAAUUAGAACAAGAUUGCGAACCAGAAGUUGGUGACAAACGAGUAAAAGCAUGUUGAAACUAAAAGGUUCAGGUGUACAUCCCCAAUAAAAUUUGACUACAAAAUUCCAGUUAACAAUAUUUUACUAUACAAGAUGAUUGAUAUUUUCUGUGAAAAUUUCAGUCCGAAUUCUUCAUAAGGACGACAGUCUCAAUAUAUAGCAACAGAGGCAAAUGGACCUUUGGGCAAGGGUGUAACUGUGUUAAUGUUGAAGAUUUAGACAACAUUAUAAGGCGGUGAAUUGAUUGGUGAAGCUACUUUGGUGGUUAAAGAACACAUUUCCUAUUUGACCUUCAAAAUACAGCAAGAUGGCUGUUUCUCGUCCUUCCAUUAUUAAUGCAAUUAUAAUCUUUCUUGCUGAAAUACAAAUAUGCACUAAAACAACUCUGGGCCAUGCAAUACCUUAGUUUUGAUUUGAGGUUAGUCUAUAUAUUGGUUAGGAAACCUGAAUUGUUCAGUAGUUGAUUACUUAUGGUUAAGACUUAAGAUAGCUAUACAAUACUCUGGAGGAAAAGGUACAGUUACCCAGUACAAUCGUUUGGUAUUAAAAAUAUUUUGCAUAUUUCAUGUCAACAACAGAAUGUACCCUAGGUUGACCACCACACUCAGCCACCUAGAGCAAGCUGCAAACAAUCUAAGGAUCAACUAGGAUGAUUGGCACCAGGAAUUGUGGAUAGUCAUUUUUUUACUACUUCUAUGGGCCAUGGUGCGAUAGAAUGUAGACAUCUUAAGAACACAGAAGAAAUUAGGUCCAUUUUUAUUACUAGGACUCCAAGCACUUGCCUAACUUUGGUUGUGCCUCAGAGAUAAAAGGGGAUUUCGGGAUUUACAUCCUGAAUUUUGCGAGGAUAAAACAUACCCUGGAAGUACUCCUAAAUGAAUGCUAUAGUAGACUCCACAUUUGCUUCUGAAUAUUAUCAGUUUAUCACUUUACCAGAGGCAUAUGAAUCAACAACACUGUGGCACUGUUAACUGCAUCUCCCAAUGGUGAGGAAUAAGCUCAUGAAGGUCAAUUAGUGAACUGUGUACUGUAGAAUUUUAUUGCUUCCAAUUAUGUCUAGAUAAAUGGUCAAAUUAGUGGGCUCGUACUAAUUCCUACGCACAACUACGACAAUCUAGUUAGCCUUUUCCAGACUUGUCUCCAAAGUUGCCGAGCUCAUACCACAAUCCAGCAAUGCAACUAAAGCAAAUUAUUUUCUUACUGUAGGCACAAUUCUUGGUAGUUUUGACAUAGCCGUUUUAUCCUCUGAUAUGCUUGUGCAUAUGUUGACGUAAUGUGCAUUCGAUUAUGUUAUCUUUUUUUUUAUUUAAUUUUAUGUUAUCUUUGUUGUAAUGUUAAAUGAAAAUUUGCUUGAAACAGUAGCUCAUACUAUUGCAUUAUACAAAACAGUUCCAAGUUAAUUAGGUGUUCAAUAAUAUUUGGAUAGGGUAAAGGGUUCCCUAGUUAAAUGGACAGGGCUGUCCGGUGUUGCCAGACUGUCCGUACAUUAUAGGGCAUGCAUAGGUAACCUCUAUGGGAAAGACAGUAUGGCAAGGUUGGCGGACCAUCCGCCAAAUAGAGAUGUUGACUGGGUAAGAUACAACAAAUCGACCGUCCUACGAAAGGAGCAGACCAUCCUGCCCAAGAGUUCUAAGCUAGGUUAGAGUAUAAUCAAUGGACCGUCCUCACUUGACUGAAUUGUCCAGACCAUUAUUGUUUCAGAUCUUUGACCCUAGAUUGAUCAGCUGUCCUUUUCACUGCUGUCUCAAAUCAUCCACCGGCACACUGCCAGUGUCAAAAUAAUGCAUGGGGAAAGCACAAUCUGGUGGAGGCUGAACCAUCUAUGCUUAUAGGUAGGUAAUCUCCAAGGACCGCUAGGGAGAGAAGUUGCAAAAAAAAGAACCGUCCAGAUAGCUAAGGCAGUGAGCUAAAAUAAUCUUUAUACCGCAUAUCCACUUUGAUAUUUGAUUAGUGAAUACAUGUCUUACAAUCUGCUUUGUUUUGUUUCUUGUUCAUUAUUGCAACAAACUUACCUUUUUAGUGCAGUAUAUACAUUUGCAAAUGUUCUGAAAAUGCGAUGUUUCAAUUACUGUUAAAAAUCCAAAUUUGGUUACAUGCAAACGAGUCCGUGCAUAGGAUUGGGUAAAAGUUUUAUGGAGUUACUUUCAUAUGAAAAUAGAUUUGACCAACGUUUUGGUCUUCAGAGUUAGCUUUGUGUGAAGUUUGCAAAAGCAUCAUAUGUAUAUCUCUAAGAUCCUUAAGACUUAGUAGGGGUUUUGGUGGUGCGUCUUUGUCUGACGUGUUUUGGAGGAGGGCCCUUUCGGCCUCGCUUGUGUAUUUCUUCUCUUAAUGAAAUGAAGCUCAAGCCUCAUGCAUUUUCAAGAAAAAAAAGAUACCUACGACUAGAUGAAAUAAGGUAGAAACCCAAGAACAUGAGCAUACAAACCAAUGCUAAGUUGCUAACAAAAUAUGUACUUUAUUUCAGUAUGAUAAAACUUGAUUCCAACCCUUAAUUUUUUAUCAGCAAGAGAUAAGCAGUCAAUAAGUACCUAGACAAAGCUUCCAUAAUAUCAACUAGCACUAGAGUUCCAAAGAAAAAAAAAAAGACAUGCAACUUCACACAAUGUCAUAACUAGGUUGGAAUGUGUUGCAAAUUACCUGAACUAUGUAAAUUGUAAAAAAUACUCCAUCCAUAAACUCAAAAACAAAAUUCAAAAUGUAUCUUAGAUAUGUACUUUUGACCUAUGUAAAUCACAUGGUCCAAUUAAAUGAGAGACAAAAACAAAUAUAACAAACUGCUUGAGUAAUUCUCUCACAUUUUUUCCCUGAUGUUAAACCCUUCCUAUUGUUCUAAAAAGAGCUUAAGAACUGAACUCUAACAUAUAGGAAUUUAACAACUUAAUAGGAAAAAAACACAUGUUAAUACCACAUAUCAUUCUAAACACAGUAAGUCCACAUAAGUUGUGCUUGCAUGUUUGGGAUAGGGCUGUUAAGACUCACAACGAGUUUCUAGUCAUCUUACAAUCUAUUGAGAUAUUGGUUGGGAUUGCCAAGAGAAAUACACUUCCAUUCGAUGUUUGGAUGCCUUACACACAACCAUUAGUUUUAGUUCAAACUAAAUCCCAAAAGUCUCAGAGCAAUUCCCUACUCCUAACGCCCCACCCCCUUCCAUUACACUCUAUAGCACGUUAGCUCAGAAAAACUGUGGAUCUAAGUAUCCAACCUCAACAGUAAGUAGUUGAACAUUGAGUGACCGUACAUCAGUUAAACAAUUAUUAGUAGUGCUAAUUUGCUAUUCCGUUGACUAAGGAUUAAUCUGGACUCGCGAGUACUAGUUACGCACUCCAUAAAGAAGCCAAGUUAGACAUCCAGUACAUCAACUGAAACACAAGUUAAAUCUCCCUUAUCCAAAGACAAAACAAUUCAUAUCGAGAAUCUUGGUCACAAAAAAACGUCGGCAAAACUAAAAAUCAUCAGUAGCCAGCCCAGCCCCUUAACAAAAGUCCAAUGCUCUAUUCAAAUCCUUCCGAUCCAGAGGUCCGCUACUCGGGAAGAUCGAUCGAUUCUUGAAGGAUUACUGGAAUGAAGAUGAAAGGGGAAAGGGAAAUAAAAAAAAAGAAAAAGAAAAGCGAGGAGGCAUAGUUGAGUACCGUGCUGCGGCGGCGCUCCGCGGCGAUGGCGAAGCCGAAUGCGGUGAGGCAGAGGGCGAUGACCAAGAUGUGGACCAGUAUAGAGCUCCUCUCGGUGUCCCCCAUCUCUCCUCUUGGUUCUCGACGCACUUGCUCACCGGAUUCGCUUGCUCCUCAGUCCUACUGGUGAGUGAGUGGGUGAGUGAGUGAGCAUGGCUGCACGGGGAGACGGGAGAGGAGGCUGUGAAUGGGGGGAAAGAUAGCAAAGAAUCCGCCGGCAGCAGUAGCUCACCAGGAAGGAGCCGAGCAGGAGGGAUCAGUCGGCUGUAAUGGCGGACGACGGCGGCGGCGACGACGACGACCACGCAGCAGCGAUGAAUGGCGGCGCUUAGGGCUGGAAAACCCCCCGAUGUCUCUUUUUCUCCUUUCCCCAUUUUCUUCUUCUUCCUUUUUUUUCCUACACUAGCAAAAAUACCCGUGCGUUACACCGGGUGAUUACGGAGUUUGUAUAUUGACCAAAAAUGUUGUUUGGUUUAGCAAAAGUGCCCGUACGUUGCAACCGAAAGAAAAAACGAGAAAAUUAAAUUAAAACAUAUUAAAUUCUAAUUUAAUGAAAAAUAAAUAUUCUACAAUAUUAAUUAUACACUUUGAAAUUUUAGCAAAAGUGCAUGUGUGUUGCAACGGAAAGAAAAAAAAAAGCAACAGUUAAAUUAAAAUAUAUUAAAUUCUAAUUAAAUGAAAUACACAUUUUCUAGAAUAUUAGGGUAUUUUUUAUGUUGGUCGGUAUAUAAUUAAAUUAAUUUUCAAGUAAAGUAAGUCUGAGAAAUAAAAUAUUAUGGUUGGAUUUAAUUUUUGUUAAAUUUUCUAUAUUAAUUACACUCUUUGAAAUUUACAUAGCUUAAUUGGUAAUUUUGAUAAUACAAAUAUCAUUUCAGCAUUUAUUUAAAUAAAAAUCAUUUUUCUCUAUGGGCCUUUUUCAACCCAUUUUCUUCUUUAGCCCGCAAGCGUAAAAGUUUACUUAAUACCCCAUACUCCUCCUCUCACUUGUUGGACCACCGGCCCGCGUGCGGCCCAAGUGGUGCGGCCAAACCCUCGAUCGAUUUGAGCCGUUUGUUUUGAUGGACGGCUCAGAUCAGUUCUAAAUUGAUGAAAACCCUAACCCUCUCCCUCCCCCCUAGCCGAGCCGGCCGCCAACCCCGCACCCGACGCCGCCUCUCCCCCUCCCUCUCUCCCCACCGGCGCCGCUUCCCCUCCCCUUCCCUCCAGCGGCGCCGUUCCCUCUCCCCAUCUCCCGCCUCUCCCCCUCCCCCAGCCGGCCGCCUCUCCCGCCCACGACGCCGCCUCUCCCCCUCCCCCUCUCCCCACCGGCGCCGCUUCUCCUCCCCUCCCCUCCGGCGGCACCGCUCCCUUUCCCCAUCUCCCGCCUCUUCCCCUCCCCCAUGCCGACCGCCUCCCCCGCCACCGGCACCAUCUCUCUCACCACCGGCGCCGCUUCCCUUUCCUUCUCCCUCCCUUCUCGCCGGCAUGGCGUGACGACGACAGGGUGCGGCAGAGACGGCGCCCUCCCAACGGCGGCGUCAACGGCGUCCGCGCUCCCUCUCCCGCUCUCCUUACCGUCUCGCCGGCACGGCGUAGCGACGGCGGGGUGCGGCAGAGACAGCGGCGACGGUUGUCCCUCCCCCUCUCCCUCUCCCCGUCGGCCUCGACGGCGACGACACCCUCUCAACGGCGGCGUCGAUAGCGACGACAGCGUCGGCUUCGUCCGCGGGUGAAUCCGUCGGCGGUGGCGGCCACCGCGGGCGGAACCUGCAGCGGUGGCUCCCUCCACCGCCUCUCUUCUCCACGCCUGUCACGCCCUGAAGUUUUCCCCCUUUUUGCUUGCUUUAAAAAUUUGGCUAAAUAAAUCGUCCGAAGAAAUUAUCUUAAUUAACCUAGAGCUAAUUCCCUAAUUAAUAAAUGCAAAUAAUAAUCGGAAUCGGCAUGUGGAAUUUUUCUUGGAUUCUACAUGUCACAAUAUAUUAACAGGAUUUUUAGUGGAAUUUUCAGAGCCUUGGAAAUAAUUUUAACCAAUUAAAAAUCACCAAAGUGCAAUUUUUAAUCCCAGGAAAAAUCCUUUCUUCUUUUUCCUUUUCUUUUCCUUCCUUUUUCUCUAUUGGGCCGUCGGCCCAGUCCACUCCACCCGUCGCCCGCGCUCGGCCUCCCCUUGUGGGCCGGCCCGUUCUCCUUCCUCCUCUCUCCGGGACGCUGACAGGUGGGGCCCACCUGUCAGGUCGUCCCCUUCCUCCAGCCACCCGCCUCCGACGGCAACCGCCGCCGAAUCCGCCACGUCGCCGCCUCCUCCGCUCUUCCCGCGCCCACGCCGCGCCGCUCCCGCGUCCCCCCCCACGUCGCCGCCUCUCCCCCGCGUCUCCCGCCCUCGCGCGCCUCGCAAAUGGGCGGGAUUCGAAUUUGAAUCCCACCCCUCUCUCUCUCCCCCACCUUCCCACGUCGCCGGCGCAAUAGGGUGGGUUCCCGGCCACGUCCGCCUCCCCCUCCGCCUAUAAAUCGCUCCCCGCGUCUUCCUCUCUCAUUUUUCGCACUCGCCGCGCUCUCCCGUGCCGUCUACCGCCCUCGCGCCGUCGCACCCGAGCUCCGCCGCUUGCCGCCGCCUUCGGCCGCGAGCCGCCGCCGCUAGAGUCGCCGCCGCGCCAAACCGCCGCCGCCGUUAGCUUCGCCGCUGCAAGAGCUUUCCCGGCCGCCGCCUCGCGUCGCCGGAAUCCCACCGGAGCACCUCUCCCCUCGCGAGCCGGUGAGUUUUCCCUCCCCUCCAUCUCCGGCCGGCAAUUCAAGCCGCCGUGGUCGUCGUCUCCUCUCCUAACGCCUCUCCAUCUUCCCCUAGGGUGUCGCCGCCGCCCGUCCGUGCCUCCGCGUCGCCGGUCAUCGCCGCUCGUCUCUCCCCACGCCGGUCGCCGCCAUCGCCUCGGUGAGGAAUCCCCUUUCCUCCUUCCUUUCCUCUCCCCCGUGAGCGCCGCCGCCCUCCGCGCGUGCGCCGUCGUCUUCGGCUGCCGCCGCCGCCUUCGCGCCGGCCGCCGCCGUCUCCCCGCGCCGCCGGUCACCGCCGGCGGUCGUGCGCCGUCGUCGCCUCGCCAUGGCCGGCCGGCUUGAGCCGUGCCGAGCAUGACGCCGCCCACUCCCUCCCCCUUGAGCCACUGCCCGUGGGGCCCACAUGCCGGCGCCUCCCUCUCCUUUCCCCUUGUGCCGCUGCCAGUGGGGCCCGCUUGCCAGCCGCCCCCUUUCCCUCUCUUAGUGCCGCUGACCAGUGGGGCCCGCAUGUCAGCGUCGCCCCCUCCCCUCGCUGACGUCAGCCCUGGGGCAAUAUUGCGCAAUAAUUAAUUAAGGACUUUUCUUUAUUAGUAAAAACACAGUUUAUCUUCUAAAAUUCAUAAGUAAUUCAUCCGAGCUCCGUUUAAGUCCAUUCAAGUCUCAGUAAAUCAAGAAAAAUGCAAAGAAUCCAUUAAAAAUGGUUUUGUUUCCUGUUUCUGUAGUCUUAUAGCAUGUUUUGCUUGUGUGCUUUGUUUGUCGCGUAGGUUUCGGCCGUUUCGUCGAUCCGCGGUUUCUCGAAGACGUUGCUGAGGUCUCAUCAGUUCGAGAGCAAGGCAAGUCAUGCAAUACGUUUGAUCAUAUUGUACCCAAUUUACAAGUAUCCCGCAUUUCUAUUAAAUGUUGCAUUCUUUUACAAUGUAAUGUGGGAUGGGUCCUAUUCCUCAGCCACAUAUUGUUUACCAUAUGCCGUUGAUAACUUGGGUAUCAAAAUGACUAGAUGUUGGUUUAGGAAAUGCUUAGCCAUGCUUAGUUCAACUAGCACACAAAUGGGGAUCACCUUAUUACAUAGACUUUGUCUAUUGGCAUAGCUUUAGAUUGGUGCCACCGCAAUGGUGUUAGUUAAUUAAAAUACAUUGAAUGGUGGGCUGUGGGUGCAUGGUUUUGCUGGUCGCACCCAUGGCAAUUAAGGACCGGUUCACGGGAAACCCUGGGAGACUUACCGUGCUUACCACAAGCGGGAGUGGGUAACUGCUUGAUCUGAAGUAUAGCUCGACCCUUUCCUAGGCACCGGUGGCGAGGGUGGGCGUGAUGGAGUUGGGUCGGCCGGGGUGUCCGGUUGUCCAGCUGCCGGAUUCACCGCGGCGCAAGAGGGGACCGCCCACUGCCUUUUGAGGGGUGGGGGUGAAACCUUAGCGUGGUGUGGAUGGUUAGGGGAGGGUUAUGUGGAGGGUCUUGUCACGAUUUCCCCCUUUGCAGUAUCAUGGUGAUACUUCGGGGCAUGGCGACAUGUGUGGAAUCGUGUCUUGUGGGUACAGUUGUACACCUCUGGCCAGAGUAAAACUAUUCGAAUAGCCGUGCCCGCGGUUAUGGGCGAUCAACCAGAUUCACCGUGAUUAGUCUCACCCCUAGUUUAGCUUAAUGAACUGGUGUAGUUCAGGUGGUUGGUUGGGCCUGUUGCAACGUGGUGUAGCGUUGGACAGUGAUUGGUUAAUAUUGAUUAAUUACUACAGCUGUUUUACUGCUUUCAACUACUGCUUUUAAAUGCUAGCUUUAUGCAAAAGAACCUCUAGCCUCCUUUGGUUAUAUCCUGCAUCAUACCUCCUCUUCCGGUAUGACUUGCUGAGUACAGUGGGUAGUACUCAGUCUUGCUCUCUUUUUCCCCCACACCAGAGCUGAAGAUCUUCCUAGUUGGAGCUGUUUUGUCAAAGUUGGUUUCGUCGCUGCCGUCAAGGAUUGCCUGUGGAGUGGAGUCGCCCGCUGCUGAAGUCAAGCUUCCCGGUUUAGCUCGCUUUUAUUCUUUUCCGCUGCAUUUGAGAUCUUUUCUAUUUUUGUAAGACGUGGAUCUGUAUGUCAACAAUUGUCGUUUGUGUACCCUGGCUGGUCCUGGACAGGGAUUUAAUGCACAUUCAGCUUAGAAAUUCUAGUUUGAGAAUUUCUGGGCGUGACAAGUUGGUAUCAGAGCCGACCUUGACCGUAGGACAAGCCAAAUGGAAAAACCUAAGAGCCCUCUGAAUCCUUUUCAUUGCAUAUGUUCUUUGCAAUUGGAUUUGUUCCGGGAAAAUUGGGAUCUGUUCUUGCGGUUCAAGGGAAAAAUCUUGGUCGCUCGUUUAAGUGGGGUUUUUCAAAACAAGUCAGUCUAGGGUUUUAGUAAAAUUAUUGGGAUUUAUUCGUCAGACAGUUGGGGUUUGAUGGGUGAAAUGCAUUAGGUCCUAGCUCUAUAACAUGGGUUGCAAGGUGUUUAUGCUUCGUUUGUUAUUAUUAAUAUGUAUCUAAUUUCUCAUUAUUUUGUCGUUAUGUGAGUCUGUCUUAUUUAUUCGCUCUCAUGCAAAAUGAUCUAUGCAUAAAAUUUCGCUUUUAUUCGUUUCCCUUAUUUUGAGUCUUUUAUUGCUUUAUUUAAAUUUGGAUUUGAGCAUGCAUUGAUUCCUAUCCCUCUGUACUCUUUAGAUGUCAGACCUAUUCUCCGAUCGCAAGCGCCGCUCCAAGCUUCAGAGUCGCCACCCUUAGCUUUAUCGUCUUCUUAGUCUGUUUGCGUGCUAGUUUUUGUGUUUAGGUUUGUUGCUUGUGGGUUAGUCGGCGGUCGAUAUCAUGUGUGAGUGGUAUGACAGCCUCAAUUAGGAGUUGCGUGCCUCUUUUUCAGUGUUUUAAUCAAGAUUAAGAUAAUUGCACUUAAAUUCAUAAGCAAGAUUAGUUUCUGAGCCCCCUGUUUUUCUUCCUUUUCUCAUAUUUCUACCUAUCCCCUUCAGAUGGAGACAAGGAAUGGUUCACGCGACUCGAACAACGCCAGUGGCAGCGAAGAGCCGAUCAAUGGAGCACGUGCCAACGGUGCAUCUGACAACAGUCCGUCCCCACCGCCCGAGAACCCAACAAUUGCUCAGGUGUUGGACAAUCAGACUCAGAUGAUGACAAUGAUGAUGCAACAGAUGCAGCAACAGUACCAUCAGGUGUUGCAGCAGGUGCAGCAGCAAGCACAGCUGCAGCAGCAGAACCUGCAGUUUGGUUCUCCACCUCCUCAGUCCAAACUGCUAGAAUUUCUUCGUGUCAAGCCGCCCACCUUCUCAAGCACCACCAACCCAAUCGAGGCCCACGACUGGCUUCAUGCCAUUGAGAAGAAGCUGAAUCUUUUGCAAUGCAACGAGCAAGAGAAGGUUGCUUUUGCUACACACCAGCUACAAGGUCCCGCUUCUAUUUGGUGGGACAACUACAUGGUGACCCGUCCAACUGGGGCAGAGGUUACUUGGACAGAGUUUCGUCAUAGUUUCAAUAAAGCACAGGUUCCCGAGGGAAUUGUGGCACAAAAGAAGAGAGAGUUCCGUUCCCUGCAACAAGGAACCAGAACAGUUAUAGAGUAUUUGCAUGAGUUCAACCGCCUCGCGCGCUACGCCCCUGAGGACGUGCGUACCGAUGCCGAGAGGCAGGAGAAGUUUCUGUCGGGUCUUGAUGAUGAAUUGACCAACCAGUUGAUCUCUAGAGAUUAUGAGGACUUUGAGAAGCUUGUGGACAAGGCUAUCCGUCAAGAGGAGCAGUGUAACAAAAUGAACCGUAAGAGGAAGGCAGCCCAGUUCAGGACUCCCCAGGGGAAGUGUCAGAAGCCUCGUUUCACGAUGGGACAUCAGGGUGGACCUUCCACCAUGAUUAUCCGGCAGCACCGUCCCUACCACCCGGGUAAUUUCAACAAGAACAACAACAGUGGCAGUCACAGCAGCCUCAACCCGACUCCAAGUCCAUUAAUGAUUCCAGCUCAGUCAGAUCAGUCAGAUCAGCUAGCUCAGCCAGCUCUGCCAGAACAGCCCAAGAGGUUGGGAGAAAAACCCGAACUCUGCUUCAAUUGUAACAAACCCGGACACACGGUUGGAAAGUGCCCGAAGCCAAGACGUGCCGGACCCAAGUUCGUUCAGGCCCGUGUUAAUCAUGCAUCUGCAGAGGAGGCGCAGUCAGCACCAGAGGUUAUAUUGGGCACAUUCCCCGUCAACUCGACACCGGCAGUAAUAUUGUUUGAUUCUGGUGCAACCCAUUCCUUUAUUUCCAAGCGUUUUGCUGGUGCACAUGGGUUAUCUUUAGUGAAGCUUAAGAUACCAAUGCGAGUUCAUACUCCUGGAGGUGGCAUGACCACAACUCACUACUGCCCAUCUGUGACAGUUGAAAUUCAAGGGUUGAUUUUUCCAGCCAACCUCAUUCUUCUCGAAUCCAAGGACCUAGAUGUCAUACUUGGAAUGGAUUGGUUGACAAGGCACAGAGGAGUGAUUGAUUGCGCCAGCCGCACCAUCAAGUUGACCAAUGCAAAAGGAGAGGUGGUAACCUUCCAGUCUCAAGUGCCGCAGAAGCCAGGGAUUAGUUUAAACCAGGCUGCUGGUGAAGAACAAGAGGUAGCAGUGGAGAAAACCACUAAGAAACUAGAGGAUAUUCCUAUAGUCAGAGAGUAUCCAGAGGUUUUUCCGGACGAUCUGACAACAAUGCCACCAAAAAGGGAUAUCGAGUUCCGGAUUGACUUGGUACCUGGAACUGCACCGAUCCACAAGAGGCCUUACAGAAUGGGAGCCAACGAGUUGGCGGAAGUCAAGAAGCAAGUUGAUGAACAGUUACAGAAGGGAUACAUCCGCCCGAGCACGUCGCCUUGGGGUGCUCCGGUUAUCUUUGUGGAAAAGAAAGACAAAACCAAGAGGAUGUGCGUGGACUACCGCGCACUCAAUGAGGUCACUAUUAAGAACAAGUACCCUUUGCCAAGGAUUGAUGAUCUGUUCGAUCAGCUGAAAGGAGCUACUGUGUUCUCUAAGAUAGACCUUCGGUCAGGCUAUCACCAGUUGAGGAUCCGCGAAGAGGAUAUUCCAAAGACAGCAUUCAUCACUCGGUACGGGUUGUUCGAAUGCACAGUUAUGUCUUUCGGACUCACUAACGCACCUGCCUUCUUCAUGAAUUUGAUGAACAAGGUGUUUAUGGAAUUUCUAGACAAGUUUGUCGUGGUUUUCAUCGAUGACAUACUUAUCUACUCCAAGUCCGAGGAAGAACAUGAGCAGCAUCUUCGGCUGGUACUUGAAAAGUUAAAAGAGCACCAGCUAUAUGCCAAGUUCAGCAAGUGCGACUUCUGGCUUAAGGAAGUUCAGUUUCUCGGUCACAUCGUGAAUGCUCAAGGAGUAGCUGUGGAUCCAGCAAAUGUGGAGUCAGUUACCAAGUGGACCCCACAAAGGACAGUCACUCAGGUUCGGAGUUUCUUAGGACUUGCGGGUUAUUACCGCCGGUUCAUUGAGAACUUCUCUAAAAUUGCUAAGCCAAUGACACAGCUAUUGAAGAAGGAAGAAAAGUUUAUCUGGUCUGCUGAAUGCAAUAGGAGUUUUGAAGAACUCAAACGACGGUUGGUGUCUGCACCAGUCUUAAUCCUGCCUGAUCAGACGAAAGAUUUUCAGGUCUAUUGUGAUGCAUCUCGCCAGGGGCUAGGAUGUGUGUUGAUGCAGGAUGGCAAAGUGGUUUCUUAUGCUUCACGGCAGUUGCGUCCUCAUGAAGGCAACUACCCGACGCAUGAUCUGGAAUUAGCCGCAGUUGUUCAUGCUUUAAAGAUUUGGCGGCACUAUCUCAUCGGUAACCGUUGUGAGGUAUAUACAGAUCACAAAAGUCUAAAGUACAUCUUCACCCAACCUGAUCUGAAUCUCCGACAGCGAAGAUGGUUGGAGCUAAUUAAAGAUUAUGAUAUGGGAAUACAUUAUCAUCCCGGCAAGGCUAAUGUGGUUGCGGAUGCCUUGAGCAGGAAGAGCUACUGCAAUGUUGCAUGGGUAGAGCAACUAUGUUGUGAGGUUCAACGCGAUUUGGAACAUCUGAACCUUGGUAUAGUUGAGCACGGAUUCGUGGCUGCCCUAGAGGCACAACCCACACUGGUGGAGCAGGUUCGCAUAGCUCAGGCAAGUGAUCCUGAAAUAGCAGAGCUCAAAAAGAACAUGAGGGUUGGAAAAGCCCGAGGUUUUGUUGAGGAUGAACAAGGAACAAUCUGGAUGGGAGAAAGAUUGUGUGUACCCGAAAACAAGGAAUUAAAAGACCUGAUACUAACCGAGGCUCAUCAAACUCAAUAUUCCAUUCAUCCCGGUAGUACUAAGAUGUACCAAGACCUCAAAGAGAAGUUUUGGUGGGUCAGCAUGAGAAGGGAAAUAGCUGAAUUCGUAGCACUCUGUGACGUCUGUCAACGAGUAAAGGCAGAACACCAAAGGCCAGCAGGUUUGCUACAGCCACUUCAGAUUCCAGAAUGGAAGUGGGAAGAAAUCGGAAUGGAUUUCAUCACCGGUUUGCCCAGGACAUCAUCGGGGCAUGAUUCUAUUUGGGUAGUCGUUGACCGACUCACCAAAGUGGCUCACUUCAUUCCGGUGCACACUACCUACUCAGGGAAGAAAUUAGCAGAACUCUAUCUGGCAAGAAUUAUGUGUUUACAUGGUGUACCUAAGAAGAUCGUGUCUGAUCGAGGAAGCCAAUUCACUUCAAAGUUCUGGCAGAAAUUACAAGAAGAAUUAGGAACCCGGUUGAAUUUCAGCACCGCUUACCAUCCACAAACAGAUGGCCAGACCGAGCGAGUCAAUCAAAUACUAGAUGAUAUGUUGAGAGCCUGUGCGCUUGACUUUGGUGGGGCAUGGGACAAAAGCUUGCCGUAUGCUGAGUUCUCGUACAACAACAGUUACCAAGCUAGUCUGCAGAUGGCACCGUUUGAAGCACUGUAUGGACGGAGGUGUCGUACUCCGCUCUUCUGGGAUCAGACAGGGGAACGCCAGUUGUUUGGUACAGAAGUUUUAAAUGAGGCAGAAGAGAAAGUCAGAGCUGUUAGGGAAAGAUUGAGAAUCGCGCAGUCUCGGCAGAAAAGCUAUGCAGACAACCGCCGAAGGGAGCUCGCUUUCGAAACAGGGGAUUAUGUGUAUCUCCGUGUCACUCCGCUCAGGGGAGUACAUCGCUUCCAAACCAAAGGAAAGUUGGCACCACGCUUUGUGGGACCAUAUCGGAUUUUGGAACGUAGAGGUGAAGUUGCUUACCAGCUCGAGCUUCCCUCCAACAUGCUUGGCAUCCAUAAUGUGUUCCACGUCUCCCAGUUGAAGAAAUGUUUGAGAGUUCCUGAGGAACGGGCAAGUCCGGAUCAAAUCGAAAUCCAGGAAGACUUGACGUAUGUGGAGAAGCCAACUCGUAUCCUCGAAACCAGCGAGAGAAAGACCAGAAACAAAGUAAUAAGAUUCUGCAAGGUUCAGUGGAGCCACCACUCAGAGGAAGAGGCCACUUGGGAAAGAGAAGAUGAGUUGAAGGCCACCCACCCGCACCUCUUCGCCAGCUCUUCCGAAUCUCGGGGUCGAGAUUCCGUUUAAGGGGGGUAGGUUUGUCACGCCCUGAAGUUUUCCCCCUUUUUGCUUGCUUUAAAAAUUUGGCUAAAUAAAUCGUCCGAAGAAAUUAUCUUAAUUAACCUAGAGCUAAUUCCCUAAUUAAUAAAUGCAAAUAAUAAUCGGAAUCGGCAUGUGGAAUUUUUCUUGGAUUCUACAUGUCACAAUAUAUUAACAGGAUUUUUAGUGGAAUUUUCAGAGCCUUGGAAAUAAUUUUAACCAAUUAAAAAUCACCAAAGUGCAAUUUUUAAUCCCAGGAAAAAUCCUUUCUUCUUUUUCCUUUUCUUUUCCUUCCUUUUUCUCUAUUGGGCCGUCGGCCCAGUCCACUCCACCCGUCGCCCGCGCUCGGCCUCCCCUUGUGGGCCGGCCCGUUCUCCUUCCUCCUCUCUCCGGGACGCUGACAGGUGGGGCCCACCUGUCAGGUCGUCCCCUUCCUCCAGCCACCCGCCUCCGACGGCAACCGCCGCCGAAUCCGCCACGUCGCCGCCUCCUCCGCUCUUCCCGCGCCCACGCCGCGCCGCUCCCGCGUCCCCCCCCACGUCGCCGCCUCUCCCCCGCGUCUCCCGCCCUCGCGCGCCUCGCAAAUGGGCGGGAUUCGAAUUUGAAUCCCACCCCUCUCUCUCUCCCCCACCUUCCCACGUCGCCGGCGCAAUAGGGUGGGUUCCCGGCCACGUCCGCCUCCCCCUCCGCCUAUAAAUCGCUCCCCGCGUCUUCCUCUCUCAUUUUUCGCACUCGCCGCGCUCUCCCGUGCCGUCUACCGCCCUCGCGCCGUCGCACCCGAGCUCCGCCGCUUGCCGCCGCCUUCGGCCGCGAGCCGCCGCCGCUAGAGUCGCCGCCGCGCCAAACCGCCGCCGCCGUUAGCUUCGCCGCUGCAAGAGCUUUCCCGGCCGCCGCCUCGCGUCGCCGGAAUCCCACCGGAGCACCUCUCCCCUCGCGAGCCGGUGAGUUUUCCCUCCCCUCCAUCUCCGGCCGGCAAUUCAAGCCGCCGUGGUCGUCGUCUCCUCUCCUAACGCCUCUCCAUCUUCCCCUAGGGUGUCGCCGCCGCCCGUCCGUGCCUCCGCGUCGCCGGUCAUCGCCGCUCGUCUCUCCCCACGCCGGUCGCCGCCAUCGCCUCGGUGAGGAAUCCCCUUUCCUCCUUCCUUUCCUCUCCCCCGUGAGCGCCGCCGCCCUCCGCGCGUGCGCCGUCGUCUUCGGCUGCCGCCGCCGCCUUCGCGCCGGCCGCCGCCGUCUCCCCGCGCCGCCGGUCACCGCCGGCGGUCGUGCGCCGUCGUCGCCUCGCCAUGGCCGGCCGGCUUGAGUCGUGCCGAGCAUGACGCCGCCCACUCCCUCCCCCUUGAGCCACUGCCCGUGGGGCCCACAUGCCGGCGCCUCCCUCUCCUUUCCCCUUGUGCCGCUGCCAGUGGGGCCCGCUUGCCAGCCGCCCCCUUUCCCUCUCUUAGUGCCGCUGACCAGUGGGGCCCGCAUGUCAGCGUCGCCCCCUCCCCUCGCUGACGUCAGCCCUGGGGCAAUAUUGCGCAAUAAUUAAUUAAGGACUUUUCUUUAUUAGUAAAAACACAGUUUAUCUUCUAAAAUUCAUAAGUAAUUCAUCCGAGCUCCGUUUAAGUCCAUUCAAGUCUCAGUAAAUCAAGAAAAAUGCAAAGAAUCCAUUAAAAAUGGUUUUGUUUCCUGUUUCUGUAGUCUUAUAGCAUGUUUUGCUUGUGUGCUUUGUUUGUCGCGUAGGUUUCGGCCGUUUCGUCGAUCCGCGGUUUCUCGAAGACGUUGCUGAGGUCUCAUCAGUUCGAGAGCAAGGCAAGUCAUGCAAUACGUUUGAUCAUAUUGUACCCAAUUUACAAGUAUCCCGCAUUUCUAUUAAAUGUUGCAUUCUUUUACAAUGUAAUGUGGGAUGGGUCCUAUUCCUCAGCCACAUAUUGUUUACCAUAUGCCGUUGAUAACUUGGGUAUCAAAAUGACUAGAUGUUGGUUUAGGAAAUGCUUAGCCAUGCUUAGUUCAACUAGCACACAAAUGGGGAUCACCUUAUUACAUAGACUUUGUCUAUUGGCAUAGCUUUAGAUUGGUGCCACCGCAAUGGUGUUAGUUAAUUAAAAUACAUUGAAUGGUGGGCUGUGGGUGCAUGGUUUUGCUGGUCGCACCCAUGGCAAUUAAGGACCGGUUCACGGGAAACCCUGGGAGACUUACCGUGCUUACCACAAGCGGGAGUGGGUAACUGCUUGAUCUGAAGUAUAGCUCGACCCUUUCCUAGGCACCGGUGGCGAGGGUGGGCGUGAUGGAGUUGGGUCGGCCGGGGUGUCCGGUUGUCCAGCUGCCGGAUUCACCGCGGCGCAAGAGGGGACCGCCCACUGCCUUUUGAGGGGUGGGGGUGAAACCUUAGCGUGGUGUGGAUGGUUAGGGGAGGGUUAUGUGGAGGGUCUUGUCACGAUUUCCCCCUUUGCAGUAUCAUGGUGAUACUUCGGGGCAUGGCGACAUGUGUGGAAUCGUGUCUUGUGGGUACAGUUGUACACCUCUGGCCAGAGUAAAACUAUUCGAAUAGCCGUGCCCGCGGUUAUGGGCGAUCAACCAGAUUCACCGUGAUUAGUCUCACCCCUAGUUUAGCUUAAUGAACUGGUGUAGUUCAGGUGGUUGGUUGGGCCUGUUGCAACGUGGUGUAGCGUUGGACAGUGAUUGGUUAAUAUUGAUUAAUUACUACAGCUGUUUUACUGCUUUCAACUACUGCUUUUAAAUGCUAGCUUUAUGCAAAAGAACCUCUAGCCUCCUUUGGUUAUAUCCUGCAUCAUACCUCCUCUUCCGGUAUGACUUGCUGAGUACAGUGGGUAGUACUCAGUCUUGCUCUCUUUUUCCCCCACACCAGAGCUGAAGAUCUUCCUAGUUGGAGCUGUUUUGUCAAAGUUGGUUUCGUCGCUGCCGUCAAGGAUUGCCUGUGGAGUGGAGUCGCCCGCUGCUGAAGUCAAGCUUCCCGGUUUAGCUCGCUUUUAUUCUUUUCCGCUGCAUUUGAGAUCUUUUCUAUUUUUGUAAGACGUGGAUCUGUAUGUCAACAAUUGUCGUUUGUGUACCCUGGCUGGUCCUGGACAGGGAUUUAAUGCACAUUCAGCUUAGAAAUUCUGGUUUGAGAAUUUCUGGGCGUGACAACGCCGGCCACCGAUUUUUUUUUUUUUUUUGCAAUUUUUUCUAUGGCUAUUGCUAACCGAGUCGGAUUGCGUACGAACGUAACGAAAGGAAAAAUACGAAUAUUUAUAUUAGUUAUAUAGAUAUGGUUUAGUUAAGAUGAAAUUCAUCGUGUUAAUUUCGCUUGGAUAUAUAUUUUGUUAGCAAAUCAUGAGCUGCAAUCGUAAUUAGGAGUUCGAUCGUCUCAAAUUAACAUGCGACUUUUUAAAAAUGAUUUCUUAUAUGAUUCCUUAUAUAUUUUCAAAAACGAACGAACUAAAAACCGAGAUCUGUAUUUCUAAAAGCGAACAAAUUUAAAAACCGACCCAUACACAGAUAGAUGACGUAUCAAAUUACCGGCAAAAACAUCUUCAAUUUUUAUAUAUAUAUUUUUUAAAAAAGUAAAGUAGUAAAGUAGAAGAGAAGAUUACGGACGAGAAUUUUUUUUUAGGAGUCGUAGCUUUUAUCGAGGAGUCGGACAUUUUUUUUUCUUUUUUUCACGGUAGAAGUUUUUUCUUUUUUUUUCUCGCUUUUUUUCUCCACCGGGGAGUCGGACAUUUUUUUUCUCUCUUUUUUUUUUCUAACAGAGGAGUCGGACUUUUUUUUUUCCGAUUGAUGUUUUUUUUUUGCCUCUUUUUUGUUUUUCUCGCUUUUUUUCCCAAACGGAAGACGGAAAUUUCUUUUAUUUUUUAAGUAGUAUAUAUAGUAGAUAGAUUGCACUUUGGGCAUAUAUUCUUUGUACGACCCUUAUAAUAUUCUUUUUACUUUGGACUACUCUCUUCAUCCUAUAAUAUAGCAAUCUAGAACUAGAUGUGAUAUUUCAUAGUACAACGAAUCUAGACAGGAAGUAUGUCUGGAUUCAUUGUACUAUAAAGUGUCUCGUCUAGUACUAGGCUGCUAUAUUAUGGGACGGAGGGAGUAUAUAUUAUUGCAAUAGAUAUUACACUUUGGAUGAGAUGGUUCACAUGUACUAAAUGAUAGAGGUGGUUAGUCCGAAAAUAUGUUUUUAAAGUGAUCUCAUAAGUAUACGUUGUCUAAAACAUAAUUUACUCUUUUUUUCCUCUGUUGGUUUAACAAAGAAGAGCAAAAUUGGUUUUAAAACACCGAAUGUUCACGUUUUACAUUAUGUAACAUCGAAAGUUAGUACCUUUUAUGUUAGUAGCACUGAAAGUUUACUCUCGUUUACCUUUUUUUUUAUUUUAACACUACCGUCUCUUUCUCUCUCAACUCAAUUUGCCGUCAACUUUAAGUAAUUCUACCCCACGAGACAUCGAAUCGAGCAGCAUCCCGUGACCUCUCUUUCUCUCUCCGCAGGUGGCGCUGUGGCGGCAUCAUUCCUCAAUUCCACAACAAUUGGGUUAAUAUUCCUGGAGAUUAUGUGUUCGGUUGUUUGUUCUCUCCUCCGUUUGGGUUCUAUUAGGAAGUGCGCAAAAGUGAAAUAGAAUGAAAUAAAGUCAUUCGGGGCUUUGCUGGUUCCAAUCUUCCAAUAUGAUUUGAUCUAGAGUGAGGUCGAUCUUCCAUGGCAGCGAGAGAGAUCUUGCUCAAUUUGGGUCAAAAUUGAGGGCAAACUCAGAUAAAAGAGACGACAGUUUCAAAAAGGGGACGGACUAAACUCAGUGUUAUUAAAGUGAACACGUUAUUAAAGUGAACUCAGUAACUAGUUCUAGAAAAAAAAACGUAAAUUUUCGAUGCUCUAUAACCAAUUUUGCUAGAAAGAAACUACUAGAAAGGAUUUAACAGCCCCUAUUAAUUCAAACCCAUAACUUGUUCGGACCCUGAUUACCACCAACUUAAUUUAAUUUUGCAACUCAACAAAAUCUACACAUUUAGGUUCCUAAUUGUCUAUCUGAACAAACGUUUUAACGUUAAAUUUUGACUUUUCUCAUUUAACUUUAAAAUAGAAAGACAGCACUCGUGUGAGUGGGACUGGAAGCAGCAAGUGUCAAAGUUUUCUCUUUUUUUCGAACGUGCAAAAGCAUUACUCAUCAAUAUAUUAGAAGAAGAGUAGCAUGUAUCGGUAACACGCUGAGGCAGUUACAGGGGUAGGGGGUAUAGUAUGGCGCUAAAGAGCUUGCUAAACUGAGUGCAACUACUAAAAGGAAGGUGAGAGAAGCGAAAUAAACUAAGCUCUUCCGGUCUUCUCUCAACCCAUUGCCACCCUUCUUGCACAAUCCGAUCCACCAUCGUCGGCACCUAGGACAUAACGUUGUCGAAGACGCGGGCGUUCCUUUCUUUCCAUAAGUACCAAGCAACCAGGAGGACAAGGGAGUCGAAGAAGUGUUGUAGUCUCAAACGAACUAAUUAGUGGGCCCACACAUACAAUGCAAAGAGCAGUGAUAAUAAAUAAAAAAAAGAUUCAUGGCGGUGGCCUCGGAACUUGGGACCAAUUCAUCGCCCAUUAAGUCGCCUUUGUUGCUCAACAUCCCCCAACACCAAGUCAGCGUUGCCCUGCCCGCCGCUAGCUCAUCCUUUAGCUCCAAUUUGUCAUUGCGCCUUGUCUUGCCUCACGUAUACCUCCUUCCUUGACCAACUACCUUCUUCCUCAGCCAAUUGCAGUAGUAUCAACAUAGAUGGUGAGCCUGCAGUGUUGAUUAGGUGGGAAGGGCGCCUAGGCCCUACAAAGCUGAUUAGGAUAUUUGGAUGCCACAUGGGACUAAAACCACUCUGAAUUUUGGGAGGGGAUAAUUGGUCUCGUCUGAAAAGUUGGUAUAUAAUGACCGGUAUUAGAGUUGGGGGUAAAUCAAACUUUUGUGAUAAUUGAGGAGGGUAAAGCAGACUAACCCUUAACACAAAUGGUAUUAAGUGAUCCUGGUGGCUAUGGCCACAGAUGCCACCGCAGCCGGCAGCCAGUAUGCACAAGCACACGCUUGUAUAGCUUGACUCCCCUUCUCACCUCCUCCCACGUACGUUAGAGAUCGAGAUGCCAUGCCACCGCCACUACACGUGAAUCAUGAUGAAAGAGGGAGAUCAAUUAGAGAGGCGCGUGAGAUAGCAGUUGACAGUUAUGUUGAGCUCCCAUUCCUUCGCUUUUUUAUGUGAGGGUGCAAACAUGAGCCAUCAUGUGUCGUGUGUCAUGGAGGUGUGACCGCGUAGAGGAGAGGGGUUGUUGGCUGUUGCGUUAGCACAAAAUUUGUCCAACACACGAAGGCCUGAGAGGUUUGUUUAACUCCAGUGUAGGUCCUAAAUUUAGGACGUGUCAGUUAGUUUGAUUCUGCAACUAACAAGAUAGAUAGACAGAAUUGAACCAAUAAACCAAUUGGUCGAUACUGAUAUAGUGUGGUAGGUGCAGGUCCGAUGGUUAAAGCAUAUAUCAGCUAAAGAUCUGAUGCAGGUAGAUUUGCAUGUAUAUCGGCUAACUAACCGAUACAUUUCAUAGAUAAAGCCCAUAAUAAUGAUGACAUCGGCUAGAACUCCGAUGAAACAUUGCAUAAAACCUAUCGGCUUACUAGAAUUAAACUUAUUAGUAGUAAUCUAAUAGAUCAGACAUAACCGAAACAGUAUGGGAUUGAAGAUAAUAAGAAAAACUUAUUUAGCUGAUAAAUCUGCACAAACGUGAUGGAUAUAUCGAAUCAAUCUAAAACAUCAAUGCGGUUAAAAGAGAUAUCAAUCUAAUCUAAUUAGAAUAUGGGACCUAACCGAGGUAGUCCUGACUAAGCCAAUACAACUUUAAAUAGUGAUGCAGCUAAAAAUAGAGUCGAUAUAUCAGAUAAGCAAUGCCCGUAAUAGUCCAAUUAGAAUAUCAGACUUAACCGAGAAAGUCCUAACCAAACCGAUAAAAACAAAAAAUGACAACGUUUACAAAUGCCUGAUUAGAAUAUCAGACCAAACUGAGGAAGUCCUAACCAGGGCCGAUAUAAACGAAGUUGACGGAACUUACUUCCUCACUAGAGAUCAAACUUAACCGAUACAGCCCAACUCGAGAGUAAGACCCCGAACUUGAUUUCUCACUGGAGAUUAAACUUAACCGAUGCAGCCCUACUUGAAAACAAGAACCCAUCGAAAGAGAGGCGAUGUGCCAAAAUUUUAUUGCAUUGAUUUUGUUGAUGAUUACAAAUACCCUAGGUGUACAUAUUUAUACCCUUGGGUUUGUACAAGUCCAUACCGGACACGAGAUAAGAUUACCUAAAAAGAAAAGAAAAAUAACUAAUCCUGCCUAUUUAAGUGAUAUACGAAAAAUAAAAAUGUCUUGUCGUGGUCUUUAUAAUUCUUCCUUGAAUUCAAUCUUAUCUAUAUCUUCUAUAAAGUUACAACCCACUAAACACCUAAAGCUUCACAUGCAAGCAUAGUAUUUAUUAGUACUUCUAAAGCUUAACAUGCAAGCAUGCCACAUUAACCCACUAAACACCCAAAGCUCAACAUGCAAUCAUAGUAAUUACAUUAACAAUUUAUUUUAUUCUAAAACUCAACGUACACAUGCUAAAUCAUCAUUCUCAUUCUCAAGUCAUUUCAUAAUAUUUCAAUCCAAAUCAUUCUGUCAUUUCUAUGUAAAGAAAGGAACGCUCGCUAGAAUGAAAUACUUCAAUUAGGAUGAACUACUACAUAUCGUUCUAAGAGGGGCCUGUGAAAUUGAAGCAGUUCAUGCAACCAUCAACGAAGUCAAGACAUUACCUAUAGCAAGAAAGACUACCAAUAAAGAAGAGCCGAAAACAUAUAUCCGACAGCAAAGCACAAUGCAUCAUCUAGCCUAUAUAAAUUUUUUCUGCCAAUCGAUUUCUUUCCUUAACCGAAUCCACUAAAGAACCGUACCAAAUUUUAGUGCUAACAAGUUGGGACGAGGGGGCCCACCUAUCAGCCAAGCGGCACUGAAGCAUCGUGUGAUCAGGGGACACAUGGCAUCACCACAAUAUAGAGAAUUGGUUGCGGGAUCUGCGCAGGAGAAGCCAAGUUAACCCGAUUGAGCAGCAAAGAAGUGUGCAGCCAUGACAACGGGGGUGUACGGGUGGUGGUGAAGGGGCAGUGGAUUGAUAGGCAGCCUCCAUGUUUUAUCUGUUUUAGUUUUCUUCUAACUAGAUUCUCAAUGACAUAUAGGUCCUGGUGGUGUUUUUAGUUUCAUUUUUUUCUUCUAGAGCUAUGUAGAUGUCGUAGGGGACGGAUAUCAAGUCAAGAAGUCAUGUAGGUGCCAUGUUAGCUGAAACUUUUAUCAAUACUGUCUAGGAAUUCGAUUUAUGUUGGUUUUAAAAGUUGUAGGACAAGCCAUAUCCGGUUUUACAGCCCAAGGGCACGAAUAAAGCUGACCCAAAAUCCCUAGAAUUGGUGUUUUGGACUAUUUGCCACUCUCCCAAAUGGUGUGUUCUCAAAUACCACUCUCCCGAUGACUUUGUCUUUUUGCCACCGAAGAGAGAAUAUUUCUUGCUCGUGUGCCAUUUUUGAGCCCGCGAGGCGCCAUGUCACCAGAUCUGAGGGUAAAAUAAUUGUCUUGCCUUUCUUCUUCAUUUCUCCUUCCCUUGCUCAAUCUCUUUCAUCUCUUCAUUUCCCUGGCCAGUGAGCUCCUAGCCUCGUGCUCCUCCCUCCUUUGCUCCACUCCAUGCCUACAACCCUAUCUCCUUGACCCCUCGGUCAUUCCGCUGUUGCCAAUGCAGUUGGGGACCAGCAGAGAUGGUUAUUCGACGACAAGAUGCCACCGUCGGUGCCUCACUCCAUCACCACCGUCGUCAUCGUCCUCUGAGCACAAAGCACCAGAGUGGAGAGCUUCUUCCUUUUCUUCUUUUCCAAUAAUGGCCUUACAUUCAAAGGGAAAGCAUGGCCCUGACUUGCAAUAGAUCUGGCGGAGGUGGUACCGAUGCAGGGCGACAGAUCUGGUGGCGCAUGGCAAGGCGGUGACAUGGUCAGUCUGGUGGUAGAGAGCCCAGGGUCGUCCGUCUCCUUCAUAGCUAUUUGGUGGCGGGACGCUUGAGGUCCUCUUCACGUCGUCCUGGCUUCGGAUUGAUGGCUCAACACCGGUGGCGGCGACAUCACCAGCUCAUUUAUUUUGGAGGAAGGUUGGAAGAGAUAGACCCAAGCUAGAGGAUGAAGAAGAGCAAAACUACUAUUUUAUCCUCAGAUUUGGUGAUGUGGCGUCUCAUGCGCUCAAAAAUGACACAAGUAAAAAAUAAUAAUCUUCAAUCUCCAAUGACAAAAUGACAAAGGCCGUGUUCGUUGCUAGGUGUUCCCAACCCCUCUUACUUGUGUUCCACACACACGUUUUUCAAACUGCUAAACAUUGUGUUUUUUUAUAAAAAGUUUCUAUACGAUAUACUCCCUCCAUUCCAAAAUAUAAGGCACAACCACUCUUAACCCAAAGACCAAGAAAUAUUUAAUAUCAUAUCAUUGUCAUGAAUCACCUCAACUAGUACAAUACAUGCAACCAAUAGAAUUAAAGAUCUUGUAAGUGCAGGAUUCAUAAUAAUAAUAAUUUAGGGGAGAGAAUGUGCUAAUUAAUUACAUGCAUGCAUGCAUGCCUUAUAUUAUGAAACAACUUUAAAAAUUAGUUGUGCCUUAUAUUUUGGAAUGGAGGGAGUAGUUGCUUAAAAAAAUCAUAUUAUCUAUUUUUGAAAAAAAUAGCUAAUACUUAAUAAUUAAUAAAUUGCUCAGGUUUGUUCCCAAAUGCCCACGACGAAUGCAGCCGAAGUCAUCCGGAAGAGCGGCAAUUUGACAGCACGCUAUCGGGAGAGCGGCAAAAAUAGUCCAAAACCCAAUCAGAAUUGUUGGGCCCGUACGAACCAUUUCACACUUGUCCGGCCCAGAACCACGCGGAGCUGUUCACGAAUCGCGGAAAUCGGAAUCGGUCGGCAUCCUCCCACGAUCCCAUCGUCAUAUUCUCUCUCCACCGAUCCCCACCCCACCACACCACACCCCACGCGCUCUCGCCGUUCUAGGGUUUCCGCUCCGAUCCCUCCCGGCCGACCAAGGUAACCACCCUCCUCUCCCUUCCCGAUCCCGGCUACUAGCCGGAGGCCUCGAGCCUCCGUCCUCCAAUUGCCCCUCGAUUUUUUUUUUGUUUUGUCGCCCCCGAUUCUCUCCCGGUAUCUCGCUCUCGCCGCGCAUUCGAGCUAGAUUCGAGCCGAGACCAAUCGCUUCCGCUAGGGUGUGGUUUGCUCUCGUGGGGGGUUGGAUCGGUCAGCGUAGUUCUACUGCAUCUUGUGGUGUAACGAUGGCGUUGUUGAUUGGGGCUUGAAAGGAUUUUGUGUAGUAGCAACAGCCGCAGCAGCAGCCAUGGCCGACAAGGGACUCUUCGCCAACGACGGCUCCUUCAUGGAGCGGUUCAAGCAGAUGCAGGAGAAGGAGAAGGAGAAGGCCGCCGCCGCCUCGUCGUCCGCCGCCGCCGCGGCCAAGGCCACCAACCCCAAGCCGGUUGUCGUCGCCGCCAACACCCCGUCGGCGAGCAAGAGGCCGCUGGAGCUCAAGGGGGGCGAGGUGAAGAAGGCCGGUUCGAUCUCGUCGGGCGCCAAGCUCGCCUUUAGCCUCAAGAAGAAUAAGGUCGCCGUGGCGCCAGUCAAGUUUGCGGCUGACGAUGAGGAUGAGGAAGAUGUUGGUGCGGACAGGGAGGAGCCUGUGAAGCGGCAGAAGUAUGCGCAACCUGAAGCUCCUGCAUCGGUGGCUGCCCUGUCAGGGGUCGUUGGUAAUCAUUUAUUCACAUUUGUUCCUGUAAUCGCAUUCUUUUCCUGUGACAUAGUAUCAAAUACUUUUGUUAUAUGUUUGUUGGUUACUAUGGGUUAUAUUAUAGUCCAUCUCCAACUGGAUUGGAACUUUGGAUUUAAUCAUUGGAUGUAUUUUGAUUAUAAUGAAAGCACAAUCGAAAUAGUAGGUAUUCAUCAUUAUUCAGUAUAGCUUCUGUUCAUGGUUUAGAUUAGCUCAUUGAAUUUGUUGCAGUCUUUAUACAAGCAUUUGAUAUGUCGUAGGUUUCUGAUAAACUGCUGAACAUGUAACCGGUGAUACUACAUAAGUAUCCCUUGAGCUGCUGACUGACUGACAUGGUCUGCCUAUUGUAAAGCUCUCAAGCUCUUAUACCAGGACAAUUUACUGUUAAACCAAGGAGCUGUGGACAUAAUAUAUAUGAUUCAUGCAUAUAUGAUAUACUGUUUAGGUUGUCAAAAAUAACAUCUGUUCCCAGCAUAUGAAAUUACUUGAACUGGUAUUGGAAACAGAAAUUUGUGAAGGCUUUGGUUUUUUUUCUUCUGACUGCAGCUUAUAGAUUAACUGUAUCGACAUUGAUGGGAAGGAUGUUGAUUGAAAGAGUUGGAUGCAUUACUGCUACAGCAGUAAUUUGCAUUCCUUGUUCAUGCGCUUGAUAUUAAUCAGUUAUUUAAGUGACAUGCAGCCCCAUCACCACCAAAUGAUAUGACUGUGAAGCAAGUUGCUGACAAAUUAGCAAAUUUUGUUGCCAAAAAUGGGAGACAGUUUGAGAAUGUCACGCGUCAAAGGAAUCCUGGAGAUACACCAUUCAAGUAUGCAGGCUAAACUGUUCUGAUCGCGUUAUCACUAUUCUAUUCUAUGAAUUUAAUUUUAAAAAAUAAUUUAUAGAUAAAUGUAUUUGAGUUUUGACUUUCAGCUUGUAAGACUAGCUGCACCAUUGUGUUAAUACAAUUCUUUGUGAUUUUCAGGUUUCUGUUUGAUAAGAACUGUUCAGACUACAAAUACUAUGAGUUUCGGCUUGCUGAAGAAGAAAUGUUACUUGCUCAGUCAAAGGAGGCCCAGGCAUCAAAACAUGGUUUGUGACACAAAAGUUCUGUGGUUUUUGGUUUAAUUCGGCUUCAGUGCAAGUAAUCAAAUUACAUGCCCUUGUCAAAUUCAGCUAGCUCAAGCACUCCAAGCUCCAGAGCACCAAGUGCCCCACAGAGAAGCUCAUUUGAACAAAAGACUAAUUAUCAAACACCUGCUUCAGCUUUGUAUGGGGCAUAUGAGGGUAGUUCUUCCCAAGGAAGCUCAUCUGGCUAUGGUAAAUUAUAUUCGUUGUUUCCUUGUUUUUUAUUGUCUUGUGGCUGAGUGUUCAAUUACAUUACCUGUGUUUCUAUACUGUGUUCUGGUUAUCAAACUUUUAUGCCCAAUGUAAGUUUGCCGCUUCAAUUGUUAUUGUUACUUCUAAUUUCUUUUUUGUUACAACUAUGUUGCACGGCCUGUUUUAUAUAGUUGGGGUGUACUGCAACAAACAGAACCAACACGAGUUUCUUUUUUUCAUGCUUCAAACUGUAUUGGCUGUUCUAUUUCCAACUUUUAGUUUCCCUCAGAAGUUGAUAUUUCCAACUUGAUAUAUUUGAUCUUUUCAUCUUAAUUUUUUUAUGUGCUCAGUGUUGUUUUAUUUUUUUGCAGGUGAGCCUCCCAAGGAUCCAGUAGCAUUGAUGGAAUUCUACAUGAAGAAAGCUGCACAGGAAGAACGGAAAAGGCCACCGAAACAAUCAAAAGAUGAAAUGCCACCACCUCCUUCUCUUCAAGGUACCCUUCUUUUAUAGUAUUUGUUUGUCUGUAUUCAAGGGUUGGGGAAACCGGAGACCUCAUAUUUGUUUCCUUUCUAUCUGGUCUGUGUUUUGCAGCUCCUUCUUCCAAGAAGGGACAUCACAUGGGCGACUUCAUUCCUCAAGAAGAACUUGAAAAGUUUAUGGCACGUUGUAACGAUGCUGCUGCACAAAAAGCUACCAAAGAAGCUGCAGAGAAGGCUAAGAUUCAGGCUGACAAUAUCGGACACAAACUUCUGUCUAAGAUGGGAUGGAGGGAAGGUUAGUCCUUGAAUAUUUGAAUUAUCAUUUGGAUCUUACUUUGUUCCUCUUGGAUUUCCCUUUAAUCAGUACGAAAUCCAAAUCAACCCCCCAGCAAAGAAAUCAAUUGGGUGUCUGGUAGUGGUAGACUGUAAAUUUCAUUUCAAAUCCUAUCUGAACUCUGGUAUUCAUUCUUGAUUCUGUGCUCUCUUGCUGGUUGCUGCCCAUCUCCUCCUGUCUAUCGCCAUAUCCUGUUUCCUGUGUUCUUCCAGCAAAUAUUUGUUGCUGUACAGUUCUGUCGCAAAUUAGCCACCUCUACCCACAGACACCGUGCUAAAAAUUGUGAUAAGAAUUUAUCAUUAAUGAUUAACAGAACGCAACUGUUGCUGGUGUUUCCUGUUUUCUCAAGGUUAUGUUUUAUACAUCAGAUUUUGAGAUGCUAAGUUGUCUUGUGCAGGUGAGGGUCUUGGCAGUGAGAGAAGUGGACGUGCAGAUCCCAUUAUGGCUGGAGACGUGAAGAAAGACCAUCUUGGUGUUGGCGCUGUCCAACCUGGUGAGGUCACAUCUGAAGAUGAUAUCUAUGAGCAAUACAAGAAGCGAAUGAUGCUUGGCUACCGUUAUAGGCCAAACCCACUGGUAUGUUGUCUGCCAUAAGCUGUGUAAAUGAGUGGUUUGGUCAUCCCUGUUCACCUAAUGAUCAUCUCACUUUUACAGAACAAUCCAAGGAAAGCAUACUACUGAUAUAAUGGGAGGUCAUCCAAGGGGCGAUGUAAGGCACAAUUUUGUUACAUUUUAGCUAACAGAACUAACUACUGCCUAGGGAUAUCACUAACAGUAUUGAAAGUUUUUGUUCACCAGCAGAGAAGCCAAGAAGUUCAUUUAUUCAGCAUAUAAUCUUUGAAUGCCAGAGGCUUCCCGGUGUUCUGCAGUAGCUUUGGUUUUACGUAGUGUUACAUCUAUGCUACUUUCAACAUGUCAUUUGGUGUGUGUUUCCCCUUUUGUUUCACAUGGUGAUGUAUUCAUGUUGCUAUUGAUGAAUAAUGUAUCUUCAUGAUUAUUCAACCCAUAUUGAACUUAUGUCACGUGAUUGCUACUCCUUGUUUCUUCAAAUAUGUGGAAACUGUAAAGCAUAUGCUUCCGAAAUACUAAUCGAAAGUUAUUCUAGUUGUUUUGAAGAACUGGCAUUAAUAACAAUAUCAGGGGUUCACUCCAGGUCAGCAGUCAGCUAGCUCUCAAUUUGAUUUAUUUGCUUCGCUACAGAAAUUGCUAGUCGCAAAGUGUGACAAAGUUGACAAGAAAAUUAAGUUUAUGAUGUGUGGGACGUGUUAUUAAAACAGUGUGUCUAAAGCUACAACUGUGGCAGUAAACCAAUCAUAUGCCUAAUAAACUGUCAACUGUGACAAUAAACCAAUCAUAUGCCUAAUAAACUGUGAGUGUGUUUGGUUGCUAGUCAUAUUUUACCACAACUAAGAUUAGACAACAUGACAAUAGUCGCAAAGUGUGAUAAAAUUGACAAAAAAAAAUCAAGUCUAUGAUCUGUGGGACGUGUUAUUAAAAAAGUGUGGCAAUGGCUACAACUAUGACAAUAAACCAAUCAUAUGUCUAAUAAACCAAUCAACUCCCUCAAUGAAAGAUUGAGGGAGUUCUUUAUCUAUACCCGUAUACAUGCUAUUUGCGAGAAGAAAUAUACAUGCUAUUUGUGAGAAGAAAACUAGAGAAUCUGAAGCAAAACUAGAGAAUCUGAAGCAACGGCAUUAUUCGGGCUUGUUGGCAAAUGGAUUAUUGAUAAUCAUUCGUCAAGCAUUUUUUUUUCAUUUCUUUACUAUACUUAUUUCCGGUCUUUAUCAACGCGUAGGCACAAACUGUCCUUUUCACGCCUCAAAGCAUCUUACAAAUUUGUCGUUUACAACUUCACAAUCAAAUCAAGAAUAGGUCAACAUGCGCAUGAAUCCACUUAAAUAGCUACAGAACUUGAAAUUAGUCGACAAUUUGUUCCCUUCUUGUCUCAGAUUUCUCUUCAAGUUAUUCAAUUCAUGUAAAGAUUUGCAAAAAUAUAGUCAUACUAGAUAUUAUAUACUUGGGACAAGAUUAUGUAAUAAGUACUCCAUAGUUGCUCUAAAUUUUGAUUGUCAAUUUUAUAUUAAAAUAAAUUUGCAAAAUCUAAUAAGUACAUAGUAGAGUGCAUAAAUAUAUGUACGACAACUAGUUAAGAAGUCAAAUUUAUGAAAUAUUGAUAAUUUUAUAAACUACUGACCGUGGAAUCGGAUCGCUCUUUGAUGAUUGUGGUUCUGUUCCUAAUAGGAGAAACCGAUUUAGAUGGCGCUCAAUCGUAACUGGGAGCUAAGACCUAGCACCCUUUCAAAAGGGCGUAAUAAGAUCGCUCACGAUUAGCUCGAACAAUUAGUCAUACCGCAAGCUGAAAGGAUGCGGUGUCAAACUGUUAUAAUUCUUUACUCAAUUAAUACAGUUACACCUUUUUGUUUGGAAAAAGUUUAUAAAACAUUUGAUCAAAUCUUAUCUCAAAUAUAACGAGUAUAAACAAAGAGAAAAAAAAUCUUGCAGAGAACCCCUCGAAGGGCCCCCGUUGCGUUGACACUUGAACACGCUUCGCUUUGGUUUUGGUCCUCAAAACUUCCAGUCUGACUCACACUCACAAACACAAAGACGCUCCUCUAAUCCUCUUUGGUUGCUCCUCGUGUUGGCGUGGUCGUCGUCGUCUUGGUCACUUGGUCUCCAUCUCCUCUUCUUCUUCCACCUCCUCAUGCCCAUGGCGGCUUCCCAUUGAUCCCUUCAACACCGCUCUAUUUUACCAUCCAAUUAGCAAUUAGCGCUAGUUGAGUAUCAUCUCCACUAUUUAUUCUAAUCCAGUGUAAUCAUCCUCCUUUCUUCUCCCAAAAACAAUACCAAAGAAAUCCAAGCACCGCCGCCUCUCUCUGCUCUACCCCCAUCUCACCACCAAGCUCCCCCCUCCAUUUUGAUACUAAAAAUUCAGCAACUCGCCAGGGAGAGCAGGGUCGAUCCAAGAAUCGAUUGCUGUUCGGUUCUUGGAUUGGAGAGACGGGACGGGAGAAGAAGAAGAAGAAGAAAGAAAAGAUUGCAGUCUUUUGUGUUGUUGAGGUAGAAGGAGAAGAGGAGGAGGUGGGGGAAAGAUGUCGCGAGGAGGAGGGAGCUACGGGGAGGUGGGGCAGAAGAUCGACUACGUGUUCAAGGUGGUGCUGAUCGGCGACUCCGCGGUGGGGAAGUCGCAGCUGCUGGCGCGGUUCGCCCGCAACGAGUUCAACCUCGACUCCAAGGCCACCAUCGGCGUCGAGUUCCAGACGCGAACCCUCCACAUCGACGCCCGCACCGUCAAGGCCCAGAUCUGGGACACCGCCGGCCAGGAAAGGUAUAGCUGCCACUGCCAGCCUUUUUUUUUUUUUUUGUUUCAGUUUGUUCAGCAUAAUGAGAUGAUAAAUAAAUAAAAAAAGUUAACCCUUGAUCCAACAAGAACAACAACUGAUGCUACUGUGCUGUUUUAUGAGCUUAAUGGUUUUUUUGGCUAAGGUAGUAUGGGUAGUAUGCACUCAAUAGUUUCAUUUCAUUAAUAGGAGUAGGCCAUGUUCUUUCUAGUGCACUUAUGCCAUUUAUGAAGUUAGUAGGUUACUCUCUUUGUAGUCCCUUGAAGUUAGUAGGUUACUCUCUUUGUAGUCCCUUUUUAAUUGCUUAAUGAGGAUGUUUUUGUGGGAUACAUGAAGAGAAGAGGUCAUGAGCUUACUAAGUUCUUGGAAGGCCUUUGUGUGCUGCUUCUGGAAUCUGAUUUGUCCAUAAUGUUCAACAAAACGAAAUAGCGAUACAAUAUUCACUUUGUCAGCUGGAGGAGCUGUAUUUUGUUGUGCCCCGGCAUGAUGAAAUGGGGACACUAUCUUCUCGGAAAGAAGUUCGGAAGCUUGAAUGCUAGGAUUGGCUCGAGUUUUGCACCUCUUUUUUAAUGAAUGCUAGAGCCCCUGCCUAAAGUCCAGUGUUCAUUGUUCAGAUGGCUGCAGCAGCUAGAGGAGACCAGCCUAAAAAGCAACAUCACGGUGUCGCCUCCAAACAAAUCUUAGAUUAGAAAAAAAAUUUCAAAGAAUCAGAAUUAUUGAAAGUAUUGAUCCACUCAGUUUGCUGCAAUUAGUAAUUGAUGCUCAACCUGAAUACAUGCGCAAACCCCGAUCGAAUGAGAAUUUUACCCCAAAAGCCAAAACCUAGCACAAAUCCCCACACAGAACACAUAAGAGGAGGCUUCAAUGAAAUGCAUACUGAAAUUGGAGUUCUACUAUACAGAUCAGAUAUUUACAACAUGUAAGAUGUUUGUUCUGCUGUACACAUCAGAUUGUUUUGACUUGCAAGAUCAUUAACAAUAUGUUUAUAUUCAGUACAGAAUCAUAUAAUUUGCACUUUCAAUAAGAAAUAAGAUAUAUUGACAAGCAGCAUGGCAAGCAUCCUCAAAAAAUUAAAGUCCUCAAAAAAGUGAAAUAUGUCUAUUACUUGCAUACAUGAAUAUGUCCUUUUGAGCUAUUAUUUGCUAUUAGCACCAUAGCAAGGAACAAUGAAUAUGGUGCCAUACAAUAACGUUGAAUUGAAUAAUGUGCAUAUCCUUUGGGCCAGGGUUUCAAUCCCCUUUUGGGAAGUGUUUCUUUGGACCUGAUUACUUAUCUAAUCCCAGAUAAAAUUCAAAAUAUAUUUGUAAAAUUAUUCUGCAAUUCAAGUUUCCAAUAGCACGUAACAAGAAGUGGAGUUUUUUUUUUAAAAAAAUAGCUAAAAUUGGCCAAAACAACUUAUGAACCUCAUGUUACAGAGUUACCACAGGGAACUGGCAGAUUCCUGCCAUUUUUUGCAGCCCUGUAUGGACCAUCAAUAUGUUCUUAUCCCAUGAACCAGGUGGAAUAAGGGAGUAAUAAUUGAUCAGUGUACUCAAGACAAACUCAUAUUUGACAUCUACAUCUUUUGACUUAUCCCUAUGUAGAUAUUUAACAAUUCAGUUAGUGAAUAUUACAGUUAUUUCUCGUUUUACUGAACACAUGUAGUAGAUGCUUGUAUCGAGCAAAGCAGAUGCCACAUGUAAACACAACUAGAUGCAUUUUUCUUGAGAAAAUAAUAAAACAUGUCAAGGUAAAUAUCACUUUAAACAACUUCUUAGGCAAUAUAUUUUUCAGAGAAAUUAAAUAUUUUACUCAAAUAAAAAUUAUCUAUAUUCUUGCUGCAGUUGGUAAAACAGGAUGUUAUCUAGUAAUACUCUCUUACUGCAUACUGCUUUUACGACAAAUGUUUGGAUUUUAAAUUCAUGUAAUUAAAUAUUACAAGCAACUAUUUCAGGGAAAUUAGAUAUAUAUCUGAAGCCAGAAUUUGCUAUUCUAAUCCCAGUGGCAGUGAUGACUUUUGGCACCCCAAUAGUAAUAUGUUUAGCAAUUUACAUCUGAAGUAUUCAUAGAUGUUUCCUAUUGCAUAUUUUAUUAAAUUGUAAGAAAUGAUAAAUAAGAUACUUGUUGGAAAGAACUAAAAGAAGUACUAGAGUGACAUUUUUAAUGAUUACUCCCUUGAACAAAGUACAGAUGAUUUAUUGUAAGAUCUGCUAUAGUUGAAUGGUUUGUUGUAUCACUAACAUUUCCAUUUUGGAAUGCAUGCUCCAAUAUUGGCAUUUGGUUUUUUGUUUCUGGUGCAUUUCAUCUAAAAUUAUUCACUGGCUAAGUAACCUCUCUGAAUGUGAUAAUAGGUACCGAGCAGUAACAAGUGCAUACUACCGUGGUGCAGUGGGAGCUAUGUUAGUAUAUGACAUAACAAAGCGUCAGUCAUUUGAUCAUGUAGCUAGGUGGCUCGAGGAGUUAAGAGGCCAUGCUGACAAGAACAUUGUUAUUAUGCUUAUCGGUAACAAAUCUGAUCUAGGCACGCUUCGGGUUGUACCGACUGAGGAUGCAAAGGAAUUUGCUGAGCGUGAGAAUCUCUUCUUCAUGGAGACCUCUGCUCUUGAGUCUACCAAUGUUGAAAAUGCUUUCAUGACCGUACUUACGGAGAUUUACCGUAUUGUCAGCAAGAAAAACCUUGUUGCAAAUGAGGAGGUUGAUUCUAGCGGAAACUCGAGCUUACUGAAAGGUACAAAAAUUGUUGUCCCAGGUCAGGAGCCAGCCCCUCCAACCAAAGCAUCAUGUUGUAUGUCCUAGGCAUAGCAUUGUACUGUGUUGUUUCGGAGUUUACUCCUGCCAUAUCAACACUGAAUAGCUGGGAUUCCUGUGAGUAAAGAUGAAAAGGUCUACAUGUGGACAGUUAACUCACAUAUGUUGUAAUUUUAUGAAUCACUCUUUUUUGUAUCUGAUUGUGUGAUGGUGUGUGUAGUCAUUUAGAGCAUUCUCAGAUAUAAUUGGCCCAAUCUUAUCUGUUUGCUAUAUCAUUCUUAUCCAAGCACAAAACAUAUAUGCAUUUGUUUACCUUACUUACCUGUGUAAUAAAAAAAAUGGGAGAUACUAACCUUUAAUUAUCUGUUCUUACUUCUGCCCAUCUAGAAAACAUAGAGAAAAUCCAUUCUGUAAUUAAAGAAAAAGGGCUCACGCUAUAAUUCAACAUUACGUUGCAAUGAUUCAGGAUAUUGUUUUCCUGAAGUCUGAAGGUGCCAGCUUUUCCUGCUGCCAAUAUUAUCCAAAACUGGAAAAAUGUACUUCGUGCUUAAAUCAGCCCUUUUCUUGUGGUAUUGAUUUUCUGUCCCAGUAAUUUUUGCCCGAUAAGAGGAUAUAUCAACAAAGGCUUCAGCGGAUCAUCUUUUGUAUAUUCAAUUUGAUACUCACUCCAUUUCAAAAUAUAACCAUUUCUAGUAUUUAAAAUUUGUACCAAAUAUAAUCACUUCUAGCACUAUUGAGGGUAAUACUUUAUCAUCGUUUACCUCCCAUUCAAAUUUCUUCCCAUUUUACUUCCAACUGCCAUCCCAUAUUCAACCGUCCCUCAUUUAAUAAGGGGUACCAAGUCUUUUGCCCUGAACCUUAAUUUUUACUAAACAACGUAAAGUACUUACAUUUUGAAAUGGAGAGGGUGGAAAAUACCCAUAGCUGAAGGUUGAAACUACUUGAUCCUGAGACCAGUACACAACCAGUGUAGGGUUCACUAUUUCCAAAACUGCUUCAAAUAUUCAGGUGUGAAGAAUGCAGGCACUUAUCUUUUGCACAACCCACAGGUUUGAUUCUUGAGCAAUGAGUGAAUGAAUCAUGUAGUGUAGUGGGCCUUAUGCUAACAGUGAAAUCUUAAAACAAUGCCCAAGCUUUGUGAGAUGUGACAUAUUCUGUUAUAUCCUUCAUGCAAUUUGGACACAACUUUUCUUCAGAACUCAGGAACUUCCAUGUUACCUUGUCUAAUUACCAUGAUCACAUCUCUCUGGUAUUAUUAUUAUUAUUCCUCUAAUGAAGGGAGAAGUCCAGAAAAAGAAGCUUCUACAUAUCAAGUUCCAAGCUAGUCUGGGGAAUUUUCCAAGAAGAGCCCCUUGUUUCAGCUCCCUCUUUCCAAUAUAUCUUCCUGAUGCACAAAAAUCAGAAGCUGGGGAUCCUUCCAAAGUUCCAUGAGGGGAUCUUUCAAGGUUACUAACAGAUAGAUUCAAGUAUAUCCAUUGUCCCCUACUGAAAACCUGGAAAGCAAUGUCUUUAAAAAAGGUUGUGAGUGUCUCUCCAUCUUGAUGCAGAGAUGAGAAUGAUACACCCAACAUGACAACACUGUUCAUGCACUGUUUCACAGGACUUCAGCUCUGAGCUGGAAGAUAAGGAGACUUGAUUUUCAGAAAAUAAGAGGAGAAACGGUUCAUUUGUGAUGUCUUUAGAGUUCUGAGCGAAACAAAACUAGUUUUGACAAAAUUAUCGCAAAACAAUAUGAUAAAAUUCAGGAACUACAGAUAUUUCGAUAAAAUUAUAGCAAAACUAUAGAUUCAAGACGCAAUAUCUCAAAUUAAAAUUUUAACAUUGAAUUUGUUACAAAAUCACAUAUAUCUGCCAAGUAUCUUAAAACAAAAAGAUUUAGCACCAAAUGUAUCAUAAACUACAAAUUUCAAAAGUAUCAUCAUAACCAUAGUCCUAGUGAUCUAUUUGUAAAUCCCUAGUUUUGUGAAAAAUUCAUUGCUGAAUCUAAAUUUGGUGACUGUACUUAUUAUCUCGAAAUUCUAUACUGAAUAUGUAGUUUUUUAAUAGACUCAAACCUGUAAUUUUUUGAUAGUUUUGUCAAGGUAACUGUAUAUGUGUGAAAUUUAAUCUGAAAAUGAACUUAAGGUAUAACAACACCUCAAUUAUCCUUUUGCAAUUUUAAUGUGCAAAUCAAAAUCUGCCCGUAUUUAGUUAUUUACCUUCAAGAAUUUCAUAUAACCUCUUGUUUUAUUUCUUUAUCUUUUCAUGACAUACUGAAAUGUCUUAUCCUGCACCAAAAGAAUUAAUUAACAUAAAGAAACAUGAAGAUUCAAUGAUUUUUCAUCAUUCCAUGAGGAAUCAUGCAUUCCAGCUGCACUUCCAACACCGAAACUCCAGUGGAAGGUUGCCGAGCAUCAUGAUCUUUUGUUGACUUUACAAUCAAUCAGUACUAUAUGUGUGGAUGGUUCAUGGUUGCUCAUUUUCUUAGGUGUGUUUUCUUUCUAGAAUCAAGAAGCUUUAAUCACUGCCAAGUCCCCAAGACCAAGGACACUGCCUGAUUCAGUGUACUACAGCAUAAUAGUAUAUAUGCAAGCUGCAGCUGAAUUAAUCUGCCUGCUGGCCUCAUUAUAAUAAAUCCUUCCACUUGCACACAAACAAAGUCCCCUUUUUCAAUGUGUUGCCUACAUGUUAAGGACAUAUCACUGGUUGGCUCUGAAAAAAUAAUCCUUCCUUUCAUUUUAUUGGGCAUUAGAGCAUCCACUGUGAUUAAUUUUGAUGCUGCAAAAACAUCAAGUACGAUUACUGGAAGUAUACUGUCUGUUAAAAACCAUGGCACAAUGGAUCAUUCAAAGUAAUUAAGAAAAUAUUCUAGCUUUCAUAGGUUGUUUUGUUCACAGCAUUCAAAAAACAGGUACAAUGGCUACAGUUUGCAGUACACUAGUACUUUUCAAGAACAGGCCAAUGCUGUAACUAGUAUUUGAAAAAUAGCUUGAUUCUGAUACUUGAAAAUUACUUCUAUUUGCAUGAUCAGAUUGUAUAUUGCACAAUGAGCGAGAAGCCAACCAGUUGGCCUAAUAUAUGUUUCCUGAAUUCCUGUUUGGUUGGGCCAAUAAAGUUUGAGUACAGUUGGACAAUUUAAAAUUUGUUUCAAUUUGUACUUUUGUCUAAAAAGACUACUUACUGAAUUGACAAUAAGCAUAGACUGUACUGCAUUGCAGCUUUGCUAUUAUCAGAAGUUCACUGUUUGGUUUGUGAUGGUGGAGAUGAAUUCUAUGCACCGUCCACCUGUCUCCAUCAGAAUUCUUGCAGUCUAAUUUGGAUAUGAACGCAAAGAAAAUUAUAUGUCAAAUUUUCAAUUGGUUCAGAAUCUGGAAUAAUGUAGAAGCUAGCUCUCAUCUUCAGACAAACCAAUUACAUUGGAAGUAAUGGCAUUUUGCCCUUGGCAUCUUAUAGGUAUAUAGCCAAAGCAUAAGAUCAGCAUUGCAACAAGGAACCUGGCAUUGGAUGAUUCUCUACCUUGAACAAAUCGAGGAUUAAUUGUUCCUGAAAUUAGUUCUGUUCAAGGGAAGCUAGGAUCAUAGCUGAAUUUCUUGGUUCAGAAGGGGGAGAGAGAGUAGAAACUGAUUUUGAGAUCCUACUAUUUCAAGAAGUCGAAUUCAUCGGCAUGGAUUGGAAGCUUAUUCGAUCAAAGAGCGUUCCAAAGCUGAAGAACUCCUCACCUACAAGUCCAACCAAAGGUACUCCAAUUUCUCCCUUGACUAACUGAUCAGUUAAUUAAUUAGGUUGGAAUCAAAUUAAUCUGUCCGUUCAAUUUCUUUCUUCAAUAAUGUUUCACACUUUACUUCGUUUGUACUGCACAAAUAAAAAAUUAGCAAUGCAAACUGCAUGCCAUCAAGCAGAUCAUAGCCAUAGGCAAGUGAUUAUCCUGCAUGUCAAGUUGGCAACUAGAUAGUAGUAGUUGGUAAAAAGAAAUGUUUUGGGUACAAUUCGGGAGGUCAGAGUUAGUGAUCAUCUGCUUGGAAUGUCAAGAUUAGACAGCAAAUUUGGACCAGUAGUCAAAACAAAGUUGAUUGAUCAGUUGACACCAGGUCACUAGUUACCAGUAGCUAGUUAGAAUCUACCUUGGAGAUUUCAUAUCCCUCUGCAGAAAUUCUGGCCUCGGAAUUGAUCAGAUCGUAUUUUCUUUGCAAGUGAAUGCGUUCUUGGUCCCCUGUUAAACUGAAUUUUCUGAAAGUUCAGUUUUUUUUUUUUACUUGGAACUGAACUGAAGUUAACUUGAUCAUUAGUGAAUGGCAGAGCUCUUGACCAAUGAUGAACAAACAGAAGUUAACCUGUUCGAUCUUGCUUGAUCCGAGAGCUUGACCUAGAACAAUGCGCCCUUGAUGUUUGGCACCUUGGUUUCUGCUCUGAGUUUAUCAUCAUUUGAGUGGACUAAUCUAUUCAGAACUAAAGAAAAUAAUAAUAGUACUAAAGGUAAAUGCAUCAUUGGUGGAUGGAUUACAUACAGAAGACAAAAUUUCUGCUGCUGAAUGUUUCCAGCUUCUUUGAUCUGAAUUUCUGAACCCUGUGUUAAUCUGAUCAUGUGCAUCAUGUUUACCUUGAAUAGUUUCUCUGGGUGCAGUUCACCAUUUCUUGCCCCUGGAUUCCUUCGGGCCCACCUUUCAGGUCAAUGGGUCAUAUGCUUUUGCUUCCCUGACUUUGAGAGUUAAUCUAUUCUCUUCAUUUUCCCGCAUUACCCUUCCUAAAUUUACACUAUUUUAGUCAACAUAAAAUAGCCUAAUUAUUCAAUGCUUUACUUGUUGCAAGAUUCUUUUAUUAUUAUUUUUUUUACCUUUUGCCCCAAUUAGACACCACUCAAAAGAGAUUUUGAGGAGAGACGUCCAUCCGAACAUUUUCUAAGAAAAAAUUAUGAACAUGUUGAGAAUUGAACACAAGACCUUAGAAUUGAAACUACACACCUCGUGCAACUAGACUGAGAUCCUCUGCAGUCAAAUGUACGGUGCCUUUAUCAUUGACAUAUGGGCCCUAAUAUAUUAGUGACAAAGACACGUGACUUUGACUACAGAGGAUCUCUAUCCCUUACAACUGUACUAUCAAAUGCAUCUCUCAAUUAGACACCUCUCUUUUGCCAACCAAAUUGUGAUUCUAUUUUCCCAUCCAAUGUUAAACACAAACUUGUUACAGAUGAUAGCAGGCUCAGUGACGAGGAUUCUUGUAUAGACUAUAGAUGCAGUACUACACAAGACACGUAUGAAGGAUAUAGUGAAAUAAAAUAGUUCCCUAACCGUGUGACUAUUAGAGCAUCCACAAUAGUAAAGUAAGGUGCUCUCUAUAAAACAUGUACAUCUCAGCAAUAGACUAGAUUAAUAAUAAACCACCUCAAUAGUAUGUCUACAUGGGUAUCUAUAGCUCUAUAAUACAUUGCCUCGUUUUUCUCUAUAGACUAUCUCCAGGUUAGUAGAUAGUUUUGCUCUCUCUCUUCAUUUAAUCUCUUCCAAGUAGAAAAAUAUGCUGAUAUGGAUAUCUUAUAGAGAGCCUAUAGAUAACCAUUCUGGGUGCCCUUAUGCCUUAUUGAGAUAGGUGUGGACGGACGUGAUUGGCUGCGUAUCAGUUGAUUGAGCCUGUCCCUCUACAACCAACGCGAUUGUCCGGAAAAGCGAAACAAAAAUCUCGGAAUCCCAACCCUCCAAUUUCUUCCCAGCGGUGGAUCGGGACCAUCCGCACGCGAUUGGACGGCCCAGAUACAAUAUUAAUCCACAAUUUUUUUAGUCCCACCUCAGAUCCCAACGCCCCUUCUUCCCCAUAUAUAAAUAACCUGAACCCCUCGAAAUCAAAUGCAACAAAACCAAACCAAAUUACCAAAACCUCUACUGUCCCUUUCUUCCAUCGCCGCCGCCGCCGCCGAGAAGCGAGCAGCUCGCCGGCGCCGGAGACGAAGAAGCUAGCAAGCCAUGCCGACCGACCACCACCACCCGGAUGCGGCGGCGGCGGCGGCGGGGAAGGGGGCCCACCACCACCACGGCGGCGGGAAGGUGCACAAGCUGCUCAAGUCGGCGUUCAAGCGCGGCGGUGACCACCACCACCCCGGCAGCGGCGGUGGCGGCGGCGACCAGGAGGGGGACCUGCUGAGCCGGUCGGCGUCCGGGUCGUCGUCGACGUCGGCGGCGAGCAGCAGCAGGGCGGCGUCGUCGUCUUCCGGGAGGCGCGGCGGCGGCGGGAGGAGGGGCGACGACACCUGCUCCUCCGUCGACGGCGAGAGCGGCGAGCUCGACGGUGAGCAGCCGACCUGCCUGCCCCCCUUAAUUGGAGUAAUUCGUUCUAAUUUUUCUCCGUUUAUCUGCUUCGUUGGAUCAAUUAGGUGAAAUUAGAGCGAAUUUUAUAUGGUUUGGUGAAAAUUUAAAACAACGUGAAAUUCUCGAUAACCAUUUCUGCAUUUUCUUUUGGUGCUAGAUUUUUUUUAACUAGUCAACUAUCUAUGGAUUAUUGUCGCAAGGCACCAGCUUAUAAUAGUGAGAAUCGAACGCAUGAUAGCAAGUGUGUAACACUCACCUAAAAACACAUAAUUGAAGUCAGUCUUCGUAAACUGUUCACAGCUGGGGUUUAUGCAACAAACUAAAAAAACAAAACUGUUAAUUGUUUGUCCAUUCACCAAUGAGAAUAAAUUAGUCUUAAAAGAUAGUGUUAGCAAAAAUGAAUAAAUCGAUAAUUCGUUUAAUACUUUUCCUAAUACUAUUGUUUAUAUUUCAUCUUCUACUUUAAUGGGAUUUCAUUACCAGAACACAUGUUUUUUUUAUGAAAUACAACAAAUCAGGGAACGUGCGUUAGGACUUGCUGAUUUUUUUAAUUGCAUUUUCCCCCCCCCCUCUUAAGUACUGUGAUGUUUAUUCCCUGUUGCAAAAACUAUAUAACAAGCAAUGACUUAUGAUUGGUUAGUGAUGGUCGUGGAAGUUGUUAGUUGCAGAGCUCACCCAUUUUUGUAUUCACCUAAUUCUACUGUUUAAUCACAAUAUUUUUGUCAUUCAUGACAGUGACAUGUUUAGGAAAGACAUGUACUAACACCACGGAAGUUAGGAUGUACUGUAAUAAAGAUAUCCCAAUAUGAUUCAGUGGCGCCGUAAGCAUCGAUGAUUAUCCAGCGAAGUCUCCCCUGUAAUUAAUAGAAUUAAUGUUGGGUCAUGUUCUUGGAAGCUACACUAAGUACACAAGAAAUAAAUUUUCCGUAGUUUGGAACAUAUAUUGCCAUUCUUAAUUUUCCUUAAGAACACAGAAUUGCUGGGUUUUGUCCCUUUUCCUUGUCUUCUUUGGUAAAGUAAUCCAACCAUUCCUCUUAAGCCUCGCCUAGUUAAUAGUUAUCUUUUAAUUCUUGCAUUUCCUUCUUUUUUUUCUUCUUCUUUUUUUCUUUUGCAAAUAUAGAGGAUGAAAGUUGCCUUUUCAUAUUAAAGAUCUUAGCUGCUGAACUAGCUGAAGAACAUGAAAAAUUGUCUCUUUCCCAGAUGUAGCUUUCAUAUAUCACAAAGUCUAACAAGCAGGCUCCCCUUUUCUUUCUUGGCCUGCUCUUUUAAUGUUCUGGAGCAUAAGAAAAAUACCUUGGGUCCCAUGCUAAUCAAAUUGGUGGCUUAUAUCAGUUUGGACAGCAGAUCAAAUUUAUUGAGCAGUCCCUUUCUCAAAUAGUCCAUACAUUUAUCAGCACACUUUCUUUUAUAGAUAAUGCAAUCUUAGGUUGGAUCUGAAAACUUGGCAGUGCUCUAGUCAUACUGAAGGAAAGGAGUACUGAAACGUGGCACCCACAAAUGGUCUACUUGAUUCAUUACUAGCAUAAAAAUAUAAGCAAAAUUUUCCACAAAUUUUUUAGGUGCACAGCCAUUUUAGAAAUGCCUGCAUAUGUACUAUUUUUUUCACUCGAAAUUCCAACAUAUGCUUGUCUGACAGUUAAGCAACAAUUGACUCGUGCAUUGUGCUCAUUAUCUCACUUGUUUUAUUAAAAAUAUCUGCAUUCGGAGCCUCUUACUUCAUGACCAUGAUAUCUUUCUAGCUGCCAAUUUGGUUAAAAGAUUCCCACUGGAUUUUCUGUUGGAUUUGGAUCUCAACAAGUUCAUGGAGCGAAGAGCAUCGGCCAGCUAGAUCUCCAAUGCUUCCUUAAACACUGGCAGAGUGGCAGCUUAGAAAUCAAGAAGGCAAAAUAAUUCCACUUGCAAAGCAUGUCUUGAUCUUUGUGACAUUCUGAAUAAUGUCAAAGAAAACGCAUGCCAAGGUUGCAUAUCUUUCAGUAAACAAGUGAUCUUAAUCACUGAUCAAUGUGGAGACCACUUGUGAGCAUUUGAUUAAUUUUGUUCCUUGAUCCAAAACUCAUUUCUAUAAUGAAGAAUUGUUUAUUAAUCUGCACAGAACUUGUAUUUUCUUUUCUAAUCAUCAGCUCUUCAAAUACUAAUUAAUUAGCAUAUCAAAUGGACUCAUAUGAGAUUGAGAUUGGCAUCAUCAAGAAUUGUUAGUUAAUCUGCACAGCAUUCGCACUUCCUUUUCUAAUUAAUCUCCAGUUCUUCACAUACUAAUUUAAUUAGGUUAAUUGCAUAUCAAAUGGACUCAACUCAUGCAUAUGAUGAGAUUGAGAUUGUGAUAAUCAAGAAUAAGUGUUUGAUAGUUUGAUCUUUGAUGAAGGAUCCAAGAAUGCCAAGGUGUUGGCGGCGCUGCGCGACGCGAAGAUCAGCUACGCUUACGAAUCGUUCCCGUGGGAGAAGAAGAUGAAGGAGUUGUUGCCGGUGCCGGCGGCGAGCUGCUUCCUGUCGAUGCUGCUGCUGCCCAAGUCCGCCGACGGGUCGCACACCCGGUACAAGUCGCUGGAGGACACCCUCGCCCGCGCCGACGCGUGGCUGGUGUCGUCGCAGGCCGCCGGCGUCCCCGUCGCCUUCAUGAACGUCCAGACGGAGGCGCUGCUCACCAAGAUCUCCGGCGAGAUGGCGCUGUCGACGGUGAACAUGGGCUCGCUGUCCGACCUCGCCAACAUGGCGAACGCCAGCCUGUACGGGUUCGAGGACUACCACGGCGUGGACAUCGGCGUCGUGCGCGCCGUGCGGCUGUGGUACACGCCGGUGGCCGGCGAGGCGGCGCUGGAGAUCAAGCUGCUCCCGGGGGACACGCGGCUGGGGUUCGCCAUCAGCCGCACCGAGGAAGGGUUCAUUUACGUGUCGUCGGUGGCGGAGGAGAGCACGCCCGGCGUGGCGUCGACGCGGUCGGGGCUCCUGGAGCUCCACCGCGCCGCGCGCAGGGCGUCGCGGCUGCUGGUGGUGUCGCGCGUCGGCGGCGAGAAGGUGCUCCCCUGGAUGGUGUCCACCGCCGGCGACGUCAAGUGCUUCGACACGGUGUCGCUCAGCCAGAAGCUGUCGCUGCACCGCCACGCGCUCCGCCCCAUCACGCUCCACUUCCUCAUGUGGGACACCGCCCUCGCCAUCAAGGACGUCGUGGCCAAGCCGCCGCUGCCGCCGCCGCCGACAAUGCUCAUGCUGCCGUCGCCGCCGUCGCCGCCGCCGUCCGACGCGGAAGGGGACGCGCCGCCGCCCAGUGGCGACGGCGACGAGGCCCCCGGCAGCGGCGCCAAGGGCGGCAAGGACUCGUCCUUCAGGUUCCAGAACAUCGACCUCCUCCCGGACAGCUGGUUGUGAAUUUUUUUCUUUUUUUAAUUUUAACAAGAAAAAAUGUGUGUUUUACACAUUGUGUAAUAGAGAACUACUAUUUACUUAUAUAGUUAGUACUAAAUGAGCAUGUUUCCAAAGUCUAUUGGGUGGUUUUGAUUUUGCUAAUUUACGGACACCCGCUACUUCCGUUCCGCGCGCAUGAUCUUCACAACCCAUGUCAUUGUAUAAGAGCAAGUUUAACAGUACAAGACUACAAGCCUACUGCUAUAUUUAGACUGUGUUCUUUCCCCAACUUUCUCAACUUAUACUUAUCUUUCAUGCGCACGUUUCCUAAACUACUAAACGCUACAAUUUUUUUAUAAUAAUUUGUAUAACAAUUCUGUAUAUGUGAAUUGCUUAUGUUUACUUAUCGAGCUAAAAGUUUUUGAUGAAUUGUUUAUGCUAACUUAAAUAAAGAACGACUAUUAGUAGUACUACACUUGUGUAUUGACUAUUUUUUAGUUUCUUAAAAGAAGUUAGCUUCUUAAAAAGAAGAUUUAUACUGCUGGCGACCUAUGCUUAUUGUGCUAUGGAUUUAAUAGAUAGAAGGAUAUUCCAGCACAUGGGGAAAAAUACGAGGAUUGUCAUACCAACGGAUAAUCUUCCUAGCAAAGGACUCCCAUCAAAGCAUAUUACUGGUAUGUGUUUUUUUUACCUUAUCCUAUGUUGGUCAUGCUGCGUGCACCCGUCGUUUUCUUUCGUUAUCCUAUCAUUGCAUUUCAUGCUUCAAAUAUAGCUCAUGCGUUUUAAGAUCCUACACUCGCAAAGUUCCAAUAAUUUUAAAAUAUAUAUUCAGUAUCCCUCAUGAUUGAAUUUGCAAAGUUUCAAUAAUUUGAAAAUAUAUAACCAGUAGCUCUGUUGAUUGAAAUAAAAAAACAAAGGGCUUACCCAAUGGAUGCUGGGCAAAGUACACCACGUUUCUCAAAUUUGAUGUACACCUAACGUGCUCGAACCAUAAAUUUCAGUAUGAAUUCGGUUCCAAAAUAUAUAUAGAUUUCUUGGAAUACAUGUUAGAGAUGCUAUAAAUAUGGCCUUUAUGUAGCCUAGCUUUAUCCAGAGGAUGAGAAGAAGGCAGCCAUGUUGCUACUUGCUAGAAUUGAGUUGCAGUUCUACUAACUUUCCUUAAAGGUUCAAGUCUGCUGAAGGUGAGAUACCAUUUAUGUUUAAUAAAGUUUUAAACUUACUCAGUUAAUCAUAUUGCUAAGAGGCUAAUCCUGAUUUUUACAUCUACCAUAUCUUCAAAGCAAUCCAGCAAAUCGACCAGCUCAGUAUGGUAGAAUACCAUGUACCAUGAAUUGGGGUUGCUUUCCUAAUUGAACUGUAUAUGUUCAAACAAACAUUUAGGCGCAUUUCUAUCUCAGCAUUGUAAAUAUCCUUUUCUUCGUAUAUAUGCUGAUUCAGUGACCAAUUUGCAUCUAUUUUAUGCACUUGGAAAAUUUUAUAGCGUAUGCCUGUUGCAACGCACAGGGUAUCAACUAGUAUCUACUAAUAGAAUAUCCUAUCUGUAUAUGUACUCAUAUUUUAAAAGAAUGAUUGAAGUGAGGUGAAUAUGACAUAAACCACCACCAACCACUGUUUUCCGUGAAGAAACUUUUUAGGGUUUACCUGUCUCACUAAAAUCCGCAGUUGAUAAAAUUUGUAAGUUGGUGUUCCUGUUUGGAGAAGAAUCAACAUAAUAUCUAAUAGCAUAAAAAUGGAUCAAGUAAAGUAAUUCCCCGUCCUAAAAUAUUGCUACCUAGUACGAAAUCGGAUACUUCCUGUCUAUAUUCGUUGUACUAACAAGUGUCCAAUUACUAGUACUAGGUAGCAACAUUUUGGAACGAAUGUAGUAUAUAGAAAAAAACUGAUACCCUUCUUUUGUCUCAAACCCCAUACCCCUAUAAUGAUGGUAGAGUUAGGGUGACCUCAAAGUGGAAUUGACCAGUAGUGGUUGGUCGAAACUCUAGUGGGUAGACAGCUUACAUGUAAAACUUAAACAUACUUUGUAAAACGUGAUGGCACACGAUUCUGACAGGUGACCCUGGCAUGGCAUUUUCACGAUUAAAUAAUAUAUUAUUCUGGUUGUUGCCAAGUCUUUUGCUCCUAUUAAGGGCAUUGUUCUUCGUUUUUAAAGUUUCAUUACAACACAAUAGUAACAUGUCAGUUAUUAUCUCUACUUUUUGAAAAGUGAAGUCGUUCUCCUGUCAUCCCUUCAUUCCAACAUACGCAACACGCCCAUACGUGAUAAAAUGACCAUAGUCAUUUCCUAAUUAUAUAGGCGGGCCUGUUAACAUACGGGCUCCUUAAGUUCAUUUUUACUUAUAUGGGCCUAAUCCAGGGCCGUUAACAUACGAGCUUUCACUUCCUAAUUAUAUAGGACAGACCCCUUAACAUACGGGCUUCCAGUUCAUUUCUACUUAUAUGGGCCUGAUCCAGGGCCGUUAACAUAUGAGCUCCUAGUUUAUUUUUAACUAUAUGGGCCUGACCUGACAUGGAUUAACUAUUACGAUAAUCUAUUAGUCUCUAUCCUCAUAGAGAAGCAUAAGUAGCCUAACGAUGGAGCCAAAUAAAAGUUCGAUACAAACAGAUACAGACAAGCUUCUUUGUACUCACGAUUGUACUUGCUAUUUGUAGGUAAAUCUAGUAUACCCAAAAUACAAUCCCUACAAAAGCUUGGAACAUAAUUAAUGAUGAGUUAAAAUCUGGCUUCCGACACCUGGUUUCAGUUUUAAGAAAAAUUAAGUACAAUGUUCAGAGUCGAUGCAGGCUAUAGUGUGAGAUCAAUGAAAUGCAGGGCGCAAUAUACUGAAACAAUGAAGUGAAUUCUUUAUUACGCCAGACAACACAAAAAAGAAGAAUUAGUAUACAGCACAAAAAGCCUAGUUUUACUGGGAGUACUAAUUUUACAAACAGAAUGCUAGUCCAAGUCCAGUAUAUUAUAUAUAAUGUACACUACACUGCUCAAACCUGAUAAAAUGUCUAAAUUAACAGCAACAAAAACACCAGCUCCCUUCUGAUAAAAGGAAUAACAAAUUCUGUAUGGACAGAUCUAUGCUGAAUUUGCACUGCUGAAGUCCAUGAGCAACCACACCUAGGUGCAUUAUUACCCACAUUUUCUAUGUUACAGGAAGGGGCUAGGUUAAGCAACACAAGGGCUUCACACCUUUACUGUACAAAACAUUCAUAACAAUAAGAGCCUUUGGCGCUGAGACUAUCCCCAGCACUCAAUGAGACAAACUGUUGCGACAAAAUUCUCUAACCUGGCCACUAAAUUCCCCCAACAGACUUGUCUGCUCAUGAUGCAGUUGAGCCAGCAGAAAGAGGACCAUCUCUCAGCUGCUGAAGACAGAGCUGAAGUUGCUUUUGGAUCAUCUCGGCGACCAUUCGCAAUCUUCCUUGGCCUGAUUCUCCAACCGCAACAGAGCCAUUCACAGUCUCCACUGCCCUGGCGACCUUCUGCUUACAUCUUUCCCAGUCCUCGUAUUGCAACCAGCAAGCUCUGCCACCAUGGCUACCGUCCAUUGCAAGGUAUGCUAUAUGGUUGCUUUCCCCAAAAGAAUACUUUAGUCGUACGGAUACACAAUACGGAAGCCAGGCAGCUCCGCCAGCUACAUUCAUAUGAGGAAUGAGAGCAUGAUCAAGUACAAAGGUCAGAGCAAACUCUAGAGAACUGUGGGCUCUAUCAUACUUAACAUUGCUCUUAGCCAAAGUGCUUUCUGUGAUAUCAUCUGAAACUGACCCUGAAUGAUUUUCCAGACAAAUCUCAAUCCGGGCUCUCUGAGCAGUGGCCAUGUCCCCAUGAGCCUGGGAGAAACCUUUCUUCCAAGCAAUUAGUUUUAAAAAUUCUCGCAGCACUGAAAUCGGUAGUGUAAGCAAAGUGAUAAAUGAAGCAACUCUGGAAGCAUCAUAUGGUUCAGAGGCAACACGCCUGCUGAAAUAAUCACAUAUCUCGUUGAUUUCAGGUGGAGCUAGCUCUUCCUGUGCACUGUUCUGAGCUUGCUGCUGCUGUUGCUGGUGAUGGAAUCGCUUGACGCUUAAAACUUGUAGAAGCAAUUGAACCCGAUGAACACUAACUGCAAAUACAUAACCUCUGCAAGAUAGAAGAAAAUAUUUACCAGAGAUAAUAAAUUCUUCAAUACUUGAACUUGAUUGAAAGAACACAAAAAUAAGAAGCACUUUGAGCUGCAUAAAGAGUCACUUUUCCAGCUUAUCGCUUGAGACUAGGUUUGCAUAGUUAUGUUGAUCACAGCCCAAUAAAUAAAAUGAACAUCAGAACAAUAGUCACUACAAAAGAAAAAAAAAAGAAGCAUUCAAGGGUAGUGGGCACUGGGCAGUGGCACAAUUUCCCAAAGAAAAUCAGGAAGAGCUCAAUAUUGUUAACACUAGAGUGAUAUGGAUGGGAACUGCCUAUGUACAAUAAGAUUAUUGGGCUAUUGAGUAUUGACCCCAAGGUUCCAAAGCCAGUUUUGCCAGAAGUACUGGACCCUGGUGAAAACCAGUAACUGGACAAUUACCAAAUUUUUCUGGACAAAAAAAUUAGAUCCAAAUAUUUGAAAUUUUGAAAAGUGGCUGGCCAAACAAAAUCUAAAUUUAAAUAGUAAAUAUUAUAUUCUUUUUCAAUUUGAAUUCGCAUCCUUCCAGCUGAUAACCACUCAACUACCCUAGACCGGUGACUGGCUGGUUGCCAUUCGUUUUUGAACCCUGAUUAGCAAUCGACUAUUUUAUUGUAGCUUACUUCAAUGUAGAAGUGAAUAACAUUUUUUUAUGAUAUCAAAACAUGACAACACACUUCAGGUUCUCAAGCAAUAGUAGAGAUUAGAACAGUAAUUUUACCCCACAUAGAACCGGAGUGCAGGUUGCUCUUGAUCCAAAUUCAAGAGAGCACCCUCAUUUUCCUUCAAAAUCGACCCCAGUAUCUCUUUCAGAAGUUCAGGCAAUUGUGCAAACAACCAUAGAACUCCAAGGUACUUGAGGAUCCCUCUUAAAACCUUCUUGAGAGCUGCCAAAGGAACCCAACCACCACCGUAGCCACCAUCAUCCCCAAGCCCAAUGAAAGCUGUAUUCAGCUCUCCUUUCACAUGAACAGGGAGGUUAGCUCCAGAUGUUAGUCGCACAGAGGCCCCACCAAUCCCUGAAGCAAGUCCUGAAGAGGCCAACAUGGCAUUACCUGCUCGACUCAAAUUGGCUGCUACAUGGUUAGCAACUCCAGAAGCAGGCCUGGACAUACCAAUACCUUGAGUCGCGUUUACACGAUUUGCAUUGGGUGCAGGUUGCAGAGUUCCAGCACUGCUAUUUAAAUGCGCACCGGCCUGUGUAGCAUUCAUGAAACUGGGUUCAAGAGCAUUUAGACCCUGAGCAACAUGUUCCAUUAUGAAUGGUCGAAAUUGUGGGCACGGCAACGAUCCACCAACCAGAGGUCCUCCUUUAGGAGGAGUUGCUGGUUGUAGCCAAACCUGAUCCCCAGCGAAACAGCGCAUGUCAACAGAAAAUUUCUUCCGAUAUAUAAUGCGUAUCCAGUAUGGCCCACGGAGCACAACAGAAACAUCAAAGGGCAGCAAAGAACUAGGAACAAGUCCAGGCCCACCCCGUCCAGCAGCGGAAAGCAUCGCAGCAGUGUGGAGAUUAUGACUUCCCAAAUGGGUGGCAGCAACAUUUGCGGGGGAAGGUGCGUGAUGCAUGGUUGUUGAUGAUGAACCAUUUGCUAAUGGUCCCUGGGUGGGGAUGUUGUUCAUCUGCUUUGGCAUGGAGUUGUAUCCAGAAGAAACCGUUACAGGCAUUCUUGCUGGACGAAUUGCACCCCCAAGGGCAAGCAAAGGCCCUGCUGUCAGCCGAAUGCAGUCCAGGAAGGAUGCUACCUCACCACCGUUCACGAAAUCCUCCAAAAACUGCAUUUAUGUGAAAUUGAUUAUAACUAAACAUUCUCAGUAGAAAAACAUAAGUAGAAAACUAAAGAAAAACUGGCAAACCUUUGUGUGUGGCCAAAGCUGAUCAGGAGAAACAUGCAUUGUGCAGCCUCCCUUAGCACUUUCCCACUCAACAACAAAGUGUACCAUAGGCAUUGUGCCAUAACUGAACCACAAGCUCAUUAAGCCAACAGCUUCAAUCCUGAAAGUCUUUCUCAUUUGUUCAGAUAGCCUGUCUGCAGCAUCACUAUUACCCUUAUUAACAGGCUGCGACUUUAUAUCCGUAGAUGUCUGAUCAUCAUCUAGCUUGUCAUUAAGUUUGACACCAAUCAAUCUCCUCAUUCCACGGGCAAAUGAACGGGCAUUUGCAAGCCUUCGUAGAUCUGACACAAGCUUCUGAACACUGUCUGGUUCAACAUUGCUGUAAGUUAAAAUAACACCUUCUGCAUCAAAAGAGAUAUGCGAAUCCAUCUCAGAGGUGUUUGCGACACGAACACCAACACCCCAUGAGGUUGUGGUGCUUCCUGUACUUAGCUCCCAGAGUUCCCUAAAAUGUGGAUCGUUUAUCCUAACAUCCCAAGACAUACUUCCAGCCUUGCCGAGGCGUAAGCAUAUGUGUUUCCAAGAAUCAUCCCGAGCAAAAGGUAACCUUAGCCAAAGAUUAGAGGAUGGUGAUCGUAAGCCCACUUCUUCAACAUAUGGAAUGGCAAGAGAAUCCAUCUGGGCAGUUAUUUGAGCAUGUUUAAUGGACAAUGAACAGUGUCUUAUGACAUGUAGUAGCACCGAAGCAUAUGUAGUUGCUGGGACACAAUUAUUUCUUUCAGCCAGAAUAUUUCCGUAGGUGAGGCUUGUUCUUGAUUGUGAGUCUGAUGAAUAUGCUUGCAAAGGAGACCAACUCUCCAUUGAUUCUGAUAUUCUUCUUCGCUUCCUUGGGCUACUGGGUUUCAAUCCUUGCAAUGAAGGGAGGUUCAGAAAUAAAUCUGAAAUAGAACGCUUUCUAGAUGCACCAUCAGAGCCCAUAGUGAUAAGGUUGAUUGAUCCUGCCAAAAUGCCCAAGUAAGAUAAACAUAUUCACUAUAACCCCUUCACAACCAAAGGCUUAUUUUCUGGUUGCUGUGCUGCACCGUGCUUAUUUUUAAAUUACUAUAGAAAUGUAACUAUAUAAUCCUUGUGGUUUGAUUUACAUAUCAAAUUAAUGUUACAGAAAGUAUGCCAUUCAACGGUAAUGUUUUCUCACAAGUGCGCAAUCUUUUUUAAUACAAUUCGUAUUAUCAUUAACUUUGAUAUUAAAAGGAAAGCAGUUCACCAAACAGGAAAAAAAAUGACUAAAAGCAGUUGCACCAAAGGAGAUUAUCAUAAUCCAUACCAGUAACAAACAAAGCCUAAGUCCAUUUUAUUGCUAUGUGUUGCUUCAAAAUGAAGUUCAAUGGGAAAUUAAGAAUAUGAUUAUAUUAUAUUUGCACUCUCCACCACUAUCUUACUGAUACAAAUUUGAAUACAUCUGUAAUUCCAUUAAAUAGGGUGUGCAUGGCCCAUAUUAUUAUUAACAGUUUUUUGAUUUGGUGUCUUGGCCUGUGCAAGGUGGCUGGACAAAUUUGUUUGAGGGAGAGAAACUAUAAAACUAUCUAAUUUAUCAUAAAACUUAUUCCAAAACUGCCUGUAUAUGAACUUUGAGCAGGGAUUUAAUUACCAUUAAUCUUGCUUGCAGGGACGAGCUGAAGUGAUUUACUUCCAUCAGCAAUCACAUGUUCAGUUGGAGAGCUCAAUGAGCUCAGUUCAUGAUUAGAAUUAGAACUUGGCAACUUGAUUGAAGAUGAUUUUGUUACAGUGCUUGAGGAAAAGGCGUUUGUACUUUGUACAUGUCUCAAAUUACUUGGUAAAUAACUGUUCAAACCAACCCCGGGAGAAAAUUUUGAUCCACUGUAAGCUGAUGAGGCCCCUUCAAUUGAUGCAUUAGCUCUAGUACCUACUCCUUGAAAACCAACAGAAAGAGAACCUGGAUGAGAGGUAGACUGCAAAGUAGUUUGCGGCAAAGAAUGGUUUGGAACAGCAAGAGCCCCGUGUUCAUAUUCAAAAACUUCAUCAACAACAGAAGAGAACGAUGGUGAACAAGCAGGCAGCAGUGGAAGAGGCUCAAUGCCACUUUGAAUGGGGAGUCUAUUUUCCAUUACGUCAUCACAAUUCCCUAUAUUCUGUAGGGCAUGCAGCUUCGCAUCAAACAUAUUUGUAUUCGAUUCACUUUUACUAAUCUGUAUCUGUCCAAUAUCAAUCUUAUUAAACCUCAAAGCUUCCUUUGUGCAUGCAUUUGUGUUUGUCUUAUCAUUUGCAUCAGAUUGUGUCUCAAGCAAAUGAAAAACAGGCCUGAAGUCCUUAUCAAGUUGCAUCAAUAGAUAAUAGGCAUUUGCACACUGUGGAAAUCCCAUCACCAUCAGGUCUGAACCAUGCAAUAUGUCCUUUGGAAUCUUUAGAGUACCUUGAGACUUCUCAUAAACCUGGAAAAUAACAGAAUUUUAGCACAUCAUACCUAGGAACCAUAGCAAACUUAGCUUAGUAACUAAAGGAUGGCAACUGUGUAACCACAUCCAGACACUCUUAUCAGCAGACUACACAGAAGAAAGUUCAUAAGGUUGCGAAUAGUGGAAAUAUCAGUAAUUAACAUGUUGACCCUAAGUGAAAAAAUCUUUCAGAAAUGUUGUUGGUUCACACUUCAGAACCACAUGAGUUGUCCGACAGGUGACAGCUAAGCAUUAUUAAGAUCAUAUUGAUUGUAGUGACUAUGAUAUAUGGCUGCAUGCAUUUUUUUAAUGCUCUUUACAAACACAUUUUUUGUACCAUGGGCUAAUCGUCAAGAGAAAAAGGUUUGACUAGCAAAUAAAUAGCACAAACUAAAUCCUGGGUCUACAGGGGAAAAACAUGUCCUCAUAAUGCUAUUUUUAAGGAUAUUAUUAUUCAAUAAAAUUGAAAAAGUGUGUCUGCACACACUCACAAUGACAUUCUUGUAUACAUGUGUUACAAAUUUCAAUGGUCAAGAAGUUAAGAUAUGAUCAAGACAGUUUGACAACCUUAAGGCCAAAAAAACUUCCAGUAGCAGCAAAUAGGUGGAGGAUGCUCCUGGUUCUUAAGCUUGCAAAAACAUCAGUAGCUGUAAUACUCCCUUUAUUUAGAGCUUCUUCACAAUCUAGCAGUGCAGAAGGGGGUAAGAUGUUUUCCGGCGACUGGAGGAGGAAACGACCGCUCCUAUUAAAGUUAGGAAAGAGUUAAAAUAUUAGGAGAAAGAAAAAGAAAAAGUCAGUCAAGAGUUCGUGUGCAAUACAUAGACGGUACGAUGGUAUCAUUGCAACAAGGCAAACAGCAAAACUGUCAGCACGCUAUAUCAUUCAGUGCUCAACUAUGGGCGGAAAUAUUCUAUUAUACCAAUUCACAACAAUGUUCCCGAGAGAAGCGCCAAGCACUGAAAUGGCAAGUCAUGCUUCAAUCUAAUCAAUCUAUGUCAGUACGGAACUAUGGGUCUAAAUUGAUUCCAAAAUUGAAGGAACGAUCUCUGUCCAAGAUUCUCAUUCUGAAGCAGGUGUAUAAACCUGGGACAGACCAGACUUGUUCGAACAAUAUUAUAAGUAGGAAAAUACCCAUCAAACAACUUUAGGUACCACAUGCUUUUAGAGUAGGGAAGGAAAAGAUGCCCACAGGCAAUCAACAAUCUAACAGUCAAUUUGAAUUGCUAGGAUCAAUUCAUCAGUAAAAGAGGCGGGUCUGUCAUUCAGCACCAGAAUGUGUCUUCUGAUACCCCGUGUAAUUUGGGAUUACUUAUAGCUCGAACAGCCUGGUUCUAUAAGCUAACAGACGAUGAGACAAGGCAACCAAUAUUCUUCUAUUUUAGAAAGAUAACCACUAGGACCAAUGAGAUAUUUCGUAAUAACAUUAGUAACAACAGUACAUCCAAUAUGUAAGAUCAAUGAAGCACCGAGAAGUGAGAAACUUCAUUGAUUGGAAUGUUUAUUGUGAUUGGCUAAGUAAUAUGAGACUAUCGUUAUAAUAGUGUGUAUCUAUAUGCUGACUAGAUGAGGUGACAAAGAAUUGCGCAAUUACAGGCAUAAUGAUUUUAUUCAAAACAAAGAAACCUUCUAUUUUCAAAUAAAGAAGACUAGCACGAGGCGGUUAAUGAAGUACUGAAAAUUGAGCAACCUGAUAUUUAUUCCAAGACCAAUAUAUGCUUGACCAUAGGCCCUCACUUGAAGCACCUCAUUUCCACAACAAUCUGCAAAAUCCUUUUGCUCUGUUUUCUGCGCAAGUUCGUAAAUGUUUAACAUUAAAGUUCAAUCAAAUGAACAAGAUUAAUAUAUAGCCACAACUGCAUAAGGAGAUGAUGUAAACAAAAGAUCCGUAAUGCAUCAAUUAAAAUUACUACAUGAAAAAUAUAUCAUUCCAUGUUUGUGCCUCAUUUAUCAAUCAUCUGUUCAGGAAUUAUAUUACCAUGUUAUCCUGGAGUAAAUAAUCAGUACUAAGAUGGCACGCAUCUUUCAAUGCUUUGCACAUCAUUAGAAGUUAUUACAGAAAAAAGGUUGAUAUGGUGUGAAUUAAGCAAGCAUGCCACGAAUCAAGUGACUGCGCAGGGGUUUAUUGAGUUCAGACAACAAAUUUGGUACUAACAUGCUAAUUCUACCAGUUCAGUUAUCAGAUACAUAUAAAAGUAUCCCAUCAGGAAAAAAAUUAUAUAGGUGACAUAUGGACUGAGCUACAAUAUUAGAAAUUUCACAUUCAAACAUGACCACAGCAGAGAAGGAUAAGUUAGGAAAGGAACAACUUAUGUCCCCUAUCCCGGUGAGAUCCUCUGUAGAUCAACUUUCAAUAGAAGCAUUCUCCACUUUUCACUAGAUUCAGAACCAAUAAUAAUAUUAAAUUGAACAAAACAAAAGGUUCAGCUCUAGACCUCUCAGGAAAUAUCAUAUGCUCCGUAAGGAGUUCUUCAGAAUUUCAUCUUGCAAACCAUCAGUUGAUUUGAUGUUAAAACUAAAGCUGUAAAUUUUACCUAGAAUAUACAUAUCUUAUCUUAUACUCCUUACAAGAGGGAGUAAAACAUAUGUUACUUCUACACACACUGCACUGCAGAUCUUUUGCGGGUGUAAAUAUGUAGGAAAACAUAUGUUAGUUGUAAGAUUUUGAUAGAAAAAUAUUGCAUCUUUGCAUAUGAGUAUAAGCAGGUGGCCGAUUGGUUUCAUAUAAUCAUGUAUAUAGGUUUGAGAUUUGAAAAUAACUAAUAGUUUGAUUAUGCCAGCAAACAGAAAAGUGUCAAUACAACAUGUAGUUUAAACAUCAUAAGGUAAACUAUUUUUAGCACAACCAAACUAACAUAUGCAUGCACAUAACAAUAUAAGUUACCUACACAAAUAAGUACAAAACGCACUACAGCACUAUAACUGUACUCAAUUCUUUUAAUUGCCCAAACAUUUUUUUGUCUUUUAUAAGUAAAUCUGUAAAUAUGGAAGAGCAACAGGUGAGGUAAGGGAAAACCAGAAUAGGUUGAAUUCAGAUAAACUAUACCAACUCAGCUCAGAUAUAAUAUUGAAUUAAUGUUUAGUCAACAGUAGAUCUGUUAUGAAUUGUAAUAUGCUGCUACAAACAGGAAUGUAAAUAAGAAUGAUAUUUCCUAUUAUUACCUUCACCGGGUCCUUUGCUAUUUCAACAUCUCGUUUGAGGAUAACAUCUUUUGGUGACUGAGAAAUUUGAACAUUUUUGGACAGCUGUCUCUGGAUAUCAAGAAGACGAGUGUGCCUAUUAGAAGCAAUUGCUCUCAAAAUGAGCUGUUCAACAUCAAUGCAACACAGAUCAAGAGAAAGAUUGGCUUCUUUAUCCGUCAAAGGAUCAAGUAUAAACGAACUAUGCUGGCACUUUAUCUGCAUGUCUUGCCUGGCCUCAAUUUUGAUAAAUGGUGAUGAAUCAGAUUCUGCUGAGCCACCAGCUUUUUCAUCAAGCCAGUAAUUUAUUUUUAGGCCAGGUAUCCUAGAACCACUCAAAUCAUAUUCCCCAUCCUGACCAAGCUGCAUUAGAGGAGCACUCCCAGUUUGCCCUGUGGUGCUAUCUAAGACAAGCUCAGAUCUUAUUGCAUCUUUCCACCUUCCCUGCCGAAGAACAUUGGUCUUCCUAAUGAUAGUGUCCAUAGCAAGUGAGAUGCACAACUCAUGAAGUAUGGCAUACAGCACCAUGAAGGGAUUCUCAGAAACUGCCAUUCGUCUUUCUAUAUCAUCACCAAGUGCAAAUCUCCUCCUCUCUUCUAGCUUAAUAGGCCCGCCUUUGUCACCAACAAGUACCUCUAAAUGCAAAAUCCUCCAUAAAUCUAAGUGGCCACGAUAACCAAGUGUAAGAAGAACUUUAAAUUCUCCAUCCACACGAAAAACAGCUAUUCCAUCAGCUACUGAAACAUUAGAAACUUCUUUGGGUCUUGGAGUCACAAGAACUUUGUACCGCACGCUUGCAUUCAACUUCUGUAAAGCACGCUUCUCUUCAUCCGGAGAAAGUUUAUUUUGGCUUCCUAUAUCUUCUAUACAUAAUGGCAAUCUUUGAUAGUUUCCUGUAAGCAUGACUUCUAAAGCAGAAGGGAUGUCAAACAUAGGAGCUCGAGCUUGCUGCAACCCCUCAUGCAUAAAGUACAGCGAAUCAGCUGUUUGUGUGAAACAUGUUUCAUGGCUGGAGAGAGUUGAUCCAAGCUGUUGACAAUAAUUAACCAAUGGAACCUGCACAAAUUAAAAGGAAAAUCUUAUUUGGUAAAUAGAAGUAAUGAAUCUUUUGAAGAGUAACUGUCCAAAAAAACAAAGCUUUUGCACCAAAAUAUUAGAUAGGUUCAAUUGAGAAACAACAAAAUGAAGAAUUGGAGGGGUGUACCUAGUGCAAGACAAUAGCUCGGCGGAAUCACGCAAAUCACUUUGAAUCUACACGAGUACACGUAUAAGAAGAAGACUGCAAAGUACAUGGACAGAAUAACCUAUGGAAUAUUAUAUCAACCUUAAAGAUUCCAUUCUCAACCUGUACAGAUGAUAGGUAUAUAUCCUCUGUUUAACAGAAUUUGUCCAAACAUCAGUUCGCAACAAUUGUUUGUAGAUAGAAUCGUGAUUUCAGUUACUGUUUCUUGACUACAUGAGACUAUGUUCUUAAAUGCAUUGCUAGAGCAUACCACCAAACCAAAAUAUCAGAAAAACUAAAAUGAUGUUCUUAAGUCUUAAAAAUAUAUGUUUCUAGGUUUAAAAAAAUGUAAAAUUAUCUGCACCAACAUUUCGAAAAAAUGUACAAAAGCAUGACAACAGUAUCCACUCAAUAACUUACUGGUUAUCAAUAUAUGCUGACAGUGUACUUCCCUUAAAAAGGAGAUCUAGAGUGGUGGAUCAGCUGGAACCACCCAACAGUAACCACUAACCAAUAAACCUGACCUGGUGAAAGUUCACUACAGAUGGCCUAGGUGAAAGUACAGUACAGUACACUAGGAAAAUAAGUUAACUGAAAUAUUAAUGUUGUUAACACCAGGAUAUCUUUCUACUGAAUAGAAGCCGUUUGCAUCAAUCAAUCAAUCAAUCAAAAUGGACAUCCUUUGUAAUGUGAAAAGCGUGCAAGGAUAGAUGGGGACUGAAGUCUCUUGGCUAGGAAUUCACCCAUCCGAUUAUCCACAUUCCAUUACAGACUAGGAGUACAUCAGUAAAUGGAGGCAACAAGAUAAAAUGUGAAGAGACACGGACCUGUUGGCACCAUUUGGCAAGGACAUGGAGGCGGAGCAUGCGCUGGCGGGUGCGGGCGAUGAAUUUGAGCAGGUCGAUCUUCUUCUCGGAGUCGGACCGCUGCCGCGCGCCAUAGGCGCCACCCUUCCCCUCGCCCUCGUCCUGCGACUUCUCCACGAGCUCCCGCAGCGAGAGGUACGACUCCUCCGCCGCCCGCCGCACCACCGCGCCCAGCUCCACCGUCUGCUGCCCCAGCUCCCCCUCCGCCAUAACCGCCCCGGAGCUAGGGUUUCCCGCCGCCCGGCCUCACUUCCCCCCCUCCACCCCGCGCGCGAGAGGGGCCCGAUGAAUCCCACCCACCACCAGUGACCGCAUGCGCCGGCGGAGGAACCGGAGAUCCUCCCCCUCCCCUCCCCCGCCGCCUCCGCCGCCUCAGUGGUGGCACCCCCCAGCACGGGGUGAUGAGGCGCGAGGAUUCAGCGGCCGCGCGCGUGUAGACAGAGUGUGUCGGAGGGUGGGGGACGAACGUCGUUCGAGGAGGCCGCCGGCGAGGGAGGAGAGAGGCCGGCUCGGUGGAGGAUCGCCGGCGACGGCGGCGGCGGCGGCGGCGGCGGAGCGAAUAGGAUUUGCCGAUUUGGGGGUCGGUGUGUCCAACGGGAGGGAGGGAGGGAGGGUGGUGGAGUAGUGGAUGAACGCGUGUGCGUAGGGAAACUAGUUUUGGCCCGCGCGUAUUUAUCAGCCGUCCGAUCCGGAAAAUCAACGGCUAAGGAUGUUCGAGUUCGAGUUCGAGUUCGAGUUCGGACAAGCGUUUUCUUUCCUGAAUUUCUUCACAGGUAAGGAACUGCAUUUUUAAUUUGAGUAAAUUUCACAAAAGUAUAUAUACAUCGAUUAAAUUAUUGUAAAUCUAUAGAUAUAUAAAAUGAUGUAUUAUAAAAUUACAGAUGUAGCACUAAAUUUAUCACAUCACUAUAUGUUUAAGAUGUUGUAUCAAAAAAUAUGGAGCAUAUUUAGCACUAAAUUUAUCGCAGAACUACUUAUUUAAUAUUAAAGUUAUCAUAAAAUUAAAGAUUUUAUAGUUUAGAUCCUAUUAGAUUUUCAUCCAUAUAAGUUUAUAUUGAGUAAAUUUCACCUAAUCACAGAAAAUACGAUCUAAGUGACACAAAAUCGCAGGUAUUUUGGAACAUGACACGUAACACCAGGUAUUAUGGUCAUAAUAUUUUCAUAAAAUCAUACUAUUGUACAUUUUGACUUUGUUCUACUUUACUUUUAAGUCAUAAACAAUCACAUCUCAAAUUUUUAUGAGUUUUUUCAUCUACCAUACAAAUGAUACGUCCAUGUAGCUAUAGCCUUUUUUUACGAGUCUUCUGUGUCACGUGCCAAAAAUUCAGAUGAUUUUGUGUAACUUAGGCUAGGUAGUGUUUUAUGAAAUUUACUCAUUUAUAUAUAUUUUUUAUAAUGGAAAUGUGCUACAUCUUCGGCCUCUGCCCAUAGGCAUACAGCCAAACUCAUUUAUAUAAAUUAGGUUAAGUUCUUUUUCUCUUAAUUAGUAAUUCCACUCUCAAAUAUUAAUAAUCUAUCCUCCAUUCAUUAUUCCACGAAUAAAAAGAACUGGCCAUCCCGAACUUAUGACUCACGAGAAGCUUUUCCAUCCAGAAAAGAUUACAACAUCAUCUUUAAAAAAAAAUCUUACAACAAGCAUUAGAAAAGAAAUGAAAGUACCGUUAGAACGGGUCAGCUCAAAGCAAAAGCUUAUGUUACCCACAAAAGUGAGAGUUAAGUACAAAAUGUAAGCAUUAGUUAAUUACGACCUGAAAACCAAUAAAAGUUAUAAGAACAACUUGAGAAAGACCUGUUCGGCCAAUCUCAAGCUUCCCACUUUACUUUCCUCACCUUUUCAACGAGUUUAAAUGGUAUCCAACUAUCCAUGAACCACAACAUCGGAAAUCUUGACCCCGCAACUUAUAAAACCAGUUUAAAUUACAUCCCAUGGUAGUAUGGAUAACUGUUUCACUGAUGGCAUCCUAGUCAGAAAAAGAAAAAAACAUAUAAGGGCCAUAUGUAUGUGAACUUUCACCUCUCCCCCCACAUAUCCCUCUUCUCAUUAGUGAAACCAUCCAUCAGUAUGGAUUGAGGGCAAAUCAACUCGCCACGUCAGUGAAAACAUCCAAUCAUACUAUCAUGGGACCUAAUUUAAUCUGGUUUUAUAAGUUGUGGGGUCAAGAUUUUCGGUAUUGCAGUUCACAAACACGAUUGAAACUCAAAGAGUCCAUUUUUACGCCCUCAAAUAUAGGUUGAAUCUCAUUCGCAUCCCUCAACUAUAAAACCGGAUAUAUUGACCCCUUCAACGGUUAAAAUCAUGUGAAAUGACUCUCUAACCUGUUUUGAGAAUGGUUUUGGUUGACGCAACAAUCAGUGGCAUCCAAGUCAACAAUAAAAAAUAAAAAAUAGAUAUAGGCAGAUGCAGGCGCUACAUGUAACACUGGUGGAGAAGUGCUUUUUACUCCCGGUUCGUAACCCCCUGUAGUCUCGGUUUUCCAACCGGACUACGAAUCCGGGACUAAAGAUCGCUAUCUUUAGUCCCGGUUCAAAUAACUGGGAUUAAAGAUGGGACUAAAGAUCCCUCUUUUUAGUUUGGGAGUAAAGAGAGAAUAGCGGCAGUCCCAGAUGGUCCCCUUUUCUUUUUUUUUAUUUUCUCCCAAAUCAAGUGGGAAGCAUAUCCCCAAAUCAAAGUAACAUCCCAAAUCUACAUCACAAAUAAAGUAACAUCACAAAUCUUAAAGUUACAUAUACACACAAAUCAAAUACAUCACAAAUCCUAAAAAAUUACACACAAAUCAAAUACAUCACAGAUCAUCUCAGAUCCAUCCAAUAAUCACAAAAUUAUACAUGUGAAUCACAAAUUAAAAAAAAAGAGAAAACAACGCCAUUGCCGCCGCCCGCCACAACCGCCGGCCCGUCAUCGGGCACGGCCCCGCCAGCCGCCGGCUGCCGGAUGGGAAGGGGAGGAUGGGCAGGAAAGGGAAGAGGAGGAGGUGGAGGAGAGGGGAGGGGAUGAGGAAGGGGAGGAGGUUGAGGGGAAGGGGAGGAUGGGCAGGAAGGGAGAGGAGGAGGUGAAGGAGAGGGGAGGGGAUCAGAUGAGGAAGGGGAGGAGGUGGAGAGGAUGGAUCGGGAUGAGGAUGUAGGAAGCGGAGGAGGAAGGAGGAUAAGGGAUAGGAUUAUAUACUACACUUCGAAUUUUAGUUCCAAUUGAUCUUUAGUCCCGGUUUGGAACACCAACCGGAACUAAUAACCGGGACUAAAGAUCAUAUUUAAUCCGGGUUGGGAACACCAACCGGAACUAAAGUGGUGACACCAACCGGGACUAAAGAUUCUCGGCCCCCUGACAUCAAUCUGACAGGGGAUGAACCAGGACUAAAGAUGACACCAACCGGGACUAAAGAUCAUAGAAUGCCUAUGGGGUUUUCAACCGGGACUAAAGAUCAUUUUUAGUCCCGGUUUUUUUUGGAACCGGGAUUAUUGUGGUUUUAGGUCGACCCAGCAAAGAUUAUUUCUCCACCAGUGUAAGUGACUACGUAUGUUCUUCCUCCACCACUCUCCUCUCUCUUCUUUCUCCACAGCACCUCGCCCAUGGACAGGAAUUCGGCGAGUCAUUCCGCUCCAAGUCGGAGCUGGUGCUCCCCAUGAACAGCCUCGCCAUGUAUGGCAACAGGGAUGCCCUGUUCAUCUGCAACAGCUACAAGGACAACGAUCGACAGUGUUGGACCCGAGAUCAUCAGCAGUGCCGCUACUGAUGAACGGGUUCCAGUCGAUGGCAUCAUCGUCAGACCCGUCGGCGUGCUGAGAGUUCUCGCGACCUUGACAACGAGCUGCAGUGGCGGGAGCUAUCGUCUUGUGCACCGGGGAAGACGCCGCCGCCGAGGUUAAUUUGUGUUCACCACUGCCACUUUCAAAGAUAUGGCACCCGGGGUGGCUGCUUGAUUGUUGAGCAACCGGCAGCGGUCGAACGAUCUUAACGUGGUCGCGCUGAUGUAAACCCGACACACGUCCAGCUUGUUCAACUGCACGAACAAAUUUCGAGUCACUUAUAAGUGUUAUCCGUGUCUACUUUUUGUGUCAACUGCACAAACAAAUUUUUAGUCACUUAUAAGGCUAUGUUCCUUCCAGGCGGUUGGGAACCAACUUCUUUGCACGGAAAACGGAGCAGUCCAUUAGCGCGUGAUUAAUUAAGUAUUUGCUAUUUUUUUUUCAAAAAUGGAUUAGUUUGAUUUUUAAGCAACUUUCGUAUAGAAUUUUUUUUUUGCAAAAAACGCACCGUUUAGCAGUUUGAAAAGCGUGCGCACGAAAGACGAGGAAUAGGAGUUGGGAACCUGCCCAAAGGAAUCCGUGUCUACUUUUUAUUUUCUUUGAUGAUUGGGUUGCCACGUGAAUACCAUCUCAGACAAAACCUCUCCUAAAACUGUUGAGGGAGCCAUUUUACAUGGUUGUUUUAAUAGUUGGAGGAAUUGAUAUACAUAGUUUUAUGGUUGAGGGUUACACUGGUGGAGAAAUGGUCUUUACUCCCGGUUUGUAACCCUCUGUAGUCCCGGUUUUCCAACCGGGAUUACGAAUUCGAGACUAAGGUUGUGUUCGGAGGAGGGGGUUGGGAACCCCUCCUCCCCGGCAUGCAAAACAAAGUUCGUUUUAUUGCAUGAUUAAUUAAGUAUUAACUAUUUUUUUUAAAAAAAAUAGAUUAAUAUGGAUUUUUUAAACAACUUUCAUAUAGAAAGUUUUCUUAUAAAUCACACUGUUUAACAGUUUGAAAAGUGCGCGCGGAAAAUGAGAGAGGUGUGUUGGGAAAAUAGGGAAAGAAGACAGCCUAAGCAUAAUUAUGAAUCAGAUUCGAUGAUUCGAUCUAUACUCGAGGAAAUCAAAAUGGAUUUUUUCUUUUAAACUCGUUGGAAAGAUACGAGACGUAAAAUGAACUUAUUCCUGUUUUUUUACUCGACAUCCAAAUUGGGCCGAGCUUAGGCCUGAAGUUUUUGGCAGGCCCGGCCAUCCAACUCUCAGCAACUCCUCUCACUCUCCGUUUCUGCCCCCUCGCUAGCUUGUUCUCAUUUUAACUUUUUUUUCUCUCUCAUUUCAAUUGUAUAUGUUGAAUCUAUAUAUUAGUGCGUACACAUAUAAAUUUCUAGUUUUAAAUACUGUAAUUUAAAAUUGUUGAUUUUCAUUAUGGGUAUGUUUGUUUUGCCAUCAUUUUCAACCAUACUAGAUGCUGGCAAGGUAGUAACUAAUCCAAACAUAACUCAAAACUAAUACAGUAUCAUAUUUUACACAACCAAAAUAUGGUAGUUUUCUAGGAACUUCACACGACUUUACACAAAAACAAAUAGUAAAAUAUUAAACCAGACAACACCCGCAAACCUUCACCUUAGCAGAUUUUGCUAAUACCAAAAUUUUAGUGAAAUCAAACCAAACACGUCAUAUGUAUGCAGAAAAUUAAAGGAGUAUAUCGGAGCGGAAAUUCAUAUAGUUUUACCUCAUUUUGUUAUUAAUAGCUUAGAGCCGGCCGUGCGUUAUAAUACGGAAAACAAAUUAAGUUUAUAACUUGCUGCCCGUGCGUUGCAACGGGAAGAAAAGAUGAGAAAAUUAAGGAGAAGUUGAGAAAGAUUUACAUUAUGUAAUUAACUUAAAUAUAAAUUUCCUAGAAUAAUUGAUAUUUUUUAAGUAGGUAGGUGCUUAAAUUAAUUUAAAAGUAAAGUAAGUGGAAAUAAAAUGAUAUGGCUGGAUUUAAUUUUUUAUAAAGUUCUCCAUGAUUAAUUACACUCUCUAGAAUUUUCUUAAAAUUUUCAGAGCUCAGUUGCUAAUUUUAAUAAUACAAACAUCAUUUUAGGAUUUAUUUAAACAAAAAUCUAAAUAUAAAUCCUGCUUUCUUUCUGGGCCAGUUUCAGCCCCUUUCCUUCUCAGCCCGCAGCCUAGCCGGCCCACUUUUCUCCCUUCUCCUCCCCUCCGCCUUGGCCCGCAAUACACAUCCAGCCCAGCAAGGCACUACAAGUCUAAUCAGCUUCCCCCGAUCUUUCUUUCACUGUCGCCAAGUCUAAUCAGCCUCCCUCGCUCCUUCUUUCACUGUCACGUGGGCCAGUGGGUCGUCUCCUACCUCCGUCUGUAUUGCCGAUCUGCCCGACGACGCUUGAAUCCGCCUCCUCCGUAAAAUCCGUCCUUAUCCUUUGAGAUAAUCCAAAAUUAACUGAGAGGUUUUGAUUCUUAUCUUUUACUCUUUCCGUUUUCCCAAGAAUCAAAGCAAAACCACGUCGUAUAGAUGUUGGAAGCGAAACCCUAGUUUUUUAGUCUGAGUCUGUUUCUCUUCAAAAAACCGCGCACGCACACGCGAGAGGGGAGGGACGGACCAUGGAAACGUGACAUGGGCCUGAACAGAUCUAGAAGGGAAUAGGAAAUCCUGGAGCUAUCAAAGAGGAAUCGAACGGAAAAAAUCGCAACACACGGAGGGAAUCGGAUUUAAAAAAUCACAACAAUCGCGCUAUAUACGGGAGGGAAUCAGACUAAAAAAUCGCGCGGGACGACGUACGAAAAUCCAUGGGCAAAAUCAUGUUAAACUUUUAUAAUAGGUAAAUAUUAGAUCAAUUAAUAAGCAUUUAUUGAGGAGAAAAUUCCCUAAGUACCUUGAAAUUUCACCCAAUCCCUUUUAUAUCUAUGAGAUUUGCUCAUUUCUUUCCAUAGCCCUAAAUUUCAAUUUGGAUCCCUUCUAUAUCCCUUCCAUCAGUUGACUAUUAGUUGACCGUUAAAUUUCUAUCAUAAAGUCCAUUUUGCCCUUUGGUAUGAAGAAAAUAUAAAUUUAUGAAGUGUAUAAAUUUAUUAUAUGCGACUAUUAUAUAUAUGAGUUUAUUUUAGUUUCGCCUCGCGAUGGGAAAACAAAAAUAAUUUUUUAUCUAUGACAAAAUUUAUUUUAGAUAAAACAAAAAAAUAAUGUUUUUACCGUUAAAAACUGUAUAUAUAGCAUAUUAUGGAGUAAAUUCCCUAUGUACCCCUGAAAACUCACUCAAUCCUUUUCGUACCCCUGAAAUUUACCUAAUCCCUUCUAUACCCAUGAAAUUUCAACUUGAUCCCUUCCAUGCCCCUACCGUUACAUUUUCCAUCAUUUCACUAUUACAUUUGGUUACAAAUGUCUUUUUUGCCCUUGAUGCUUUCGGUUUGAAUAUAAGCUUCAAAAACGAUUGAAAUUUUUGUUUGAGUGCACAGUAUGUGUAUUUUAUGAAACUAAUGAGUCUAAAUAAUUAGUGCAGAAAAUUUUGACAUAAAUUUCAGAAAUAAAACAAAUGUAAUAUAUUAAAAUUUUUAUUUGAAAUUUUAAUAGGGCAAUGGAUUUUUUUGAUCGGGAGCAUUCAUAAAAAAAUUAUUGUGAAAAUUGGUAGUCCUAUCUUCGUAUGAAUGCUCCUCAUUUUUAUGAUUUUUUUAAAUAAAUACAUAAUUUUUUAUUUCAUUAUCUAAAAAUAUUUUUGGGAUAAAUAAUGCAUCGCACAACAAACUCAUAACUAUAAUAGUCUCAUGUGAGAAGCUUUUACAUUUUUAAUAAUGUAAUUCAUAAAUUUCUAUGUUCAUCUAAAGGGUAAAAUGGUCAGUUUUAUAAAAAUUAGACGGUCAACUGACGGGAGGCGUAUGAAAGGGACCAAAAUCAAAUUUUGAGGGAAGUAAGUAAGAUUCAGGGGCAUAGAAGGGAUUAGCUAAAAUUUUAGGGGUAUACAUGGGAUUUUCUCCAUAUUAUAUUAUAGUAGUACGAAAUUUUUUAUAAGAUAAAUUCUGUUAUGCGAGAUAAAAAUUAUUUUUUUGUUAAAUAAUAUCUCACAAAAUAAACUUAUAAAUAUAAUAGUCGCAUACAAUAAAUUUAUAUACUCCAUCAAUAUACUUCAUGAAUUUAUAUUUUCUUGAUACCAAAGGGUAAAAUGGACUUUAUGAUAUGAAUUUAACGGUCAACUUACGGAUGGGGUAUAAAAGGAUCCAAACUGAAAUUUAGGGAUAUGGAAAGGAAUGAGCAAAUCUUAGGGGUAUAGAAGGGAUUAGGCGAACUUUCAUGGGUACGAAGGGAAUUUUCUCUUUAUUGAGUCUAAGUAAUACUAUGAUUCUUCUUGUUGAGUAAGUAGGAGAUUUUGAAAUUUGAGAAGAACCGAUAAUGAAAUGGAGAGUACUCGUUGAAAUGUGCUGAAAUAGUAUAGAUUUGAGAAUGGGUACCACCACUACUAGUAUAGAUUUUGAAAGUUGGGGAGAACCAAUCGUGAAAUGGGGAAGGACGUGUUGAAAUGUGGUGUAAUAGUAUAGAUUGUGGAACUCAGAUGUUAAUGGUAGGAAUGGUGUGGGAAUGGACGCCACCACUACUAAUAAUAUUUUAAAUAGACAGUAGUAUAGGUAAAUAUGUUCUUUUAGCAAGGGGAACGGGGACUAAAGAUGAUUUUUUAUCCUGGUUUAAAACUCUAUCGGCCCUAGGUGAUCUUUAGUCCCGGUUUCAUUUUCUGUUCGAGGCUGUCAGGGGGCCAGGCAUUGUUAGUCCCACUUGGUGUGACCAACCGGGAAUAAAAAUUGAUCUUUAUUCCCGGGACUAAAAAUUCAUAUACAGUAUAUAAUCCCUAGGGCUUAUCCUCCUAAACUCCUCAUCUUCCUAUUCCUCUCUCUUAUCCUUAUCCUCUCCUUCCUAUUCCUCCUCUAUCGUCGAGAGCAGAUCGAGCGAGAGCGAGCGAGGCGGGCGGAGGGCGGCGCGGAGGGCAGCGUAACAGGCGGCGGCCUGCGCCUUUAGAAUUUUUGAUUCGGAUCUGAGAUGUCUUUGAUUUGUGUAUGAUGUAAAUAUGUGAUGUAUUUGUGAUGAUUUUUUUUAGAACUUGUGAUGUAUUUUUUUUAGAAUUUGUGAUGUAUUUGGAGAUGAUCGAGUUGUGGAUUUGGAGAUAUCCUUUUGUUCUGUGAUAUGUGAUGAUCGAUUUGGGAUUUCAUGAUUUGGAGAUGGAGUGAAAUCAAUAUUCAAUGUUAAAACAAUGAAAAAAAUGAAAAAAAAUAGCAACCGGACUUGGCUUGGCUCCAUCUUUAGUCCCGGUUGGUAAAAUUUUUAAUUCCGGUUUUUUCACCCGGGACAAAGAUGGGCAUCUUUAGUCCUGGUUGCAUAACCGGGACUAUAGGGGGUUAUCAACUGGGACUGAUGCCCCUUUCUCCAGCAUUGUCCCCACAACUUUCCUUCCUUGCUUGCUUCCUCCCACCUUGCAUCCUAGGUGAGCCCAGCCACACGAUCCUCCCCUUCCCCUACAGGAGAGACCUGUGAAAACUAGCUUAGCUUGGCUUCGAGCCCUCCCCGCUGUCUCUGGCGAUCUGCCAUGUCAGAGCACCUCACGCUGUGAAGAUCCGUCGGAAACCGUAGCUCCGUGUUGUUGAUGUCCUAUCACUACCGACUCCUGCCACAACACGCUAACCCGCUCAACUCCGUUUGGAUCUACUGCUUGCACCUUCUCCUUAGGACGUACGCCGUCUCCACUGACGAGUCCCACGCACCAUCGUCGCCUCUCCCAAUGGGCACGCCAGGGUUCGAUCCCUUCCGCUGGAGCCUGCACCCUCGGUAGGGCGCGCCUCUCGGCGUGUGGGACGCCGCCUCCCCCGUCCGCAGUGGCGGCAGCGGUGGUGGAACUGGUCCCCCUAUGCCCGCCCGCCUGCCCGCACUGUUGCCUUUGUUGCUGGUGACUAACUUCGGGGAGUUCUUGCCGGUGAGAGGGGCAUUUUUGUCUCAUCACCACGUGGCCGAGCAAAAAUAAUUUUGGAAAUCACUGAAACAAACGAAAAUGGAAUAUGGCAAGUAGCACACGCUCAAGAUUGGUAUUUUAUCGAAUCACCAAAUGUCCAUUUUCUCGUCCGAGGCAGAUAUUCCCCUGCUCCGAUUAUUGACAUGGAUUGUUUAUUUGAUUGAUGCGAUAAGUUCAUAUUUUCAAAAAUAAACUUCACAACUACUAUUCAAUAUAGCCGAAGGUUUUUUUCUCUUUUUGUUGAGAAUUUAAUUAAAAGAGUUGAGCAAAUAAUCCAAGCCAAAAAUCUAGAGAAAUCUUUUUAAAUAACAUGGACAAUGUGGCGAUGGAUGAUGAUUCCAUCCACCAAAGUGUAGAUAAUGAUGGCCACAAUAUAGUUGUGUGCAUUAAUUCUUAGUUCGUGCGGAGGUGAAUGUUCACCUAUAUGGCUAUAUAUAGCGUCACUACUACAAAACAUUAAAUAGGUGUCAGCACUAGUGCUAAAACCGGCACCUAUAAGCCUUUUCCCAUUUCCACAGGUUGAAAUCGCAAAAAACCGACACCUUUAAGCAAUUAUAGGUGCUGGCUCUGAAUAAGAACCGACACCUAUUCUAUAUGUGCCGGUUUUUUUAAAAAACCGGAACCUUUAAUAUUUUAUAUAUGCCGGUUAAUUAAAAACCAACACCUAUAAUAGGUGUCGGUUUUUUUAAAAAACCGGCACUCCAAAAUUAAGCCAAGCCGAACUGAACAGCUCGCUUCUUAUCCACUCCUCAUCUCUCUCUUCCUUAUCCUUUCCUUCACCGCUCGCUCCUCUUUCUCUCGCUCUCUCUCGAUCUCCGGCGGCCCGUUGGGAUGGGAGGUAGCGGCGACGCACUCCCUCUCUCUCUCACCCUCUGUCGCUCUCUCUCGGUCCCUUUCUCAGUCCUGGCGGCCCGGUAGGAGGGGAGCGACGGCCACAGUGGCGGCGGGGGGAGGGGAGGAGGUAGGGCCGAGGGGCGAAACCAGCCGCCGUGCCCGCCGGAUCCAGCAAUGGUCGCCUCGGCGGUGGGUGGGGCUGUGUCGGCAACGGGUGGAUCCGGCAUCGGCGGGGUGUCCCGUGGUGUAUCCGGCGACGGCCGUGUCGGCGGCCGCCCGGGCGGCAUCCGUAGGGUGUCCCGCAAGGAUCCAGUGACGGCCGCAGGGUGAGAGUCGGCUCGAUGCAUUCGAGCUUACCAUUUUUUUUCAGUCCUUGAACCUCAAACGUGCCGGUUUCUAAACCGGCACCUUUUAUUCUCCACAUCAGUGCCGACUCUGUGGUGUUGGUUAGGAAAACCGACACCUAUAGGGGUUUUCUAACCGGCACCAAUUAGGGUAUCUGUAAUAGUGCGUGUUGAUCCAUAACAUUUGAAACUCAAAUUAUAUUUUUCUUAUUACAUGAAAAACACAUAAGUACAUAGACAUAUACACCACUACACUUGUACGUACAUCCUCGCGAGUGCAGUACCUUGCUAUGUUCAGGCUCGUAGAAUUAGUUGUGCAACAUGAGUGACCACACAGGACCCAAUUUUUUUUAGGCCAAAGCAACACGCUCCAAUAUGUUUUAGUACUUCUUCGCUCCAUUUCUUUAGAGAUACCUCUUCCUCGAUCCAUCGAUUCUUUUCAUAGUCUUCGGAAAGUGUCCCAUGGUAAUCAUGGCCACAUAUGAAGUAACUAUUGCUCAAGAUGAUAAUGCGAACAAUUGUUUGGUCACUAAAUAUAUAUAAUAAAAUAUAAGGGCUUUUAUCCGGAGAGGAUAGACAUGUUAGUCUGCCACUGGCUCCAGCCAUGUUGAUUAUACAAUUUAUCUCCGCUCGGUAGCAUGCUCGAGAAGAAUGUUAGAUUGAUAUAGGGACACCACCCGUAUAAUGUGCAUCGAGCAAACAGCAGCAGCUAGCGGUGAAAUCUACCCCCCUCUCUCUCCUUUUCUUUUACUUUUUAAAUGUAAGGCCUCGCUUUGUAUUUAGUACGGAGUAUUAAUUGGUUCUUAAAUUCGUUGGUGCGGCCACGGCCUCUACUCUACUCUCUUAUACUACCUCCGUCUAAUAAUAAUUGUAUUUCUAAUAUUUAAAUUUGUUCUAAAAUACUUAUCGAGUAUUAAUUAUUCCAUCAAUCACUUCUCAUUUAAAAUUUUUCCUAUUCUAUCCUCAGCCACUCCCCAUUCUUAACUAUACAUCAUUUAAUGGGUGACACUAUAAUUUUUCUUCUUAAACCUUAAUAUAUGCUUAACAAUCUAGAAUUACAAUUAUUAAUUUGGCUACUCGUGUUGUUCUUGAGAGACUCACUCAUAGAUCGUUGGAAUGUAACAUUGUAACAUGGUGAGUCAAAGCCUAUAUUGGCUCUGUUCGUUUCCUGGAGUUCCCAACUCCCCCAUCUCAUUUUCCGCGCGCAUGCUUUUCAAACUGCUAAACGGUGUGUUUUUUGCAAAAAGUUUAUAUACGAAAGUUGCUUAAAAAAUUAUAUUGAUCCAUUUUUGAAAAAAAAAUAGCAAAUAAUUAAUUAAUCACGUGCUAAUGGACUGCUUCGUUUUCCGUACCGGAGGGAUGGGUUCCCAACUCAACCAAAAGAACAGAGCCAUAGUAGUUUGAAGACUUUAUUAUGUACCAUAUAGGAGUACUACCAUUCAUCAAAAAGAAGAUCCAGUACUGUAUGAGAGAGAAAUCCAACAAAGCUCGUGGGUCCACACCACCCAUCACACAGGAGAAUUACUCUAGUAGAAUUGUAGAAAGGGCCGGAUAUGUACAUGUACAUGACGUAGGGGAAGAACAGAGAUUUCCAUUAUUGUGAGAAAAACAUAUAUUGGUAUCAAUUAUUCAGAGUUAGGCAGCAACACGCACAUAUACUAGCUACUACCUCUGUCCCAAAAUAUUGCUACCUACAGACCAACGAAUCUAGAUAGAAAUGUCUAAAUUCGUUGGCCUAUCCCAUCCUAAAUAGUAAUAUUUUGGGACGGAGUAAGUAGUUACUCCACGUACUAAUUAUUACUACAUACUAAAAGUAAUCGUCUUAGAUAAUAACACAUUAAGAAGAAAUUAAUCAAAUAAAUGUUUAAGCUACAAAGCUAGUACUAAUUAAUAUACAUAACCAUGCAAGAGCAUGAGAUAAAGAGACACGUACAAACAUACAACAAAUUAUCAACUAGAAAAACUAAACGAAUCAAGUUUACAUUGCAACAUACAUACACAUAUCCAUAGCCUAAUCAAUGAAACCUCGCACUAUCUUGUACGAUUUGUUUUGUUUUUUAAAAAAUGUGACGACAAAGAACACCGGCGGAUGGGAACGGCUACGGCAACUCGCACAAUCUUGUACGGUCCAUUUUUUUAAAAAAGUAUGACGAUGUAGAUCACCGGACAGACGGGAACGACGACUACGGCAACUCGCACAAUCCUGUACGGUUCGUUUAAAAGUAAAAAUAUGACGAUGCGGAUAUCACCGGGUGGAGGGGGAACGAACGGGAGCGGCUACGGCAACGGCAGGAGAGGGUGCGGGGGCGGGGGCGGGGGGCGCUCUCGGUGGUCGCGGCCGAAGGCGCGGAUGUGGUCCUUGAGGGAGCGCUUGUGCUUGAAGUCGGAGCCGCAGGCGCAGUGCCAGCGGCGGCCGCAGUUCUUCUCGUGGGUGCGCCAGUCGCCGCGGACGGCGAGGGGCUUGCCGCACUUGCGGCAGGCGAAGGGCUUGGCGCAGUGCUUCCGCUUGUAGUGGGUCUGCAGCGUGCGGAAGUCCUUGAGGGGGCGCGCCCGCGGGUGGUCCACGUUGUUCCGGCACCCCGCCGCGCAGCAGAAGCACGGCAGCCGCAGCAUCGCCGCCGGCUGCGUCCCCCGCAGCGACUCCGGACCCCUCCUGUACUGCGACCCAUGCCCCCACAUAUGCAUCUGCAAUAUAUAAUCAUCGUCAUCCAUGUAUAAUAUAUGUUUGAAAUAUUUUGGAGAGCCUAGCUAGAUAUCAUGCAUCUUUGAAGUAUAGUGCUACUAGUAUAUACGAUGAGGCGAUGAUAUGCUUAAUUUUUUUUCUACUCUGAUCUAUUUAUCAUAUUAGAAGUUACAACAGGUGAAUGUUAUUUUAAUCUUAUUAUUGUUAUUAUUGUUAUUCGUUGCAACGGGUGAAGCUAGGAUGAAAUUCGCGGGAAUUCACUUGGAUUUUUUUGUAUAAAAUCAUGAGCUACAAUUAGGAGUCUGACUUUCAUUUCAAGUUAGCAUACGAAUUUUUUUUAAAGAGAUUUCUCAUACAACUCCUUUUAUAUUUCCAAAAGCAAACUAUCGAACUUAAAAUCAAACUCAAACACGGAUCUGUAUUUCCAAAAGCGAAUGAACUUAAAAAUUGACUUAAAUUACGUAUGGCGUACCAAAAUACCGGCAAAAACAUCUUCAAUUUUUAUAAUAGUAGAGAUUUUGAUUUUUUUUCUAUUUAUUUUUUAAAUUUGAUUAAGCUUAUAGAAAAAUAUAACAAUAUUUUUAACACAAAACAAAUAUAUUAUCAAAAUAUAUUAAAUAUUAGUUUUAACAAAACUAAUUUUACUGUGACCCAUGUCCCCACAUAUGCAUCUGCAUCUAUAUAUAUCUUCAUCAGUAUAUAUAUUUGAAGAGUAAAUUUCACAAAACUACAGGUACUUGAUCAAUUUAUCGCAAAACUACAGAUUUAACAUGAUGUAUCACAAAACUACAGAUUUAACACUAAAUUUAUCAUAAAACUACAGAUUUAAGAUGUAAUAUCACAAAACUACAGAUUUAGUAACAAAGUUAUCACAAAACUACAGGUUUAAUGACAAUUUAAUCACAUUACUUGAUCAAUUAUAAGUCCAACAUAACAUUAGUGCUAAGGAUUUAAGUCUCAAAAUCUGUAGUUUUGUGAUAAUUUUAUUAUUAAAUCUGUAGUUUUGUGAUACUUAGCCUUAAACCUGUAGUUUUAUGAUAAAUUUAUUGUUAAAUCUGUAGUUCUGUGAUACAUCACCUUAAAUCUGUAGUUUUAUGAUAAUUUGACCAAAGUACCUGUAGUUUUGUGAAAUUUACUCAUAUUUGAAUUAUUUGGAAGAGCGAUAUCAUAUCUGUAGCAUGAUGAUGCAUCUUUUUUUCAAAAGAUAAUUGGAAUUUCAGCCAUUGUUUCAUAACAGAAGGUACAGCUAAAAGUAUUGUGAUGAUGCAUAUAUAUAAUGCUUUUCUUAAUUCUAGCUGAAUAUACAGAUGUAUAUAUGUAUUCCCAAGAAAGUAUAUAUGUAGGAAAAUUGUAGGCAGUGGCGAAUUAAGCGUGAUGAUGAUCUUAUAGGUGACGCAAGUACGCGCUAGCUCACUUGAUUAUAUUAGCUCUUGGAAAAUACAUAGGAGUAGACUAUAUAUACUAUAGGCAAUGUACUUUGGGAGGUUAAUUACGUACGAGAGAGACUGAAAAUUUUGUAUUACAAGUAGAGAUCCACUUUGUAAUCAUACCACACGAUUAGUAGUUCUCACUACCGCUAAAAAAGGAAAAAAAAGGUACUUCCUCCGUUUCACAACGUAAGACUUUCUAGCAUUGCCCACAUACAUAUAGAUGUUAAUGAAUCUAUGUUAGAUUCAUUAACAUCUAUAUGUAUGUGGGCAAUGCUAGAAAAUCUUAAAUUAUGAAACGGAGGGAGUUAGUGAAAUAAGCUAAAUUAUGUGCGGGUUCUAGAUGAGAUCGUGAAAUAUUUUUUCUCAUCAGUUGCUAGAACUUAUAUGGAAAGGUGAAAUGCAAAUAUUUUGAAAAUAUGCCGCCCGUAAUAUGUGGCGUAUUGAAGAAGAGUAGUCAAGGACAACAUUAUUAUUAUUAUUAUUGAACCUUGUUAAUUUUUAAAAAAAACCCUCCAAAAUCUUAUUUUCAAAUCUGAACAUUUUAGCCCCUCACUUGGCCUGGGGAAACAACAUUGCCACACCACCAUUAAUCAUUGGACGUGGUAGUGUUGUCUUACCACGUGCCAAUCUAACUAGAUAAAACUUUUGCAACGCCGUCUAACUAUAGUGUGAAUAAAAAAUCUUUAGAUUUAGAAAUAAGUUUUGGGAUAUUCUAUUUCUAAAAUAAAAAAUUUAAAAGAAAAUAUCUCAUGGAGGAUGUUGCUCCUGCUUUAGUUCAAAGUACCGAAGCUUAAUUAAAAAUAAAAACUGACACAUGGCUAAUAUAUAUCACAUAAUUUUUAAUCUUUUACAUUUUCAUCUAAACUCAUGUAAACAUAUAUACAUUAUAUAGUCGAAAAAACAAACCUUAGGUGCCGCCCAUAGUACUGUUGGUCGGUCGAAAUUAUAUGUACUAACUUGUGGUAAUCGACCUUAAUUAGCUUAUUUUGAUAUAUGAUCCACUAGAGAUAUGAACUUGGAGGUUUCAUGCAACAACAAGAGAAUCGUAGGAGAGCACGUGUAUCUGUGUGUACUGAAUAGGAAAUUAAAAAACCCAAAUAAUUUAAAAAAAUAUGCAUACCAUGCAGGAUUAUUUUGAAAGCUUUCUUCACAUUGUGCAAUUUUUAUGCGACUUAGGCCCCGUUCGUUUCCACUACAAAGAGUAGAUAAAGUUUUGAAUAUUCGUGGCACGCUUUUCAAACUGAUAAACGGUGUGUUUCGUACAAAAACUUUCUAUGUGAAAGUUGUUCUAAAAUAUCAGAUUAAUCCAUUUUUAAGUUUGUAAUAAUUAAAACUCAAUUAAUCACACGUUAUUACCAUCUCAUUUGUGUGAGACACUUAAUCUUUAUCUUCAUCUUCAUCUUUAAAACAUUCAAACACCACCUUAGAUCCAUGUCGGUACUGCAUGGCUGCAGUCCAAAGACUACUAGAAUUUUUCCGGCCGGCAAUAAAUGGUGAUUAUUUUCCCUUAUAUUAUAUAUGUGAACAAGCAUGCUUGCAUGCAAGGAGUUGAAUUAUUUCAAGGAACAACAUACAUAGAUGCAUAUGGCAUCUCAAGUUUUCAACAAAUUUGGAUUGUCAGAUAAUCCGGGAAAAAAAUCCAAAUCAAUAUUAAGAAUAUAAAAUAAAUUAACCACGUCCAUUUUAUGAGAGAGAGAGAGAGAGAGAGAUCUCAAUAAUGUGGUGAUCAGUCUUUUAAUUUGAACGUAAGAUCUGUAAAUCUGUAUAUUCUUCUUGGAUUAAUUCUGGGAUUCAUCAGCAUCCACUCAAAAUAGGGCAAACACUAAUAGAUCUGUUAAUAAAUAGCGUACUUAGCUUGGUCAUUGUUAAAAAUAAAAUGCAGACAUAACGACAAGGCGUGUUUUUUCUCUAGGAGCUAGCUACUAGUACUUGUGCAGAUGCCACAAAUUGAUCCAUAUACUAGGAGUAUAGCUCAAACUAGCACGAGAGAGAGAGAGAGAGAGAGAGAGAAUUUGGUCCCUCUCUGUCUCUUGAUCUCUAGCCUGGAUCACACCAAUGCGCACACACACAUAACAUGCCAAAACAUACAUGAAACAAACAGAAAGGCCGUGAUGGGAGCUAGGAAGCACACAACACAUUUGUACUAGUAGAGCUAUGCUAGGCCAAAAUGAGGGAGCUAACAAAUUAAAGCAAGUACAAAUUAACCAACCUAGCUGCUAAAUCACAGAAACUACUGAUCAUGCAUAUGAUCCUAUACCCCUCAAGCUCUUCAUCUCAUCAUCUCUUCUCAUAUAUGAUCCUAUGGCCCCCCAUCCCCUCCUGUCUUCCUACAUGCAUGGCCCCCCCCCCCUUUGCGCACACACACACACACACUGCAUGAUCAAGCUAGAUUCCCCUACUUAUCCCUCAUGAUACUUGCAAGUUCUAUCUUACUGUGAUCACCAUAUCAUGCUAUAUACGACUUCCCUCGACGACUACGUACUUGCCUUUAAUUGGUAUAUGGUUAAACAUAUACUAUUAGACUGAUGAAUCCUCGAUUCUAUUUUUCAUCCUCUACUAAAGAAGAGAAGGAGAUGAGCUACUUUGCCAUGUAGAGCAUGCAUGCAGCAUGAGAGAAAUCAACAGACACAUGAAUUAACUGGUCUUAUAUAUGUAAGCUUGUUCGUGAUCAAACCUGCAGGUUGUUGUAUCUGCUGAAGGUCUUGCAGCAAACAGGGCAGGCAAAGUGUGUAGGACCAAUGAGGAUCUGGGUUGGGGUAGGGAUCCAAUACUUGCCCUUGGUGAGCUUUCCCAUAGAGAAGUAGUCCAAGCAGAGGUCAUCACUAGCUGCUUCUUCUUCCUCCUCCCUCUCCACCUCCACCUUGUGAUCAUCAUCAUCAUCACCAUCAAGCUCUUGUGAUGUCGUCGCGGUCGCGCCGAGAGGAUUGCUCUUCGCGAAAUCGAUGACCGAGCUGUUAGGAUCAGGAGAAGGCAGGCCAAUUUGGAGUGAUAUGUCCACAUCCUCCAUGACCUCCUCUUCCUUCUCUUGCUUAUAACAGCCAUGGAUCUUGUUGUGAUCAUGGAUUGAAGGGAGGAGGCUGAGAAGAGGGAUUUCCUCCUUUUUAGGAAGGGAAUUGUGGGGAGAGGAGGAUUGAGAGAUUAGGCUUCUUUGGUUGGGGAAGAUGUGAUCUUUGCUUGGAUUAGCCAUGGCAGCUUGGAGAGAUUACUUGCUGGAGUGGAGCAGUGCAGCAAGGGGAUAUGUAUUAUAGAGAGAAGAAAGUAGAGCUAGAGAGAGAGAGAGAUGUGUGGAUGUUUCAUCAUGUGACCCGUGACAACAAGUAUAUGCCUCAGUGGUUGAUGUGGUUGUGGCUUUCUCACUGCACAUAGACUUGCACCAGGCUCAUGUAUAACCCUGCAGGCCAUGUAGCAGUGUCAUCUCAUUUGUGUCCAGGGCUCUCAUGCAAUUCUGUGCAAGUGGCUUGGGUUUUCUUCUCCCAUUAAUUCCAGGUUAUCCCUUCCAUUGAUCAAAAUAUAUCAUUAUUCAACAAAUUAAAGGAAAAAUAAUCUUGUGUUUUUACUACAAUAAUGUUCUUACAAGCUAAUGUGUCCAUGCAUGGUAUAUACAUACACGUUUAUAUAUAUGGUGUAUUCUGAAUGCAUGCAAUGAAGCGAUAAUUAAUAUAUUCUAUAUUCUUGUGAGUGUUAUAUACUACUCUCUACAUCCCAAAAUAUAAUGCACAAUUACCACUAUCGUAAAGAUCAAGCAAGAAUUAUUAUCACAUCUUCAUUUAGAUCACUUCGGCUAAUGAAUACAAUGCAUGCACCCAAUAAGAUUAGAGAUUUUGUAGGUAAAAGAUUUUUUUUAAAAAAAUGAAUUAAAGAGGAGAGAGAGAGAGAGAGUAGUACUAGUUAAUUAUAUGCAUGCAUGGAUAGCAUGUCUUAUAUUGUAAAAUAUAAAAAAAUGGUUAUCCUAUAUUUUUGGAUGAAGGAAGUAUUAAUUUCUAUGUUAAUUUCAGGGGACAAGGUUCUUGUCAAUAUUCUUAGGGAAGCACUCGUUGAUUUUAUUUGUUGAAAACAUGACAUUAAUUAUUUUGAUUUUUUUUGUGAUUCUAUAUUUCAGGACUAUGAACUUAUAAUACAUAUAAUGCCAAGUAUUAAUGUCCUGUCGAAACUUUUUUAAGGUACAUCCUUAGAAUAUUUAGGUGUGCAAAAAUUUCACACAAAACGACAUAUAGAGAAAGCCUAAUAAUUAAGAAGUUCGCAGAAGAAUUAGAGAGAUGCUUCCAAAUGAAUCUUAAUUACACUAAAUGCAACAAUUAUCAGGAAAAUAAAAGUAGCACAAAGAAAAAUCUUACAAUGCUAUCUUCGUGUAUUAAACUACUUGAUAUAUGAUUGAUAAUCUAUAUAUGACAGUUAAUGGGUAUAAACCUAUCCACUACAGUAAGGUGCAUAUGUAUACAUUAUAUAUAUGAUGAUGUAUGUGGUUCUGUGGGACUGUGAGGUGGGGCUGGAGAGAGAGAGGGAGGCGUAUAAUGCAGUUAGAGUGAUCGAUGGACAGAUCUAAAUCAAUUAAUUCCUUUGUUUCUGCAUACAUUAUGAUCGACCCAGGUGCAAAAGGGAUGUAUAGAUAAAGGUAAAACAUUGACUGUAGCUCAUAAAGAUAGGAAGACAACAUAUAAUCAAUACAUAAAAUGGCAAUGUCUGACCAUCAGGUUGCAGAAGGACACAAUAGUUUUGUUGCACACGUGACCUUACUUAACGAUAAUAAAUAUUAUUAAAAUUAAAAGGAAAAUUUUGACACCUUCAAAACGACAACAAAUAAAAAAAAAUAAAGAAAUAAGAAAAAGAAAUUGUAGGAAUCGAAAUGACAUGUUUCUCUAAUUAUGCACGAAUGAAAAAUACAGAUCAGAGACGAGGAGGAUCCCUUCCUUUGAUACCAUCACAGGAACACAGAAAACAAACGGAACAAAUGAUAGUUUCUAAGAGGUUGGAUCUUUUGUGUAUUUUUCUAUGAAAUUGACUCAUAUGAAUGCAAUCCUAUGAAAAAAAAUUCCUAUCUUUUUUAUUAAUCAAAGGGUUCCAUGGAAAAAUUUUCUUAGGAAAUUAAAUCCUCUAAAAAUUCUUAUAGCAAUCGUCCAAUUUAGAGGGUGCAUAAGGUUAUAAACUUCAGAAACAGAUACUCCACCCGCUAAACUUUCUAUGCCAUUCCACCCCAUCUAUAGUGGAACCCAAAUUGAGGUUUUAAAUUAGGUAUAGGAGCAAACUUUUAAAAAAUUAUUAAGUGGUGCAAACCACAUAUCAUUCAUACAUACCCUCCUUUUUUUAAUUCCUCCCUUGACUCCGUCCCCCGUCCUCCAAUGCUUGAUUUUAGGCCAUCGCUGAUGGUGACUGGGCAACUAUGGGUGAGGCUGAUAGAGUGCAAAAAGGAAUGGGCCGCCGGAUGGUUCAUGCUGACCGAGCAUCACUACUACGAAAGAUAUUACUCCGGUGAGCAAAACCCAUUUGUGGCGCGGUGGUAUUAAGGCCUACCUCUACACAAACUACCGUGGAAAUCGAGAUUUUCAUAACCGGCCGUUAUUCUGCCUACAAAAAUUGGUUUCAAAGGCGAAUUCAUGUUAAGAGGACCACUUGGGCAAAUGGUUUUCAGGCUAAAGAAAAUGAACCCCCCCUCCCGCCACCCUCCUAGUUGCUACUACAGUUCACGAGCAGCAAUAGCAGGUCAUAGGCAGUGGCGUAGCUAAAAUUUUUUCAAGCCUAGUGCUCAACUAGUAUAAUUUACAUUAUUUACCUUUAUCUAUUGUCGACGUUUGAUGUCGCGAUUCCGGUAUUUGCAUAGUAUGGGAUCGUUGGUACUAGGAUAUAUGCUAGACUGAGGUAAAAAAGACGGAGGCGAGGAUUUUUAUACAGGUUCGGGCCCCUGAAUUGUCAGGUAAUAACCCUACAUCCUGUUGGUCGAAGCCGGUAUUGCUCUUAUUCACCGUAAUCACACCAGUACAAUAAUUGGGGUAGUCUAUCUAACUGUUGUUGACAUGGCGGUCUGAAGUUCUGACUCGUAGUCGACAACAGGGUAGUCUUCCUCCUCGAGUUCGUGCCCGGCGAGAUCAGAGAUAGCGCUUUCAUCUCUCCUGACAGUAUCUGGAAACACCGUAGGGGACUAGCCGUGCUUAUCCCUGAAGUCGAUAUCCGGCGUCUUGUCUUGGCGUAUGUUGGCUUGUAUGUUGUGGCUUCUGUUGUUCCAUCUCUUCUAUGGUGGGUUUGUCCCCUCUCCUCCUAGGGGGCCUUGUAUUUAUACCCAUAGGUGUCCCCUUGUCCAAGUAGAACUAAGGAAACCAAUAUGGAUAUAAUCCGGGUAGUCUUUGUCGUUUCCAUGUAGAACUCUGGUUGUCUUUCCUUAUCCGGAACUCCUCCUAUAUCCGCAGGUUGUUUCCGUAUAGGACAUGGUAUGUGGUGGGUCCUGCCGAGAUUUAGUCAACUACUAUUAGGUAUGUGGUAUCCAUAACCCUGACAUCUAUCAUGUUUUGAGGUUUUAAAAUGUAAAUUUUAAUGGAUAUUUUGGCUUAGGAGUAGGGCAACAACCCUAGCUACCCUACCUCUGUUUCCGCCACUCACAGCAACAAGCCAACAAUAUGUCAUAGAUCUCACAAAGCAAAGUCCAUUUACACAUAUCAAAAUCCAUUAACAUAUUCAAAUAAAGUCCAUCACAUAUCACAAAUUAUAGAUCUCCCGCUCCUAAUUUAUAGAUGACACGACAUCACUAUCGUCAAGAAGGCUAGCACCGGGAUCUGCUUACCUAGAGUUUAAGGUAGGCAACCAAGUAGGGGGUGCCGUGUGUGGGAGCACGGCUAGCACCGGAGCUGUCUCCAUCGAGUUGGGCACAGUUGCUCGCUGCCAUCAGGUCGGGCUCAACCCGUUGUGCGAGCCGCCAUCAUCAUGCAUUGAGAGGUGACAUUUGCUGUCGUGUAGCAUAGCCAUCUUCCUCCCCAUUCAUUGAUUCUAGCUAGCAAGAGUGCCGAGCCACUGCCCUCAUCACUGAACCAUCAUCCUCCCCCUUCAUUGAUUCUAGCUAGUAGGAGUGCCAAGCCACCGCUCUCAUCGCUGAGCCGUCACAACUACUGUUGCCGUUGUCUUCACUGAGCCAUAGGCCGUAGCCACUGAGGCUUGUCAUCGCUGAAUCCAAAGCUUUUGGUGCCCGGAUGCACUCGAUCUAGAUGAGGUGUCCCUUCCCUUCAUCACCACCAUGGGGCCGCAGUCGUUGAGGCUCGAAGACCACAAUCACCAAAUUCGGAGCUCCUGAUUUCCACCGCCACCAUAUUUGGACGAGGCGCCUAUCCCUUUUGGUGCCCAGCCGAGCCCCACCGCCACGGAGCCCCAUCUGCUUUUUAUACUUUCUAUAUAUCUUUCAGCAUUGAGAUCCAUGAGCAGGGUGCCUUAUCAUCCCAUCAUUCUUACGCUCUUUGUGGUGCCAACGCAUCAUCUUUGCAUGCUUUUGGUUUGCGUACAUGCGUUCAAUCCGAGGGAUUAUAGGAAAAAUACCACGCAACCAUAACGAGCACUUUCCUCGUCUUCAGUACGGGACCACCACUGUCAUCAUCAUCGUUAUCUCCACCCUUAUACAACAGUGCUUCGUAAACUGGACACGUAUCCAAAUCUGCAUAUCACCUCGAUAUAGGAUACAACCAUUUCGACAUGCGUGAAUUUUCUGCACUCCCAAUUUGAGUGGGCAAACAACCUUCUUCGCUUGGUAGCAGUACAUGUCCCGUUGGAAGGAGGUCUCCGAUCAACUGUAGAAGCUCUUAUCACUCCAAUUGUUUGUUGAUUUCAUUUGUAGCAACGAGAGGACAACAUUUAACUCGGUGUGCUCCUUGUUGCAUCUUGGAUAAAGCAAGGUUUUUAAGUCCUCCACCAUGACCUUGAAUUUCUCGUAUUGCAUGUCAUCGUCGUAGGCUGUCACCCAAUCGUGCAACAUCUGAUUCAAACCAUCUGAUUCGCCAUUUUCAUAUCCACCUCCGUCAGCAGGCAACUCCACAUUAUCUCCGUCCAUUAAAUCCGGAUUCUCAUCUUCACCAUGAUUGUCCUGACAUUUGUAAUUAGGCAUAAAACCCCUCAUUAGGAGAUGCUCGUGAACUCGUUUUGCAAAAAAAUCUCUCUCGUUCCUACAAUCAAGGCAUGGACAAUGCAAGUGUUCCAUCGUGCUCAACGAUUUGGAACUCGUCACCACGAUCACGAAGUUUGUUACUCCAAUGGCAUACUCCAAGAUACCGCGCAGUGCAAUGUUCAUCCCUCCUUCAUCCAUCGGUUCUAUGAAAAUUCUUAAAUUAACCGCUAAGAUACAUAUAUCAAUCAAAUUCGUAAUAUCUAGAAUACUCGAUGAUUUAAUACUCUCUACAUUACUCAAAUUGAAAAUUAACAUUCUAUAUAUGUAUUAAAAUUCUAAUAUAUAUUAAUAAUAGGUAAAUUACUCAUAGAUGAUUAAUGUAUAAAGUACUCCAAAAUUAAUAAGUUAUCAUACUUUCUCAAAUCACCAUCUCAAAACAAAUUAAGAUGCAAAAUAUUGGUCCAAUUCAACAAGAGAAAUUGCAAAAAUAACUUGACAAAAUAUAGUGCACUACCUUCUACAUUAUAGAUCUCUCUAGAUGUUUUUGAGGAACAAUUACAUCGAGAAUCACACAAAUGAACAAAAAUUACAUAGAGAAUCAAGAUAAACUAACCUUUAAACAUGCAAACACAUAGAUCUCUUGAUGUUUUUUGCAAUUUUUGGGCAAAACCUCCCCCCUGGAUGAGCAAGAAAAAGGCCUCCCAAAUCGCAACCUACUGUGAUGGCGAAGUAUAUGAACCGACACCUAUACAAUUUUUGGACUUUUGGCGUUAGGGUCAUUGGUAUCGGUUUUACUUAAAAACCAGCACCAAUGUACUUUUCUCAACGAACCGACACCUAUAAGAUUUUGUAGGUGCCGGUUCUUGAAAUGGUUGGCGGGAAACGUCUUAUAGGUGCCUGUUUUUGACAAACUAGCACCUAUAUGGCCGGUCUCUAUAAAGGUUUUUGUAGUAGUGGACCGCUUGUGUGCAAAUUGUUAUUUUUACCAGCAGAGACCCCAAAGAGAACCAAUGUAUGAAAACUCUCCUAUUUUCACAGAGGUCCUAGUGGUUUGCUUGUGUAAAAAUAAAGAUUUGUUCAGGUGGUCCCUUGAGAGGUUACUAGCAAAAAUACUUUACUUUUAUUGAUGGUAAUCUUAAGAUGAUUGCCUAUAAAAAUUGGUUUCCAUAGUCGGUCCGUAGCCGACAACCCUUUAGUGUAUUUUCAUAGGCACGACUUCUUAUGGACCACUUGUAUAAAUAAAGUGGGUGUGUCUUCGAAGAUGAUAUUUUAUAGACAUGCAGAGGCCAGGGUCACACCACACCAUGCCUAGAUCACGGUCUUGACAACAUAUCACCACUGUUGGGCUGCCACCCUUCUUGAGAUCAUUGUGCUAGAGAGGAAUGGAUGAUAGAGCAAUUUAGAGCAGAAAUUGAAUAGGAUGGAGAUAUAGGGAAGAUGAAGAAAGGAUCAAAUGAGUGAAUGACAUGCACGAAAGAUGUAUUUCCUGAUAUAUUGGUGGGCUGCCAUGUACCCUCCGUUCAAAAAAAAAAUCAAAUCAUAACUAACCUGGACAUAUGCGUGUCCAACUUUGUAGUUAAGAUUUAUAUAUUUUUGGAACAGAGUAUAGUAAGCAUCAAGGGUGUCGCACAUUAAUUAGUGAACUGCAUAUGUAUAGAAAGUUUAGGGCCGGUGAGCAAUGUACGAUUUUAAAGUUUUGGCAUAACUUUUAGACAUUUUCCCUAUUUACUACACCUUUUUUCUUGUUUACACACAAACAUACAAACUUCAGGUUCCAAAUUUCAUCUUUAUAUCGACAAGCUAGCGGCCGGUAUGGUCUAACUAUGCACGCAUCUGUUCCAUCCACGAGUACACAAGCUGGCUAGAGAGAGCACUGAUGUCCAGUGUAUACAGCUUGACUUUUCCAAUCAUCACCUUUCACAAGAACUGUUGAUGAUACCUCCACAACGUAAGGGCACGGAGACAAUGAAAGGUGCUUCACAUACUUAAUUAUAUCGAAACACAAUGUGUGAUCGAUCUGGUGCAUGCUUAAGAGCAUCCCGCCCUAUAUAUUGCUGGGAAAUUCUCCAUGACAAAUUAUCCUCCCAUUAGCUCAUAAAAUAAAUGGUUCAAUUUUUUCAUAAUGCAACUUUUGGUAAUAAAUAUUCAUUUAUAUUUAUAGCAACAAUUGAAUUAAAACUACCAUUUAAAAAAUGAAAAAAAAAUAUGUUUUACUUCCCAAACUAUUUCAUCAUAUCACUUAACUUUUUAAGCUAUUUUUGGCUUAUUUUAUACUCUUUAAUAUUAAAAAUGAUCUACUUUGCUUAAUGGCAUUUCUCUUCUUUAUAUCUCUUUAUACGAGUUGUAUACUAGGCAGAAAUUUUUUAUAGACAUAAAUAGCAUCAUUAUCAAAAUUCCAAAAACUUUUUAAAUUUUUUUCGUGACUUAAUUUAAAUUUAAAGCUUAGUAUUUAAAUCAGUCUUAGUGCUUUCAACCUAUGUAAAAAAAAUGUUCAGAGGUAUGUUAUAAUGCAUCUAUCAAUUUUAUCAAAUUUUAGUGCAAAAUACAACUUAUACAUAGAAAAAAAAGAAAAUAAUGCUAGGUCGUAAGGUGAACUGUUCUCAAUAGUUCGGGUAUGAAAUGAAAAGUUGUUUUGGGGUUAAGUGUUUCGGCAAAAUAGUUCAGGAAAGUAAAAUGUACUUUGUCUUUAAAAAUACUUUCAACAUAAAUCUAAAUAAGCCAUUAUCAAAUACUUCUAAUUAAUAGUAUAAUUAAUAGUAUAGGCUGGCUGAGAUGGAAGGAAUAUUUGGGUUGAGCUACUUUGCGGCUCGCGAAAUGAGACGUGUCAUUAGCAUAUUAUUAGUUAUAAGUAUUUAUUAUUUUAAAGUUUUAAAAUACAUUAAUAUAUUUUUAAAAUACUUUUACGCCAAACAUAAUAUUUUAGCAGUUUAGAAAACGAGCUAAAAAAUGAGGUAGUAGCUCACAUAAGAAGCAAAAAAGAUGUUGAUAGCUAGAUAGCUAGCAAUAAAACAAAAGCUUGAGACUCGCAAGCUGCUCGAGCUCGACUCGUCCUAGGCCAAUUUGAGCUUGGCUCAAGCUCCUGAUGAGCCGAGCCGUGCUAGCGUCAAAGCUCAUGAGCUUUGUCGAGCCGAGCCCAUACCUGUGUCAAAGCUCACGAGCUUUAUCGAGCCAAGCUCGAGCUCCUAACAAGCUUAAUAAUAUAUGAUUUUUGUUGUUUGUUUAACAAAUUAGUAUAUUAAAUAUGCCAUUUGUAUGUAUCUAAAUAAAUAGUGAAGUAUCUUGUAUUGGCAUCAUAUAUUUAGCUUAGUUUUUUCCUCUUUCAUUAAUAUGAUAAUAAUCAAAUUAGUUAUUUUCUUAAAAAUUAUCCUCAAAUAUACGCUGUACUACUUAUAACCAAGCUUUAUAACCAAGCUUAUUAAUCGAGUUUGAGCUUGAUCGAGCUUGAACCUUGAAGCUCAAAGGUUAUUCAUGCUUGUCUCGAGCUUGUAUUGAGCUCGAGCAGGCGAGUUAGCUCUCGAGCUCGGCUGGUUGACAACCCCUGUUGAUAGCUAGCUGGAGUAUCCGUGUUAUUCACAUUUGCAUACACUAGAAUUAAUAUCACUGUGAGGAAUAAUGCUUGCGUUGUGAGUACUCAAUCAUUAAUUGAUUUGUAUGACCUAAAUUCACGGAAGUCCAAUUCUACUAGCACAAUGAUCAGAUCGAAGAGCUGAAAGAGUCCUGUUCAUGGGUGAUUAUUGUAGGUGUGACCACAACACAAUGAAAACCCAAAUGAGCACGCAACGCGCAGGGCCCACCGUAAGUGACGUGUCGGCCCACCAGUAGAUGAUGUGUAUAUAUGUUACGUACGUACUUAAUAAUAAGCGAUUAUGGCCAGGUGAAAAUAUAUGUACAGCAAUUAAUCAAAGUGUGUACGUGGCAGCACAUUAAUUGCUGCAAUAUAUGUUAUCAGACAUAAAAAAAACUUUGUGAGCCAAUGCUAUUAUUUACUUUGAACAUCUAUUUAACUCUAAUCACUGAAUAUAUAAUUUCAUGCUUAGUUAGCAAUGGAUUUUUCUUUGACAGCAAAAAAAAAAAAACUCCAUAACUAUGAAUGAGAAGUCAUCUGUACUGUCACUGAUGAAGGUAAUUGCCAUAUAUCUGAUUCUCUCGAAACAACCUUUUUUUGGAACGGUUGAACAACAGCUUUGGAACAGCUUUUCAAAGGUUACCUAGCCAGCUAACUGAUCAAUUUUCUCAUACAGUUCCUCACAAAAAAAAAUCUCAUCUUCUUAAAUAGUUUGAUUCUCCCAACUGCAAUAUAAACCAAGGUAUAGGCCAGCCUACAUUAAUAUGCAGAGGAGUAUUUAUUUAAUAUGCAUGGUUUCAUCCAAAAUAGGUACUACAUAUAUUGCCACCAUAUUUGUCAUGUACUCUCUCCAUCCCAUAAUAUAAGGGAUUUUGAGUUUUUGCUUGCACUGUUUGACCACUCGUCUUAUUAAAAAAAAUUGGAAUUAUUAUUAUUUUUUUGACUUACUUUAUUAUCCAAAGUACUUCAAGCACAACUUUUUGUUUUUUAUAUUUACACAAAUUUUUUGAAUAAGACGAGCGGUUAAACAAUACAAACAACAACUCAAAAUCUCUUAUAUUAUAGGGCAGAGGGAGUAUAUAUAUAAACCUUCGAUAUAUAUAUUGCUCAUCCCUGCAGUAACUAUAUAGGUAGCGUGUGGCAUAUUUCUGGUCUUGUUAUUAAUUUAAUUCGAUGAGCUGAGGCGACAUCUCCAGCUCAAGCAUAGGCCAGAAGGAAAUCAUACAUGUGUAAUAUCCAAGGAAUCCAUGCAGCAAGCAUAUGGGGGCAUAUUGCAUGCACACAGCAGACCUGAAAAUAACAGGAUGCCACACAAUGCCCAGCAUGCAUAUGAUCAUACUGCCAUGUAAUCGAUCUGUAGCUGACCAAUUGCAAUGACUAGAUACAUGAUGCUAUAUUGUAACACUACUACCUGUUUGCAUGUGAUUGCAUAAGGAUCUAGCUGGGGGUUCAUUCCAUCUGCAACGACUAUUUAUCUCGUCGCAACCAGCCAACAAACGAGUUCCUGAAGAGCCAGAAUAAUAUCAUCAGCACAAUAUUGGCGCAUUUGUUUCGCUACAGCAUUAGGUAUAGCAGCUGCAUGCACAUAUGCAGUGUAAAAUCUAACUCCAUUAUUAUUCCCAAACCCUGUAGGCAUGUGACUAUAAGGGGUCAACAAGUCCUGAUAUUGUUCUUUGCUGGGGGCACCCCCACAGUGCUAGCUAGCUACAGCCCAUUCUUGUUAUCUACCUAGGUUGCCCAACUAGUUUCCAAAAUAUGAUCGAGAGAGAGACAGAGACAGAGAGAGAUCGAUGCGCAUAUAUUGGCGCUAAACGGACGGUGAUCGAUCGAUUGUGGUGGUCCUCUACAAUCAAACUAUUUGGAUGAUGAUCAUAUUAGGAGAGAUAAUGACAAAGAUAGAAGAUUCGAACUAAGAGACAUUUUACAACCCAAUAAUCCAAUUUUAUUACAACCAAGAAUCUGCGGAAUAUAACAAUAGUGCCAUCCGUUAUAUUUACAUAUAUAUAAAAUUGAAACUCAAUGUAGGGUCAAGCAGUUUUGCAAAGAUGCGCCUCACUAUUAUGGAAAUUGUCACAUGAAGGAUAAGACUAAAUUAGCCCAAACCGUACCGCGAUUCAUUCCGAUCCGUCUCUAGCUAGCUAGCUAUUCCAUCACUAUUAGGGGUUCACUGCUUGUUGAUAACCAGCAUUGCUGUUGCCUUUUGAACCAACGGCGGGCUUGGGAUAGUAUAAUAUGAUGUAAUAUCCGAUCACUGCCCGUUCACAAUGGUUUGGGCAUCACUGCCGAUUCACGCCUUGAGCCGUUGGCACCACGUACUGGUUUGUACAGUCUAGCCUACAAUAGUAAUAUCUACCAUCAGUGAUGAGCUGGUUCUGUAGGUCCUUUGUGUAGUAGUGGACCCAGGUUGCCAAUAUCUAGAAGGCAAUUAAAAAGGUCAGGUUAUGCAGCAAAUCAUAUGUAGGCAAACCCAUUUUUUGUGGAUAUCAAUUAUCUAUCGGCAAAGGCUUUCCCAAUAGUCUUUGAGUUGCUGAACAUACCUUUUGCCCAAUUUCGGUUCGUAGGUAAAAAUGGAUCAUCAUGUAGUGCAAAGAUCAAUGCGUUCAGUGAUAAAUAAUUUCUGCCACACAUGCCUCCACACAUGACCAUCUUAAUUUCUUAAAUUAAACCUCAUUGAAAUGUAACCAUCCACCAUACAGGGAUUCUGUAGUUUAACCGGCAGUAAUCAAUUAAUUGAACCCACAAACUUUCAAAAAAAAAAAAAACCAUGCGUAUAUAUCAAUACAUUCGUGCUAACAAUUCCACAUAAAUCCACAAACAUUCGGCAUGUGUUGGACCCCACUGAAAUUUGUUUUGUAGGUUAAUUUGUUCUAUGUAAAAAACUCAUGGAUCUACCAAUGCCUAGGUCAUCUUCAGGGGAAUAUCAAAUGAUCGAUCGUCGCGUAGACAAUGAGGGAUCAUCAAUUAUUUUGUGGGCUAUAUAUAUAUACGCAUGUAUAUUAUAUUGAGCGAGUUUUCGGGCCACUAGAGGGUACUUGUACACUUAUUUUUUUUCUGGUAGGAUAUUAUGUAUAUGUGCAUUAGAUUUCUUAAUUUUUUUACUGGCCACGAAUUAAUCUCAUCUAAUUUUCCAUUUUAAUUCGAAGACAUGCUAUUUUUACUAGCUAGCAUUAUAAUUUUUAUAAGAAAAGACGGUGAUCAUAUAUACCGUUGUCCUUUAUUCAAACCAUCUACUCCUUCCGUCCCAAAAAAAAAGACAAACCCUAGAUUUCCGUGUCCAACUUUGACUAUCCGUCUUAUAUGAAAUUUUUUUUAUAAUUAGUAUUUUCAUUGUUGUUAGAUGAUAAAACAUGAUUAAUACUUUAUGCGUGAGACUUGUCUUUUUAAUUUUUUUCAUAAUUUUUUUAAAUAAGACGGACGGUCAAACGUUGGACACGGAAACCCAGGGUUUGUCUUUUUUUUUUGAGACGGAGGGAGUAUCUAGCAAAGCUAACUUUAAUUUUUCCACCAAUAUUUCUCCAUUCCCACUACUGAUCUCAUGCCCCUUCCUUUGCUAUAACCCCCUUUAGCUCUGCUUGCUGGUGAUCAGGAAGAAACCGUGGACUCCACCUUGGCCCACUCGGUUUUGACCAGAUUUCGGUUCUUUGGCAUGAACCAACACACCUUUGGGAGCUAGGCAUGCACAACCACCUACACAUAGGGAGGUGAAGUAGAAGAAGACCGAGCUGUUGACUUGGGUAUUGAAGAGCUCAAACUCAAUAGUCGGGUGGAUCCAAUGUAAUUCAUGGGUUUUCAGGUGAAUAUCCAUGAACUUUGGACAGUAACCCAGUAUAUGUUUCCCAUAAUACAUAUGUACCACAAUAAUCUAGCUAGAUUUGUGAUAUAUAUAUAUAUCCUAACAAUUCAAUUCCACCCCCUUCCACUAGUACAUAAAGCAUUUUUCAAACGAUUGGAUCCUAUUUCUGCAUGCGGUUGAGCAUGCGAAAAUCGACUUUUGCACGUGGGCCUCUUAAGGAGCAGUAUGCAAAAAUACCGGUCGAUUUUUACAGACGCAACCAGUUACACUCCAUCUAUAACUAAAAGGGGUCUCGCCCAGAAAAAUUGUUUCUGUAGUAGUGUUCCAGUAGCCCUUAACCCACAAGAGCAAUAACAACAUUGUCUCUCGUCGCUUAUCCCUCCCUUUCUGUUGCAAUUCAUGCUAAUUUGAUUAUUGGCUUUGGCAAUUAAUGAUCAAUUAGUUAAUGAAUACCUAGUUAUCUCUGCAGGUUAUAUAUACAUCUAUUUCCUAUGUUUAUAAUUAACAAUAGAACUUGAACCCAACCUGUUGUUUUUUGCUGUGUAAUAAUUGAUGUCAACUAUCCUGUUAGGACAAAGUUAUAUUCAAUAUGCCAGUAGUUCCUUUGUGAUUUGUAGGUAAUAAUUGAUGUCAACUAUUCUUUGCUACAUAAAAAGCUGCAAACUUAUGCUAUGCAAUCUCCCGAAAUUCUGAAUUCUUACUCUUCACUCUUACUUAAAUCAACAGGGUCAGUAAAUCAUUCCCUGCCAAUGAUUGAUGCCGAUUAUAAAAAAAAUGUAAAAUUCUACUCCCUCCGUUUUAAGUUAUAAGAUAUUUUGACUUUGGUCAAAGUCAAAUUACUUCAAGUUUAACUAAAUUUAUAGACAAAUAUAGUAAUAUUUACAUUACCAAAUUAGUUUUAUUAAAUUAGUAAUUAAAUAUAUUUUUAUAAUAAUUUAUCUUGGGUCGAAAAUUCUAUAAACUUGGUCAAAUUUGAAAUAGUUUGACUUUGACAAAAGUCAAAACAUCUUAUAACCUGAAAUGGAGGGAGUAUCUAUUUUCUCGAAUAUAUGCACAAGCUAGUCAUAGUAAAAUGAUGUAUAUAUGAAACUGGGGCAUUGUACUUUUGACAAAUCAAUCGAUAUCAAUAUCGUUAUAUCUGGGCAAGCUACUUUAGAAUUCCAAAUAUGCAUCCUACAAAUCCUAGAUCCGACAGUUUGCUUGUAUUGCUCCAUUUGGAGACGAGACAAAAAGAGAUAGAUAUAUAAGAGAGUGGGAAAAGACAGGUAUAUCAAUGAGAUAUAAGAAAGCGCGCGAGAAAGACAUGUAGCGCCAUGUUUAGUUCCAAAAUAUUUCUUCAAACUUUCAACUUUUCCAUCACAUCAAAACUUUCCUAUACACAUAAUUAAACUUUCAACUUUUUCGUCACAUCGUUCCAAUUUCAACCAAACUUCUAAUUUUGACGUGAACUAAACACAGCUUAGAUCAAUGAGAUAUCAGAGAGGGAGAAAGGGUGCAAUUGGAAAAAAUGAGUCAUUUUACGGUCAAGUAAUGUUGAUGUUGAUCUAAUGGAUUUGUGAUUUGUAAAGGUACAUAGACUGGAAUAUAAGUUAUGGAGAUCACAUUCAUCUCCAGUGUUGUAAGAAAUUAUAUGCCUUUUUGAAGUUGAGUUUACUAGUAGCUUGCUGCAAACAUACUCAACUGUUCCCCAUUGAAAACCACAUCCAUGCAUAAGUCAAGAUGCUUUUGGAUGAUCUUGAUACUCGCUAGCCAGCUGAUCACGAGUUUUGUGCAUGCAUUCACGCAUGAUGAUCUGGCCACACAGUGAGAAUAGAGGACUAGACACUGUACACAUAAUAUAUAUGCCACUUCACUGUGCAAGUCUUCCUCACAGAUAUUCCAUCCGUUUCAACAUAACUUAACAUAGAAUGAGAUGUGACUCACGUGUUUAUAUAUCUAGAUUCGUUAUACUAGGUUAAGUUAUUUUGGGACCGAGCAAGUAAUUAACUACUAUCGUGCCUGCUGCAUGCUACGGCUUUUUCCCUCGAUCAGAUUCUUGCAUUUGCCUGUCGAUCAGCAGGCAGGCAGGCACAGCCUGCGCAUGCAUAUAUAUCGAUCUGGGUGAAAUAUUCCAUCUGUUUUGGGAGCUGGUGCAGCUUUGCCAUGAAUUUGCUAUGCAUGCGACACUGCUGGAUCCAUGGCUUCUGCACUCAAUAAGAGGAGAGGAAUGUUUCCUCUCUGCAGGAUAUGUGCCCACAUCCAAGUUGUUUUUUACCUUUUGUCGGGGCUCCAUUAAUUUUAAUUCGGAGCUGAUCUGCAUGGACAGUUAAUAUUCGUCCAACCAUGCUUAGGAGAACCAGAGAAAGGACCAUUAUUUUGAUGAACUGAUCAGUUGCUGUGUAAGCAUGCAUAGCCUGCUAUAUAUAGGCCCCACUACUAUCCUCACUCUAAUAGAUUAUUAAUUAAGAGUAAAUUUCACGAUCAAAACUAUAAUUGUUUGGUCAAAACUGCCAUUUUGCUUCAAUACUAGCAACAAAACAUUUCAUCGUAGAACUACAACUUUACCCCAAAUAAUAUAUAUAUAUAUAUAUAUAUAUAUAUAUAUAUAUAUAUAUAUAUAUAUAUAUAUAUAUAUAUAUAUAUAUAUAUAUAUAUAUAUAUGUGUAUGUAUGUAUAUUCGUGCUUUGCAACGGGCAAUCCCAUAUAAUUAGGGAUUAUCUAUACUAUGUGGGUGGAUUGAGGAGAAAGUAAUGGCGCGACCUCCGCACAUGGUGAGAAGAGGAUGCAAGAAGGACGACUAUAUUUUUAUAUUUUUAAAGUAGUAGAGAUAAGUGGAUGACAUAUACCCUAAGUUAUGCUAGCAUACGAAUUGCAUCCGGAAUGACGAAUGGAUUCAAACUUGUCGAACAAACAAAAUAUCAGCAAUCAGAUCAAAUUGUAUACUAUUGUUGUAGUUCUAUCUCAAAUAAACGGCUAAAAUCGAAGCAAAUUAAAUUGAUAAGUCUUGAAAACAGUCCUCUCAAAUUUACCCUUAGGUUUUUUACCCGUUCUCCUUUAUUGUACUUUUAAUUAUAUAUGUACAUGUCGGAUUUUUGUCAUUUUAUGACUUCAUUUUUUUUAAUUUAACCGCUGCACAAAUCCGAAUCUGAAAUAAAACUGAGUAGCUAGGGAAGGACACACAUAUAGAGCUAGCUUUUACUUCACUAUAUAUGCUGACUAACUGACGACGAUCAGUAAAUCCUCGGGUUGUGUAGUACGUUAUAUUCCGUUAUCCUCUUAACAUGCAUAUAUUGUUGUGCAUAUAUAUUCAACCUGCAUACCCGUGAUGCAUGCACAGCCUUUCUGCAACUACAGUGUACGUAUGUAUAUAUGUGGGCGUAUAUAUACAUGACCGUGUUUAUUUUGUGUGCCAAAUUAUUUUUGAAGUAUACAGACACACAUUUGAAGUAUUAAACAUAGACUAAUAACAAAACAAAUUACAGAUUUUGCCUGUAAACUGCGAGACGAAUUUAUUAAGCCUAAUUAAUUUAUCAUUAGCAAAUAUUUACUAUAGCAUCACAUUGUCAAAUCAUGGCGUAAUUAGGAUCAAAAGAUUCGUCUCGCAAUUUACAUGCAAACUGUGUAAUUAUUUUUUUCGUCCACAUUUAAUGCUUUAUACAUGCGUCCAAACAUUUGAUGUGAUGGAAUUUUUGGAAGUUUGAAUGAACUAAACACUGCCUAUGUGUAUAUAUUCAGCUACAUAUUGUCCUGUAUCUGACAGCAGUUAAACUGGUUCGCUAGCUAUACGCAUAUAUAUAUAUAUAUAUAUAUAUAUAUAUAUAUAUAUAUAUAUAUAUAUAUAUAUAUAUAUAUAUGUGGGGUUAAAUUAAUUUUUUGGAGGCAUUGUAAAAUACGUUGAUCCAACAGCAACGUGACAAGGCUACAUAUAUACGUGCUGCCAAUAUGUAUGUCUACCCUCGAGGAGCAGCCCUGUACGUAUUUCAGUACGGUCACUGCUAGCUGGUACUAGCUAAACAAGUUACUACCUAGAGAUUCCACCGUACCUGCAUCCAAUAAUGCAGACGGUUUUACGCGAGGUAGUUCAAUCGCCUGAAAUUUUCAAAAAAAAAUUCAGUAAUCCAUUUAAUGAUUCUCAUCACUUCCUUAUUACUGGUAUACUACAAAUACACAAUUAUAUGAAAUAAACUUAUGAAGAUUUGAAAAAUACAUGAAAUUAAAUAGUCAAAACCUAGAGAGAAAUAAAAUAAAACCAUGUUAAAAUGAACUAAAAUUGCACAUACUACGUACAAUUUUAAGCAUGGAAAUGUACGUAAUUUUAGAUUGAUGCAUGAAAUCAAGCAAAUCAACUUCUGAACUAUGUCUCAUGAGUUCAUAAUCACAACUGAAAUUGUUGAGAAAGAAAUAUGAGUUAGUAUAUAUGUUUUAGGGUGAAUAGUUAAUACGGUCCCUGAAGUUUCGCUCACUACUACAAAUCAGGUUUUUCCUGGCAGCUAGAUUAAGUUUUUGCUGGCGUCCAUCAUCGCCGCCAGUGUUAAGGCCAGUGAAAAUAAUGAAUUUUCGCUUGCGGACAUCCGGCCGCCAGCAAAAACAAUUUUUGCAAGCGGCCAAGCUAAGAAAGCCACCAGUGAAAAUACAGUUUCGCUGGCAGCACCUAAAGAGACCUGCACGGCGAAAAUGUUUUUAAGGAGAAAAAAAAUUAAAAUCAAAAUCCCCAAAUCCAUGUCCCAAAUUCAAAAUCCAUCAAGCCGAGCCGCGGGCCGCCGCUGUCGUCGUCGAGCUGAGCCGGCCGCAACCCUAGCCACCGAGGGCCACCGAGGGCCGCCGUCGCCGAGCCUGCACGUGGAGCCAUCGUUGCCGAGGGCCGCCGUCUCCUUUGACAGCCGCCAAGCCAGGUCUGGCGGUCCGGCCUUGAGUCCCGCUAGCGGAUCCUCCUCCUCGUCGCCAUCGUCGUCGGUGGAGACGACGGAUGCCAGAUCUGCCUUGGAGGAGGCGGAGAAGACGAGUUGUCAUCGUCGCUGCCGCUGAGGUGUCCCGGCGCCGCCAUCGCCCCCAUCCCAUGCCGCAGCCGGCCACCACACCUUUUCCGCCGUUGUCACCGCUGCUUCUGCGUGAGGUGUGCUCCGCUGCCGCUGUCAAGCACCGCCACCUCGAGCGCCACUGCGACCGAGCACCGCCACCCCGCACCACUACCGAGCCACCCCCUCCCCCACACCGCUGUGGCCGAGCCACCCCCUGCCCCGCGCUGCCGCAGAGCCACCCCCAACCCCACGCCGCUGCGACCGAGCACCGCUACCCCGUGCCGCCACCGAGCAAUCCCUUCCCCCGCGCUGCUCCGGGCCAUGAAUUGAGAGGAGAGGGAGAAGGCAACUUUGGAUCUGAGAGAGGAGAUAAGAAGGCAGAGAAGUCGAUGGUGGGCGGUGCAGGCGCACGGUCUUUAUUCACCAAAUUUUUUUAGCAGUCCUCUUUACCUACCGCUAGUGAAAACGCUAUUUUCUUGCUGGCGGACACUUAAGAGGUCCGCCUCGAAAAAUAGGGUUAUUUUUUCUAGCGGACCUCUUAGCGUGUCCGCCAGUGAAAAUCGAUUUUUGCUGGCAGUCCAUAGCCCUCCACCCCUCUUUACAUUUUUUCUGGCCUUUUUAGCAUAUGGUUGCCAGUGAAAAUUUUAGCGUGACACUAGGAAAAAUCGUUUUUCUAGUAGUGGAUUCGGGCUCAGUUUAAAUCUUGAGGUUUCAAAUCAUCCAAACAAGUCCUCCAAAUUAAUUAUUUGGGUUAAUAUAGUCCUUGGACCUAAAAAACUGCCACGUGAGCAUGCCAAGUCAUCAUCGCAUGCAGCAGUAUGAAUGAAAUGACCAUUCUACCCUUAUAUACCAUAGGAAAUAAAGAAAAAAAGAAGAUAAAUGUUUCACACAUGUAGCAUCAUUUUAGAAUUGCCACUUAUGACUGCUAUAGCCAAGCACUGAUUGUGUAAAUUUCUUUGUUGGCCACCCAUCCGCAACAAUGUUGGGCCUGGGCUGGCCUGUUAUUUUUUUUUCUAUUUGGCUCUUUUCUUUCUUUUCUAUGUGGUACAUAAGGGUAGAAUGGUCAUUUCAUACAUACCGCUUCAUACGAGGAUGACUUGGCAUGCUCACGUGGCAUUUUUUUCGGUCCAAGGGCUAUAUUAACCCAAAUGAUUAAUUUGGAGGACUUGUUUGGACGAUUUGAAACAUCAAGGACUAAACUGAGCCCGAAGCGAAACUUCAGGGACCGUAUUGGCUAUUCACCCUAUGUUCUAAUUAAAGUUGCAAAUAGUACAAGGAGAAUGUUCCGUUACAAAAUUGAAAAUUUAAAUUUUAAUAUAUUUUAUUUAUAAUUUGUUGUUUUCAUUUUUGAAACUGUCGUCUCUCGGACUUAGCUUGAAACAAGAUGCUUGAGCAAUGGUUCCUAAGAGCAGCAUGUCUAUCAAUUUCAUCAAGGCGGCUAAGUUUAAAUAAUAGUAGGUUUAUUAAAAGAAUAUUAAGUUAUUUUCUCGCGAAUAACCGAGAUUGGAAAAGUCCAUAUGUACAAUUUAGGACAUUAGAAUCUUUAUUAAGAUAAACUUCGUUUGUUAGUACCGUUGUGAUCUUUUUCUUAAAAGGAAAUUCUUGCUUUGUCUAUGAUUCAUGACAUCUCGUUUUUAAACUAGAGGGGUAUCAGGAUAUGGUACAGCCCAAAAGAAGCACUGGUCAUACGUUAGGAUCAAACUCUGAGCAAACUGUGGUCUUUUCUUGUUGGACGCAGCCACAAACACAUCGAUGAACCGCGACUUUAUAUUAGCAGACACUCACGUGAGGCCUGAAUUUCAUGCCGUACCUGCCUCCUGCAUAUAUAUCAUGUCAUAUAUAUUUGCUGAGAUCGAUGUGCAUGCAUGGAUGGCCGGAAGAGGUAAAUAAGAAAUAUUAAAGCGAUAAUGCUCAAUGCCGGGCGACCAAGAGAGGGGGGGGGGGGGGGAGCCGGAUCGGGCUUUGACACACAAUUAUACAUGCUCCUGUCUCUACAUGUGGCGUAUGUACCCGGCGUAUGUACCCGAUAGACAACCUCUCGGAUCAGUGACCUUUGGUUCUUGACGGGACCCCUCUCCGACAUAGAUGAGGCUCGUCACCCAAUUAAGAUGAGCUAUGUGCAACGUAUAGGUGUGCAUGUAUGCUAGCAACAUGGUGAUCUGAAGCGAAACUCCUAAUGGGCGAUCGAUCGCCCCUAGCGAUCGGGUUGCCCCCCCUCUCCUCCACAUGGUUUUCUUUUUUGGCACCGCAUUACUUUUCUAUUUUAGUAAAUUUAUGUACCUAAAGUUUGUACAUCUCAAGUUUACACAUGUAAAGUUUAGAGACCUAAAGUUUAUAUUUCCGAUUCAAAUUUGAAUUUAAAUUCAAAUAUUUUUUAUAUAUAGUAUUUCUAUACAUCUAAAGUUUAUACACCUAAAGUUUAUAGACCCAAAGUUUAUAAGUCAAAAGUUUAUAUACCUGAUUCAAAUUUGAAUUUGAAUUAUAUCCGAUUCAAAUUUGAAUUUGAAUUCAAACAUUUUUUAUAUAUAGUAUUUCUAUACAUCUAAAGUUUAUACACCUAAAGUUUAUAGACCCAAAGUUUAUAAGUCAAAAGUUUACAUGCCCGAUUCAAAUUUAAAUUUGAAUUCAAAUAUUAGUUUAUAGAUCCAAAGUUUAUAAGUCAAAAGUUUACAUACCCAUUUUAAAUUUGAAUUUGAAUUCAAAUAUUUUUUAUAUAUAGUAUUUCUAUACAUAAAUUUUUCCAACUUUGUUUUUUAAUUUUUUUUAAAUUUAUAGUAUAGUAGGAAGAGAAGAAGGGGAGGAAUAAGGGGGAGAGAAGUGUAUAGGGCGAUGGGGAUCGAUCGAUCGCCCAUUAGCCACGCCCGAUCUGAAGUACCUAUGGACUUAAUUAAUAUUCGCUGUGCAUUGGAGUGAUCUGUGCGCGUGCAUGCAUUCCAUGCCUGGGCGUCCACUGAUCCAUCACUGUCGAUCAUGCCAUAUGCAUAUAUGAUUCAUGAAUGCAUGCAAAUCUAUACCAUCUCGGAUCAAAACUCACUAUCGAUAAAGCGGAGACAACGUAGGGACAUGGGUGUACAUAAGUACACCCAAAGUUUUAUGAAAAAAACAAUAUGUAGUAUGUGUAUUAGGUAUAGUUUGGUCCAAUAGUUGCCUUUCCACUCAAAACAUCAAUUAUUUCGACUAUUUUAACACAGUGUUAACUAUUUAAUUUUGUUUGUUUUUAUAAACCUUAUUAAUGUUGAUUUUUAAUUAACUUUUAGUGAGAUCAAGAAUAUGUCGCUGGUUUCUGUCUCUUUAAGCUUAUGUAAAGAGAGAGACGUGUGUUCGGGACCAUAUUCAUGGGUAUUUGAAUAUGGUGGUGUUACGAGUACUCUACAGUGGUGUAUAUAUGUGUGUGUGCGUACGUCUACCGUAUAAUCGGGAAAAAAAAUCCUGCCUAUGUCACAGUGACUACAGUCUACACAAGAGUACAAGACAAAUUCAUGUGCAACCUGCCACUGAUGCAAGAUCCUUUUAUUUUUUUGACCUUGCCGAGAUUAAACUUUUUCGAGAUCUUUUACAACGACCAUUAUUUACAUAUCAUAUUGAAUGAAGAGAGGUUGCAUCUCGUCAUCAUGCUUGGUCAGGUCCAUCGAUCAGAUGCAUGUGCAUACAGUACACAGUACACUUGAAGAGGUUUUGUUUGCUAGUAGAUCACUACCGGAGCUGCACACAUAGAAUACAACACUGUCACGCAUGUUUGGAUGCAGGCGACGUUACAGUGAGAGAAUGUGUAGUUUUUCGGCUUUGUGCGUAGGAUCAAUCGAUGAUCGAUCGACCGGGCAUUUUGGGAUUUUUUGAACUUGGACAAUAAUAAGAUGCUUGAUGAUCAAACAGCAUAUAGUGCUGGACCCAGAUCGAUGACCAAUAUGGAUCAUGGAUGUAUCGAUGACCGAUAUAUAUGUGCUGUGCACGAACACAAACUGCUUACAAGCAUGCUGGCUACUUGUUAGUUGUUAGUAGUUGUUUUUUGGGGGGUUCACUUGUGUCAGUAAUGUCGUUGUGAGAGAGAGAGUACCUAUAGACAUAUAUUUACAAAUUGUUGGAAUCACUUUGGUAAAAAAAAUAAAAGUAUAUUUAAGCAAUAUUAAGAUAGUAUGAUGUGUGUAUUUAUAAGGAUGAGUGUGUGCGCAUGUAUGUGAUAGUCUCCACAUUUAAACUGUGCUUUUGUAAGAAAACUGUAUUAAAAUGUAAGACGGUGCAUUUUGUUUUAUUACAAUAAAUCUUUUACCGAAAACUAUUAGGUUGUAUUUCUGUGACAAAACAAAUGCGAGAGGAAGUGUAUAUUUGACAUGCAUGCAGGAAAUGCUUAGAGCACCCGCAAUGGUUAUCUAUAGACUCUCUACAAGAAAUCUAUGUUAGCAUAUUUUCCUACUUGAAAGAGAUUAAAUGAAGAGAGAGAGCAAAACUAUUUACUAACCUGGAGAUAGUCUAUAGAUAAAAACGAGGCAAUGGAUUAGAGAGCUAUAGAUACCCAUGUAGACAUGCUAUUGAGGUGGUUUACUAUUAAUCUAUGAGAUGUACAUGUUUUAUAGAGAGCAUCUUACUUUACCAUUGUAGGUGCUCUAGUUAGCAGCAAAUUAUAGAUUAACUGUAUCUACACUUUUGCAGCCACAUACAUGAAUGCGUAGGUGCAUGAUUGGACAGUACAUGAUCAAAACCGUUCGAAUCAAACUUGUACAUAUAUAUGCCGGCAGUAUAUUUUCCGCAAUAAGCCUCGUGAUCCCUUGAUCUGCAUGCCAAGAACACAAGAUCGAAUUGGCCUCUGUGUGAUAAUCAUACACAUCGAUACGUAGCUCUGAAUCAAGCAAAAUAAUAUGGAUCGAUCGAUCGACCGAUGAUCAUGCGUGUGUGCAUGCAUGGCCGGACAAGACAAUUACUGAAGAAAUGCAGAGCUACCCCGGCUGCAUAUGCAUGCUGUCCGUCCGCCGGCCCUUGGGUAGAGGUCCAGAUGGAUAACAGGAAAUGGACAAUGAAAAGUGUACGAGUUUGGACCAUUCUUUGUGACGGCAGAUGUGGCCGACCGGAAGAGAUCUAAAGAAUCACUGAACGAUUGAACUGGACCAGCUCUUCCAACUAUUUGUUCCAAAACUACGGAAAGGUCAGCAUAGUACUUUCCCAAUUAAUUAGUGUUUCAUUGUUUUAAUCUGAACGGUACUUUUGUUUCAGAUUGUUAGUGCAUCCAAUAUUGCAGAGGUUAGCAGAUUGAUCAGUCCAAUAUAUUCAUUCUUGAACAAUAGGUGUGUGAAUAAAUUAACUCCCUAUGUACUAUAUACGGUGUUGAAAACUACUCCCUCCAUUCUAAAAUAUAGGAUGCAACUAAUUAACCUUUUUCGAUGUUUCAUACUACAAGACAUGUGCAUGCACACAAUUAAGUAAUAUCUUCCCCUCUCUUAUUUUUUUAAAUCCUUCACCCUUAAAAUCUCUAUUCUACUGAGUACAUGUAUUUAUUAGGAUGAUCCAAAUGACUAGGUGAUAGUAAUUUUUUUAGUUGCGUCUUAUAUUUUGGAAUGGAGAGAGUAAACACCAUGUUAGUUCUCAGCACAUUCUCAGUGGAGGUUUCAUAAUUAGAGAGUUAAUUUUAAUCUCAUGAGAUGUGCUCAAUUGCCAAUUCAAUUAACAUGCAUAUCUAGAAAAACAGAUAAACUUCUUUUCCGCAAUUAUUUAAAGAACAUACAUAACUGCAAAAGGGGGAAUAUACAUUAUGGUCCUUGAAGUUUUCGAUCUACGUACAAUCAAUUUAGUCCCUGAUCUUUUAAAUUAUACAAACAAAGCCAUAAACUUUGUCAUGUGGCCUAUGUAGUCCCUGAACUAAUUGAAAAUUAUCACGUGGGCAUUCCAUGUGUUCCUCCCAUUCAAAUAUAUGAUGAAAUAUCCAAUUUUCCCUUGCAUAUAUCUUGGAAAGGAGAGAAAAAGAAAAGGAAAAAGGGGAAUAAAAAGAAAAGAAGUAAUUUUUCGUAUUAAUUUAUUUUACAAUUUUAACAUUCAAAUAAUGCAACUCUGUACCCGGCAUUUGUUUGGCAUGCUAAUUAUAUAUUAGGUGUUUGUAGCUAAUUUAACUUCAUAUUGGCAUGCAGGCAGAGAAAAAACAGGUAUACUGUCAUAUGUCCAUAGUCACAUUUGAAUGUUAAAACUAUAAUAAUUAAUUAAAAUGUAAAAUUGCUGUUUUAUAAUAUUUUUACUUUUUUUCUUUCAUAUGGUAUAUGUAAAUGGUAAAUUGGCAUUUCACCAUACACUACUGAAAAACAAUUUUCCUGUAUAGGACCCAUUUAAAUUGCACACGAACCAUAACUGGUCGCUUCUAAGAAAAAUUAUGCUUAUGAUUUUUCCGUGCGGUCCUCUUAAAUGGACCACACGCGAAAAUGACCCUAUUUUCACGUGCGGACCUAUUAAGAGGGCUGCAUGACAAAAUACCCACACCCUCUUUUCCCUCUUACCCACUUUAAAUUUUCCCCUCUGUCUCUCCUCUCCUCUCUAUCCCUUUUUUUCCUCCUCUCUUCUCCGCGCGGCCUCUCCUCUCCUCACUCCUCUCUCCCCUCCUCUCUUCUCCUUUCCUCUCCUCCCGAUGGUGGCGGCAGGCUGAGGCGACGGCGGCGUGCGGCAACAGCGGCGGCGGCCUCCUGCACGUAGCAGCAGUGGAGGCACGGGAUCCAGCGGGCGGUGACCAACCCCCGCACGGAUCUAGCGACCGCGGCCGUCCCCGCAUGGAUCCGGUGGCCGGCCACCCUCUCCCUGCGCGGGAUCUUGCUCCCAUCCCCUUUCUUCCCUCCCAAGAUUCGGCGGAGUGGAGGGCGUCGGCGGCGGUGCGACCGGAGGGGAGGACGGAUCCAGCGGCGGGCGACACGGCGGCCGCCACCGCCGCUGAUGAGGGCGGGAGCAGCGUCCUCGGCCGACGACGACGACGAGGGUGGGAGCGACGUCCUUGGCCGACGACGAUGACAAGGAGAAUUUGGUGGCGGCCGGGAGCGGCGGCACCGCCGAUUCUAGGGUUUUCUCUUUUUUCUUGAAAUUUUAUUUUUUUUGGUUUUUUGUUUUUUCGUGCGGGAGACAAAUCCGAUUUUUGCAUACCCUUGGGUGCGUGCUGGCCGCCUACCCGCACGCGAAACCGGUUUUGACUGCACGCGAAAAUUAUUCUCGUAGUAGUGGUAAAUUUUACAUGAGAGGAUGACAUGGUGUAUUCACGUCAUGAGUUAACUAGGGCCAAGGACUAUAUUGUGCCGUACGAUAAACUAUAAGGACUCAUUGAUAAUAUAAGAGGUUAGGCAUUAAAUUGAUCCCAAAUCAAAACUUCAAGAACUAUAUUGGCUAGUCUUCCAUUGCAAAAUCAUCAAAAAUAAUAUAUAUUUUCAAUUCUUCUUUCAAGAAAAACAUGCAUGUGUCUAAGAAAACUUUAGUUCGUCCAUGUAAGACAUGAAUGCGUUGGUGUUAAUUACCACCAGGAUCAAUUAGGGAAGUACAUUUUACUCUUUAUUUUUUCUUCAUUAGUUUUUCGUUGGUAGAUUUUACAGCGGUGGUUCUUAGCGUCAAUGAUUAGUCGGUUGGUGUCUUAACGAGAUGCAUGACUUUUGAAAAAGAUAGCUAGCGUUCAGAGAGAUGCACAUAUAUAUGUACACAUAUGUACUUCCCUAAAUGUAUAGUAUAGUACAAUAUUAAUUUCUUCCUCUAUAAAUACUACUGUAUUUGUCUGGCCAAUAGAUUAGAGGUGAUCAAAGUAAUGCUCCAUAUUAGGGAAACACCAAUAGUAUGUAGUGGAAUUAUGGGUGCAUAACUCCACUCAUUAAACUAAGUUCAAAUCCCGAUGUCUACAAAUAUUACACACAUACAAACAUAACUUUAGUAAAAUCAAGGAUGUGCGAUUACAAAGGAACAAGUGGUGUAUGUGGGUAACUGCGUAUGCAUAUGUCAUGUAAUAAAAGAUAUAAUGUUCCAGGUUUGCAUGCAUGCACCAGUAAAAACAAUAAAUAAGAGGGAAAAGCCUAUUUUGUUCUCGAUAGGCGCCAAUUCUAAUUGCAAGGCUUCUCUUGUUUGGUAUGAAUUGAAACGGCUUGGUUUUAUUCUAGCCUAAUUGUUUUCUGCCCCUGUCCUGUACGGACCCAAUAACAGCCACUGGGCCGGAUGGGAUGGGCCUUUCCUUGCUUGGCCUUUUUGGCUCAGGACCACCAUGGUGAUCGAGCCCGGUUGAAAAUUUUCCAUUUUUCCGUCUCCUACACUGUUUUCCGUCUCGUCUCCUCCUCAUCUAUUAACCCCACGUGAAGAAAGGCAUAUCCUGAACAAAAUUUGAAAACCGGAAUUGUAAACAUAUGCUACUCCCACUGCCACUGGCGCUACAUAACUGCGCGCCGGGGGUGGGGGGGGGGGGGCCGCGCGACCACCUACAGUACUACUCUACUACUAGUACUAGUAGUCUACUAGUACUACUACACUACUAUUAUUACUAUUAGUACUACUACUUCUAUACUACUACUAGUAUUACUACUAUAUAAAAUAUAUAUUUUUAUAUAUAUAUUUUUUAUGUAUAAAAAAAAUACACACAUACAAACUUUGUAUACGAUGUGUACAAACUUUGUAUACAACGUGUAUAAACUUUGUAUGUGAUGUAUACAGACUUUAUAUACAACGUGUACAAACUUUAUAUACAUACCUAUUAAAAAAUAAAAAAACUAAAAAAAACAUCAUGUAUAUUCGUAUACACGUAUACAAACUUUAUAUACUGCACGUAUACAAAGUUUGUAUACACGUAUACAAACUUUAUGUACGACAUAUACAAAGUUUAUAUACACGUAUACAAACUUUUUAUACGUCUACGUGUAUGCUAAAAAACCGGAAAGAAAAACCGAAAAUAAGAGGAAAAAACCGGCGGGCCCCACCCCUACGCACGCGCCCGCCACGCGGCCCCCUCCGCGCGCGCCACGUGCCUCGCCGCGGGGGGAGGGGGGGGGGCGACUGAUUGCGUUUUAGCCGUUUCGCAUAAAUGUGCUAGACUUGACAUAUUUUGUGGGGUGGGGGGCAUAUAAACAUAUGCUUCCUAUUCUGUUCAAAAUAAAUAGUUCAAAUAUGAGAUGUGAUAUAUUAUAGAUGUGUCUAGAGUGGUAGUUUUAUAAUGUGUUACAGGUCGUAUUAGGUUUGUUAAUUAGGUAGGACUGUUCUUGAAUGCCCAUGACUCUAUUAUCUAUGUGGCUUAUCAACUUAUGCUUAUCCACCUUUGAUAUGUGAGUUUUGUUCAUGCAUACUAGCCAAUUUGUCGCGCGUUGCGCGACUUUUAGAUGCCUAUAUAAAACCCAUGUAUAUAUGGAUCAUAAUAUAUGAUAAUGAGAUUCUACCUUAGAUUUUAAAUUUAUGAAAACCAUAGAACUUCUUAGGCCACAACACUCACAUGAAGAUGUGAUAUUCCACGAAUUCAACCAGGAAAUGAGGGAUUAUGCCUUGUGCUAAACAGUGGACAAAUAAAUGGGGGAUUAUUUAUUAUGUUUAUCUUUAACAUGGCUUAAUAGUUGGAAAGAAUUAGACCACCAGACCUUACAUAGUGGGGGUUGAGCUUCCAGGUUAAGUGCUCUAAACACAUCACUACAAAAAUUUAUCGGAUCAACCUUUUCCAAAUAUGGUAACAUAAGUCAUUUAACAUAAUAUCAUAAGUUGAAGCACAAAACCUCGAAUCUAGGAGGCAUAGAGCACUACGAUUUGCCACAUCAGUUAAUCUUAUUGGCUACUUCAGACUUCUCAGUUUGGUGCCAAAACGAUUAGAUACUGAGGAGCUCAAUGACUUAUUGUCUGGUUCAAAUUUUGUUAUGAUAUAAAUUAGCAUGGUUUAAAUUACAGUAAAGUAAGAAUGCAACAUAGUACUUCAAUGUCAGAGAUUAUCUUUUGCCCUAAGAAAAGAUAAAUAUAAGCACUGCAGUUGCACACUAUAGCAGUUCGACGAUGGGCUUAUUGUCAAGGUGCUUCCGGAUGAAUUCCUAUACCAUGAAUUAUCAAACACCUGCAAGACAUGGAUGCCUAAUUGUAAGUUCAAUACAAACAAAAAUGCAAUGGGUUAUAUCUCAUAGGUACCUUGCCGACUUAUGGGCUUCUUUUCUUUACCAAUAAAAUUUUGUCACUAAUCAUGGAAAGCAUCCUCAGCAACUACAUUUGGAAUUUCACUGUUUUAUAGGCAUUCUGACUAUAUCUGGAUUUUAGAUAUACCUUAUCUUUUCGAAGUGCAAUGUCGAUCAAAGCAUUAAGCGGUAUUCUAACAGUUUGCUGCCGUGCAUCCAAAAUAAAGUGUCAAAUCUUAUAAAGAACUCAAAUCAAAUAUUUUCUGUAGUUUUACUUCAUAUUUUACAUGGCACUCAUUUUCUUUACUUUUUUCGGUUUUUCCUAUAUCCAUUAUCAUGGGAUACGUUUCCUAAUUAAUUAAGCAUACACUGGUCAGCUAAAAUGUUCGUAAUUUCCUAGGACCAACUAUUGAAAGCUAUGGUGCUGGUAUAUUGGAAGAUGGAAACAACUCUGGCGGAAGCGUAGAAAAUGUUCAAUCUCAAAAGCAUUGAAAUUACAGGAGAAAGAUCAAAAGGAGUAAAUAUUUUUUGUGAAUGAUUCUCAUCACCUGUGAAAACCCAUCGGGUGAGAGGACAUCGCAAUCACCACUCAUGUUGGGAUCCACCCCAAUCGCCGCCGGAAACGCAUCGGCGGCAACAUUGGGAAUUUAGGAGCGAAAGGCCACGACGGCGGCGGCGUCUAGGGCGGUGAGCGUAGGGCGUUCAUGUGGUCCUGUUGCCGGCGGGAGGGCCGGUGGAGGCAAAAGCAGCACCUGGAGCCACAUCUCGCCAUCCCCAUCUCCACCGCCACUGUAUCCUCAUCCUCCUCCCUAUACCUGAUGCCGUUGACGGCGGCAGAGGGGAGACGACGAGGGGCUUCAGAGGAGAUUGGGGGUAGGAGUGGGAGGAGGAGGGGGUAGCUGCUGGCUUGGUGGGGAGGUGCGGAGGCGAGCUCGCUACGGAGGCGGAGUGCGGGGGUAUGCGGCGGCGGCGCGUUGGGGACAGAGAAGCGACGCAUAGAUGAUGCAGGAAUGAGGGAACGUGAUUUUUUUAGGGACGUGGAAGCGCUUACGUGCAAAAUAAAUUUCUGGAAGGACCUAGAAGAGGUUUCGCCGAUUGCAGGAUCUGACGGCUCAUCUCAUCUAAAGUGGAAAUCGGACGGUCCAUGUAUUUUCGAUGAUGUGGCGCAAUCUAAUGGUGAAAAUCUUUAGUUUUUUCACUACUUUAGGGCCCCUUUGAAUCGCAGGGUAGAAAAAACGGAGGAAUAGGAAAAACACAGGAUUCUGACAGGAAUUGAAGUGUAAAACAGAGGAUUACAAAACAUAGGAAAAACACAGGAAUGGUCGUUUGAUUGGAGCGCAGUAAAAACGCAGGAAUCGGAUGAGAGAGAUAGACUCAGAGGAAAUGUUCCAAGAGGUUAGACCUCUUGCUAACUUUCCUCCAAAAUAUGUAUAGGAUUACCCAUUCAAUAGGAAUUUUAAAGGAUUGGAUAUGAUUCAAUCCUUUGUUUCAAAGGCCUUCAUAGGAUUUUUUUCCAUAGGAUUGAAAUCCUCCAAAAUUCCUAUAUUUUCCCUAUAAAUCAAAGGGACCCUUAGAUUCUACAGGCCCUUCUACAGAUAGGGGUGGACUCAGGACUGACCCAAGGCUCGGCCCAGCCCAUAGAGAAUAGGGUUGAUUGGAUCCAUGCCAUUACAAAAUUGCCCAUUUAGAAAAAUACUAUUAUUAUUCGUGAAACUUGCUACAUGCCAUUGCAAUUUUCUAAAAUGCAAACCAUACCAUUGCUGUCGGGUUUUCUAUUACGGAAUUGCUAAUGCUCUGUUGACAGAAAAUAGGGUGCUAAAUCUGUCACUUUUUUUUAUCAUUCAUCUUUGUUUAAAAUUCGUGCUGCAUUUGGAUUGAGCAAAAGUCAGGCACGGCUGUGGACUUUGAGAUGGACCGGGCUUUUGUACUUUGUUGUUGCGUUCUAUGGGUCCCACACAUUUACUGUUUAAUUUCGAAACACACGCCUGCGUUUUUUCCUCGCAUUUGAGCAGUGUUUUCUAGAUCCCACGCUUACUAAUUAUAUCGUACUUACACUAUAAUUACAUAUGUAAUUUUAUGACUUACAUCAUAAAUAUACUAAAAUUACGAACUUACAAUAUAAAUAUAUAUGCCGAUUUUUUUUGGUGAAUAUUAUAACGUCAUAUUAUAGUUACUCCCUAAAUUUGAUGUUUAUCCUAUGGCUUAAAAAAUCUGCAUAAUAGGAGGAUAGAAAAUCUGUUCAGUCCCUUUCUAUUAAUAUCGUCUUCCAUCGCGACUUCAGUCAAGGUCGAUCAUGCCCAUCUUCAAUCUCCAGCCACCGUCGAGAGUUGAUACCGGCGAGUUAUCGGCCGUUACAGGAACUUCCACCAUCUCCUUUGUUGACUUGCUCUCGCGCUCGCACACGCACGCAUCGUUCUUGCUCUGUUACGUUGCCGCGACCUGCGAGCGUAGCGCGCUGCCGCUCGGCAGGUGCAUUGGAUGGAUCCGGUUGGAGUGUUUCGAUCUGCUCGUUGGGCGGAUGGUUUGCCGGUUUGGGUGGUUGUCUGACCAAAUUCCUGAAUACUGACGACUAAUUCAAUUUCGCUCAGUUCAGUUCUUGGUGCUAAGAAUGUUGGCCCUCAUAGCCUCCAGACGGGUUUACAUUACAGGUUGACCACUAAAUUUCGAGUCCUAUCAGUAUCACGGUUUUCGAUAAAUUUCGACUAAAUUUCGACCAAAUCUAUUGUUUAACCUUUAAAAUUUCAAUAGAAACUUAAUUCCAAGCCGUGUCAAAACGUCGAAAUUUCGUGGAAUUCGACCGGUUUUCGUCGGAAUUGUGAACCCUGCCGCUCCAGCUACGGCUGCUACGCCAUGUUCGUCUCGACGCCACCGGAGAAGGACGGCUCAGGGAUCGGCCCCUCCGUCAUCUGGGACAACCGGACGAGUGUAGACCCCCGAUUUUGGAAAUCGGAAAUCUUAUGUGUUUAUCCGUACCAAUCCCUGGAUCAGUAGUUGGUAUACACAUACAUAGUUGGAUCACAACAUAUCACGAAUGAAUUCAGGCUAUAAGAGUUAAAUACUUACAUUAGGGCCAGGUAGGCCAACAACUAUCAGAGAACAACAGCGGAAGACAAAAUAAUAUAAGGGCCCGGUUAACAUGCCACAGGCAGUCGACUGGGGAAUGAGACCUAGAACAAGACCGCACUCCGAACAUCUUGUUGGAUACGCAAGCGUACCGACAAGGGCUUCUCUUCAACACUCUCCUAAAAGAUAUAUAAAUAGAAAGGGUGAGUACCAACCGUACUCAGCAAGCCACCAAAACAACAAUGCAUAUGAUAGAGGGUAUUCAAGGAAUGGCUAUGGUUCUUUUGCACAAAGCAAGUUUUGUAAUUCUUUUCACAAGCCUAAGACCUAGCAUAGACUGAUCAAAUUUUAGUACCAGUGUCCACAUUAAACAACGACGGUUCUGUCCACCAUCCAUUGUGAUCCCAAGGAUAGCUUCCCGCCAUUGAGUCGUCAUGGUUUUCUGAGGACGUCCACCUUCCCGCCUCUCAGGAAGUGGCUCCAACAGCAUAAAAAUCAUCAUGCAAUAUCCCAUCCCACACAAGUUAAGAAUUUAGAGUCUAGCCAAGUGUAAUACAUGUCCCGGUGCUCAAUAACCGCGAGCACGGCUAUUCGAAUAGAUUUGGUUUACUCACACUGCAGUGGAUGUACACUUUACCCGCACUCUGCGACUGCCCAACACAUGAGCGUCGUCCCAACACAUGAGACGCAUCACGGCAAAGCUUUUCGAUAACCCCGCAUUGGCAGCACCCGCUCCAUGAACUUUAGCCCUCAUGCACUCUAGGCGUCAUACGUUUCUAGCAGUGAGAGGAGUUCUGGCGCUCCCGGGAAGGGAAAAACACACACAUUCCUACGUUGCUUCUUGUCGUUGAACCCAGUCCAUCAUGAUUGUUCUCUUAUGGGUAUCCUCAUGUAGUAUUGCCAAGCCAGCCUCUGACCAUCCGGAACGGGCAUCCGCCAUCCACCUGGCCAUCCGAACCGGGCAUCCGCCAGCAGACUGCUUGCCGCAUCACACACCUAAAAGAAGACCACUACGCAUGGAUACUCCCUUCGCUCAGCUAUCUACUCCGCUAGGUCUAUACCCAUACGAGAAGUGCGGUUGUACGGGGAUCAUUUCAUGCUUAACUUCAUGGCUCGAUCCUUAACUGACCAGGGACGGUACUAGCCUUUUCCGGACACCACCAAAAUCCUCCAGCCGCCCUAGUCGAAAACAGUUGUUUAACUAUAUUUUCCUUUCACAAAUCAUGUCAUCAAUAUCAUGGCAAUGUGGCGCUUAUGUCUCCACAUGCCGCAUCUCAAUAACCUUCCCCAAGGUAAUUGCCCAAGCAUAAAGCAUUUUGAUAAAUAUGAGUAUGCAUGAUUCUAGAGUAGCAUUUCUAAGCAUUUGUCAUAGUUGACUAGGGACUCAUACGUAAUCAUGGUUACAAGGGAAUAAGAGUAAACAAUAAUCAAGGCAUGGCAUAUUCACAAAUAGGAUGUUUAUCAUUGCAUGCAAUUUUAUUUGUAAACAAAAUAAUUUCGCAAUUGGGAUCAACAUGUUCAAGGAAUAGUGAUGACUUGCCUCCUCAGGAUAAUCCUUAUUAUUGAUAUAAUCUUGAUCAACCUUCACCUCCUGGAAAUUGCAGACGUUGCCUCACGACUAACCGAUACACAAGGUCUAUAAUACGCGAGAAAAACCAAUAUUCAAACAACAAUCAAAUAUGCACAAUAAAAUGUACUAUUCGUGUUUGCUAAUGGAUUCCAAUCAUGCUAAGGGCUAAAGUUUCUUAAUCUUUCUAUUGUCAUCGUGCUCUAUUUAGGAGUUAACCAACAUAGCAUUUAUGGUAUACAUAUAUAUUUGGCUAAUCGGUGGUUUAGUCUAUCAAAUGGCUAUGGAAGGAUUAUGGGUAUAUAUGCAUCUAUCUAAAUAGCACGGUUACAUACCAGAGGUUCUGUUGUUAGAUGGAUUUAGGAUCAAUCAAAUAAUGAAUCAUUUGUAUUAUUAUUUAAUUGAUGGAGGCUUUACUUUAAUUAUGAACAUAUUUUACUUGUCACAAUAAAUUAUAAAAGGUUAAUAAUUAUCCAUGCUUUGUAUGUUAAAGUUGUUUAGGUUAAUCAUAUUAUGGUUACAGAUUAUCCCAUCACAUAAUUUUACAAUGAAUAAUCCUAAUUUACAGUUGAACUAUAAUUAUAAUUAUAUGAGGUCAAGAUUUAUAACUAGUAUUUAUGUAUAUACAUGUUUGUCAUGUAGUCCCUCUAAUUUAAUAUAUGCAACAAGCAAAUUAAUACUAUACCGUAUAGUUAUAAUGGGAUGUACAGUAUAGGUGUGUGCACAAUAUCUUAAUAUUGAAUCAUUUAUUUGAAUAGUUUCUAUUUACUACGAGCUACACAGUAGAUGUGAUUUUAAGUGGAUUAUGAGUGAGUUACCGUCUAUACAAUUUAAGGGUCGAUUUCCAACCUAAACAUAUACUACUGUAUAGGAAAUGCCGUUAAUUAAUUUCGUGCGGGUGAUUUUAGUCACACUAGCUCUGUUAUUAUCUCUCAUAAACAAGUUAAAGACUCAUCUACGUGUGUUCAACUUUUAGUCACAAAGUAUGAGGCUAAACAUUAUUUAUACAAUUUGGACGUCAUGAGUAUAAUUAUAUAUUGACAUAUAUUAAUAAAUGGCACUAGUAUUUCCUAUGCUUUAAUUAAUUUGAAACAAUGCUCCUAAUUAGUUUACAUAGGUUUUACAGUGAGAAAGCGUGUUAAAGACAAUUAUUUGACAUCUACUUUACAGUACAAUAUCAAUUUUAUUUAUUAGCAUAUUUUUAAGUUAACUAUUAUGCAUCAUCUUGAUAUUAAUUAUUUUAUAAAUAUAAAUAUAUUUUAUUAAAUAGUGAAUUAUAUACCAUUAGAAAACUUAUGAAUUUAUAUGAAUUUAGAUUCAAGUUUCACUCAAAUCAGAGCUAAAACGAAUAAGUUACGCUAGUUUAAAGAUUCAAAUUUGAAUAAAUCCGAGAAAUUGUAAAAAGGUACUGUUCCUAAUUCAUUAUUUUUAUUCCUAAACUUUAUCCAAAUCUCCAAGUGACUGACAUGUGGGGUUUAGGAUUGUAUUUGCUUUCCUACCGGAUUAUUUUUCUAAAGCAAAUCCUAUGAACCAUUGACAGGUGGGCCCGGCUGCUCUCUCUCUCUCGUUCUUUCUUUUCCCGUCGUCUUCUUCCUCGCACCGAGACGCAGCGGGCGCGGGCAGCUCCGAGCGGCGCGGCCAGGACGGGGCGAGGGUGGCUCAGCGACGGCCAGGGGUGACGCGAAGGAGCUCUAGCAACCACCCGCCGGCGGCCACGGCUUAUGGUGGCUUGUGGACAGGCGGCUAAGCCAAGGACCGCCAUGGUUCUGAGCUCGGGAGUUUUCGGGGCUAGGGCGAUAGAGAGGGUUUCCGACCAAAUUGAUGGGCGUGGGAGCGUCUAAAGGGUAUGGGGAUUCCAUUUUAUUAACUAGAUGGAGAAGAGGAGCUCCGGGAUGGCUUGUCCACAGCGACCUCCAUGAGCAGAGCUUCGGAGCUCGGGCUCGGCAUGGUUAUGGUCCUAAUCAACGACAUAGAUGGUGGAGAUAGUUCCUAGAGGAUUAGGAGGGGUCAUGGGAGUGAGGACUUACCGAGAGACGGCGGGAUGGUGAUGCUCGAUGUCGCGGUGGCGGAGUAGAGAGGAAGAUGCAGCACGCCCACAAGGUGUUCGACGAAAUGUUUAUGGAGGGAAUAGAAAAGGCAGAGAGGGGUGGACGAGCUCGUGGGGGCUCUUGGGGCCGUGUGAUGGCAGCCAAGAUGGUGUGGGGAGGAAGGGAGAUGGGAGGGGGGUAUUUAUAGGGUGUAGGAAGGGUGGCUUAAUGGUCGACGCGACGGACGGCGCACGGGGCUCGAGGACGACAUGAUGGCGCGUGGGGCUCGAGGGCGACGGCGCCGGUGCGGGCGGGGUUCGAGGCCGGCUAGGGCGGUGCAGCAGUGGGGAGAAAGAGAGCUGGGAUGGCUAGAAACAAAAUCGAACACCUAGGGGCUAAUGAACAGUGCUAGCCAACUAUUUCUGAUUUUAGAGGGUACUUUGCAAUUUGCAAUUAGGAAAAAUAUACUGUUACCACUAAUUUUGUCAUAAAGUAAAAAUACACCGCGUCUAAGUUAUUUCAUCGAAAUUUAUAUUCAAAUAAAUAUGGUCCAAAUUUAAGUUUUAUUAAAGAUUCUAUAAUUUCCUAAUGAGACUAUUAUUAACACAUUAGCACAUUAGCUCAAUUUAUUUAUAUGUUAGUUUAUUUUAUAUGGAGGGGUUUAAUAUAUUAAAUUUCAAUCCCUAAAUGCAAUUAGGAACUUGGUGCAAUAUCGAUCUACAUAUCGAAUUAAAUACUCCCAUAAUUCUAUUAUAUAUAUAGAGAGCACAGUUUAUUUGAAUGAUCAUCAUUUCAUGUGUACUCAUAUUAUAGCACCCACCUACAUUAUUCAAAUAUUUUAAUAUUUGAUAAAAUAGGUUAAUAAUAACUUUUCUUUUAUUUGAUUUUAAUAUCUUGUGUAUAAUUAUUUGUAGGAUUAAAUAUAUUCUCGUAAAUUAUAUCUAUUGCUUAAAUUUAGAUCUUUUCUUUACUUUCUUUGUGAUCAUUUACGGUUUGGUAAGCAAUAGCAAUCAUAACAACCAGCAUGAUGCAAAAGUUUUAAAAAGUUCAAAAAAUUUUAGUGAUUUUUAUUAUUGGGAAUUUUCAGGAUGUUACAACGAGGCUCCUGGCGGCGAGCAGCGAGUGCGUGUCCAUGGUCUCCGCGGCUCUCCAGUACGUACAGGCACUCCACGGUGUGGGUGGCCUGCGUCUUCAGCUCGUCGGACCCAGCAGGGCAGUAGGCAGUGUGCCACGACUCAUCAGCGCCGGCUGGAAUAGCUCCCAUGGCAAUGGCACCCCUCCGCAACUUCUCCUCGGCGGCGGCGUCGGGCUCGGAGGCAGCCGCGACGCGCGGUUUGACGUCUAGCUUGCUGCGGUUCCUGGCACAGGCGACGCAGAACUCGCAGAAUUCCAUCUUGGAGGAGAGCGGCAUGAUGGCGAGCUUGCCGUGGUAGAGCUCCAGGCAGCAUGGUUCCGACGAUCCGGGCGCGGCGCAUGACUCGCGUGGUGCCGUGGGGCUCCAGCGCGGGGGAGAGCACCGGGGCGGAUCUAUAGUGCAAUGACCGGUGUCAGGCGACACUGGCGACUUUUCGUAAAACCUAUAGCGAAACUGCUUAUCCAUGUAUUAUAACUUAUAACACCAUGAUCUAAACAUAAUUAGUAUACUAUGGCACCAAUAGACACGUUAUGACACCAAUGAAUCAAUUUUCUGGAUCCGCCACCGAGAGCACGACGACGUCAAGCUCGGCGGCCUUGGUUUUGGGCGGCACCUUUGUGCCGUGGUACACACAUGGAUUGAUUUGUUGUGCUGCCCUGUUGCUACUGUUAAAGAAUAUGGUAGUUAGAGAUGUAUUAGGAUAGGAUUGAUUUGUGUGGAUUCCUUCCUUAUCUUCUCCUCAUGUACUCCUAUACAUACCGGUCCCCCUGAGGCUCAAUACAAUCGUCCCACGUUACGCAGUAUAUCUCUCCUAUACUAUCCAACAUGGUAUCAGAGCGGGCGAUCUAUUCGCCUCUCUCACGCUUCCGUCGCCGUCGCCCCCGGGAGGGUUCUGAUCUCCCGGAGAUGGCCACCAAUUUUUUUUCUCCUUGUCUUACCAUCGCCAUGGAGGAUUCAAUCUCCUAUAUGGCCGGUCGUCGUUCGUCUGCGUCUUCAUUUGUCGCUGAGAGGGAUUGAUCUCGGUCUCCUCAGCGGCCGCGUUCUUCUUCGUGUCGUCGUCAUCGACAUCGAGUCAAGAAUCAGCAGCAAUAAUCUCGCAGCAUGGAUCUACCGGUCAGUGUGGCCACGCCGCUGUCAUGGUCCUUGUCGAGUCAUCGUCAAGCCAUCCUCGCCGGCCGCCGCCUCCUCCGCCGCUGCGCGGUCGCCGUCUGUCUGUCCAUCGGGGCGUGAUCGUCGGCCAGUGGAGGCGAUGAUGACGGCAGGGCCGCGUCAGUUAGGCCGGCGGAGCAGCGCGGACGCUGAGGAUGAAGUCGACGACGGGCGGCCUGACGGCGAUACGAGAGCGCCGCGCACGGAGGUCGACAGAGGAGAUGCAAUCUGUUGCUGCUACUUGACGACGGCUAGAGUCGACAAAGAACGGUCGUGGAGAUCGAUCUCUCCAAGACGACGACGACAGCGACGACAGAAGACGAAAAAAAAAUUGGUGACUGCCCUCGGGAGAUUGGAACCCUCCCGAGGGCGACGGUGGCGGAAGCGUGAGCGGCGGCUCUAGGUCGCCCGCUCUGAUACCAUGUUGGAUAGUAUAGGAGUGAUAUAUUGCGUAACAUUGCCGGAAGGCGCUGUCGUGAGGGCGGGGGAGUCGCGGCCAUGCCUGCGGUACCCGGAGCGGUCCGUGCACCUCUUGUCCUUCACCAUGGUGGGGCUGAUCCCGCCCUUCUACAGCUUUUUCCAUGAGGUUCUGGAUUUCUACGAGAUCCACACCUUGCACCUCGCCCCCAACGCCGUGAUGAUCCUGGCCAUCUUCGUGCACCUGUGCAAGGUGUUUGUCGGGGUGAGGCCGUCCAUGCGGCUGUUCCAGUUCUUCUUCAUCCCACAGUUGCAGCAGGGGUGAUGGGGCAGUAUAUCGAGAGCCACCUCCGCAAGAAAUGGGACAACUAGAAGAAGGAUUGGUUCUACACCGCGCUGCCUGACCACCACCGCCUCCAGCUCCCCACCGGCCAGCCUGAGUGAUCCGCGGGCUGGCAAGCGGUCGCGGAGCUGGGUGAGGAGUACGAUGUAGUCUGGGACCGUCUCAGGGGCUUGCGGAGCCGGGGCCUGAUGGUGGCGGUGGUGUUUGGCGACUACUUCCGCCGCCGCAUCGCACCUCUUUAGGAGCGGCCCCGCGGCGCGUGGGAGUACACUGGGUACAACGACCCGAUGCGCACCCACGUGGGCCAGCGUUGGGACUGGAGUGAGGAGGACGCGAGGAUGGUGGUUCGUCGGGUGUUGAGCCUAGACACCGUCGACCUGACCUUGAUCCCCGAUGGAAUCCUUCCCCUCUGCAGCAACCACGAUCGGGACAACAUCCUGGGCGUGAUGAUGGCGAUCGGGACGGCUAGGGGCCGGGGUCGCAGGGCGGCCGCAGGGGGUGGUCGCGGCGAUGGCGCCGAGAGCAGCAGUGCGGGCGCGGGCGGCGGUCAGGCCGGCGGCUCCGGCGGCAGUCAGGCCAGCGGCUCUGGCGGCGGCGGUGGUGGUAGCUCCAGGGUGCCUGGCCCAAGCCACGGGGCCGGCAGAGGCCCUGGUAUCGACCCGAAGGAGAAGCGGAAGGCCUCUAGGUACGGGCCGCCUGCCCCCUCCCCCCCUCCCCCGCCGCGGUGGCAGCGCUGAGCGCGUAGCCGAUCGGCCACCGUCUAGCCACUGGCGCCCCGCCGCAGCUGAGCCGAAGCGGAAGAAAAAGAGGCUCCAGAAGAUAGGGGAGCUUUAUUGAGCCCCCGGAGUGGACCUUCAAACGUCCUCCCCGCAGGUAUGAUUUCUUCUUUCCGGUUCCGUCAUUUCUUUUCGCUCAAACUUUUCCUCUUUCUCCCUCUCUUUUUUUUAAACGUCGUUGGGCUCUUAUUGCAGCGAGAUCCCCACUUGAGGGGGCUCGACGGCGGAGCCCCCCUGGGUCAUAUCUGUUCAUGGGCCUAGCUCUCGGUGCCCCCACCCCCCCCCCCCCCCCCCCCCCCCCCCCCGCGGAAAAUCCAAGGUUGCCCAAUCAUCUCUUCUUCAGUGAUAUAUUUACCAGCAUUUGUUUUGUAGUAAUACAUCAGUGACUUAUCAAUUUCUUUGUCAUCAUGGCUAUACACCAUUAGGCACUAAAUCAUAGCAUGAUUCUUUUCGUAGGUUGUUAGUUCUAUUUUUGACACAUAGAUCCCACUGAAUAUUUAGGCUAUAGUUAUCAUAGCAACUACGAAACCAUAUUAUUUAGGUUAUAGUCUAUGUUCGGUUUUGUAUUUUGUCAUAUUUGUUUUUAUUUUUGUAAAAAAUUUUUUUACAUAUUAAUGAAGUAGUUUAUAUUUUGUACUUUUGUAUUUUGUUUUCGCCAGUUUUUAUUUUUUUCCAAAAAAAAGUGGUUUUGUGCUUCCCAUUUGUUAAUUCAAAAUAAGCGGUUUUGUGAAUUAAUUAGUUUUUUUAGGUGGGACCGUCCAGCAGUGUAUAUUACUUUUUUUCUUUGAGCAGGGGGAGAGAGAGAUGGGGGUGUAUAAUUGUUAGUUCAAAAUAAGUGGUUUUGUCAUGUUUGUUAUUUUAUAUUUUGUUUUUUUCAGUUUUUAAAAUUAUGUUUUCGGUGGGAUCGUCCAACUCCAACAGUGCGUCUUACCGGGAAUUAGCAGGCAUGUCGGCUGCAUGCAGUUUUCUUAUUUGUAAAUUUCACUAAGAAAUCAUUUCUCAGUGAAGUCUUUGACUACCUCUUGGAGAUUUCUUUUUUAAAAUUUCAUCUAGCAUAAUUCUGUGUAUUGUCUUCUUAAGCCCUUAGAUUUGCAAUUAAUUGGUGUGUUUUGUAACCUCCUAAAAUAGUUUUGUUAAAAUAAUUUUUUGUCAGGGCUAUUAGCGAUGAAAUGUACUUAGUUUUGUUAGUUUAUUUUCCAGCUAGCAGGUAUUUUGCCUAGUACUAGUACUAGUGUACAUUUUGUCGAGUUGGAGCUUGAAGAGAGUUCAGUUUUGAAUUAAUCUUGGAGCGCCAGGAAUUUGUGUUGUUUUUUCAGUUAGUGAUGCUUGGCUUGUUCUCAGGGCUGUUGGUCAUUUGCUAAAUGAUUUCCCAUUUUGGUAAAGUUAACAGGAAUUUCAGAAAUUCCGAUGGGGGUUGUAAUAUGAUUUUUAUGACGUGUGAACUUUGUUAAGAGACUGGGUGCAUAUAAAGUCUUAAUGCUAUUGUGGAUUGAACUCCUGUAGAUUUUGAAGGAGAUUGUCAGUCAAAUGGAUAGGGGAUGCUUAAUUUGUUAAACAACUCUAUAAGCACAUUAGAGUUGUAGAGAUCAUCUGGAGAAAUUUAAUACUUAUGGAGACAGAUGAUGAAACUUCUCUGCAGAUAUAUUAAGAACUUGUGUUUUGUUGAAAGCAUAAACGUCCCAUUUACGACUGAUGGCAAUUUUUAGUUACAUUUGAAUAAGGUUAUGUUUUUGUCUGUCCAAGCACUGAAAUGUGUCUCUUUUGUGGUCAAAACAUAAAAAUAAUUAUAUUAUUUAGGCAUAAUAGUAGUUCACAUGAAAAAUGUUGUCCUCUGUAUACUUAUAUGAAUCACUCGUCCCAAAGUCAAAAAGUAAAAGAGGAUAAUCAGAGAUUUUUUACCGAUACAACUAAGAAAGAAUAUGGAAGUGAGGGAGUAAACACAAAACGAGCUUAGGGCAAAUGCAGCCUAAGCUUGGAGAUGCACGCACAGCGUGCGAGAGAUGAUGCAUGAGCGGCUGGCGUCUUCAGAGACCGCAACGUGUAGCCGAUCGUUGACAGCUACAAAUUCUGCUGAAAUAACAGAAAAUUUCAGCCUGGCUACCCGUAAAAAGUCUCAUAAAAUAAAUGAGUAGUCCCAAAUAUCUACAUGAGUAUGCAGAAGUGAUGUAAGAGCACGGUCUUCUUACCAAAAAGCAUAAUUUUCUUUAGCUCUAACCAUACAUUCUCUAUCAAUGCAUUCCUAAAUGACAUGAAUAACAAAUCAAAUAUAUAUAAUGCAUAGAAAUGAUCAAAAGAGAUAUAGGUGAAAAAAAAAUGAAAUUGACAAAUAUUUUUUAUUUCCAUGUUAAAUUAUUACCGGAAUAUUCCAGGUAAUAUAUCUAGACAAGGGUAUAGUGACAAGAAAAAAAAGAUCUCAACACAUUUUAUUGGCACUUCAAAUAUAACAAGCUGUAUUCGUGUCCUAAAAUACUUUUAAGACACGAAAAAUAAAUUUAUAAACAGAUAUAGGACUUAUUUUGACAUAUGACAUAUUUAAGGAUUAAUAUAGAACUAAAUAAAUAAGGUCUUAUAGAACCUUGUUCAGUAGCAAUGUGAAGAUCAAGAAUCGUAGUCAGGUUUAUAUUUUUUAGAUCAAUAUCACUUCUAAGAAGAAUCCUUGUUUUAGAUCAACAUCACUUUUAAGAAGAAUCCUUAUUUUAGAUCAACAUCACUUAUAAAAAGAAUCCUUGUUAUAGAUAUUGAUUAUAGACCUUUAAUAACGAAAAUAAAAGUGUUGCUCCUAACAGAAGAAUAAAUAGCACAUAUUUCGUAAGCAUGAGUUUAAACAAAAAGAAAGUACGGAAUGAAGAGUCUUAAUAAACAAAAUAGAAUAUAUAACUUCUCUCAAGCCGAUAAUAAAUAAGUAAUUUUAAUUUAAGAUGUCUAUAAUUUUAAAUCACUAUAUGACAUCUGUAAAGGCGUUACAAUAGUAUUGAAGCUAUAGAUUGACUAAAAAAUGGUUUUAUGUGAUGUGGUAAAAAAAAUCAAAGGCGAAACUCAUCAAGAACAUCAAUCUCCAUGAGAAAUAGAACUAGUUAUAUAGAUCACAAGUAUGCUUAAGUGAUGGGCGCUCAACACAAUUUUAGAGAUCAUUGGACUACUCUAAGCUGUCUAUACAUACCACUUCCAACGCUAGCCUAUUUUGGUAUAAACCUUGGCUUCACAGUAUAUAUACUUACAUUUCGCACAAAAUACUCAGCAUAUCAAACUACACUCCACAAUUCACACAAAAUACUCAGCAUAUGAAACUACACUCUAUCCUAUCUAGACAAGGUCAAACUGAACUAAAAAUAUUAACUGAUCAGCAGGUGCAACAAAGAUGUAACUAAUACAAGGAUAAUCCUUCUCACCUCAAUACAAACUAUUAUUGUGGGGCCAACCGACUACUUACCUACUCUACCAUGGAAUGUAAUGGAGGCCCGCUGAUUUCAUCUAUCAAAGCAAUUUCCAAAAACUUACAAAAUUGCUAGUCUUUAGGGAUAGAUUAAAUAAAAAAAUGCAAACAUGAGAAAAAAACAAUGGUCAAAUAACACCCACUACGGAAAUUAUUCAUGAACUCAUAUCGCGGAUCAUAUUAUCAUAAGAUAUAAACAAGUAGGAGAGCUAUGUAAUAAGCUGAACUUUUAUGAUGAAGCAAUUAGCUCCCAAGAAUACAUUAUAUACAUUUUGUGCAAGAAGUAAUGACAAAUACAUUUUGUGCAACUACCAAGAUUGUUUGUACUACAUCUUGUUGGGUACAAUGGAUAUAGUUCAUUGUGAUCAUUGGAUUUGCAAUAAGUGUCAAUCCUUCAUUUAUCCAAAAAAUUAUAUAUAUUUAUAUGAUUAUAUGUUUUGUUGGAUUUUAUCUAUAUGUAAUAUUUUUUAUGGCAUUCUGGAUUAUGUUUGAAAAAAAAUGUCGUGUUAUCUAUUAUAUACUAAAAGUCCGUUAAACUUUCUACAAACGUUCUCAAGCCACCACGUGGCGCUCCUACAAAUGCUCCAAAGUCGCCACAUGGCACUACCUAAUCUCACCACGUGGUGGCUUGAGAACGUUUGUAGGAGCGCCACGUGGUCCUACACCAUUAGGAGCGCCACGUGGUCCUACACCAUUAAAUAUUAUUUUUUAAUAAUAGAUCUAAUCUAAUGGUGUAAAAUAAUGGGUCGAUCAAUUUUACACCAUUAGAUUAUAUCUAUUAUUAAAAAAUAAUAUUUCCUCAUGUUUAUAACAUACAAGCGCUACAAUCGUUGUGCCGUACGUACGAUUUGAUAGGAUACAAACGCUAAUGCUGUUCUUCCGUAUAUAUAUACAUGAUUGGAAACACAACAACAAAACUUUACUAAUGUUCGCUGGAAGAAAAAAAAACCAUACGCAAGUACAUAAAAAAAGAACAAAAAACACACAUCUAUAAAAAUCGAUGGUAUUUAAAAUAUGAUUUUCUACGAUAUAAAGACAAAAUAUAUUACUUCACAGAUAUAAAUAUAUAUAUUUAGUUAAAUUAAGAUCCAUAAUCUAUCUAUUGUAUACUCAAUAAGUAUAUUAAACUUUCUGCAAACACUCUUACGCCGCUACGUGGCUCUGAUAGCGAAACCCUUAAAAUCUAUUAUAUACUAAAAGUAUGUUAAAGGUCCUACAAAAACUCUUACGUUAUCACCUGGCGCUCUAAUAAAUUGUAGAAAUCCUAGAAAUUCAAAGAAAAAAAGAAAAGCAUCCGACCGUCUAUUUUCACUGAAAUUGGUUGACCCAGCCCGUUAUUUUAAACAUUGGAUUAGACCUAUUAAAAAUCCCAUGCUGCUAAUCUCUAUCCCGGAAAAACAUAAUGUGCGUAUAUGAUUGAAAAUAUAUAAAGCAAAAAAAUAAAAGAAAUAUGCACAGUACGUAGUAGAAUCGGAAAGAAAUCAUUAGUGCCGAGACUGAUGUGUCGGCACUAAUGAUUAAACUAUGAUUUUAUUAAAAAUAAUAUUACACAAAUAUGCACAGCUAAACUUAAUCUCUGAUAGAUAAAAUAUCAAAGCAUUCAUUAAAUUAAAUAAACCAUUGAUGAAUUAUGAUGGUUAUAUUGUAGUGCUAAAUAUAUCAUGACAAAUGACGCCAACAUGUAAUAGUUAAUGUGAUAAUAAUGUUUCAAAUAAUUUCAUAUCAUAUUUUAUGGUGUCGAAUAUCACUUGACAAAUGUACAACGUUAAUUUGAAUCACAUAUGUAAAAUUAAAAUAACAAAACCUAGCAUUGUUUUUAAGUACAUCUGUUUAGGUUUAUUUAAUUUUGGGAGAUAUUGAGAGUCUCAAGUAUUUGGAAUUUUUCAAAACUUUUUUUCUUAUUUGAGGUGUGAGAAGAACAAAUAAUAGAUAGAUGAGAAAAAUUAAAUUAAAUUUUAGCAAGUGGUUUUGCUAUAAAAAAACAACAGAAUUUAGCUUUGGUUUUUAAGUGAAUCUUUUUAGGUUUAUUUUUGGUGCGAUUGGGAUUCUAAAAGUAUCUGAAAUUUUCAAAACUUUUUUAUUGGUAUUUGAGGAGUCAGAGGCAUACAUGAUUGAUGAUGUAAAAAAAAUAAUAUAAAUAAGAUUUUAAACUGUUUUUUUGCUACGAUACAACCCCUUAGCUCAUCACGAGAACUAUGUAUUAGUAUUGACAAAACAUGAACAAUCCAGUAAAAUACGAAUAAAACUACUUAUAUUAUAUUUUUUAUAGUUGAUAGAAAUUCAAAUGUAGUGGGUAUAAUUGAUGGAUGAAUGUUAUACACCACUGAACCCAACUGUAAGUGCACCCUAGCGAAUUAGUUAGUGUAAAUAAGUUUGUGAAAAUAAGUACAUUCUUAGAAUUAGUAAAUGUGUCUCCAAUAGCUAUAAACAACAUAUGGUGGAAAUAAAUCUGGCGCUAAAGUAUAAAUCUUUAUCAAAAUGUAAAUAAUGAUAUGGUAUUUUGCAUAUUUUUUUUAAAGUAGUGUCAAAUGAUUAACCCCAAUCAUUUGAAAAACAUAAUAUUAUAUGUACUCCAUUAAAAUUUGAGAAGUACUUAUUACUAACUUCAUAUACAAAUAUUGUCUAUUCUCUACCACAAAUCGACCAGGACAAAGGGAUUUUUAUUUAAUCUGAGGGACAUUCCUAUCACAUUAGUAAUAUAUUAAAACCUAGCAUCUAUUUUAAAGAAAAAAAUAUUUUUUUAUUAUUGUAGAUAAUUUACAUUCCUUUACUGUGUAUAUAGUGAUGUAUGAUUUCUUUUAGCAUUUCUUUUACUUAAUAAAAAAAAAGAUGUGCAUCUGUGCAGGCUUCCUUUCCGAUUUAUAUUCCGGAAAUGUUCUCCUGUUUAUAUUAUGUCAUUAUAACGUUUCAAACACAGCCUAUGAUACAUGCCCGCGCGAAUGCGCGAGAUACCUUCUUUGUUAAAAACUAAUAAUUACAAUAAUUACUCCUAACUUAUAUAAAACACAAACAUAGCAUAGACGGAUGAGCUAGAUGCUAAUUCCUCCGUUUCACGAUGUAAUUAAGUCAUUCUAGCAUUUCUCAUAUUCAUAUUGAUGUUAAUAAAUCUAGACAUAUAUAUCUAUCUAGAUUUAUUAAUAUUAACAUGAAUGUGAGAAAUGCUGUGAAACGGAGGGAGUAGUAUUUAGGUGCUUGUGUAAGUGGUUGGCUCUAGCUUUCCAUACUCGUCACCGCCAGAGGGGUGGGCAAGUGGUGGUCCUCAAGUCAACAGCGACGACGUCUCCUUGGCCGGAUCUAGCACCUAGUGAUGGUUGGAUAUGUUCUUUGCGACCAAGACGUGACAACGAGCGAUCUGUGGCCGACAACGGUUCGGGUCGAACCCAGCUGAUGAGAUCUGUUUCUUGCCAGCGAGUUCUCUCUCAUCGCUAGCCAUCUCCUGGUCUUGUAGGUGGAGGAAGGAUGAUGGUAGCAGGGCCACAACCUCACGGCAUCACUGAUGAGGCUGAGCUGUGACGAGACACAAGAAGAAAGCACUGGUGAGGUAAGAAAGGUUGCCAAGGAUUUUCAAGGUGGUGGCCAACAACUGCACAGUAAUUAAGAAGAGGUUUUUUACUGUUCUUGAGAUGUCCUUGAGAUUGUGCAGUACCAAAUCCUGACCAUUGAUCUGGCAUCAUCCAACGGUCAGAAAUUGUUCGUACCUCAUGGUACUACACCUCCUCAUUAAAGCGGUACCAUGGGUGGGAGGGUAUUUCUGUCCUUUCCUAUUUCACGAGAGGAAAAAAAUCGUCGGGAGAGCAGCGGCAUGGCGGCGGGCUCGAGGGGGACGACGGCAGCGGCCUCGAUGGGCGACGACGGCGACGGACUGGAUGCGCGAUGGCGGCGGCAGCCUCGAUGCGUGACCUCCCUGGCCGGCACGGACGACGAAGAGAGGAGACUUUAUUUUUGUUAGUCCGAUCAUACUCCUGCUAAAUCAACGGUUAGAUUAGAUUGGUACCUCAUAGUACCUCGUAACUCAUGGUACUUCCUCAAAGAUGGGAAAGAUGCUCAAUUAUAUACCGUUUAUCAUGCAAUCCGAAGAAGGCAAGAUCACUGGUAGAGAAACCCUUUUUACUCCCGUUUGGGAACCCCCUUUAGUCCUGGGUUUCCAACCGGGAGUAGCAAUCCGAGACUAAAGAUGCCCAUCUUUAGUCCCGGUUGAAAUAACCGGGACUAAAGAUGGAUCUUUAGUCAGAUAGGAUAUCUUUAGUCCCGGUUGGUGUUACCAACCAGAACUAAAGAGGAUAGCCAGGUUUUUUUUUCCUUUUUUAUUUUCUCCCAAAUCUGGGUGGUAUGCAUAUCCUUUUUUAUUUUCUCCCGAAUAUGGGUGGUAUGCAUAUCCCAAAUCAAAGUAAGAUCCCAAGUCCACAUCACAAAUUUUAAAGUUUUAAAAAAUUACAUCACAAAUCCUAAAAAAAAAUUACACACAAAUCAAAUUACAUUAGAAGUUUCUACAAAAUUCAUCAUAAAUACAUCAUAAGUACACAUCACAGACAAAUCAAAUUCAUCACAUGAUCCUUCAAUAAAUAACAAAUUAUUAAAAAAAAAAACAACAGAGGAGCCGGCCGGCCGAUGCCGCCUAGCCUCCACGCCGGCCGACCGGCCACCGCCACGUGGCCCCGCCGCGCCGCCCGCCCGCUGCCGCGCCGCCGCGCCGCCUCCCCUCCCCGCCGGCCGGCCCCCGCGGCGCUGCCCGACGCCGCGCUGCUGCCCGCCGCCGCGCCGUCUCCCCUCCCCGCCGGCCGGCCCUCCGUGCCGCUGCUGUCGGAGCCCAAAACUAACAAUUUGGAUCCGACUGAGAUUAAUGUAUCAAUCCCUGGAUCAGUGAAUAUUGAUACAUACAAUAUAACUGGUUCUUCAUUGUAUACGUUAAAGUCUUACAAUACUAAGGGUUUUACAAUAAUAGGUACUCACCUAAGCUAAUUAAUACACAGCGGAAUUUUCUAUACAUUCUAACUAGUGAGUAUAACCUUUAAGGAUUUUCUAAAUUAUCGGGGUCUUCGUUGUAAUAGUCAUAAGGGUCCUCCUCUUGACCCAGAUCUGAAAAAGGGGUUAUAAGAGCAAGGAUGAGUAUUCACAAUACUCAGCAAGUUAUCACGGAAAUAUGUUAUGCAUUGACAUAUAAUAGGGUUCUUUGCAAAAAGCAGUACUAGACAAUCUGGAAAAGUUAUAGCAAGAAUUUAUAAAACAUGUAAACUUUAGAUUUCUAACCAGGUUACCAUAUGAGUCCCGGUACUCAACUCCAUGAGUACGGCUAUUCAAAUAGUUUCAAAGAUAUUCUACUGCAGCAGAUGUACGCUUUACCCACAGUCCACGACUUGCGGAUAAACAUCGGCUUUAGUCAUGGCCCAGUAUUAAGUCAUUAACAAUUAUGGCACCUGUUCCAUGAACUUAUAUCCUCAUAUGCUCUGAACGUAAUGUUAACAACAGCAAGAGGAGUUCUGGCGUUCCCGAGGUAUUUAAAGGGAACUGAUCGUAUGACUCCACGUCAUCUCGAUCAGGGUUGAGAAAUAUACCAUAUAGUUUAUACUCGAGUAUUACAAACCAUUUACCUGUACAUGGUAAUGGUUUACAUGGUAAUGGUUACAGUUGCCCUUCACGGCUAUAGUUGCCUCCUGUGCGAGGACUUAAAAAUAAGAACCACUGUACAGAGGUGCCAUAUUGCCAAUUAACCUAAUAACUAGGUAUGUCCCCAUUCUAGAAACUGCGAUCGUACCCGUUCGUUCGACAUAAGUACCUAGUAAAACUUAUAUCGAUUAAGACAAUACUAGCCACCCGGAAAUCAUUCAAAUCUUACAUAUUGUCCCAAUCUAAGUAUAGGGUAUUUUAACCAGAUUGUAAACAAAAUAAGCAAUACUAAAUUAUCUGGGUUUCUAUGAUUAAUUUAUGCAUAGAAAAUAGAAUAUUGAAUAGAAGGCUAUAAAUAAAUAAUUUGUAAAAUAUAGGCUUAAAUGAUCAACAGGUAUAUGGUAACUUGCCUUGCUCGAUGUCCUGAGAUUGAUUGAUAUUAUUUAGAGUGUCAGAGGAAUCCUCAAGACCUAGGGUUAGACAUAUAAAAUUUAAAUUCAAAAAGAAGUUUAAAUAAAAUCCAAAAAUAAGAAAAUAGAGAAAAUAAAAUAAAAUACAAAAAUAGCAAAAAGGGGUCCAAUAGAUAGAGGAUGAUUUUAGAAGAAUAUUGGUCCAAGUUUCAUUGGAAUUGGAUCUAUAUUUUAAAAGAUAUGGGCUUCUAAAGUUUGAAAAUCAAUUAAAUGUGAAAUGGCACUGUGUGCGGGUCCCACUUGUUAGUCUCUCUCUCUCUUCUCUUCUUCAACCUCCAGCCGUUCCCCAUUUCAAGCCAGCGGCGCUAGGGUUGGCGAUUGCGGCGGCGUUAGAGGGAAAAAGUGGUUGCGGCCGAGGAGGGGAGGGAGCUAGGGAUCUCCGGCGACGGCGAGCGGCGGCGGUGGAACUAAUUUGGUGUGUGGACGGCCUAGCGGCUAGGGCGGCGGUGGCACGGUUAGGCUGUGAUGGUGACCGGAGUGACGAGAGUUAGACAUGGCUAGUGGAGGGGUUCUAGAGCAUCUACGAGGUGUCUAGAGGGAUUCCGGCAGCUUGCCAAUCUUUGGCAAAGCGCGGAGCAUAGUUGCCGACGAGUGCCUCCAUAGGCGGCGGCCGUGCUCACGUCGGCAGCUCAGAGGGUGGCAAGAUAGUGCAAACCGAUUGCAAAAAUGGACUCUAGGUGAUAUGUAGAUGGUUGAAACGGGAAACCUCACCGAGAUCGGUUGACACGACGGAUUGCGGCCAGAAAAACUUCGCGGCGGCGAAGAACAGAGCAGCGCAGGGGCGGCGGUGCUCGGCUUGGUGCGGCGAGGUAAAACUCGACGCAAGGCUUUGGUUAGGGCUUAGUAUACUAGAACAUGGUAUGAUAUAGGUGUUCUAAGGGUUAUUUAGGGUGGAGGAUGGAUGGAGAGGGGUGGAGUCGAUCGCGCACAAGGUGUUCGACCGACGGAUGAUGGUGGUUGAUGAGAUGGAUUGGUGAAGCAGAGCUUCGGAGUUGUGGGGCUAUGGUUGUUGAUGAUCGAUGAUGGACAGGGAAGGGAUUGGGGUCCUAUUUAUAGGGCUAGGAGGAGCGGAUGAGCUCGGGCAACGUCAUCGCCAUGGAUGAGCUCGAGCUUUGGAUAUGGUUAGGGCGGCAGAGGCUGUGAGAGGGCGGCCAAGAUCAAUUUGAGUGGCGGGAGGCCACGUUCGAAUACUUACCGGCGAAGGAUGGACUUGACCGCGGUUAGAAUCGGCUGGCGACAUGUUGGCGCCAAUCUGGACACGACGCGCGGCGGCGGCGAGGGUGAAAACGGCCGGCUCGGGGGUGAAUGGUUUGAAUUGUGAGAGGGGAUACCACCGUUUAUCUCCAAUCCAACCGUGCGGCAAGAAUCGGCGCGAUUCACCCCGGGUAGAAGCGAAAUCGCACUCGGCGGUGGCUUGGACGGGAGCGCACGGCGUCGAGCGGUGAUUUCGUGCGGCGGUCGUCGUCCCGGCUUUGUCGUCGUCGAGAUUGGUGCGGCGACGGUGGGCUGAGGGCGUCGGACGGGCGACGGCACGCCAAGGCGGUCGGGCACGCGCGAUCGAUCCCGAGAUCGACGCGCGGCGGCUCGGCGCGUGGAAAGGUCUGCUGCCAGAGAACACGCACGAAGGGGAGGAGAAGGCCAACUAAACCACAGUUUUUGAGUGGGAUGUGGUCCCCUAGGACCAAAUCUAAACUUUGUGCAAGAUUGGAUGGAUUUGGGCUGCUCUAGUUGGGCUAGACAUUCUGUCGAGCACCUUGGGUGCAAUGAACAGUAAAUUUAAAAAUUUUUGAAUAUUUUCCUAGAAAAGAUUUGAAUUCAAACUAGGAGUUUAGAAGGGUUUCACUAGGGUUUAGAGUAUAGCAAAUCUCCAUUAAUAUUAGGGUAGUUAAGGAAAUAAUCUAUGGUUUGAAUUUGAGAGAAUUUGCUUAAAUUUACUAGGGUUUGGAAUAAAGGGAAUAAUUUGGGUAAAUUAGAAGGGUUCUAAUACUUGAACCAAUUUUAAAUAAAGAUCGAGUAGAUUUUAAAUCAAACAAAUUUAAUCAAAAGCCAACAUGAUGCAGUCAAAUUUUAGUUUAAAAUUUGAGGAUGUUACAGCUGCCCACCGCCGCACCGCCUCCCCUCAGCGUCAGCCGGCCCCCGCGCCGCCGCCGCGGCCCUCCGUGGUGCUGCCCGCCGUCGCGCCGGCUUCCCCUCCGCGCCGGACGGCCACCGCCGCCUGUCCCUCCGCGCCGCUGCGCUGGCUGCCGCCCGGCCCGCUCUCGCUCCAAGCGGCUGGCCUCUCUCGCUCCGAUCCAAGCGGGCUAAGGAAGAAGAACUAAGGAAGAAGGAAGAAGAAAGGAUAAGGAUAGGGAGUUAGAGAGGAAAUAGGAGAUAGAGAAAGAGUUCGGUGUGUGGACGGGAAAAGAGGAUAAUUAAUAGGGAUUAUAUAAUACGUGUUGAUUUUUAUUCCCGGUUAGUAACACCAACCGGGAGUAAAGUUAGAUCUUUACUCCCGGUUGGUGUUAUCAACCGGGACUAAAGAUCCUAGCCGCCUGACACGGUCUGACAUAUAGACAACCGGGACUAAAGAUCAUCUUUAGUCCCGGUUGGUGUUACCAACCAUCUUUAGUCCCGGUUGGUAACCUCAAUCGGGAAUAAAGAUCAUCUAGUCCUAUUACGCUUAUAAACCGGGACUAAAAAUCGUUUUUAGUCCCUGUUUUUAAUGGAACCGGGACUAUUGUGGAUUUGGGUCGACCGACCAAAGAUAGUUUCUCCACCAGUGGAUAUAACUAUUCAAGAACAACUCUUCCGUGUUAUAGGACAAAAUACAACAAAAUUGUUUAAACAUAGGGCUACAAAGUGAAGCAACCCUUUCUAUUGUAGAUUGGUGAAAUAAUACCCUGCUUCAUGGUUGUAUUCCAUCAAUGCUGACCUGUCAUGUGUGUAGACGCUAACAUGAGGGAAGCGCCUGAUGGUGGGCCAGUCUGGGCCUUUUCUCACGCAUCUUCGCAUUAGAGUGAUGCUGCAUCUCAAUGUCAGUUGGAGGUCAUUUGCUAGCUUUCGAUUUGUGUCAGCAAGACCUUGCAACCAUUCUGGCAGUUUGUCCAAUGAACUACUACACAAUUCCAUAUAUCGAAGUGAAGGCAAAUGUUCAAUGUGCUUGAGAGCGUGAACGUCAGUGAUGACCAGCUUAUUCAAAGCAGGGAGGUUCGAGAUUAUUUCUACUCCACUACUCUUCUCAAUAACUAGUUGAUUAUGCAAAUAACGGAAGUUUGUCACACAAGUGAGACUGUCGCAUUUAGUGAUACCAAUUGUUUGGAUGGUUGUGAUCUUUUGCAGAGUCGUGGGGAGAGAUCUUAACUUUGGGCAACCCAAUAUCUGAAGCUCAACCAAAUGAGGCAUUGAUGGUUCUUCCUCUUCUUCAUUUCCACUCAUUGACCAUUCUUCCCAAUUGGGCAUUCCAUUGAAUGUAAGGUAUUCAAGCUUAGGGAAAGCAGUUGAAACUCCAUGCAUGCCAACAAACUCUGUGCCAAUGUUAACAAUGGCAAAUGCAUCCUCAAUAUUGAGGUAUCUCAAUUGGGGCAGUUUUCCGAAUGGUGGAAGUUGUGUGCAAAAGGAGCAACCGAUGAGAUGUAUGUAUUCUAUGCAAGGUAGAUUGGUUUCCAAGGAGGAAGAAAUAAGCCAUCCUGGCAAGCUUUGUCCACAAAAGUUGAUUAUCUGUAGCUUCUCCAAUGAAGGUGGUGGGAACAACCCCUCAAAGAUGGCCUCAAUUGUAUUGAUCUCUUCGAAAGACAACUUCUUAUACUGCGGCAUAGUACAUGACAAGAUCAGGUGCCUUAGGAAGCAUUUACUUUUGAGCAUUGGUUUUGAGAUCAUUGCUCUCUCCAGCCUAGUUAUGGAAAGCCACCUUAGUUGGGCCAAAGACUCUAGCUCUUCCAAACCCCAACCUUCCUGCAAUUCGGUCUGACAUGUUGUGUGCCCACCUGCAACAAAUCCACCAAUGUCAUUAAGAAGUUUUAGUUUCCCCAAUCCUUUUGGAACAUGUGUAACAGGUGUACCAUUGAGACCGAGACAUCUCAGGUCAUCAAGCUGAGUGAUACUAGCAGGAAGGCUAUGCAAACGUAAGCAUCUGAUUAGAUACAAUAUCUGUAGGUUCUUGAGGGAACCAAUGGACAUUGGUAGGCUGGCUAUGCUAGUAUAAUUGAGAUUAAGCAUGCGCAAGUGAAGUAAAUUUUCUAUACUGCUUGGAAGGUUCUCGAUAGCUUUCCCAUUGAGGACCAAUACCCUAAGGCAUGGAAAACUAAAUAUUGUCUCCCUUUGAAAGAUUGAAGUGCCCUCCAACAGCAUCAGUGUCCUCAGGGACAAAUUCUUUCUCUGUGAUCGUGUGAGGGGAUCUGCCUCCUCCUCUACUUCUUCAUCCAUAAGAACGGAUAAGCGGCGAAUCUUCGACAAGGAAAAGGCAUCCAACUUUCUUGGAUCUCCGCAUAAGCUUUCACCUCGUGAUAGAUAUUGAGCAAGAGACCGGAGAAGAUCAUGCAUUCUGCACUUCCGUUGGUCAGCGUAGAGAACAAUUGGUUGCAAGAGGCUUCUACUUACUAAUUCGGCAUAACAGUUUUCAGCCAGUUCUUCUGCUAUGAGCUGCUCCUUUGGAUGUAAAAAACCUUCAGCCACCCACAGUGCACGUAGAUCCCAAAUAGCAAGAUCAUAAUCUGCAGGGAAGAGUGAUAAGGAUAAAAAACAUUGUUUCAGAUGUGGUGGCAGAUCCUCGUAACUCAUGUAUAGGGCACCCCAUGCCCCUUUUAGCUUUCCUGGUAGCUCCUUCAUGUUCCAUAUUCCACUUCUAAGAACAUCGCUCCAUUGUUGUGGAUUAUGACCCUUCCUUGCCAAGAGACUACCAAUCAGUUUGAUAGCAAGGGGAAGACCAUCACAUUUGCGAACAAUUUCUUCCCCUAUUUUCAAUAUCAUCUUCUCUACUCACCCGUGCUUUCUUACAAAGCAGCUCCAGACUUGAUCUGGUAUGUAACUUCUGAACCUCAUGUAUAUACAUUGCUUUAAUACUUCUCGCAACAUCUUGAUGCCUAGUGGUUACUAGGACGCAUCCACAUCUCGGAGUACUAUGCAAGGGAGUGCAAAGCAAUGCAUUCCACACAUCUGCACUCCAAAUAUCAUCCAGCACAAGAAAUAAGCACUUAUUGGCUACAGUAUUGGCCAUGAUCGGUAGAAGUUCAGCUUUUGUUUUGGCCUGUCCAUAGUCUCCUCGUGCUUGCCUUAUUAUCUCCUGUAUUAAUUCAACCUCAGAGAACUUCCUUGAAACACAUAUCCAUAUUGUGGUAGGAUAGAAAUUUUUAAUUUUCACAUGGUUAUAAACCCUUUGGGCAAGUGUAGUUUUACCAAUCCCUCCCAUUCCAGUUACUGCAACAAUUUUGAAGUUAUCCUCAUGUGAAAAGAUCAUGUCAACUAUUUUCCUUGUGCUAUCUUCAAUCUCUGCCAACAAUAUCAAGAUUAAUCAGAGGGGAAGUCUGCCUUACAUUGACAGUAGUGUCCUGUUGUUCACACGGUUUCAAGUGGCAUAAACUUAACACAAGGCGGUUAUUCUCUAUAUCAGUUAAUCUAUCACUGAGUUUUCUGAUCUUGCUUCCUAUCUUAUGUCGCAGCCGAACUGUACUAAAGAAAGAGAGUAGAGAACAAUGCAUUUUUCUUUGCUGAAUAGAAGAAGACGGUUGUUCCUCAAGCAAUUCCCUGGCUUUAGUUCUACACAAGUCAAUUAUGUCAUCGGCUUCAUAUAACACAUCUUUCAAGCUGUUCAACCAAAUCUCUAUUGUUCUGUACUGGAGUUUCUUCCUCUCUGCAUCCUGUAAAACUGCUUUGAUUAGCUCCACUUUCGCCUGUAGCUUCUUGAGAUCGUCUUUCACCCCAAGAAUCAUAACAGCAUGCUCCUCAAGCAAAUUGACAAUCCUGUCAACGCAGCUAGUAAGAAAUGCUUCUGCCUGUGUUCCCAUUUGUGAUCUGUGAAUCCAAGCUACAAAUAAAUUAUAUACAUUGUUAGACUUGUGCCACCUUCAAUGGGAGCACAGGAAUAUGAUCAUCAAAAUUUAUGGUAACUACCAUGAAAUUCAGUUGUCAAGAAAUGAUGGUCAUGCAUUAUUUAUGCAAAAUAUGAUGUAAUCACCAAAAUGUGAUGGCAAAAAAUUGACAGUUUGCAGCUAAACUAAUACCUGGGUAUUAUCUAAAAAAAAUAAUACCUGGGUAUUAAAAUUUAUCUAUCCACGAGUACGAAGGCCAACAAAGUAGUUUUGUAUUUAUAUUUACCUGUGUUGAAAUGCUAGUAUACUACAUUAUGUGUCGUGUGAAGUGUAUGUGUGACUUAACACAAGUUACUUACACUAUUUGCUUGUUUGUGAUUUUUUUUAGGCAAAAUGGCAGGAACUCUGCCUAUCACCAUUAGGAGGACAAUUUAAUUGUGAUUUAAUUCUAUACAAUAGUUACCUAAUAUACUACGCCAUUAAUACCCGGUCCCACUGCUAAUUCACACACAACGUCUUGCAGUCCGUGUUGCAGCUGGCUACAAAUCUGUAGCCCGCUUUCUUUCCACUCUUCUCUUUUUUUCUCGAUAUAUGGUUAUAGCUGACUUAUAGCCUGCUAUUGUACUUGUACUUGCUCUUACAAGAAAAGGAUAUGAAGCUAAUUAGUUCAUGAAACUGAUCAGUGGAGUAUUAGGGUAAUCACUAUUCCCAAACCCAAACCAAUUGGAAUCUCAGACUUCCUGUUCUGUUUUUCACUGGACAAUUUAUAUCCAGGAUCAUUGUGAUACACUGUGAACAGUUUGUCCAGCCUCUCAUGAUAUGUUUGAUGCUGUUUUAUGAUAUCUCACCUUGGGAAAAGACCUUACAAUAACAGUCACUAGGUUUUCGGUAAAAAAAAAAGUAACCAUAGGUUAGAAUCCUGAAAUUUAAAAAAUCGUUUCUUGAUAUUCCACAUGUAUUUUGAGGAAAUUUUGCAGAUAUAAAUCACAGUAGAUUGAAUUUCUAUUAUAUUGUACACUUGUCAACCUGAGAUUUCAUCUGAUGAAUGAAUAUGCGCAUGUGUAAGGCGCCUCAAUGACAAUGGGCAACUGAAUUAUUCUUUUGCCAGGCAAGUAUGGUAAGCUGGCCUGCAGUAUUACAACAUCAUCUAGAAUAAUUCCCCUUCUUGGAUAUAAGAUGAUUUUUAUUGAUGUCACAAUUAAUUAAAGCCCUUCCUAGUUCCUGGAUAUAUCUUCUACCUAAUCCAAAAGAAUCUACUAUUAGAUAUGCAACAUGUUAAUUAAAACAAAGCAUGCACCAGGUUCAAAACUUGGUGAACUCACGUAGCUUCAGCAGAGCCUCUAUGGGUAAUGGAGCUAUAAAUUGAUGUAUAGUGUUUCGUUGCCUGGAUAUCAUUAGAGGCUAAGUAAUUAUAUGCAACAAAGUUAGAUGCCAAUUUGGUUUGUUAUACCAAAUAUAAUGCAUCAAUCAUUGAGGCACUCGUUCUCUUCAACAUGAGGGUGCUGGAGCCAAUGGUUUCGCAUUUGAUAUAAUGGUGCUACUGCAAAAGCCAACAGUUUUGAGCUGCAAAUGUCAAUCUACCUUUGGAAUUGACAUGAUCUACGGUGACCUUAACUAUAAUCUAUAACAUCAUGGCUAUUCAUUCUUGAGCUGUGUGGCGUUGGCGCAGGUGACCACAUUUGCCUCGUCGACGAAUUGCUCACGAAAUCAUCACAAAGAUGUGUAAAAAUAACAAAAGACUAUAGCUAGCCAAUAUUCAAUCCUCAAAUUAAAGCGUUAAUUAAUAAAUUAACUAUCGCUGAUUAGCUAUUAUGACUUAGACAAGUACUUAUAAAUAAUUUUUGACGUUUAGGUAAGAUUGGUUCAAUCUUUUAAAACUUAAAUAUACAUUUUGGAGUUUAUAAAUUUCACACAUCUCUACUACUAUAAAAAUAUAAAAAUGGAGUCGUCGAGGAGCUCCGCCAGAGCGGUUGGCUGGUUCAACAUGGUUCGAACCUACCAGCACGAGUUCGACACCUACGGGAACGGAUUUCUGCGUUGCCUAACGGAGGUUUUUUCCCCAGUUACCAUGGAUCACCUUUAGGUGAUUUGAUCAAAGAAUAGGGUACACAGUGUUCGUUCAGUAGGAAUGUAUGUUUUCCGUGCACUGAGGCCUAGUGCCACCAAUAUCAUUCCUAGUGUGGGUUAGGAAUGCACACGUGUGUGCCAUGUGUAGUGCUCUCAGUGUGGUGUGCCUCCGUAUAUCCUGUACCGUUUUAAAAAAAACGGAGUCGUCCUCCUCCUCCAUCAUUGUACUUCUCCCACCACAUCUUAACUAAUUAAAAAGUUACUAUUUUUCUAAUCGUUACGUAUGUUUUGUCCGUCGUUGCUUUCGUCCGCGUCGCCAUUCGUCACUCACGUCAUUCGCUUUCCAUGAGUGUCCGCUUCAGGUUCUGCUUUGUGUUGUGUAUGUGUAGCCUGAUUCUACCAGACUUAAGUCUGUGAGCAUGUCUCCAAGGUCCAAAGAACACCACCUAAGAAAUAUAAUGUAUUCUGCCUUUCGUACGUUAGCAUGUCUCCAAGGUCCAAAUACUACCACCUAAGAAAUCUAAUGUAAUCAAUCAAACAGAAAUAUUAGUAAUCAAUCACGGUCUUAAUUCCAAGAUUUCUACUUUCAAUUUCGAUAUACACUACUACAAAAUCAAUUUUUGCAUACGGCCAAAAUCUAUUUUCGCAAACGGUUGGGUGGAAAGGUAUGAGAAAAUCGGAUUUUUACGUACGGAUAGAUCAACCGCAUGCGAACGCUUAAGUCAUCCAACUGCGAGAAUGGAAAAUCGCAAAAAAAAUUCUGAAAAUCGAUUUCCCCAAACCAUAACCCUAAUUGUCAUCGCCGUUGUCGUCACGCGCGUUGGGGGCAGCAUCCGCGCGGGAGGGGGAGGCGGAGGGGGAGGGUCCCUCACUCACUGCCUCUAAGCCUAAGCCCUUCCCCGCGUCAGAUCUGCCGCCACCGAGCCCCACGGUGCCAGAUCCAUUGCCGUUGAGCUCCCUAUCAAUGGAUCCACACCCGCCACCCUCCCCACCGCCAGCCACUUCCGCCCGCAUGCCGCAGACAUCGUCGUCGCUGCCAUUGCCGAGCCUCAAGCCGCCAGAUUGGUUGCCGCUGAGCUCCUCAUUGCCGGAUCUGCACCCGCGGGCCUUCCCACUGCCAGCCGCUCCUGCCCUUCCACCCACCACAUGCUACAGUUGUCAUCAUCGCUACAGUCGCCAAGCCCUAGCCGCCAGAUCUGCCAUCGCCGAGCUCCCCGUGAUAGGAUCCGUACCCACCACCCACCACCGGCCACUCCCGCCCUUCCACCCGCAUGCCACAGUUAUCGUCGUGGAUGCCGUUGUCGAGCCCCAAGCCACCUUAACUGCUGCCGCUGAGCUCCCCAUUGCUGGAUACGCGCCGCCCUUCCCAGUUCCCACCGCUGACCGCUCCCGUCCUUCCACCCGCAUGCCGCAGUUCUCGUCGUCACUGCUGUCGCCGAGCCCCAAGCCACCAGAUCCGCCAUCGCCGAGCUCCCCAUCGUAGGAUCCGCACUCGCCGCCCACAGUCGGCUGCUUUCACCUGCCGCUCCGCUCCCAUCAGCCGCUGACCGCUCCUGCCCUUCCGCCCACAUGCCGCAGCUCGCCAGCCACCACCACUGCCUCCCCUUUGCGACUGCCGACGCCGAGCACCGUUGUCGUUGCUCCUACUGCCUACCACUGGAUCCUGCCGCACGUUCCCACCGCCGCUGUGGCGCUACCCACCACCGUCGGCUAAAAGAGAGAAGAGAGGAGUGGGAGAGCAGGGAGUGGGGUAGGGGAGCUGAGAAAGAGAGAGGAUAAGGAUGAGGGUGGGCGAUUAGAUUUUUUAAGCUGAAGGGACAUCGACUGGACUUUUCACAUACGGGCCUCUUAACAGGCCCACAUGUGAAAAUGAGUUUAUUUUUGUAUGGGGCUUUUUAAGAGGGCCGCCAGUGAAAAUAUAUUUUUGCAUGCGGGUCUCUUAAAAAACCAUAUGCGAAAAUGCAGGUCGAUUUUUUAGACACGGCUAGUUAAAGUCCACCUGCAAACAGUUUGACUUUGACCAAAGUCAAAACGUCUUAUAACAUGAAACGAAGACCGGAGGGAGUAUCAUAUAGAAAAACAAAAAACCCCAAACCACCUAAGUAAGAGACAAAAUUCAAAAAAAAAACAAAUCCACCAUUGACCCGGGCGCCUGAAAAGGAGGAAAUGGCCCGGGCGCCUAGAAAAGGAGGAGGCAGAGCCCGCGAGCAUCAGGAGUGGAGGCUUGUCGAAACAAGAUUUCGGCAAUACUAAAAGGGGGUGGCUAUCAAGCUAGAAAAGUGGAUGGGUUUGGAGACAAGGAAUUUUAUACAGGUUCAGGCCUUCUUAUUCAAGAAGUAAUACCCUACUCCUGUCCGGGGAUGAUUCCGCCGAGUAUGUUAUUGAUCGUAUGAUUUGGGAAAAAAGAAUCGUCCCGAGAGGAACCCGGACCCCUCCUUAUAUAGGGGAAGGGAUCCGUAUUAUAAAAUACAGUCCAUAUCCCUAACGGAAUAUGUGAUUACAGAUAAAAUACAAUCGUAACCGACUGAAAUCUCGGGUAUUUCCUUGACAUACAAGUUAGAAACUAACCCGAAUCCUCAUAAAGAUAUUCUAUCUAUAUUUGGUACCGUAUAUCCGACUAAAUUAUAACUGUCAUGUUGAUAUGGGGUAUCCAUAAUCUCCACAGUAGCCCCCGAGACCUUCGCAGUUCACAAAAUAGCCUUCUCGAAACAAAAAACAGUAAUCCGAGUGCUUCAAUUCAACUUGCUCCAGCUUGCCGAGUGCUAAAACACUGUGAAGGGCGAAAAUAAAACAUGGUGCAUCGAGUAGAUGCACCUAAUUAGGUGUAGCCCCCGACUAUGUGAUUAGUUGAAAAACUAAACAUGUAGUCAAGAACCGAGUGGUUUGAUAACGAAGCAUGCAUGGUACUCAAUAAAAUACCCAGCCGACUGCUUCUCAACUUGAACAUAUCAAAGAUAAAAAAUACGAAAAGGGCCGAGUGAUAAACACUCAAAAGGUCCAAAAAUAGACAUAUUUGAUAGGAAUCCGAGUAAGAAACUCUUAAAAUGAUUCACCAAACAUGAUAAAAAUGAUGGUAAUCAACGAGUCUAAUAGCCUAAGCUAUGACUCUCACCAUAACCAAAUUAAGCAUAUAACAUGCUGAGAGAAUGACUCUUAAUAAAUUAGUCAUCUCGAAUAACCCCAAACAGCUUUUGCAGCCUAAUAAGGCUGACAAAAAUAGUAUAACACCUUCCUGUCGGGCACCUUUUGUUUGCAUCGUGUUAAUUCCAAAGAAUUACCAAACCAUAUUAAAAAGGAUUUUAACAGCAUUGGGCCACAUCAUUGUGAGCACAAAUUGCCAAAGCAAAAAGCGCCUAAGUCCCUAGGGAUCACAACGGGUCACGCUGAAAAUAAAAUUGGGCUGAAGUACUGUGUUUAGGCCCAAGCCCAUUAGUACUCCCGAUACCCUAAUAACACCGAAGUAAAAUAAAACGUCUCUUCGUCUUCCCCGCCAAGACUCUCGCCAUUUUCCCCAUUUCCUGCUACAGUACAAAACUGCGCCGGCAAAACUAGGGUUCAUCAAUCCGCUCCAAUCCAUCCUCAAAAACUUCACAAAAUUUCUCCCCACGUCCACCGCCCCGAUUCCCCAUCCCUUUCCAGCCAUAUCUCGGACCAAAUUAAACCAUCCAGUUCACAUUCAUGGCGGAAGAAAGAGAAAGCUUCGAGAGUCAAUGGGCGCCCUCCGAUGUGACAGAAGAUAGUCUGAAGGAGAUGGUGGCGCAUGGCGUUCUUCCGAUGAAGGAGAUCAUCGGGUGGCGACCGGCAUUCGGCGAAGCAUUCCCGACCCCCGAUACGCAUGAAGUCGUGGUAUUUGCUCAUUUCUUCUAUAGCGGUUUCUCCCUUCCAACCUCAAGAUUUUUUUGGGGAAUUCUAUGGAAUCAGCCUGCAUCAUCUGAAUCCAAACUCCAUAGUUCACAUCGCUAAUUUUAUUCACGCCUGCGAAGCCUUUUUAGGUAUUCGGCCACAUUUCGCCUUGUUCCGCCACAUCUUUUUCCUUAAGCCUCAGCCAAACAAGAGCAAACCAUGUGUUUUAGGGGGGGGGGGGCUGGUUUCCAACUCAGGGGAACCUUAAGCCAAAAAUACUUCUCUAUGCCCUUCAAAACCUCAAACAAAGGCUGGCACGCAAAUUGGUUUUAUGUUCAAAACCCUGAGCCUGCUCUCCCCGAGUACUCCUGUCUUCCUCCAGUUUAUCGGGAUACUUGGAACUCACUGCUAAUGGAAGAUGAAGCUGCGCAAGCAGUGGAACUAAUGGAGAGGAUGAUAAAACUAAAAGAACAAGGCCUUCAAGGAGAACAGAUCACCCGGCACUUUAUCAAGUGUCGGUUAGCUCCAAUCAAAGAGAGAUCUCGCACAGCCUUCGAAUUUGACGGCAGGCACGACCCAAACCGUGAAGAUCCAGAUUCUCUUGACUUCAAGGUCAUGAAGGAAAGGAUGUAUAAGAUCUUCUCAAAUGCUAUCGUUGUCAGCUAUUCACACUUGCUGCCAGUCGUACCGUUCAAUGCAUUCAAUCCUCCUCCACCGGUAUGUAUUCAAACGUUCCAACCUUCCUCAAAAACAUGAUUUCGUCUCUUGUUGAAUUGCUCGACAUUUAUGCUCAGGAGUUCGCAUUGAUGAAGUCAAAUCCUCCAAUCGCCCAGCACCAAUCACCUCGCCGCCAAACUAGUCAGUGAAGCGGGGGACCAAGAAUUCGGUCUGAAACCCAACCAAGUGCUUCUGAUCCAGUCGGCCAGUCAGAUUCUCGCAAGAGGAAGCUGGUUCCAAGUGACGACGAAGACGAUGAUACCGGAAAGCUCAAAGAUAAAGGAGCGACCGGAAGACCUCCGAAGCCAACUAAUCCGAAGAAGAAAACCUCCAGUCGUCCUUUACCAAAAAUCAGAAAGUCUUCCAGGUACAAAUCAUAUAACAAUCUUCCUUGUAUUAAUAUUCUCCCAUCAUGAAAAUAACACUAAUAGCAAAACUUGUAGGAAACCAUUUGACAUAGAUCCUUCUGAGAAAGACUCUGACCUAACUAACAUGGAAGCGGAUUCCUCAAAAGAAACCGGGCCGACUGCAAAAGAUCACCCGAGUGAUAAUCCGCAGGCCAGCGACAAUGUAGAACCCAGCGACGAACCCACGACUGCAAGCCAGUCGGCCGAAGCUAGAGUUGGAGUUAACCAGGAGCCCCCGACUGGAAAUCAGUCGGAUACAGGGCCAAGCCAAAAGAUUCCCGAGGUUGAAGCUCAAACAAAUAGUCCUCCCGGGAAGGAUGCUGGCAAUGAUUCAGAAACCAGAUCUCCUGCGAAGACACAAGAGUCCACUCGUCCUCGACCAGGAAUCAUCACAGGUAAACACGCUAUCUGAAAUCAUUACGAUCCAACAUACUUUAUUUGAUUGCUUCAUCUUUAUUCAUGGAUACACUAGGGCCAAUAAUUGGUGAGGAAGAAGAAAUCCUCCGGAUACGAGCAGCUGAGGAUUCGCGCCCUCCCAUUCUGGUCAAGUGGUGGGAUGACAACAUGCAGCCUCAAGGAAUCGUAAUAAAUAAGCAAAAAGAGGACGAAGAGUUAUGCCUACUAAAAAAGGCGCUUGGUCAGGCAACCCGCAUUGUAAAUGUAAGCUCUUUGGCGCCUGAUCUCAACCAUCUCGUUUGCCAUUUAGUUCAAGCGUUAAUCAAACUGUCUUGCAGAGGAUUCAUCUUAGGAACGAAGCUAAAAUGGCAACCUUAGAGAGGUUAGUCCCUCAUCUCGGAACCCUCGAAGCCACCAAGAAUCAACUGCACGAAACAAAAGAACUUGCCAGGAAGAAUGAACAUGAUCUGAGGGAUCGGAUUGCUGAGCUCCAGGAAUCCAAUUUUGAACUGAGUGGCUCAUCAAAAGGUACGCACAAACUCUGCCCAACUAACUUGUGCUGUUAUCUUUGUAAUCUUGAUUAACCAGAGUCAAUGUAGUGCAAGCUGCCAAGAUAUCUCAACUGGAGAAGCAGAUUUAAACUCUAGAAAAUGACAAGGCAGAACUGGCAAGACAGAGGGACUUGGCUUUAAAGGAGGUUGAAGGUACCAACAAUCAAUACCUCAAAAGCCAUUAUCUUCCAUAUGCUGACUUAUUAAUGUGAAUCUGUUGAUGCAGACCGUAAGAUCAAGUCGCAGGCUCAAUUCGACGUCCUGGUUGGCAAGAUGAAAAAACUUGAAGGAGCCCGGGAUGAAGUCGCUAACGCUGCUACCCCACUUGUUCAAGCGAUGUUCUUCAAUAACAAUGGCCCGAGUACACUUAAUGCUUCUGAAAUCUUCGACAAGCUGAGAGUUGCUCCGGAUAGAUAUUUCAAGAACAUCAAAGAAGCUGGAAGUAUGGGAGCAAGUCUGGCGUUGGCGAUGACCAAAUCCCUUUAUCCAAGAGUUGACAUUGAUGCCAUUGAUGGCUUUGCAGACGGGAUGAGCGAAGAAGCUGCUCUUGACCUCAUCAGCGAUGCGCAAAAAUCUGCCGAUAAGAUAGCAAUCGAUGUAGUUGAGAGAUUUCAGGACACCGAUUUUCGACCGACUGGUCCUGAUAAUUCUGAUGAUGAAAAGACUGAUACUGAUUGAUAUAACAAUGAUUUUGAUGAUUAAUGAUGAUGGAGGCACAAUUUGUACAAUACUGAUGAAUUUAUGCUAUGCUUGGUGUUCCAUACUUAGCUUCUAAUUUCUUAAAGCCUUUGUCAAGCCUUAUUGAGCCUAAAACCCGCAAAAGCUGUUAAAAACCUUCAGUCCUCAUUGACUAAGUCGAAAGACCAAGCAGGGCAAUGAUAAAUCAAGUAAGCAAAUUGAAUGGAUAAAAAUCACACUCCAUUAUUAUCAUAAUAGCCCCUGACUGACAACUUCAAGGGGAAGCUUGAUGUUGUCAGUCAAAACAGGGAAAUAGAGAAAUGAACUUAAGCAUAAAAACGACGAAGAUGUUCUAUAUUCCAAGAAUUAUCGAUAGGUGUACCGUCUUCACGCUUUAGUCGAUAAGAACCUGGCCGGGUGACUUCAGAGAUUAUAAAUGGCCCUUCCCAUAAAGGAGAUAACUUGUGCCGAUCCCGUGUAGUUUGAAUUUUCCUCAAAACCAGGUCUCCGACUAAGAAAGCUCGUGAUCGGACAUUACGGUUAUGAUAACGAUGCAACCCUUGCAAAUAUCGGGCCGACUGAAUUAGGGCUGCUUCACGGGCCUCUUCCAGUCGGUGUAGAUCAUCUACUCGGUCUUCUCCAUAGCGCUCCUCACGAAAGUUGCGGAAACGUAAAGAUUCAAAUUCUACCUCGCUAGGCAACAUUGCCUCUGCUCCAUAAACCAGGAAGAACGACAACUGGCCUGUGGCCCGACUGGGAGUGGUGCGCAAGGACCAAAGUACGGAUGGCAGCUGUUCCACCCAUUUGCCGGCAUAGGGAUUCAAUCGGUCAAAAACUCGUGCCUUUAUUCCUUGGAGUAGCAUGCCAUUGGCACGUUCAACCUGUCCAUUACUCAUAGGGUGCGCCACGGAGGCAUAGCAAAUUUUGAUGCCAAAAUCUUCACAAAAAUCUUUAAACACUCCUCUGGUGAAUUGAGUGCCAUUAUCAGUGAUGAUCCGAUUAGGUACCCCACACCGAUGCACAAUGUUGAUGAAAAAAUCUCUAGCUUUAUCUGCUGUGAUCGUGAUGACCGGUUUAGCUUCAAUCCACUUGGAAAAUUUGUCGAUAGCCACAAAGAGAUGCGUGUAACCGCCGACUGCCCUUUUAAACGGGCCGACCAUGUCAAGCCCCUAGACCGCAAACGGCCAGGACAACGGGAUGGUUUGCAACUCUUGGGCUGGCAGAUGAAUUUGUCUGGCAAAAAAUUGACAACCUUCGCAUGUCCGCACAAUCUUGUCAGCAUCAGACACAUCUGUAGGCCAGAAAAAACAUUGCCGGUAAGCUUUGCCGAUAAUGGUCCAUGUAGCAACAUGAUUACCACAAAUACCAGAAUGUAUAUCCUUCAACAAUUGUCUCCCUUCCUCCAAAGACACACAGCGCUGCAGUAUUCCUGAUGGACUUUUCUUGUACAGCUCAGUCUCAUGAAUAAUGUAAAGUCUGCUGCGCCUGGAAAUCCGCUCGGCUUCAUCUUUAUCUGGAGGGAGCUCUUGUUUGGUUAAAAAUCUUAUGAGGGGUUCUCUCCAGUCGGCUUCAAUCAUGCUUACAUCUUGGGUGUCCGUAGCCUUGAUUAUUUCUUUCCUUGGUACAGUCGGCUCAUAAACAUGUUCGACAAAUACGUCAGAAGGAGCUGCUUCUCGCUUUGAACCAAAAUUAGCCAAUCUGUCGGCUGCCUCGUUGUUGUGUCGAAGAACAUGGGUGAGUUCAAGUCCAUUGAAUCUGUCUUCCAACUUGCAUACUUCCUGUCGAUAAGCAGUCAUGUUAUCGUCAAGGCAGGACCACUCUUUCAUGACUUGGUUAACAACCAACUGGGAAUCUCCACGAACGAUCAGUCGCCGGAUGCCCAAAGAGAUUGCGAUUCGUAGUCCGUGAAGGAGCGCCUUGUAUUCUGCCACAUUGUGUGAUGCGGAAAAAUGUAUCCACAGCACAUAACUCAGUCUUUCUCCAGUUGGGGAAAUUAAAAUAACUCCGGCUCCAGUGCCUGAAAGUCUCUUCGACCCGUCAAAGUGCAUAGUCUAAUACUCCAUCUUUUCCUCGGGCGUGUCCUCUUGGCAAUUGGUCCACUCGGCGACAAAGUCGGCUAAAGCUUGGGACUUGAUCAAAGUUCGUGGCUUGAAGGAUAUAUCGAAGGACAUCAGUUCUAAGGCCCACUUUGCGAUUCGUCCAUUUGCCUCGCGGUUAUGAAGUAUAUCCCCGAGUAGAAACGAUGUAACCACCGUGACCGAGUGAACUUGGAAGUAGUGGGAUAAUUUCCUGACGGUGAUCAAGAUACCGUACAACAGCUUCUGAACUUGAGGAUAUCUUGUCUUGGAGUCAGUCAAAACUUCACUAACAAAGUAGAUCGGUCGCUGGACUUUCUGAACAUGGCCUUCUUCUUCUCGCUCGACAACCAGGACCGCACUCACGACCUGAGGGGUGGCCGAGACGUAUAGUAACAACGGCUCCUGUGGGUGUGGCGAGGCCAAAACUGGUGGAGUAGUGAGAAGUUUCUUGAAAUCUUCAAAGGCUUUCUGUGCUUCGGGUCCCCACUGGAAAUUGUCUGUUUUCUUUAACAGUUUAAAGAAGGGUAUCCCCCGCUCUCCGAGUCGUGAGACAAACAGGCUGAGCGCCGCCAUGCAACCAGUCAGCUUCUGGACAUCUUUCUGAGAGCUCGGCGGUUUCAUGUUGAGGAUGGCAUUAACUUUCUCCGGGUUGGCUUGUAUGCCUCUGUGAGACACCAUAAAUCCAAGCAGCUUCCCUGACGGUACUCCGAAGAUGCAUUUUUCAGGGUUUAGUUUCAUCCUGAAAGCGCGGAUGCUCGCGAAAGUUUCUUCGAGAUCCUUAAUCAAAUCAUCCUUCUGCUUGGUCUUGACGACUACAUCAUCAACAUAAGCUUCAACAUUGCGGCCGAUUUGAGUUGAAAAGCACCUCUGAAUCAUGCGUUGGUAGGUUGCUCCUGCGUUCUUCAAUCCAAAGGGCAUGGUGAUGUAGCAGUAGGCCCCGAAAGGCGUAAUAAAUGAGGUCUUCAAGCAGUCGGAUUCUUUUAGUCGGAUCUGAUGAUAUCCCGAGUAGCAAUCCAAAAAACUGAGUAGCUCGCAGCUGGCCGUUGAGUCAACUACCUGGUCAAUGCGAGGUAACCCAAAAGGAUCUUUGGGACAAGACUUGUUGAGGUCGGUAUAAUCGACACACAUGCGCCAUUGCCGCGUCUUUUUCCGAACCAGGACUGGGUUAGCCAGCCAGUCGGGAUGAAGGACUUCUUUAAUGAAGCCCACUGCUAACAGCUUGGUUAAUUCCUCCUUGAUCGCAUCCUUCCUGUCCUGUGCAAAAUGGCGGAGUCGUUGCUUGAUGGGUUUGGCGUCUUCCUUAACAUGUAAAGAGUGCUCAAUCACCUCUCUAGGAAUACCAGGCAUAUCGGAUGGUUUCCAUGCAAAGAUAUCUUUAUUAUUUUGAAGAAAGGUGAUGAGCGCGCUUUCCUAUUUACAAUCUAACUCAGCGCCUAUUACAGCAGUCUUAUUAGGAUCAGAGGGAUCUAAAGGAAUCUUUUUGGUCUUGGCAUCGCUUUCUCCGCUUUUGGGCAUCUUGGUCGCGGGCACUUCUCCUUCGCUUGCCAUGGUCGCAGCCAGUCGGAUCUCCUCUCGGGCGAGUGUGAUCUCGCGGGUCUGGGCCAUCUCGCAACUUUCUUUAUCACAUGUGACGGCUUGCUUGAUGUCGCUCCGUAGGGAUAUGACACCCCGAGGACCAGGCAUCUUCAUCAUCAUGUAGGUGUAGUGUGGGAUAGCCAUGAAUUUGGCUAGGGCUGGUCUUCCGAGUAUAGCAUGAUACGCUGUCUCGAAAUCAGUGACUUCGAAACAAACGUUUUCUGUGCGGAAAUUCUCCCGAGUACCGAAAGUAACCGGAAGAGUGAUCUGGCCGAGUGGUGUAGCAGAUAAUCCUGGGAUGACACCAUGAAAGGGUGCAUUACUUGGCUUUAAUUCCAUACGAGGGAUCUGCAUAUCGUCCAGGGUCUUGGCGAAAAGGAUGUUGAGCGCACUGCCACCAUCGAUGAGGGUUCUUCGGAGCUUGACGUUGCGAGCCACUGGGUCUAGUACCAGGGGGUACCGCCCAGGGUGGACCACUCGGUCGGGAUGAUCCGAGCGGUCGAACUUAAUUGCUAUCUCUGACCACCGAAGGUAUUGGGGUGUGUUGGGCUGAACUGCAUUGAUCUCCCGUUCGGUUAGUUUCUGCUUUCUCUUAGAUUCGUAAGCCAGGGGUCCGCCGAAGAUGUGAUUAAGCUCCUUGCGAAAGUCCUGAAAACCAGUCGGGGCAUCGUCUUGGUCAUCUUUCUUUUUUGAUGUGCCUUGAUCUCCUCUGAAGGCUUACGUGCGUUCUUGGCAUAUUGUUCCGCAAAUUGCUUGUAGACGAAGCAAUCUUUGGCCGCAUGGUUAGAGUUGGGAUGAUGCGGACACUGGGAGUUCAUUAUCUUGUCAAAGGUGUUGACGAGGGAACGUUGUCGGGAAGAUGGAGUAGUUGUCGCCACAAGUUCUUCGGGCUUACGCUUGCGAUCCUUGUGAUUGUUACUUCCCCUCUCUCCUGCGGCCGGCGUGUCUUUCUUCGGUUUCCAAGUGGUGCCCGACUGUUUGGACGCAAUAAUAGCAUCUUCGGUUUUGGCAUACUCGUUGGCUUUUUCAAACAUCUGCUUAACCGUCUUGGGAGGUUUGCGUCCGAAAUUGCCGACUAGGUCUUCGUGGUGAAUGCCUUUAGUAAAGGCAGCGAUGAUGACGUCGUUGGAGAUCUUGUUGCAUUGCUCGGAGAAGCGUCGGAUGUAAUCUCGAAGGGAUUCUCCAGACUUCUGAAUGACGUUGUAGAGAUCAAACUGUGUGCCGGGGCGUUCGAAGGUGCCUUGGAAGUUGGUGAUGAAGUGAUCACGAAGUUCCGCCCAUGAUCCGAUCGUGCCACGGGGUAGUCCAUGGAGCCAGGAUCGGGCGGAAUCCGCUAGGGCCACAGGUAGAUAGUUUGCCAUGGCUUUGCUGUCUCCUCCUGCUGCGCGGAUUGCGAGUCCGUAGACGGUGAGCCAAGACUCUGGAUUAGUGGUGCCGUCAUACUUCUCGAUUCCAGUCGGCUUGAAGCCGGCUGGCCAAUCCACUCGACGCAGGUCAUUAGUGAAGGCAGCCAAUCCAUCCACGUCGUCGUCGUAGCGAUCUGGUGAAUGGCGGUGACCUCGUGCUGCACGGCGCUGGUUGAUCGUGUCGCGAAGAUCGACGGGACGCUGGCGAGGUGGAGAGCGAGGCCGUUCGACUCGACGUUCCCUGUGAUGUUCGGGAGGCGAGUGAACAGAUUGUUCGUCGUGGCCCCUGCUCCUGCGACUGGAUCCUGUGCCGAUGAUGCUGAGGCUUGGCUGAUGAUAAUCAUGAGAUCGGAGAUGGGGAACCCGGCUACCAGUUCGCAUGCGAACGCUGCCGGAGUUAACCGGAAAUGAAGCGGCGAUCAUGGUCUUGGUCUGGUUCAAGAUGUUGACGACGUGAUCGGCUUGAUUGAGUGUGUCUUCCUUGAGGAGGGUGUCGAGAAGGGUGAUCGCAGCGACAGCGUUCUGUUGGGGGGUGCGGAAGACCGCUGUCCCCUCAACGUCCUGUUGCCCAAUAAGAUCUCGCGCUCGUCGCCCUGCGUCCAAGGCUCGUUGUCGCCGGUCUUCAGCCUCCUUUACAGCCCGUUCGCAUUCUUGUUGUUCUCGCCGCAGCCGUUCUUGUUCUUGCGCUUGGCGCUCCUCUUCGAGUCGGCGUCGCUCGGCUUCCUGCUAUACACGUUGUGCUUCUGCUUCUCGGGCUUGGCGUUGUUCUUCCGUCUCGUUGUCGGCCAUGAAGACGCCAAACUAGAAAGGGGUGUAAUUGUCUUCAAAGCUCUCGUCGAAGUCAUCGAGGUCGCGGUUGUCGUAGCGGUAGCCGAAUUCGUUGUAUUCCACGAUCUCUGUUGGUCGUGAGUCGACGCCGGGAGAGCUGAGGUAGCCUUCGAGUUGAUCCGUCGAAAUCGUGCCGAGUGGCUGGAGUAUGACGCCGACUUCCCUGGAGCUAGGCGGGAUCGGUGUUGAGGCCGACUUCCGCCUAGGCCUACGGGGAGAAGACGCCCUUGUAGUGAAGACGGCAGCCAAAUCGUCGGGGAGUUUCAACAGGAUUGGCGGGUAGGCCCCAUCAUCUUGAUCUGGUGAAGUUGAAGUAGAUUGGAUCUCGUCCGAGUGGUUUGAAGCCGACUCGAUCGAGAUAAGCUUGGAGCAGAUCUUGGCCGAGUUCGGAAUACCGAACGGGGCUGAAACCUGGUUCUCUCCCGACUGGUUUGGAUCCGAGUCGAGGAGAGAGAUCUUGCCGAAGUCGUUGGUGAUGAACUCAAGGCUGCCGAACCGAAUCAUCUGCCCGGGGGGGAAGGCGAGGUCGUCGAUGCCGGAGAGGGAACCCAUCGCGCUAAUCGGCGAAAAACUUGACGCUACCCCUACCUGGCGCGCCAACUGUCGAAACAAGAUUUCGGCAAUACUAAAAGGGGGUGGCUAUCAAGCUAGAAAAGUGGAUGGGUUUGGAGACAAGGAAUUUUAUACAGGUUCAGGCCUUCUUAUUCAAGAAGUAAUACCCUACUCCUGUCCGGGGAUGAUUCUGCCGAGUAUGUUAUUGAUCGUAUGAUUUGGGAAAAAAGAAUCGUCCCGAGAGGAACCCGGACCCCUCCUUAUAUAGGGGAAGGGAUCCGUAUUACAAAAUACAGUCCAUAUCCCUAACAGAAUAUGUGAUUACAGAUAAAAUACAAUCGUAACCGACUAAGAUCUCAGGUAUUUCCUUGACAUACAAGUUAGAAACUAACCCGAAUCCUCAUAAAGAUAUUCUAUCUAUAUUUGGUACCGUAUAUCCGACUAAAUUAUAACUAUCAUGUUGAUAUGGGGUAUCCGUAAUCUCCACAAGGCUGGAGUCGGGAAGGAGACGGCAGCAUUGUCACCGACUCACUGGAGUAGUGGCGGCGGCUGGUGUGGCGGAUGUUGCAGCCCUGUCAUUGGUGCUGGAGUAGAGGAGGCGUCGAGUUGCGGCUGGCUACGACACGGCCCCCGCUGCUGCUAGCUGGUGGCAUUGGGCGGCAGCGCGAAGGAGAUGAGGAGACGUCGAUGACCGCAGCGAAAGCAAGAGACGGCGGCGCCACAUCAAACAAGAGGUGUGGAUGGGAGGAGAGUGGUAGCUGCAUGUUUAACUUGUCACUUCGUGAGGCCUCCACGGUAGUCCAGGGUUUACCUCGCACUCGGGCGUAUUGGGCUGGCAUUGGCUAAAUUUCGGUCUAUUCAAUUAACUCAGUUAACCGAGAGUGGCUGGUGACCGCAUUCCUUGGUAUUGGUCCUGGUCAUUUCUGCCUACUCCUGCUUCUUGGUCUUCGUUGUGUCUGCUCAUGACCGCAUUAACUACCAUUAGUUCAUCUACAAAAUUUAAAAAUAUUAAUAAAAAUACAUUGAUUAUCAAUAAUAAAACCACUUUGAUAGAAAUAUAAGUCGGCAAUGAGCUCAACGUAGCUGUCGUGCCACUUGAAAUAAUAUUAUAUUUGUUGUAUAUGUAUAAUUACACUUUUAUGUAUCCGUGCAAUGCACGGGCAUUUAGCUAGUAAGAAGUUAAAAAAAACCAACAAAAAAAGCCAUCUAUUAAAUUAAAUCUAUUAAACCAUUCAUCCGUAAUCCUCCCAGUCCUGUUACAAAGCGGGGGCAUAUCACUAAUAUGUUAUAAAUAUGUAAAUAUUUUUUUAGUACAGAAAUAUAGACGGACCUCUUGUAAUGAGUUGUUUAAUUUCCUUUCUCUGUGUUCUCUUAUCAUGUUCCCAACUUAUUCUCCCUCGUUUUCCACGCACGCCUCCUAAAUUGCCAAACGGUGUGUUUUUUUUAAAAAAUUUUAUAUCAAACUUGUAUUAAAAUCAUUCUAAUCCAUUCUCUUAUAUUUUUAAAAGAGUAAAUUACGCUUAUGGUACAUGAACUUGUGUGGUAGGUGCAAAUGGGUACAACAAGUUGCAAAUUACUCAUUUCAGUACAAUAACUUACCUAGAUUGUGCGAAUUCAACCAUAAUGAUCCAAACAAGCAAAAUUGUUCGAACUUAGCACGUACUGAGGUAGCAGUUUAAUUUACACGCUAGAUUAUGUUUUGGAGAUCUUAUUUGCAAUCGAAAUAAAAAGAGAAAUUAGUGAUGCAAAAGUUUAUUUCAUUUCAUUUCUCAGGAAUUUUUGUUCUUUUAUAACUCAUGUUAUGUUUAUUUAUAUCUUUUGUGCCAAGACAAUUUCUGGCAUGCCAUAGUGCAAGUAACACCAGGAAAUUCAUUUUAAUUUCUAUGUUCAGAAGCUCCAUUUUAUUGAAAGUUUAUUUUCGUGACCAGGCAUGUUUAAUUGUUUUAUUUUUUUAUCAAUCUAAAUCUUAAAAAUAUCACGUGGAUAAUAACAACAUAUUUUGUAACUUUAAAUUUUUGUGUAAUAAUAAUUACAUAUCAUUAUGCGUCAGGCGAGAUCAAUUUUACUUAUGUGUAUCAUUUUUGCCUAGGUUCUCACGGACUAGCCAAGUUAUUGUACCGAAAUGUGCAAUUUACAAGUUGUUGUACCUAUUUACACCCACCACAAAAGUUCAUGUACCGUGAGCGUAAUUUACUCUUUUUAAAACUAAUACGAUGGUGUUGGCGUUGAUGAUGAUUGUCCAGUUAGGAUGUCUUGAUAGUGCCACAAGAUAAACUGGUUCACUGCAUCUCCGAGAAGUUCAAUUACCUUCGGUGUGAGGAUGUCUAGCUCCAACGCGCUAUGCUCACUAUGGACUUAAGCCACAUGCAAAAAUAUGCCUGGGGUGUUCGGUCAAAAACCCGAUUGUGAAAAUUCACAAAUCUAUCGGUGUUUCCUCUCUUCCGCCAAAGGCACAGACCGACCUAUUCUUGUUCAAGACCCCUCUUUUUUUUUCUUUUCUCCUCGGUCCCUUUUAUCUCCUCCUUCUUCUCUUUUUUCCUCUUUUCCUCCUUCCUCCACUUUCCCUUCCUCUCAGUUUCAGAUCCGGAUCUGGCACACGCGCUGAUGAAUCGGCGACAGAUCCGGUAUAAAUGGUGGUGGAGGUGGCGUCAGAUCUAGCAUGCAUUGGCGGCAGCAGAUCCGGCGCGCGAUGGUGGAGGUGGUGGCUUUGGUGGCAAUUGGAUAGAGGUCACGAGGGGGUGGUGUCGGAAGGGGCCAUGGUUCCGAUAGCGGCGGCUAUGGGAGCGACGAAUCCGCUGAUGGUGGAAACAGAGGAGCCAAGGCAUGCGGCAAUUACGACCUCAACCACACGACAACGACCUCAAUGGCGGGAGUUCACGAGGAGAGCAGGGUACAGAACGGAUCCAAUGGCUCGGGAUGAUGGCGGAUUCGGCGGCUUGGGAGUGGCCGAUGUUGGCCUCGGAAGGGGUUGAUCCGCCGCCCCUACCCUUAGGAGCGAUGAUGGUGGUGAUGGCUUCGGGUGCGAUGGUGGCGGAUCCCGGUACGAUAACAAUGGCAGCUUUAGGCACGACGACAACAGUGGCUUUGGGCGCGACGACAGCUGCGGUGGCUUCGACCAAUGACAGCGUCAGAUCAAGGUAUGAUGACGGUGAUGGCUUUUGGCAUGACGACAACGGCGGCGGAUCUGGGGGUGGUGAUGGCGGCGGUUUCGGGAUCUAGGGUUUUAUAAUAUUGUUAUUUUUUUGGAAUUUUGUUUUGUCAAAAAUUCUUUUUCCAGCCGAGCCGCAUAACUUGCCCGGCCGCCUCCUGAUCGACUGUUCGUACUGCUCGCCCGGAAAAGUCCCUAUUUCUACGUACACCUGGGGUAGUCGGUUGCCAGUCUCGAUCGUCUACAAAAUUUCAUUUUAGCAGUUUGGAAAGAUUGUUUUUUAUAGUGUCAUAUGCCUGUAUAAGUUAAGAAUUCCCGGUCUGCAAACAGAAUCACUGGUGGAGUAACUCUUUGUAGUCCCGGUUCGUAACCCCCCUUUAGUCCCGGUUUCCAAACCGGGAGUACCAAUCCGGGACUAAAGAUCGCUAUCUUUAGUCCCGGAUGGCUCAGCCGGCCACGUGGCUGAGCCAUCUUUAGUCCCGGUUGGUGUUACCAACCGGGACUAAAGAUAGAGCUGACCUUUUUUUUUUUGCAUGCCCCUGUUGCUGCAUGGUUUAUAUAUAUAUAUAUAUAUAUAUAUAUAUAUAUAUAUAUAUAUAUAAACCAUGCAUAUAUAUGUUUCAAUACAUAUAUAUGCAUACAUAUAUAUAUGUAUUUAUACAUAUAUAUGUUAUGCAAAUGCAUAUGUAUAUAGAUAUAUAUAUGAACAAAAUAUAUUUACAUUAUAGAAAAUGUGUACACAUGCAUAUAGAAACAUAUGUAGUCAUGUAUUAAUUACAAUCCAUUAUAUGUCCUAGCUAGCUACGAUUUCGACGUAGUAGUACUCGCUGCUAGCUCAGAAGCUAAGAACCGGUGAAUUGUGUUUCCGUCGUAGUAGAAUUCACCCUUGGGAUCAAGGAUUUCUUCGUUGAUGAAUCCCAUGAGUUGGUCUUGAACCGCCGCGAUAAAUUCCUUGUGUGUGGUCAGGUUAUCCCUCAUGCGAAUAAACUAUAUGAAUGUAUGAAAUUGAUUAGUAAUUAAACAAGAAAUCGCUACGUAAUGAAAUUUUGAAUUUAUUUGUACGUACAUCAAGCUCUCUUGUGGUGAUGAUUUGGUCUGCAAGGCAGUGGCAAUACUCGCACACGUAAUAGCCGCACAAGUUAGUUCCCUGCUUUUGCUUUGCGCACUACAAAUAAAUGACAAACAACGAGAGAUCUAAUUAAUAUACACUUGUAUGUAUUUGAAUCGGAGAAAUAUAAAUGUAGAGCAUGUGUACUCACAGGAAAUUUGAACUUCCGCCUAAGUCUUUCUCUCCAUUUGCCGCGGACCAAAUGACGGAACCGAUACCAAGCCCUACAUGGAGUUUAAAGCUAUGAUUCGUAGUAGCAAUUAACAUAACAAGAUUUUCUUAAUUAACAAAGGAACUUAUGACGGUACCUGUCUAUAAGUUCGAAAACCUUGUCAAACGUAGACUCUUUUUUAUCCAUUGAGUCAUAUACGUUGACGGUGCAGGCCUCCAGGUCGAUGAGUAAAAACACCUAGUGGAAUCUGCAAUGUGCGUGGGAUGCAUUACAUAUGAAACACUUAGCAAGUUCGUACGGGAAUGAAAUUUGGUAUGUAGGAAGACAGUAAAAUUAAACUAACUCUGUGUUGUAUGGCAACAGUAUGAACGUCUUGUAAUGCUGCGCCUUCAGGAGAUGGACGAGAUUGUCCUCUGUUUCUUGUGGAUAUUGGUCGAGCAUUGCGACGUUUACUUUCCGAGGGUCGAUGAAUCCAGUAUCGAAAACCCUCCGCCGUCGGGCCCUUUGAAUCUCCAUUCUACAACGAUAAAAGGGAGUAUAUUAUUUUCUAUGGUCUACUUAUAUACAAGGACCUAAUUAAUUAAAGGAGACGUAUAGUAAGAAAUCUAACUGAACGAUAUACUUACAAAAUCCAGCAACUCAUAAUAGAGACGUCGAGGGCGUCCAGCUGGUAUAGUUCGUAGAUUCCCCUGAAAUUGAUCCAGAGAAUGUCAUCUCCUUGCAAGAAGUCCGUGUCCCUGAUCCUCGCUCCGAUCAACUCUCUACCGGUGGCGCUCAUCUCCAUGUACAGCUGAUGGAACUUGUACAUUUGUGUGGGUAGGGACUGCAGCAGCUCAGGCUUGACAAGCGGUUUACCGAGUUCGUACAUGUAUUUCACUUCCGCCUUUUCGAUUGGUGCGACUCCUAGCAAUUGAUCCGUAGUUAGACCGGUGUCAGUAAUAAAUUGUUCUAUCGUCAUUUCUUUACCGGUCACCAACGGCUCGAUCUCCUGGUUUGGUUGCUCUCCAAGCUGAGGGACUGGUUUGGACUUUCCAAAAGAUGCUUUCUUCAGCGUUCGCUCAUAGUCCGAUAGCUUGAUGGCCUCCUUGACAGAUGCAGACAUACCCCUGAAGAAGUUCCUGACACUGGGGUCUAUAGGAAUCUUCUUUUCUGGACUUCGAGGCUUGAAUUGUCUCUUGACUUCUGAUGCAACGUAAGCGUCAAGCUCCUCUUGCGUGCAAUCGUACCCCGGGUCCUUGAUCUUGGCGGCGUCAACUUUCGCCUUCUUUGUUGCCCUUGUGUGGGCAAGCGGUGGAGCUGGGGGGGCCCUUGACUUUGAAGGUGCCGGAAGAGGAGCUUGCGGGGGAGUAGGUGUAGGAGCACGAGGAGGAGUCGGUGCAGGAUCCUGAGGAGUCGAUGCUGGAGCCUGAGGUGGAGACGGUGCUGGCGGAGCAUGAGGAGGAGACGGUGCAGGAUCCUGAGGAGGAGAUGGUGGAGCCGGAGGAGAUGGUGCACGAGACGCCGCUUGUCGCCCAGGGAGGAUGAUGUACCGCCUGCGCCAUAGAAUAAUGGCAUGGCAUGUGUCUCGUAGAUGCGUCUCACCGUCUCCUCCAGGGUAAUCCAGCUCGAGGUCCUCGUACGCGCCUUCGACCAACUCAACUUCGACCUUGGAGUAUCCUGCUGGAAUCGGCCUGCAGUGGUAAGUACCUGAAGGGUCCGUUGGGAUGGCCAUGCCCGACGCCACCUUCAUGUUGUGAGAGAUUAUUUAUUAGUAAUCAACAUAUAUAAGCAGCAACUAGCGGAAUGGCUAAAUCUUACCUUUAUUGAUAAGUUCUUCAAAGGAAUAUGCAGCUCACAUGGUGUCCGCUGAGUGAUGUCAUCAACGGGACAGGUCGAUUCGUCCUGUGUUUGCAUGGCGUCCAUGCUCUGUGAUCCUACCUGCCCCGUUGAGGCGCAGCUGCUACGGUUUCCUAACGGGCUCACCAUUGCAGGAGGAAUGGUCGGCUGGGGAUCAUGGGACCGAUGUGCGGCCAUGCGUUCAUCAACCUUCCUUGCCACCUCCUCUUGCAUGUUGAGUUCGUAGCUCGAUACCCGGAACUCUAGGUCUGCAAUCUUCGCCUCGGUAUCUCUCUUGCUCCUCAUCCGACUCCUGUACGUGUGGAUGUCCUCCUUGAAACCAAUCUUCCAAGGAAUCACCCCUUUCCCUCGAGUUCGUCCUGGAUGCUCUGGAGUCUGCAGGGCGAGUGUCAGCUCGUCCCUAUCUCUGUCUGGUCGGAACGUGCCCUGAGAGGAGGCUUCCACUGCAUCUGUUAGUCGUCGCGCAGCCUCUUGUAUCUGAUAGCCGAAGACCAGUGAGCCAUCAGCUGGGUUGAGCGUUCCACCGUGAGCAUAGUACCAGAACUUCGAUCGUUCCGGCCAAUUGGCUGUUGCCGGUUCGAUACCCCUCUCAAUCAAGCUAGCCUCCAUCUGCUCCCACUUCAGCAUCGCGACGCUAUAGCCUCCUGACCCCAAGUGGUGAUGGUACUUCUUCUUGGCGGCAUUUUCUUUGUUUCUUUCCAUCAUCGCCUUCCCUUGUUCACCUGUCUUAUAUGCAACGAACUCGUCCCAGUGAUCCCUUAGCUUUGGGAAUGUGUCGAAGUUCGGUGUCUGCCCCUUCAGUAUAUACUUCUGGUACAGAUCUCCCUUGAAGCUCUGAAAUUGUUCUGCCAUUUUCUUCAGAGUCCACCUUUUCACUUUGUCCUCUGUACCCGCAGGAAGGGUGAAUGUCUCGAGCAUUGUGGUCCACAUCAUCUCUUUCUCCGAAUCUGGGACAAAGCUCUCAUGAUCUCCGCGUGCCCUUGUUCUUCGCCAGUACACCGUACUGACAGGCACGUUAUCCCGCACAACCCAACCGCUGUGACGUACAUAGUUCUUGGCGGCUUCGGCCGGGGCACUAGGACGUCCAUCUUCUUCCACUUCUGUUAUGACGUGCCGACCCUCAAGCUUCUUCGCUGCACCUCGUUGCCCGCGUGCCCUCUUCUGUCCAACGGAGGGUUGACUACCACUAGCCUCCUCCUCCUGGUUCCCCUCCACAUCCCUUUCCACGUGCCCCUGCUGGUUCCCCUCCGCAUCCCUCUCCACGUUCCCUUCCUCGUUCAAGUACUGGUUUGGAUCCUCGUUCCCCUCUUCUUCAUUCCAGUACUGGCUGCUUCCCUCCGCGAUUGUAUCGUACAAUAUCUGUUCCUCAUCGCGGUCAGCCAUCUGUUGAUACAAGAAACAUCUGCUAAGUCACGAGACAUUUAUGUUUUAACAAUCUAAGUCAUGUAUGCUAAGUGUAAAUGUCGUACAUUAGAACCCUACACAACCUUACGUGCUAAGUCUAAUUACAAAUCGUGAUAUAAGCUAAGUCUAGGUGACGUAUAUUAUACAACCCUAGCUAGUAAAUAAUUAUAUACUAAGUCUAAUUACAAAUAAAAUAAUCUUAUAUUAAAACUCAAAUAAUAUUACGUGCUAAUACUAAAAUAGUCAUGUAUAUGCUAAGUGUUUCGUGCGUAUAUGCUAAGUCUAAUUAAGACUACAAUAGUCAAUUGCUACUUGUCGCACCAAUUCCGUAGUCAAUAAUUACAUACCAAGUCUAAUUACAAAUAAAGUAAUAUUAUAUUAAAACUCAAAUAAUAUUACAUGCUAAGACUAAAAUAGUAAUGUAUGCUAAGUGUUUCGUGCGUAUAUGCUAAGUCUAAUUAAGACUACAAUAGUCAAUUCCUAGGAGUCGCACCAAUUCCGUAGUCAAUAAUGUCAUACUAAGUCUAAUUUGCAAUAAAAUAAUCUUAUAUUAAAACUCAAAUAAUAUUAGAACACUACACAAUCUUAUAUGAUAAGUCUAAUUACAGGUCUAAUAAUCUUAAUUAAUUGCAUUACAAAUAUAACAAUCAUUUAUAUUAUUACGUCACUUGCCUGCUCCAAUUCCUUCUAGGGCUAGCUCUUCCACUCAGGCUUGACGGACGACUCCGACAACACGUCUUUUCUGCAAGAUAAAAAAAAUGUAUUAGGAUAAAUGCGAAGUAACAUAUAUAUAUAUAUAUAUACAUGUAUAUAUAUAUAUAUAUAUAUAUUGCAUUUCACGUUAACGUUCGUCCUCGUUCGUUCACUCGUUCACGUUCCCUAGCUCGUUCACGUUCGUUCGAUCGUUCUCGUUCUCGUUCACGUUGUCGCGGCAACGUACGUUGACGUGUUCGUUCUCGCUCUCGUUCGUUCGAUCGUUCUCGUUCUCGUUCGUUAACGGCGGUGUGGCGGCAUCGGGGCGGCGGUUGGCGCGGCGGCGUGGCGACGGCGGCGGCGGCGUGGCGUUGUGGGGCCGUGGCGGCGGCGGCGUGGCGUGGCGGCGGUGGCGUGGCGUGGCGUGGCGGCGGCGGCGUGGCGUGGCGGCGGCGGCAUUGCGCGCGCGGCGGCGAAGGCGGCGGCGGCUUGGCGUUGGCAUGCGGCGGCGGCGUUGCGCGGCGUCGAAGGCGGCGGCGUCGAAGGCGACGGAGAGAGAUCGAGAUGCAUGAAGGGAGAUGCGGCGGCUCUCACCCCAGAGAUGUGGCGGCUCUCACCCCAGAGAUGCGGCGGCAGCGGAGGAGGCGGAGGCGGCGGCGAGGACGACGAGCUCAAGACGACGGCGAGAUACGGCGGCGUCGGCGCGGGGAUUUGCCCUAGGCAGUGGCGGCGAAGGAGAGAGGCCGAGAGAGAUCGAUCGGCCGAAAACGUUUAAGUGUUGGUGAAGAAGACGAGGGCGCACCGGGAAUAUAUAUACACCCUGGAUCUUUACUCCCGGUUGUUCUCAACAACCGGGACUAAAGAUCUUUAGUCCCGGUUGUUGAGAACAACCGGGAGUAAAGAAAAAAUCUUUACUCCCGGUUGUUGAGAACAACCGGGACUAAAGAUCUUUUCUUUACUCCCGGUUGUUGAGAACAACCGGGAGUAAAUAUCUUUUCCCGCUAUUUCGAAAUUCUUUUUAAACCCGGUUAGGGUUAAGAACCGGGACUAAAGAUUAUAGCACUGCAUAUGAUUUUCGCUUACAUAUGUGUUUAUAAAAUAGAAGUUAAUGCAUUAACAUUAUUUAAAGUACAAAGAUUGAUGACAAUUACUUCGAAAAAUUAUUUUUGUCUGUAAUAAAUUAAGUGGAUAAAUCGUAAUAAGCAAAUAUAUGACUUAUAAUUAAUAAAAAUUCCAAUAUAUAUAUAUUCUUAGCAUAUAUAUGAAUGAUAUUAUUAUAUUGGUAAAAACUCUAAUUAAGAUAUUAAUGUACAUACUGCAUGAUUUAAAAUUAAUAAAAAUUGUAAUUAUCAUAUGUACUUAGCGUAGGAAUUAUAUUAAAUUAAAUGCUAAAAACUCUAAUUAACAUAUGUAAAUGCCACAUGCAUGAUUUAAACCUUUUAAAAAUUCGAAUAGUCAUAUAUAAGUAGCAUAUGAAAGAUAGUAAAUUAAAUUGUGAAAAACUCUAAUAUAUGAAUGAUAGUUUUAAAAAUAUAUUAAAUUUAAUACUUUUAAAAAUUCUCCAGUCAAUUAUAAUUAGCAUAUGAAUGAUAGUAAAUUAAAUGUUAAAAACUCUAAUUAACAUAUGAAAUUGCCACUUGCGUGAUUUAAAACUUUUAAAAAUCCUCUAGUCAAUUAUAAUUAGCAUAUGAAUGCUAGUAAAUUAAAUGUUAAAAACUCUAAUUAACAUACAUAUGAAAUUGCCACCUGUGUGAUUUAAAACUUUUAAAAAUUGUAAGUAUCACAUAUAACUAACAUAUACAUGAUUUAAACUUGUUGAAACCUCUAAUAAUCGUGCGUAAUUAACAUAUGCCAUACAUCAAUUGAUUUAUAUGGAUAAUCAAUACAUCCAAAAUAGUUUACAUCGUGUACACAAUAAUUACGGCAUUACAUCGGCGGUGACGGUUGACCGCACGUACUUUCUCCUAACUAUUGUUCCCUCCUUGUGAUCGCUGCGUGAGUAAGGGGUGUCUUCAUUUGAUAGGAGGAUGCUAGGGUCAAUCGUCACCGUGAAAGGGGGUUGCCCAUCCAACUGAUCGUAAUCCUCGUCAGUCUUGUCCUCAACUCCGACGAUUUUUCUUUUGCCUGGGAGAACCACUUGACGCUUAGGCUCAUCAGGCCCUCUGCCCUUCUUUCCUUUGCUAGACAUGUCCUUCACGAAAAAGACUUGUGUUACAUCAUUGGCAAGGACAAAAGGUUCGUCCGAGUAUCCAACCUUGUUAAGGUCAACAGUUGUCAUCCCACUGUCAUCAAUCAUUACGCCUCCACCAGUCAACCUAACCCAUUGGCACCGGAACAGAGGAACCUUGAGAGGACCAUAGUCAAGUUCCCAUAUGUCCUCGAUGGCACCGUAAUACGUGGCAGUUGUUCCAUCGUGUCCCAUGGCAUCGACAUGAACAGCGCUGUUUUGGUUCGUGCUCUUCAUGUCUUGGGCUCUCGUGUAGAAUGUGUACCCAUUGAUCUCAUAUCCCUGGAAUGUCGCGAUCGACCCAGACGGUCCCCUCGCCAGGAAGGCAAGUUGUUGGUUGAUCGACUCGUUACCCAUGAGAUAUUGUCGUAGCCACGCGGGGAAAGUAUCAAUGUGAUGCCGUGUAAUCCAUGCAUCGGACUUACCGAUGUUCCUGGCGCGAACUAGAGCCAAGUGCUCCUCGCUGUAAGGAGCUACCAAUGAAGAGUGUUGCAGAACAGUGAAAUGGGCUUUACGGAAUAAAUUGUUGUCUACCGUCAUUAUUGCUUUCCUUCCGAGAGUUCCCUUUCCCCGUAGUCUCCCUUCAUGGCGUGAUUCAGGUACCCCGAUUGGGCGAAGGUCUUCGAUAAAUUCUACGCAAAAUUCGAUGACCUCCUCUGUUCCAUAACCCUUGGCGAUGCUUGCCUCUGGACGAGCACGGUUACGAACAUACUUCUUCAGAACGCCCAUGUACCUCUCGAAAGGAAACAUGUUGUGUAGGUACAUAGGCCCGAGAAUACGGAUCUCUUUCACAAGGUGACAAAGCAGGUGCGUCAUUAUAUUGAAAAAUGAAGGUGGAAAUAUCAACUCAAAACUGACGAGACAUUGCACCACUUCAUUCUGAAGGGCUUCUAAUCUAUCCGGAUCGAUGACCUUCUGCGAAAUUGCGUUCAUGAAUGCACAUAGCUUUGUUAUUGUUGCCCGGACAUUGUCUGGAAGGAUACCCCUUAUUACAACUGGUAGCAGUUGUGUCAUCAACACGUGACAGUCAUGAGACUUUAGGUUUGUGAACUUCUUCUCCUUCGUGCUUAUUAUUCGCUUGAUAUUCGUGGAGUAUCCAGACGGUACCUUUAUGCUCUCCAAGCAUUCAAACAUACUUUCCUUCUCUGCCUUGCUAAGAGUGUAGCUGGCUGGACUCAAGUAAUGGCUUCCUUUCUCCUUUGGUUCCGGGUGAAGGUCGCCGCGUUGUUCCAUAUGCUUCAGAUCAUUACGUGCUUCCAGUGUAUCUUUCGACUUUCCGUAUACAGCUAGGAAGCCAAGAAGGUUUACGCAAAGGUUCUUAGUGAGGUGCAUCACGUCGAUUGCGUGGCGUACGUCCAAGAAUUCCCAAUAUGGUAACUCCCAAAAUAUAGAGUUCUUUUUCCACAUCGCCGCGUGACCAUCUUCGCUCUCUAUAUGCUGGCUUCCAGGCCCCUUUCCGAACACUACUUUAAGAUCUUUAACCAUAGCAAACACUGUUUUCCCGCUGCGAUGUUUAGGCUUCGUACGGUGGUCGGCCUUAUGUUCGAAGUGCUUGCCUUUCUUCCGUACCGGGUGGUUUGCUGCAAAGAAUCGACGAUGACCCAUGUAUACAACCUUCCUACAGUGCUUAAGAUACGUACUUUCUGUUUCAUCCAUACAGUGAGUGCAAGCCUUGUACCCCUUGUUGGACUGUCCGGAUAGGUUGCUAAGUGCAGGCCAAUCGUUGAUGGUUACGAACAGCAGCGCUCGUAGGUUAAACUCCUCCUGUUUGUCCUCGUCCCACACGGGGACACCUUCCUUCUUCCACAACUGUUUAAGAUCUUCUACCAGUGGUCUUAGGUACACGUCAAUGUCGUUACCAGGUUGCUUGGGGCCUUGAAUAAUAAUCGGCAUCAUUAUGUACUUCCUCUUCAUGCAUAGCCAGGGGGGAGGUUGUAGAUACACAUCGUAACGGGCCAAGUGCUAUGGCCGCUGCUCAUCUCUCCAAAAGGAUUCAUGCCAUCCGUACUCAAACCAAACCGUAUGUUUCGUGCGUCCUUUCCAAAUUCUUUAAAUUUUCUGUCGAUGUUUCGCCACUGCGAACCAUCGGCGGGGUGUCUCAGCAUCCCGUCCUGUUGACGCUCUUCAGCGUGCCAUCGCAACAUUCUAUUAUUCCCCUUGUUCCUGAACAAACGCCUUAGCCGUGGUAUUAUAGGGAAAUACCACAUCACCUUAGCAGGAAUUCUCUUCUUUGUUAGCUGCCCGUCAACUUCUCCUGGAUCGUCCCGUCUAAUCUUGUAUCGUAGUGCUUUGCAAACAGGGCAUGCUUCUAGGUUCUCAUACUCUUCACCGCGAUAUAGGAUACAAUCGUUCGGACAUGCGUGAAUCUUAUGAACUUCCAGUCCUAACGGGCAGACUAUCUUCUUAGCCUCGUACGUUGUCUCGGGCAAUUUGUUUCCCCCCGGAAGAAUGUUCUUGACGAGUUUCAAUAAAUCGCCAAAUGCCUUGUCACUAACCCCAUUUUUUGCCUUCCAUUGCAACAACUCCAGAGUGGUAUCCAACUUUUUGUGCCCCUGCUCGCAACCUAGGUACAACGAAGUUCUGUGGUCCUCCAACAUCUUGUCCAAUUUAUGGGCCUCCUUUUCACUUUCGCAGUCUUCCCUGGCGUCCUGCAACAUCUGACCAAGAUCAUCCGCAACGUCGUUACCAUCAGCAGCUAUUUCCUCCUCGCCCGUUUGAUUUCCUUCAAAUCCAACAUACUGAGCAAAGUCCGGAAUAUUGUCGUCUUCCACUUCAUCUUCUUCCAUUUCAACACCUUGCUCUCCGUGGGAUGUCCAACAAUUAUAGCUUGGCAUGAACCCCGACUCAAACAAGUGGAAAUGAAUAGUCCUGGAUGCAGAAUACUCCUUCUGAUUCUUACACUUAUUGUAUGGACAACAAAUAAAACCCCUUUGCCUGUUAGCUUCGGCCACUCUCAAAAAAUAGUGCACGCCGUCAAUAAACUCUUUGGACCGCCGGUCAGCGUACAUCCAUUGCCGAUCCAUCUACAUGAGUCAAAAAAACCGCACACAAAUAAUUAUUCUUACAAUAAUGACUGUCAUACAAUAAUUAUAAGAUAUCUUUAUUCAUACAAAAAUCAUAAAAUAUUACACCAAAUAAUUCUUAAAAACUAUUUGUAAAGUUUUAAACUAAUUUUAAUGUGUUUUACUUCUUUUAAUUUUUAUUUUAGUUUGUUUUCUAUUAUUUAAUAUUAACUUUCACUAGAGUUUUCCUUCUCAACUAUUUUAUAAAACCUUGUUUAGCAAAUGAACUAAAUUUCUAUAUAUUCUUUCUUCCCCACACACAUUUUCUCUCUUAUCAACUUACAACUAAAUUUUGGAGACAAAAAAAGUGUGCAAAACAUAGGUGCAAAUGUAGUAUGACAAAAAAAACAUUGGAGGAUGAAGUUGCAAACCUUUUAGGCACCUCCGAUUUGUAUGUAAUCACCAAAAUAAAUUCAAUAGAAAUUUUGGCAUGACCUCCCCUCUUUUUUGAAGAAAUUUUGAAGCUUGCUCGGGCAGCUGGAGGAGGAAGAAGACAUAUAUAUAGGGGUGGGACUUUAGUCCCGGUUGGUAGCACCAACCGGGGCUAAAGAUCACCGGGAUCAUUAGUCCCGGUUGGUAAGUUAAGAUCUUUAGUCUCGGUUGGUAGUACCAACCGGGGCUAAAGAUCACCGGGAUCUUUAGUCCCAGUUGGUAUUACCAACCGGGACUAAAGUUAAGAUCUUUAGUCCCGGUUGGUGCUACCAACCGGGACUAAAGAUCCCGGGGGGGCCUGACAGGUCCUGACAGCAUUCGAACCGGGACUAAAGAUGAUCUUUAGUCCCGGUUGGUAACACAAACCGGGACUAAAGAUCAAAUAUGCCCGUUACCCUUUUGAACCGGGAAUAAAGAUCAUCUUUAGCCCCGGUUUUUAUUGCAUCCGGGACUAUUGUGGAAAUCGGCCGACCGACGAAAGAUCUUGCCGAAGUCGUUGGUGAUGAACUCAAGGCUGCCGAACCGAAUCAUCUGCCCGGGGGGAAGGCGAGGUCGUCGAUGCCGGAGAGGGAACCCAUCGCGCUAAUCGGCGAAAAACUUGACGCUACCCCUACCUGGCGCGCCAACUGUCGAAACAAGAUUUCGGCAAUACUAAAAGGGGGUGGCUAUCAAGCUAGAAAAGUGGAUGGGUUUGGAGACAAGGAAUUUUAUACAGGUUUAGGCCUUCUUAUUCAAGAAGUAAUACCCUACUCCUGUCCGGGGAUGAUUCUGCCGAGUAUGUUAUUGAUCGUAUGAUUUGGGAAAAAAGAAUCGUCCCGAGAGGAACCCGGACCCCUCCUUAUAUAGGGGAAGGGAUCCGUAUUACAAAAUACAGUCCAUAUCCCUAACAGAAUAUGUGAUUACAGAUAAAAUACAAUCGUAACCGACUAAGAUCUCAGGUAUUUCCUUGACAUACAAGUUAGAAACUAACCCGAAUCCUCAUAAAGAUAUUCUAUCUAUAUUUGGUACCGUAUAUCCGACUAAAUUAUAACUAUCAUGUUGAUAUGGGGUAUCCAUAAUCUCCACAAGGCUGGAGUCGGGAAGGAGACGGCAGCAUUGUCACCGACUCACUGGAGUAGUGGCGGCGGCUGGUGUGGCGGAUGUUGCAGCCCUGUCAUUGGUGCUGGAGUAGAGGAGGCGUCGAGUUGCGGCUGGCUACGACACGGCCCCCGCUGCUGCUAGCUGGUGGCAUUGGGCGGCAGCGCGAAGGAGAUGAGGAGACGUCGAUGACCGCAGCGAAAGCAAGAGACGGCGGCGCCACAUCAAACAAGAGGUGUGGAUGGGAGGAGAGUGGUAGCUGCAUGUUUAACUUGUCACUUCGUGAGGCCUCCACGGUAGUCCAGGGUUUACCUCGCACUCGGGCGUAUUGGGCUGGCAUUGGCUAAAUUUCGGUCUAUUCAAUUAACUCAGUUAACCGAGAGUGGCUGGUGACCGCAUUCCUUGGUAUUGGUCCUGGUCAUUUCUGCCUACUCCUGCUUCUUGGUCUUCGUUGUGUCUGCUCAUGACCGCAUUAACUACCAUUAGUUCAUCUACAAAAUUUAAAAAUAUUAAUAAAAAUACAUUGAUUAUCAAUAAUAAAACCACUUUGAUAGAAAUAUAAGUCGGCAAUGAGCUCAACGUAGCUGUCGUGCCACUUGAAAUAAUAUUAUAUUUGUUGUAUAUGUAUAAUUACACUUUUAUGUAUCCGUGCAACGCACGGGCAUUUAGAUAGUAAGAAGUUAAAAAAAACCAACAAAAAAAGCCAUCUAUUAAAUUAAAUCUAUUAAACCAUUCAUCCGUAAUCCUCCCAGUCCUGUUACAAAGCGGGGGCAUAUCACUAAUAUGUUAUAAAUAUGUAAAUAUUUUUUUAGUACAGAAAUAUAGACGGACCUCUUGUAAUGAGUUGUUUAAUUUCCUUUCUCUGUGUUCUCUUAUCAUGUUCCCAACUUAUUCUCCCUCGUUUUCCACGCACGCCUCCUAAAUUGCCAAACGGUGUGUUUUUUUUAAAAAAUUUUAUAUCAAACUUGUAUUAAAAUCAUUCUAAUCCAUUCUCUUAUAUUUUUAAAAGAGUAAAUUACGCUUAUGGUACAUGAACUUGUGUGGUAGGUGCAAAUGGGUACAACAAGUUGCAAAUUACUCAUUUCAGUACAAUAACUUACCUAGAUUGUGCGAAUUCAACCAUAAUGAUUCAAACAAGCAAAAUUGUUCGAACUUAGCACGUACUGAGGUAGCAGUUUAAUUUACACGCUAGAUUAUGUUUUGGAGAUCUUAUUUGCAAUCGAAAUAAAAAGAGAAAUUAGUGAUGCAAAAGUUUAUUUCAUUUCAUUUCUCAGGAAUUUUUGUUCUUUUAUAACUCAUGUUAUGUUUAUUUAUAUCUUUUGUGCCAAGACAAUUUCUGGCAUGCCAUAGUGCAAGUAACACCAGGAAAUUCAUUUUAAUUUCUAUGUUCAGAAGCUCCAUUUUAUUGAAAGUUUAUUUUCGUGACCAGGCAUGUUUAAUUGUUUUAAUUUUUUAUCAAUCUAAAUCUUAAAAAUAUCACGUGGAUAAUAACAACAUAUUUUGUAACUUUAAAUUUUUGUGUAAUAAUAAUUACAUAUCAUUAUGCGUCAGGCGAGAUCAAUUUUACUUAUGUGUAUCAUUUUUGCCUAGGUUCUCACGGACUAGCCAAGUUAUUGUACCGAAAUGAGCAAUUUACAUGUUGUACCUAUUUACACCCACCACAAAAGUUCAUGUACCGUGAGCGUAAUUUACUCUUUUUAAAACUAAUACGAUGGUGUUGGCGUUGAUGAUGAUUGUCCAGUUAGGAUGUCUUGAUAGUGCCACAAGAUAAACUGGUUCACUGCAUCUCCGAGAAGUUCAAUUACCUUCGGUGUGAGGAUGUCUAGCUCCAACGCGCUAUGCUCACUAUGGACUUAAGCCACAUGCAAAAAUAUGCCUGCGGUGUUCGGUCAAAAACCCGAUUGUGAAAAUCUAUCGGUGUUUCCUCUCUUCCACCAAAGGCACAGACCGACCUAUUCUUGUUCAAGACCCCUCUUUUUUUUUCUUAUCUCCUCGGUCCCUUUUAUCUCCUCCUUCUUCUCUUUUUUCCUCUUUUCCUCCUUCCUCCACUUUCCCUUCCUCUCAGUUUCAGAUCCGGAUCUGGCACACGCGCUGAUGAAUCGGCGACAGAUCCGGUAUAAAUGGUGGUGGAGGUGGCGUCAGAUCUAGCAUGCAUUGGCGGCAGCAGAUCCGGCGCGCGAUGGUGGAGGUGGUGGCUUUGGUGGCAAUUGGAUAGAGGUCACGAGGGGGUGGUGUCGGAAGGGGCCAUGGUUCCGAUAGCGGCGGCUAUGGGAGCGACGAAUCCGCUGAUGGUGGAAACAGAGGAGCCAAGGCAUGCGGCAAUUACAACCUCAACCACACGACAACGACCUCAAUGGCGGGAGUUCACGAGGAGAGCAGGGUACAGAACGGAUCCAAUGGCUCGGGAUGAUGGCGGAUUCGGCGGCUUGGGAGUGGCCGAUGUUGGCCUCGGAAGGGGUUGAUCCGCCGCCCCUACCCUUAGGAGCGAUGAUGGUGGUGAUGGCUUCGGGUGCGAUGGUGGCGGAUCCCGGUACGAUAACAAUGGCAGCUUUAGGCACGACGACAACAGUGGCUUUGGGCGCGACGACAGCUGCGGUGGCUUCGACCAAUGACAGCGUCAGAUCAAGGUACGAUGACGGUGAUGGCUUUUGGCAUGACGACAACGGCAGCGGAUCUGGGGGUGGUGAUGGCGGCGGUUUCGGGAUCUAGGGUUUUAUAAUAUUGUUAUUUUUUUGGAAUUUUGUUUUGUCAAAAAUUCUUUUUCCAGCCGAGCCGCAUAACUUGCCCGGCCGCCUCCUGAUCGACUGUUCGUACUGCUCGCCCGGAAAAGUCCCUAUUUCUACGUACACCUGGGGUAGUCGGUUGCCAGUCUCGAUCGUCUACAAAAUUUCAUUUUAGCAGUUUGGAAAGAUUGUUUUUUAUAGUGUCAUAUGCCUGUAUAAGUUAAGAAUUCCCGGUCUGCAAACAGAAUACUAUUUCAUGGUACACGAUUACUCAAAGAUAAUGAAACAUUUUACGAGUAUAGGUCAAGUCAAUAUAUACAUUUAAACCGAUAUAUGCUUCUGUUCUACGUUGUGCUGCAAAAUAUGUACGUGAAACGAACUUUUAAUCAAAAUUAAGUGAAUCUCAGAUAAAAAAAAGGGUGAAUCAAUGCAUGACCUAAAAUAAUUUGAAUGCACACCAUAAAAGUCUUCAUAUUAUAUAUCUUAAUUGUAUUUUCAUGAACAAAGAUAUAGGUCUUCAAAAAAAAUGAACAAACAUAUAAGCACAACAUAUACUUAUAACACCAAACCAAACAUGCAUGUUGAGUCUGGUUUGUUCGUGAUAUAUAUAUCAGUUUUUGAGGAUAAGAGGCAAGGCAAAGAUCAACACGUAGGACAAUAAAUUUUUCAAGGCACCAAUAACAAUGUGGAGAUUAUGGUUACCCCAUAUCUACAUGGCGGUUAUAUUCCAGCUAGAUAUACGGUACCAAAUAUAGAUAGAAUAUCUUUAUAAGGACUCGGGUUAGAUUCUAGACUUGUAUGUCAAGAAAAUACCCGGGAUCCUAGUCGGUUACGAUUGUAUUUUAUCUAUAAUCCCAUAUUCCGUUAGGAUAUGGACUGUACUUUGUAAUACGGAUCCCUUCCCCUAUAUAAGGAGGGGUCCGAGUUCCUCUCGGGACGAUUCUUUUUCUCCCAAUUAUACAAUCAAUAACACACUCGGCGGAAGCAUCCCCGGACAGGAGUAGGGUAUUACUUCUUGAAUAAGAAGGCCUGAACCUGUAUAAAAUUCCUUGUCUCCAAACCCAUCCACUUUCCUAGCUUGAUAGCCACCCCCUUUUAUCAUUGCCGAAAUCUUGUUUCGACAGUUGGCGCGCCAGGUAGGGGUAGCGUCAAGUUCUCGCCGACUAAGUGUGAUGGGUUUCGUUUCUAGCAUCGUCGACUUCGCCUUCCCUCCUGGGCAGGCGUUCCGGUUCGGCAGCCUCAACUUCAUCACCAACGACUUCGGCAAGAUCUCUCUCCUUGACUCGGACUCAAACCAGUCGGGGAGAGACCAGGUGCCCAUGCCAUUCGGUAUUCCGAACUCGGCCGAGGCCUACUCCAAGAUCAUCUCUCCCGAGUCGGCUUCAAACCACUCGGACGAGAUCCAAUCUACUCUUCCGCGGCAAGAUCAAGAUGACGGGUCCUAUCCCUCAAUCCUGAUGAAACUUCCUGAUGAUUUGGCCGCUGUCUUCACUGCCAAGACAUCUCGCACUCGAAGAUCUAGGCGAGCUCUGGCUUCAGCCCCGAUCCAAUCUAGAUCCAGAGAGGUUGGCGUUAUACUCCAACCUCUUGGGACAAUCUCGACGGAAGAGUUGAAUGGUUACCUUAGCUCCCCCGGCGUCAGUUCUCGACCAACCGAGAUCCUCGACUACGACGAUUUCGGCUACCACUACGACCACAGCGACCUCGACAACUUCGACGACAGCUAUGAGGAUAACUACACACCCCUCUUCUUCGGCGUAUUCAUGGCUGACAACGAAACGGAGGAACAGCGCCAAGCCCGAGAAGCGGAACAAGAUCGCGCACGGCAAGAAGCUGAACGUCGCCGACUGGAGGAAGAGCGACAACGAUAAGAGCGAGAACGACUACAGCGUGAGCAACAAGAUCGCGAACGGAUUGCAAAGGAGGCUGAAGAUUGACGACAACGCGCCUUGGAAUCUAGGCGCCGAGCGAGAGAGCUCAUUGGGCAACAAGACGUCGAUGGAACAGCGGUCUUUCGCACCCCCCAGCAGAACGCGGUUGCAGCAAUCACUCUCCUCGACACCCUCCUCAAGGAAGACGCACUCAACCAAGCUGAUCAUGUUGUCAACAUCUUGAACCAGACGAAGACCAUGAUCGCUGCCUCGGUUCCAGCCAACACCGCAAGCACCCGCACCCCGACUGGUAGCCGAGUCCCUCACCUCCGAUCUCAUGAUUAUCAUCAGCCAAGCCUCAGCAUUGCCGGCGCCGAAUCUAGUCGCAGGAGCAGGGGUCACGACGAACGAUCUGUUCACUCGCCUCCCGAACGUCACAGGGAGCGCCGAGUCGAACGGCCUCGCUCUCCACCUCACCAGCGUCCCGUCGACCUUCGCGACACGAUCAACCAGCGCCGUGCAGCACGAGGUCACCGCCAUUCACCAAAUCGCUACGAUGAUGACGUGGAUGGAGUAGCCGCCUUCACUAAUGACCUGCGUCGAGUGGAUUGGCCAGCCGGCUUUAAGUCGACUGGAAUCGAGAAGUAUGACGGCACCACUAAUCCGAAGUCUUGGCUCACCGUCUACGGACUGGCAAUCCGCGCAGCAGGAGGAGACAGCAAGGCCAUGGCAAACUAUCUACCUGUGGCCCUAGCGGACUCCGCCCGAUCCUGGCUCCACGGGCUACCCCGUGGCACGAUCGGAUCAUGGGCGGAACUUCGUGUUCACUUCAUCGCCAACUUCCAGGGCACCUUUGAACGCCCCGGCACACAGUUUGAUUUCUACAACAUCGUUCAGAAGUCUGGAGAAUCCCUUCGAGAUUACAUCCGACGCUUCUCCGAACAAUGCAACAAGAUCUCCGACAUCACCGACGACGUCAUCAUCGCCGCCUUCACUAAAGGCAUUCGCCACGAGGACCUAGUCGGCAAGUUCGGACGUAAACCUCCCAGGACGGUUAAGCAGAUGUUCGAAAAAGCCAACAAGUAUGCCAAAGCCGAAGAUGCUAUUACCGCGUCCAAACAGUCGGGCACCACUUGGAAGCCAAAGAAGGACACGCCGACCGCAGGAGGGAGUGGAAGUAACAACCACAAGGAUCGCAAGCGUAAGCCCGAACAACUUGUGGCGACCACCUCUCCAUCUUCCCGACAACGUUCCCGCGUCAACACCUUCGACAGGAUAGUGAACUCCCAAUGUCCGCAUCAUCCCAACUCCAACUACGUGGCCAAAGAUUGCUUCGUCUACAAAUAGUUCACGGAGCAAUACGUCAAGAACGCACGUAAACCUUCAGACGGAGAUCAAGGCACAUCAAAGAAGAAAGAUGAUGAAGACGAUGCCCCGACUGGUUUUCAAGAUCAUCGCAAAGAACUUAAUCACAUCUUCGGCGGACCCCUGACUUAUGAGUCUAAGAGAAAACAGAAGCUAACAGAACGGGAGAUCAAUGCGGUUCAGCCUAACACGCCCCAAUAUCUUCGGUGGUCAGAGAUAGCAAUUAAGUUCGACCGCUCGGAUCAUCCCGACUGAGUGGUCCACCCGGGGCGGUACCCCCUGGUACUAGACCCAGUGGUUCGCAAUGUCAAGCUCCGACGGACUCUCAUCGAUGGCGGCAGCGCACUCAACAUCCUUUUCGCUAAGACCCUGGACGAUAUGCAGAUUCCUCGCACGAAAGUAAAGCCGAGUAAUGCACCCUUCCACGAUGUUAUCCCAGGAUUGUCAGCUACACCACUCGGCCAGAUCACUCUUCCAGUUACCCUCGGCACUCGGGAGAAUUUUCGCACAGAAAAUGUUUGUUUCGAAGUUGCUGAUUUCAAGAUAGCAUAUCAUGCUAUACUUGGACGACCGGCUUUAACUAAAUUUAUGGCCGUCCCACACUACACCUACAUGAUGAUAAAGAUGCCUGGUCCUCGAGGAGUCAUAUCACUACGGAGCGACAUCAAGCAGGCCAUCAUAUGCGACAAAGAAAGUUGCGAGAUGGCCCAAACCCACGAGACUACUCUCGCCCGCGAAGAGAUCCGACUGGCUGUGACCACGACAAGCGAGGGAGAAGUGCCUGCGACCAAGCUGACGAAGACCGAAGAAACUGAUGCCAAGACGAAAAAGAUUCCCUUAGAUCCCUCCGAUCCUGAUAAGACUGCUGUAAUAGGCGCUGAGUUAGAUUGUAAAUAGGAAAGCGCGCUCAUCACCUUUCUUCAGAAUAAUAAAGAUAUUUUUGCGUGGAAACCAUCCAAUAUGCCUGGUAUCCCCAGAGAGGUGAUUGAGCACUCUUUACAUGUUAAGGAAGACGCCAAACCCAUCAAGCAACGACUCCGCCGUUUUGCACAGGACAGGAAGGAUGCGAUCAAGGAGGAAUUAACCAAGCUGUUAGCAGCAGGCUUCAUUAAGGAAGUCCUUCAUCCCGACUGGCUGGCUAACCCAGUCCUGGUUCAGAAAAAGACGGGGCAAUGGCGCAUGUGUGUUGAUUAUACCGACCUCAACAAAUCUUGUCCCAAAGACCCUUUUGGGUUACCUCGCAUUGACCGGGUGGUUGACUCAACGGCCGGCUCCGAGUUACUCAGCUUCUUGGACUGUUACUCAAGAUAUCAUCAGAUCCGACUAAAAGAAUCCGACUACUUGAAGACCUCGUUUAUUACGCCCUUUGGGGCCUACUGCUACAUCACCAUGCCCUUUGGAUUGAAGAACGCAGGAGCAACCUAUCAACGCAUGAUUCAAAGAUGUUUUUCAACUCAGAUCGGUCGCAAUGUCGAAGCUUAUGUUGAUGAUGUAGUCGUCAAGACCAAGCAGAAGGAUGACCUGAUUGCGGAUUUAGAAGAAACUUUUAUAAGCAUUCGUGCUUUCAAGAUGAAACUAAACCCGGAAAAGUGCAUCUUCGGAGUACCGUCAGGGAAGUUGCUAGGAUUUAUGGUAUCUCAAAGAGGCAUACAACCCAACCCGGAGAAAAUCAACGCCAUCCUCAACAUGAAACCGCCAAGCUCCCAAAAAGACGUCCAAAAGCUGACUGGUUGCAUGGCGGCGCUCAGCCGGUUCGUCUCACGACUCGGCGAGCGGGGGAUGCCCUUCUUCAAGUUGCUGAAGAAGACUGACAAUUUCCAGUGGGGACCCGAAGCACAGAAAGCCUUUGAAGACUUCAAGAAACUUCUCACCACUCCACCAGUUUUGGCCUCGCCACAUCCACAAGAGUCGCUACUGUUAUAUGUGUCGGCAACCUCCUAGGUUGUGAGUACAGUCCUGGUUGUCGAGCGUGAAGAGGAAGGCCAUAUUCAAAAAGUCCAACGUCCAAUUUAUUUCGUUAGCGAAGUUUUAGCCGACUCCAAGACAAGAUAUCCUCAGGUUCAAAAGUUAUUAUAUGGUGUCUUAAUUACCGUCAGGAAAUUAUCUCACUACUUUCAAAGUAACUCGGUCACGGUGGUCACAUCGUUUCCACUCAGAGAUAUACUUCACAAUCGCGAAGCAAAUGGACGGAUUGCGAAGUAGGCCUUAGAGUUGAUGUCUUUGGACAUAUCGUUCAAGCCACGAACUUCGAUCAAGUCACAAGCUUUAGCUGAUUUCCUUGCUGAGUGGACCGAGUGCCAAGAAGACAUGCCAGAGGAAAAGAUGGAAUAUUGGACUAUGCAUUUUGAUGGGUCGAAGAGGCUCACAGGCACUGGAGCUAGGGUCGUCUUGAUUUCCCCGACUAGAGAAAGAUUGAGCUACAUAUUGUGGAUACAUUUUUCUGCAUCCCAUAACGUGGCGGAAUACGAGGCGCUACUCCAUGGAUUAAGGAUUGCAAUCUCUUUAGGCAUUCACCGACUAAUCGUCCAUGGAGACUCUCAGUUGGUUGUUAAUCAAGUCAUGAAAGAGUGGUCAUGUCUAGAUGAUAAUAUGACCGCUUACCGACAAGAGGUACGCAAGCUGGAAGAUAAAUUCGAUGGACUUGAGCUCACCCAUGUCCUUUGACAUAACAAUGAGGCAGCCGAUAGACUGGCCAAUUUUGGUUCAAAACGGGAAGCAGCCCCUUCUGAUGUGUUCGUUGAGCAUCUUUAUGAACCAACCGUGCCCCGAAAAGAAGCAAUUGAAGCCAUGGAUACUCAAGGCGUAAGCAUGAUUGAAGCCGACCGGAGAAAACCACUCAUAAAAUUUUUGACCAAAUAAGAACUCCCUCAAGACAAAAAUGAAGCCGAGCGGAUUUCCAGGCGCAGCAGACUUUACAUUAUUCAUGAAGCUGAACUGUACAAGAAAAGUCCGUCAGGAAAACUGCAACGCUGUGUAUCUUUGGAGGAAGGGAGACAAUUGUUGAAGGAUAUACAUUCUGGUAUUUGUGGUAAUUAUGCUGCUGCACGGAUCAUUGUCGGCAAAGCUUACCGGCAAGGUUUUUUCUGGCCUACAGCUGUGUCCGAUGCGGACAAGAUUGUGCGGACAUGCGAAGGUUGUCAAUUUUUUGCUAGACAAACUCAUUUGCCAGCCCAAGAGUUGCAAACCAUCCCGUUGUCCUGGCCGUUUGCGGUCUGGGGGCUUGACAUGGUCGGCCCGUUUAAAAGGGCAGUCGGCGGUUACACGCAUCUCUUUGUGGCUAUCGACAAAUUCUCCAAGUGGAUUGAGACUAAACCGGUCAUCACGAUCACAGCAGAUAAAGCUAGAGAUUUUUUCAUCAACAUUGUGCAUCGGUUUGGGGUACCUAAUCGGAUCAUCACUGAUAAUGGCACUCAAUUCACUGGCGGAGCAUUUAAAGACUUUUGUGAAGACUUCGGCAUUAAAAUUUGUUACGCCUCCGUGGCACACCCUAUGAGUAACGGACAAGUCGAGCGCGCUAACGGCAUGAUACUUCAAGGGAUCAAAGCACGAGUUUUUGACCGACUACGUCCCUAUGCUGGUAAGUGGGUAGAUCAGCUGCCGUCCGUACUUUGGUCUUUACACACUACUCCUAGUCGGGCUACUGGCCAGUCGCCGUUCUUUUUGGUUUACGGCGCAGAAGCAAUGUUGCCGAGUGAAGUGGAAUUUGAAUCACUAUGAUUUCGGAACUUCAACGAGGAGAGCUAUGAAGAGGGCCGAGUAGACGACAUCAAUCGACUAGAAGAAGCCCGAGAAGCAGCUUUAAUUCAGUCGACUCGAUAUUUUCAAGGGUUGCGCCGUUAUCAUAAUCGGAAUGUUCGAUCGCGAGCCUUUUUAGUCGGUGACCUGGUUCUGAGGAAAAUUCAAACAACACAGGAUCGGCAUAAAUUAUCUCCCUUAUAGGAAGGACCGUUCAUAAUUGCUGAAGUCACUCGGCCGGGUUCUUAUCGACUCAAGCGCGAAGACGGUACUCUCAUCAACAAUUCUUGGAAUAUUGAACACCUUCGUCGAUUUUACGCUUAGGCAUUUCGUUUGUAUCUUUCCUCUUUGACUGCUAACUUCAAGUUUUUCCUUGAAGUUUUCAGUCAAGGGGCUACUAUAAUAAUAAUAGAGUGUGAUUUUUAUCAAUUCAAUUUGCUUACUUGAUGUAUCAUUGCCCUGUUUGAUUUCUUGGCUUAGUCAAUGAGGACUGAAAGUUUUUUAACAACUUUUGCGGGUUUUAGGCUCAACAAGGUUUGACAAAAACUUUUAAGAAAUCAGGAACUAAGUUAAGAUAUCAAGCACAGCAUAAAUUCAUCAGUAUUAUACAAAUUGUGCCUCCAUCAUCAUUAAUCAUCAAAAUCAUUGGUACAUUAAUCAGUAUCAGUCUUUUCAUCAUCAGAAUUAUCAGGACCAGUCGGUCGAAGAUCGGUGUCCUGAAAUCUCUCAACUACAUCAACUGCUAUCUUAUCAGCAGAUUUUUGUGCAUCGCUGAUGAGGUCAAGAGCAGCUCCUUCGCUCGUCCCGUCUGCAAAGCCAUCAAUGGCAUCAACGUCAACCCUCGGAUAAAGAGAUUUGGUCAUCGCCAACGCCAGACUUGCUCCCAUACUUCCAACUUCUUUGAUGCUCUUGAAAUAUGUAUCCGGAGCAACUCUCAUCUUGUCGAAAAUUUCAGAAGCAUCAAGUGCACUCGGGCCGUUGUUAUUGAAGAACAUCGCUUGAACAAUUGGGGCAGCAGCGUUAGCAACCUCAUCCCGGGCUCCUUCAAGUUUUUUGAUCUUGCCAACCAGGACGUCGAAUUGAGCUUGAGAUUUGAUCUUGCGAUCUGCAUCAACAGAUUCACAUUAAUAAGUCAGCAUAUGGAGGAUAAUAGCUUUUGAGGUAUUGAUUGUUGAUACCUUCAACUUCCUUUAAAGUCCUUUAAAGCCAUGUCUCUUUGUCUUGCCAGUUCUGCCUUGUCAUUUUCCAGAAUUUGAAUCUGCUUCUCCAACUGAGAUAUCUUGGCAGCUUGCACUACAUUGAUUACGGUUAAUCAAGAUUGCAAAGAUAACAGUAUGAGUCAGUUGAGCAGAGUUUGUGCGUACCUUUUGAUGAGCCACUCAGUUCAAAAUUUGAUUCCUGAAGCUCAGCGAUCCGAUCCCUCAGAUCAUGUUCAUUCUUCCUGGCAAGUUCUUUCGCUUCGUGCAGUUGAUUCCUGGUGGCUUCGAGGGUUCCGAGAUGAGGGACUAACCUCUCUAAGGUUACCGUUUUGGCUUCGUUCCUAAGAUGAAUCCUCUGCAAGACAGUUUAAUUAGCGCAUGAAUUAAAUGGCAAACAAGAUGGUUGAGAUCAGGUACCAGAGGGCUUACAUUUACGAUGCGGGUUGCCUGACCAAGUGCCUUCUUCAGUAGGCAUAACUCUUCGUCCUCUUUUUGUUUAUUUAUCACGAUCCCUUGAGGCUGCAUGUUGUCAUCCCACCACUUGACCAGAAUCGGAGGGCAUGAAUCCUCAGCUGCUUGUAUCCGGAGGAUUUCUUCUUCAUCAUCAAUUAUUGGCCCUAGUGUAUCCAUGAAUGAAGAUGAAGCAGCCAAAUAAAGUCUGUUGGAUCAAAAUGAUUUCAGAUAGCGUGUCUACCUGUGAUGAUUCCCGGUCGGGGACGAGUGGACUUUGGUGUCUUCACAGGAGAUCUGGUUUCUGAUUCACUGUCAGCAUCCUUCCCGAGAGGACUGUUCGUUUGAGCUUCAACCUCGGGAAUCUUUUGGCUUGGCCCUGCAUCCGACUGGUUUCCAGUCGGGGGCUCCUGGUUAGCACCGACUUCAGCUUCGGCCGACUGGUUCCCAGUCGGGGGCUCGUUGCUGGGUUCCACAUUGUCGGUUGCCGGUUGUUUGUCACUCGGACGAUCCUCUGCAGUUGGCCCGGUUUCUUUUGAAGGGUUUGCCUCUAUGUUAGCCGGCUCGGGGUCUUUUUCAGAAGGAUCUAUGUCAGACGGCUUCCUACGAGUUUGAGUUAUGCUGUUAGUAUUAUUUCAACAGUGGGUAUGCUGCAAGACAAGGAAGAUGGCCAAAUGAUUUGUACCUGGAAGACUUUCUGAUUUUUGGCAAAGGACGACUGGAGGUUUUCUUCUUCGGAUUAGUUGGCUUCGGGGGUUUUCCGGUCGCUCCUUUGUCUCCGAGCCUUCCGGUAUCAUCGCCUUCCUCGUCGCUUAGAACCAGCUUCCUCUUGCGAGCAUCUGACUGGCCGACUAAAUCGGAAGCACUUGGUCGAGCGUCAGAUCGAAUUUUUGGUCCUCCACUCGCCUGACCAGUCUGCUGGCGAGGUGAUUGGCGUUGAGCAAUUGGAGGAUCCGAUUUCAUCAAAGCAAAUUCCUGGGCAUGAUAUUUCGAACUUUCAAUUAGCUUAACAGAGGGUAAAAGCAUACUUUUGAGGAAGGUUGAAAUGUUUGAGUGCAUACCGGUGGAGGAGGGUUGAAUGCAUUGAAUGGCACAACGGGCAGCAGAUGUGAAUAGCUGACAACAAUAGCGUUUGAGAAGAUCUUGUACAUUCUUUCUUUCAUGACCUUAAAGUCAAGAGAAUCUGGAUCUUCCCGAUUUGGAUCAUGCUUGCCAUCAAACUCAAAAGCUGUGCGGGAUCUCUCUUUGAUUGGAGCUAAUCGACUUUUGAUGAAGUGCCGAGUGAUCUGUUCUCCCUGCAAACCUUGUUCCUUCAGUUUUAGCAUGCGUUCCAUUAAUUCCACUGCCUGAGCAGCUUCAUCUCCCAUAGGCAAUGAGUUCCAUGUGUCCUGGUAAACCGGAGGAAGACAGCAGUACUCGGGGAGUGCGGGUUCAGGAUUCUGAACAUAGAACCAGUUUGCAUGCCAGCCUUUGUUUGAGGUUUUGAAGGGCAUGGAGAAAUAUUUUUGGCUUAAGGUUCCUCUAAGUUGGAAACCAGCUCCCCCAACAACGCACGGUUUGCUUUUGUUUGGCUGGGGCUUGAGGAAGAAGAUGUGGCGGAACUAGGCGAAAUGAGGCCUAAUGCCUAGAAAAGCUUCGCAAGCAUGGAUAAAAUUAGCAAUAUGCACUAUGGAGUUUGGAUUCAAGUGAUGCAAGCUAAUCCCGUAGAAGUUCAGAAUCCCCCGGAAGAAUCUUGAGGUUGGAAGAGAAAAUCCGCCAUAGAAGAAAUGAGCAAAUACCACGAUUUCGUGUGUGUCGGGGGUCGGGAAUGCUUCGCCGAACGCCGGUCGCCACCCAAUAAUCUCCUUCGCUAGGAGAACGCCGUGCGCCACCAUCUCCUUCAGAUUAUCUUCUGUCACAUCGGAGGGUGCCCACUGACUCUCGAAGCUUUCUCUUUCUUCCGCCAUGAAUGUGAACUGGAUGGUUUAAUUUGGUCCGAGAUAUGGCUGGAGAGGAAUGGGAAAUCGGAGUGGUGGACGCGGGGAGAAAUUUCGUGAAGUUUUUGAGGGUGGGUUGGAGCAGAUUGAUGAACCCUAGUUUCGUCGGCGCGGUUCUGUACUAUAGCACGGAGUGGGGAAUGGCGAGAGUCUCGGCGGGGAAGACGAAACGACGUUUGGACUUUGGUGUUUUUAGGGUAUCGGGAGUACUAAUGGGCCUGGGCCUGUACAGUACUUCAGCCCAAUUAUGUUUUCAGCGUGGCCCGUUGUGAUCCCUAGGGACUUAGGCGCUUUUUGCUUUGGCAAUAUGUGCUCACAAUGAUGCGGCCCGAUGCUGUUAAAAUCCUUUUUAACGCGAUUCAAUAAUUCUUUGGAAUUAUUAUGAUGCACAUGAAAAGGUGCCCGACAGAAAGGUGUUAUACCAUUUUUGUAAGCUUUUUUU
rnacentral:lncRNA from 1 species